AAUCUUCAACUCCUUCGAGAAUGUGGAAUAGAAGGGCUGGGUAAUGUAUCCCAUUUAGAUGAGGCCGAGAGAUUAGGACUUCACAAUAUGGAAAACCUCCUUCGUUUGCGUCUUGUGUUUGAUGGAGUCGUAGAUCUUGUGUUUGAUGGAGUCGUAGAUGGGGAAGAUGAAGAAAGGAGGAGGAGGAAUGAGAAAGACAAACAACUUCUUGAAGCUUUACAACCGCCUUUGAGUGUAGAGAAAUUAUGGAUUGUAUCCUACGGAGGCAACAUUCUUCCCAAAUGGUUGACUUUGCUAACCAAUCUAAGGGAUUUAAGCCUUUCCUCGUGCGUUAACUGUGAGCAUUUGCCUCCUUUGGGAAAAUUGCCUCUGGAAAAACUCACAAUUAACAACUUGAAAAGUGUAAAAAGAGUGGGUAAUGAGUUUUUGGGAAUAGAAGAAAGCAGUGAGGACGACCCAUCUUCAUCUUCAUCGUCAUCAUCAGUUAUUGCCUUCCCCAAAUUGAAAUCUCUCAAUAUUGAGGAAUUUGAUGAAGUGGAAGAGUGGAAUUACAGGAUUACGAGGACGGAAAACAUCUCCAUCAUGCCACGUCUUUCUUCCUUGACGAUUUCUUCUUGCAACAAAUUAAAGGCGCUGCCGGAUUACAUUCUUCAAACGACGGCACUGCAGGAACUGAGUAUAUAUUUUUGUGAUCUUCUAGAAGAACUGCCCAUUCUAGAAGAUCACAGGACAACAGCCAUACCACGUCUUUCUUCCUUGGAAAUUAGUUGUUGCCCCAAAUUAAAGGUGCUGCCGGAUUACCUUCUUCGGACGACGACGCUGCAGAAAUUGACAAUUUGGGGAUGUCCCCUUUUGGAAAACCGUUAUAGAGAGGGGAAAGGAGAAGACUGGCAUAAGAUAUCUCACAUUCCCCACAUCAAGUGGUCGCUGUUGCCGCCGGUAAUUUCUCCUCCUCCUCUGAUUUACUUCGUUGUUGCUUGCAAUGAAAUUAAUAAAAAUAAUUAUAUUUUGACUUAAAAUUUUAUAUAAAAUCAAUCAUGGUAUAAAUAUGAAAAACUUCCUAGUUAUCAAAUCUGUUAAACUUGUUUUCUAAAGAUUAAAUAAUAAAAAAAUACAAGUGUAGUCUGUUGAAAUUUCUAUAUUUAUUUACUUUUAAAAAAUAUGUGCUCUUUUGUAAAAGUUCAUACAAUAUCAUAGAAAUGUUAUGUGUAACUUCCUGAGAGACAAAAUCUCUGUGAUACAUUUGCAGUAAUGUUGAAAACUAAAUGUCAUUAGCCCACCUUGUUUUAUUUCAUACGAGUUUAAUUAUGUUCACCAGGGAUUCGAGGAAAUGUCAGAACUACACUAGCAAUUCGCAGGUCCACGCUAAUUUGGUUCUAAUGAUGCACGCAGGAGAGCAAGACUAUGAAAAUGAAAAGUUUAGCCAAAGGAUUGCUAAAAUGUUCUGCUGGUAAUUCACUUGCUUUAUUUUAUAGAAUUCAUUUCCAUCUUCUUCUAUUGAUAUCUUGUUGUGAAUAACAAGAACAGAGAAGUAAAGAUAUAUCAAAAUUUACUAUUGCGAUGAUGCUAAAGCAAGCUCAAGCUCAAGCAUUGCAUUUUUAUUUUAUUUAAUUUAUAGAAUUUUCAUUUCCACCUGCAUUGCAUUUUUAUUUAUUUUUAGGUUGACUUUGAAUACUUCAUGGUGAACAUUGGGGUGACCAAGGAUUAGGCUGGCAGUGGAACGACUACCACUGUGGUUAUUGUGCGACUUUGAAGAAGAAAGUGAUGGCUGGGUCUGCUCUGUUUCUAUCUUUUUUCAUUCUUUGAUCGGUUUAUCCUACAUAAACAUAUGGAAUUAUGCUAAUAUUAUCAAUUUUUUCACCCAAUUUUCAUUGUUGGUUGUGAUAAAAAUUUCAGGCUCUCAAAAGCUACAAAGCAAAGCAUUUGUGGGCUGAUCAUAUGUUUCAAUUGAGGAAGGAGUUUGGUGUUGGCAAUAUUGUCCAGGUAACCACAGCUGAUAAUUUCCACAAAUUUGCAUUGUCAGAACACACUUUAAUGUUCAUUGUGUUCCUAUGUGUUAUCAGGUUAUUGUGGUAUGUAAAGUAUCAUCUUUAAGGAUUUGUAAGAGACUUCGCAGUAAACUUAGUUGGCACCAGCUCGUGCAAUUCCUCAUUCAUUCAAGAGUACUUCAAAAUUAGAUUUUCAAGGUUUGUAUGUUUAGUUGCGAGCAAAAUGUUUAGUCACACAUUCGUAAUCUUUUCUGAUUUUCAAGUUCUUUAGGGCCAUAAACAGUUUUCCAACUCAUUCUUAAUUUUUAGGUUGAUUUCGAGUACCCUGUUGAGGACAUUCUUGAGACCAAGGAUUAGGCUGGCGAACAAACUACUACCUCUGUUGUUAUAGUGCAGGGUUUGAUCAUUGGACCUUGAAUAAGAAUGCCUUACACACACUCUGUAAUUCAAGCAUUCUCUAAGGAAAAGAGCAGUCGAAGGGAUAGUGAUGGCCGGAUCUGCUCUAUUUUAGUUGAAGAUCUCUGUGAUGUCGAUGAACUUAAAGCAGUUGAUACUUCUUGAAAAUUGUUAUUACGGAUGAAAUUGAUUACAGGAGACGGGUAUCCAAAGGCGGAUUUUCAUAAACUUCCUUCUUUAACAAAUGUUCCAACGCUUGCUGUAGUAACAAUUUCAUAGCUUGUAUCUCUCGGGUGCAUCAUGUUCACGGGUUGGAAAAAGCAUUUGUGGUAAAGCUUCAAAGCUUGUAAAAUGGCUGUGAAAAGGCACAUUCAAUUCGGUAUGCUUUGGUGCGGUCUCCUAAUGCUAAUAUUAUAUUUUGUAUAGCAAUCUUAAUAUGCAAAAAAUCAUUGUGUCCAAAGUUUUCUAUUUAUUAUAUGGUGACUGAAAUUUUAAUUAUCAUAUCAAUCUUAAAAAUUUUUGUAACCCUAUUUUACUUUGCUUGUACAGAAUACCUGUUUUCGCUGAUAUGUCGAAUUCCCAGAAAUUCAUUUCCAUCGGUUUCCAUUGGUUUUAGCACAAACAGAAACAUAGAGCACUGGGAAAAAGUUUUACUUUUGGUGGUAUUAUGCCUUAUUUUCUUCAUUCAUCAUAUUUGUUUCGAAUUCAUGCUCUCAUUAAGAGAGUAAAGCCUUUUCCAGGCUGCUUUGUAGCCAAAUUUUGAUGCCAUCGAUGCGUGAUUGUCAUUUAGAUUUUCGAAAUAAUUGUCAGAUUGGAGACGAAUCAGAAGAUAUUGUUCAAAGGGUAUUUAAUUAGCACCCUCUGAAUUUAGUUGCCAAUAAUGCAUUGAAAUGGUUGGGGAAAGUUAUUGUCUUAAUUAAAUUACAGGUGAUAAGAUGCUGCUUCAAUUUUGCAAGCAUCUUGUACUGCAAAGAUUCUGCCCACAUGAGAUGCUGUGAUUCUUGACAUCAGGAUAACACAGGUCAAAUUUUAGUAUCAAUAUAUAUCAUCUUCUUUACUGUUCUGCCUCUAAAUAUUAAACUUUAAGCAAGUUGUUUUUGUUUGUGUAAGUUAUCAGGUUAAGGAUACUAAGCCGCUUAUUAAGGCAAAUGUCAGAAUGAAGAUUGUUCACCACACCUGGUAUGCAUGAUGGCCAGUAAGAUUAAUUGUUCACAAGCCAAUUUGAUCAGUGUUAGAUUUUUUGCCUCCUUUCGAGGGUCAUCAUCAUCAAAUUUGAGUAGAGAAUCUUUGAAGGGAAUUUUGUUGUAAGAGUUUCACAGUAGUGAAUUCUGGGAGCUCGAACUCACUUGAGUGAGAUAUUAGGGAGUGUUGGGGAUUUGGGUUAUGAGUAAUCAUUAUCCUUCCAAUAUGUGUAAGCACUCACUUGUUAGUAAAAUCAUCUUCGUAUAUUGACUAUGUUUCUUUGAGUAAUUCAGUUUCAGAUUUUCAGGGCAUGUAUGUUUAAUUAGUUUUGAUUAAAAUAUUUAGUCACUCAUUCUGAAUCUUUUCUAAUUUUCAAGUUCCUUAGGGCCACAACCAGUUUUCAGGGUCUGCAGAAACUAUCUUGAGGGUUGAGGAAUUGCGUUUGAGCACACACAGAAACAAGGCUAAUGGAAAAGAACUUGACAGAAGAAUUAUGCUCUAAAUCUAACAAAAGUAUAUUUCUACUUCUUGUGGUUAUUUUACUUUUGUAUUUUCUGUCAUCAUAUUUGAUUAAUUCAUUCGAAUUCAGACUCUCAUUAUUUAAAACCAUUUUCAGGUGGCUUGCACGCUAAUUAAGUUAACGCAGAAGCAAUACUCUAGACAAAGAUGAGCAAAUUGAAGAUGAUAAAUGCAUAUAUAGUGGCCAAGUCGCUCAUUACAUUUCAUCUCUCAUACGAACAUGAUUCUGAAUUUGAAUUUCCAUCAAUAAUUGUCAGGCUGGUGCAGAUGUUCUUAAAAGGGCAUUAAGCUACCUUAUGAGAUUGGAAAGUUAUCAUUGCUUGAAUGAAAGCACCAUCUUCUGUUGUCAAGGCUUUCCCCCACACGAUGAGAUUCUGUGCUUGUUAUCGGCCGCUUAGUUAUUUAUUAAAUCAGGUUUUUGUUAUCAUGUUCAACAUCUUAUUCACCAUUUUGGCUAUAUAUAAAGAUUAAAAUUUCUAACAGUUGUUUCGGAUUCUUGUGUACUCAGGUUAAUAUGGCAAAUGUCAGAAUGAAGAUUGUUCAGUGCAACCGGUAUAGCAAGGAUGAUAGUGGUGAGGAAGAUUGUUGGCAAGCCAAAUAGAGCCCUCCAUUUUGAGAAAUAUCAUCCUCAAAUUUGAAUUGUUGAGCAUGUGAAGUGAAGCUAAAGCCUUAAUAAUGAGACCUUCCUGUGAAAGUUUCAUUUGAGUGAAUUGAACGUCCUUAGUGGGUGAGAAAUUAAGCAUAUAUCAGCGAUUACUGAAUGUUUUUCUUUAACAUUAGUACACUCUUAUUUCUUAGUAAAAUUCUCUUCACGUCUCUGACUGUGACGUAGACCAAAAGCUGAACAAUGUAAAAUUAUAUUGUUAUUUCCUUAUGCUUGUUUUGCUAUAUAUCAUUUUUGUGCAAUAAAGAAUGUAAUUUUGUAAUUAUUUAACUCUGCUUCUGCGAACAUGCGGUAUUACAAGUGGCAUCUUGCAGAUUUUUUUCCCCUUUUUUUCUUUCUGCAUUAAAACUGCAACAAAUGGAAGUGACUGGCUUGAUUUUAGCUAAUGUAAAAAAGUGCUUGGGGCAAUGUCUUUUGUAUCAGCAAGUCAUCAAACAUCAUAGUUUAAAUAUAGAAUCCUGAGUUGCCGUAUAUUGACAAAGCUAACCGUCUGUGGGCUGAAAUGCUUCCACGGAUCAGGAAGGAAUUUGGGGUUGACACUAAAUGUUAUGCAGAUAACUACAGUUGAUAAUUUUUACCCAAAAUAUGUCACAGUUGACAAUUCACUUACAGUGUUUCCUUGUGUUAUCAGGCUCUCAUAUGUGAAUUGAAAGAUUAAGAAAAAGCAUUUGCACUAAAUUUCAAUUUUAAAGUUCCCAGAUUAAGAAAGAUUGUUUGUUAUGCAAUUGAAGAUUAUGAAAAAGCAUACGCACAGGUAAGUUCUUCUUUAGCUCUGUUUUUCAUUGUUUGUUAUAUCUAUUUUUAAUUCACAUGUCCACAGUAAUUUCAUUUUAGUUUGAGCUGAGUGAUAACUGUUCAAGGCUCACUUACUCAUUGGGAGAAGCUGCAUGACGCAGGCUGCAAGGAUUUAGAUUUUCAUUCGAAGGCUCACUUACUCAUAGUGUGCAUGUUUCGUUACGAUUAAAAUGAUUAGUCUCUUGUUCUUAAGUAUACAAUUUCCAAUGGAUUUGAUAGAGCGGUCAUCAACCAUAUUGAUGUUAUUGGAGUAGCACUGUUCUUAAGCACUGCUUUGAGGUCUCUCCCUCUCUAUAUACAUUGAUAGACUAUUCUGGUCGUACCAAAUUAUCCUUGUUUUAUUGUUUUGUUUGUUAAACUUUGACUGGGGGAAUCUGUUUAUUUGUCUGAUAUGAUGUUAGUGUGGUUUCGAUUGAAGUGUGUUGAUCUAUCACCAAGUAUUAUUUCAAUUUUUCUUUACCUAAUCAACUUGCAUACUUUCCAAGUCUAGAUCCUUAACAAUAGUGAGACUCCGCUACAGAAGUACGAUUUCUCUAGUUUUGUAGUUAAAUACGUAAGAAUAGUUUUAAAUUAACAGAACUCUGAGAUAGUUCUCUGAGGAAAUACAAGUGGUGAAUAUGGUUCCAACUUUUAAGUGCCUUAAGAUUCCCAUUUGUUCAGCCCUGUGCGUAAACAAUCAGUAAUUUCUGUCCAAAUUCUUCUUUAAUGCCUAUAUGUGUUGGACUUUGUCUACUGUUCAACUUCUCAAAUGGAUUCCAUGCAGGGUUUUGAAUGUCCAAUUAGGAGAAAGAUCAAGGCUUGCUUGGCUAGGAGUGGAAGCGGAUCCACUACUUCAGUCAGAUGACCUUUUGAAGAAGGCUUACAACAGGCCGUCUCAGGAUGUCAAUGGCUCAACUCAAAAGUCCCCAAAGUGGUUGAUAUCGAAGAAUGCCGUUGUCUCUGGGCUUGGGCUCCUUGGCAUCAAACAAGGGAAUGUCGACUCUGUUGAAGGGGAAGCAAGGGCUCCUAAAGUGCGAAGAAAGAGGAUAGUCCGGAAGAAGGUGACCGCAUAAAUUUCUUGGGAGUUAAUCCUAGUCAAUAGCCCAAUUUUGCUGCCUGUCGAAGAGGUACAACACGGAAGUCGUCAUCAAACUCUUUUGAGACAUCUAAGAACUAGUAGGGAGGUGGUGGUAUUUCACCGUGUUUCCUGGCAAGUAUAGUUCACUGAUAGAGGGAUUCUUUUCUUGAUGUCUAAAUACUAUAUGUGAUACAACUUCGUAUAUUCCAAUUUUUCUCCAGUUAAAUUCUAGUAAGUUAGAAAAGUUAAUUUUGUUCUAGCGAUGAAUUGUUUUCUUAAUAACAAUAAUUGCCUGUUGCUUUGGAAUCUUAUUCACUCUCUGCAACCCAGUUAAAUUGUGCAAAUUCUACUGCAGAUUUGUCAAACAGAGUGUCUCUGUGAUUGUUUUGAUACACUUUUGAUGGCAAGUUCAAGUUUGAAUCAUCUUGUAAUGCCAAAAAACCAUAGCGCUUUUAAUUACUAGAUCGCACUCGACUUCCUAUUUAGUACUACCGUGUUGCAGUUAUAGUUAUUGUGAAAAAGGAACUGAAACUAUAAUAUAAAUGUUGAUCUAGUGUUGUAUAUAUGAUUUUUAAUUAAUAAUUUUGAUAAAAUUAAUAAAUGUAUCAUUGAUUUUUUUAUACUCCCAACUUAAUUUUUAAGUCACAAUAAUAAAUAUUUAUUAAAUACUUUGAUACUGUAACUUUAAAAUUAUGCUCCGCGGCACUCUUAUCUAAUUUUAAUUGUACUUUCUAGCUCGAUUAUAGAAAUCCUUACUCGAUGUACUUUACCAUACAAGGUGUUACUUUACUUGAUCUUACUCGACUUUAAUUGCAUAUUUUAUAACGAAUUUUUUAUCAAAAAAUUGGUCCCGAUUCCAGCAAAACAGUAACUUCCAUGAUGAUUUUUAAUAUUAUAUUAGUGAUUAUUAAAUUUAAUACAAUCAAUAAUGAAAGAAAUUAUUAAAUGGUUAAUUUUAUUGACAUAUUAUCAAAUACGCAAGUAAUGAAAAAUUAAUCUCAAGAGUUAGUUGAAGUAAAGUUCCAAUUUAAUAGAUAAAUAUAAAUUUUAAGUAAAUCAUAAAUUAAAAAAUUAAUUAAUAUUAAGUAUAAAUAAAUAAUAAUGACAUAAAUUAAAGUCUCAUAAAUGGAUAACUUUUUUUCUUUAAUCUUAUCUCAACUAAAGUAAUGUGUAAAUUAGGAUUCUUAAUCCCAUAAUUUUAGGAAUAAAUUUAAAUUUAGUUCCUAAAUCCAAUUCAAUUAAGCUUACCAAACAUGAGAUAAAUUUUUAAUCACAAAAUUAGUCCAAUUCCAUACUUACUCCCAGUAUCCGAACAUGGCCUGAUAACAUAAUUUAGGUAAUAUACUACUAUGACUCACAAUUUAAAUAAAUUUAAGAAUUUAUAUAGGGGAUGGAAAAUUCACAAUAAUCAUAACAUAUGCUAUCUUUUCUCCCUUUUCUUAAUUAAAUAAAAAAAAAUUAAUGACAGAAUAACUACUGUUUAAAAGGGUCGGCUGCAUGAUUUUUCCAACUAUUGUUUUAUUUUUCUCUUUUCCACUACAAAUUAAUUUGAGAAUGUUACAUUUUCCAAUUCUCUUUUUGUCGUGACAUAAUAGACUAAAACGGAAUCACAUACUUUUUCAAAUGUCCAAAUGGCUUUGGCCUACCUGAUAAUAAAAGGAAUGGAUCCAUACGUUAGUAUGGAUAAAUUGAAAAAUAUAAUAAAUAAAUUGUCAGGAGAUGAUUUUAUCAAAAAUUUCACUCGCACGGUCCCGACCAAAAUCGACUGUAUUAUAUGUGAACUCGCAAGAUUCAUAGAUAGAUUGCACUGAGCUUUUUGUUGCAGUUUACAAAUAUUUUGUUACUAAUUAUCUCAAGAGCAGCAUGUAACUAAAUACAAAUGUAAGGAAUUUUACAAGUGCUGAUGCUGUGUACUCUGAAGAAUUAACAAUGAAUUAUUAUGAAUAAGAGAAACAGAGGGCAGAUGCUGUGCAAUUAUUGAGGUGGUGGAUCAGAAAGCUAGCCCCAGAUGGUGACUCCUUUAAUUUGCAGCACGAAAGAACGUUCACAUUGACAUUGACUCAAGGGUAAAAAUUAAAUAUUUCAUAUGGUAUAAGAAGAAUGCAAACAUGCUUGAAUGAACAUUCUCACAGAAUACAUAAAACCUACUUUCCUCUGAGCAUUUUAGCAGCAAGAAAAGCAAUUGCUGCAUUUACCAUUUGAUCUAAUAUCAGAAUGGCUCAUGCGAUCGUUUCCUCUCUCUUGGACCAGCUGAAAUCCAUUGCUCAAGAUCAGGUGAAAGAAAAGUGGAGGCUUGUGACGGGUGUCGAACAAGAAGUGGGAAAGCUUACUACCAAUCUUCAAGCCAUUCAAGCUGUACUGGAAGAUGCAGAGCAGAGGCAAAUGAAGCAGGACAAAGCUGUUACUCUUUGGCUGGAUCAGCUCAGAGACGCAUCCUACGACAUUGAAGAUGUGUUGGAAGAGUGGAUCACUGAAACAAGGAAAUUGCAGCUUGAUGAGGGCGGCGAUGAUGACGAUGCUCUUGCUCUUGCUCCUCCUAAGAAGAAGGUAUGUUCCUUCUUUCGUGCUGCCUCAAACUACUUAGGUGGUUUCAAACAACUCAUUCUUCGUGAUGAUGUUGCUGUCAAGAUUAGCGAAAUCAGUGAAAAGCUAGAUGGUGUUGCCACUCGAAAAGAUAUGUUUAAAUUUGUUGAGAAUGUGAGUAACAAUGUUAAGAAACCAGAGCGAGUGCGAACCACCUCCUUGAUUGAUGAGGGAGAGGUUUUUGGUAGAGAUGACGAGAAAAAUGAGCUGUUAGGUAAGUUGUUGGGUGAGAGUGGCGAACAACAUCCUCAUAUCAUCUCACUGGUUGGGUUAGGGGGUAUAGGUAAAACCACUCUUGCACAACUAGCCUAUAAUAAUGAUGAGGUUAAAAGAAAUUUUGAAAAAGUUAUAUGGGUGUGUGUAUCAGACACUUUUGAUGAGAUGAGGGUUGCUAAAGCAAUCAUUGAAGGUCUAGGCGAGUCAACUUCUGGUUUAAGCGAAUUCCAAUCUCUUAUGAGCCAUAUCCAUAGAUCAAUUGAAGGAAAAAAUUUUUUUAUUGUCUUAGAUGAUGUAUGGGAUGGGAAUUAUAAUAUAUGGGAUCAAUUCUUCUUUUGUCUAAAGAAUGGUCUUCCCGGAAGUAAAAUUGUGGUUACCACACGUAAUGAGUCAGUUGCACGUAUGAUGCGAACAAUAGAGUUAGAUAUUAUCUCCAUUGAACAACUAGCUGAAGAGGAAUGCUGGUUGUUGUUCAAGCGGUUGGCAUUUUUCGGUCGCUCUUUCAAGGAUUGUGAAAAAUUAGAACUAAUCGGGCGAAAAAUUGCACGCAAGUGCAAAGGCCUGCCUCUUGCCGCAAAAGUAAUAGGGAAUCUCUUGCGCUCUAAACGUACAGUAAAAGAGUGGCAAAGAAUUUUAGAGAGUGAAAUGUGGAAGGUAGAAGAUAUUACGAAAGGUCUUUUGGCUCCUUUGUUGUUGAGUAUAAUGAUUUGUCCGCUAGUUCUAUGGUAAAACAGUGUUUCUCAUAUUGUGCUGUCUUUCCAAAAGACUACAAGAUGGAUAAAGAGGAAUUGAUUGAUCUCUGGAUGGCUCAAGGUUACCUUAAUGCAGAAGAAGACGAAGAAAUAGAGAUGAUUGGAGAAGAGUAUUUCAACAUCUUAGCAACACGCUCUUUCUUUCAAGAGUUUGAAAUAUAUGGUGCCGAUGGUGAAUAUGUGAAGUGUAAGAUGCAUGACAUAGUACAUGAUUUUGCUCAAUUUGUGAGUAGCAAAGAAUGUUUGUGGCUAGAAAUUAGCGGUACCAAAGAAUCAGUCAUAAACUCUUUUGGUGACAAAGUCCGUCACUUAGGGUUAAAGCUUAAAAGAGGCGCUUCAUUUCCUAUGUCCAUUCAUGGACUUAAUAGAUUGCGUACCCUCCUAAUUAGUGAUGAAUUUUAUAAUCUGUCCCUUAGUAGUAGCAACCUUGCAGAGUUAUUUAGUAAAUUGGCAUGUUUAAGGGCAUUAGUUAUAAAGCAAUUUUACCCAAAUAGGAUUAGAGAAAUUCCAGAAAAUGUCGGAAAAUUGAUACAUUUAAAAUUCCUUAAUUUGUCUAGACUAGCUAUAGAGAGACUACCUGAGACUUUGUGUGAAUUAUAUAAUUUACAAAAGCUAGAUAUUAGGCGGUACGAAUAUCUUAGAGAAUUGCCUGCGGGGAUUGGGAAGUUAAAGAACAUUAGGAGUUUACUAAAUGCUAGAACUCCGUUAAAGCAUAUGCCAAUAGGGAUUGCCAGGUUAACCAGUCUUCGAACAUUGGACAGGUUUGUUGUGGGAGGAGAUGUUGAUGGUAGCAGUACAUCUAGGCUUGAAUCUCUGAAAAAUCUUCAACUCCUUCGAGAUUAUGUAAUAGAUGAGCUGAGUAGUGUGUCACAUUUAGAUGAGGCUGAGAGAUUAGAACUCCACAAUAUGGAAAACCUCCUUCGUUUGUGUCUUGUGUUUGAUGGGGGAGAUGAAGAUUGGGAAGAUGAAGAAGAAGAAGACGCAGAAGUUGUAGAGGGGUUAGAUGAAGAAGGGAGGAGGAAGAAUGAGAAACUUCUUGAAGCCUUACAACCGCCUUUGAAUGUAGAGGAAUUACGGAUUGUAUCCUACGGAGGCAACAUUUUUCCCAAAUGGUUGACUUCGCUAACCAAUCUAAGGGAACUAAAACUUCUCUUGUGUUUUAACUGUGAGCGUUUGCCUCCUUUGGGAAAAUUACCUCUGGAAAAACUCCAACUAAAGAACUUGAAAAGUGUAAAAAGAGUGGGUAAUGAGUUUUUGGGAAUAGAAGAAAGCAGUGAGGAUGGCCCAUCUUCAUCUUCAUCGUCACCAUCAGUUUUUGCCUUCCCCAAAUUGAAAUCACUCGAAAUUCACGGAAUGGAAGAAUUGGAAGAGUGGAAUUACAGGAUUACGAUGAAGGAAAACAUCUCCAUCAUGCCCCGUCUUUCUUUCUUGGAAGUUAGUUCUUGCAACAAAUUAAAGGCGCUGCCGGAUUACCUUCUUCAAACGACGGCACUGCAGGAACUGAGUAUUUGUUCUUGUGAUCUUCUAGAAGAACUGCCCAUUCUAGAAGAUCGCAGGACAACAGACAUACCACGUCUUACUUCUUUGUGGAUUUCUGAUUGCCCCAAUUUAAAGGUGCUGCCGGAUUACCUUCUUCAAACACUGCAGCUAUUGAUAAUUUUGGGCUGUGACCUUCUAGAAGAACAUUAUAGAGAGGGGAAAGGAGAAGACUUGCAGAAGAUAUCUCACAUUCCCCACAUCAAGUGGUCACCGUAAGAUAUCACUCGCCGGUAAUUUCUCCUCCUCCUCUGAUUUACUUCGUUGUUGCUUGCAAUGAAAUUAAUAAAAAUAAUUAUAUUUUAAAUUAAAAUUCUAUAUAUUGCCAAUGUCUGACAAGAAUAUAUAAUAUUUUUCUAAUAUUUUGAUUUGCAUAUUGAAUUUUGUUUACUUUAACCAUUAAUUUAAUGGGUCACUUUAUGAUGCUGUUAUAAAAAUUAUAGAAUCAAUCAUGGUAUAUAUAUUUUAAUUUAAGUUAUUUAAAAUUUAAACUUCCUAGUUAUCAAAUUUAAACUUCCUUAACAUCAUGCAAAAAUAAUCAUCAUGUCUUUUAGCCGAAGGAUUGCUAAAAUGUUCUGCUGGUAAUUCACUUGCUUUAUUUUAUAGAAUUUCAUUUCCAUCUUCUUCUAUUGAUAUCUUGUUGUGAAUAAACAAGAACAGAGAAGUAAAUAAUUGAACCACAGAGAAGUAAAGAUAUAUGAAAGUUCGCUAUUGUGAUGGUGUUAAAGCAAGCUCAAGCUCAAGCAUUGCAUUUUUAUUUUAUUUUAUUUUUAGAAUUUUCAUUUCCACCUGCACUGCAUUUUCAUUUCAUUUUUAGGUUGACUUUGAAGACUCUAUGGAGAACAUUAGGGUAACCAAGGAUUAUCACUAUGGUUAUUGUGCAACGUUUGGUUGCUGGACUUUGAAGAAGGAAGCGAUGGCCGGGUCCGCUCUGUUUCAAUUGAGGAUGGACAGCUGCCUGAAAGACAUGAUGAUUAUUUUUGCAUGAUGUUAAGGUGCUAAGAUCAUCAUUUAUAUCUUGUUUCAUUCUUGGAAUCAUUUAUCCUAUAUAAACAUAUUGAAUUGUGCUAAUAUUAUCAUAUGCUUCAAUGGAGGCAGGAAUUUGGUGUUGACACUACUAUGCAGGUAGCCACACUUCAUAGUUGGCACAAAUUUGCGUUGUCAGAAUAUCCUUUAAUAUUCAUUGUGUUUCUUUGCGUUAUCAGGUUAUCAUCUCCAAGGGUUUGAAAGAGUCUUUGCAGUAAAGGCAGUUGUCACCAGCUCGUGCAAUUGCACAGUCAUUCAGAGUACUUCAAUAUUGGGUUUUCAAGUUUUGUAUGUUUAGUCGAUUAAAAUGUUUAGUCACUCAUUCUUAAUCCUUUUUUCUGAUUUUCAAGUUCUUUAGGGCCAUAAACAGUUUUUCAAACUCAUUAUUAUUUUUUAGGUUGAUUUCCUACUCGUGGAGAACAUUGGCAAGUCCAAGGAUUAGGCUGGCGAUGGAACUACUACCUCUGUUGUUAUUGUGCAAGGUUUGAUCGCUGGACCUUGAACAAGAAUGCCUUACACACAUUCUGUAAUUGAAGCGUUCUCUAAAGCAAAAGAGCAGUAGAAGGAAUAGUGAUGGCCGGAUCUGCUCUUUCUUAAUUGAAGAUGUCUGUGAUGUUGAGGAGCUUAAAGCAGUUAAUGCUCUUUGAAAAUUGUUAUUACAGAUGAAUUGAUUCCUGAAGACGAGUAUCUAAUGAUUGUUAAGGCGUAUUUUCAUGAACUUCCUUUCUUAACAAAUGUUUCAAUGCUGGCUGUAGUAACAAUUUCAUAUCUUGCAUCUCCCGGGUGCAUCAUGUUCACGGGUUUGAAAAAGCAUUUGUGGUAAUGCUUCAAAGCUUGUACAAUGUCUCCCAAUGCUAAUAUCAUAUUUUGUAUGGCAAUUAAAAUUUAGCUAUACAAUCUUAAUAUGCAAUAAAUCAUUGUAUACAAAGUUUUCUAUUGAUUAUAUGGUGACUGAAAUUAGAUUGGAGAAGAAUAAAAAGAUACUGUUAAAAGGUUAUUUAAUUAGCGCCCUCUGAAUUUCUUGGAGUUAAUGUAGUCAAUUGCCCAAUUUUGCUGCCUGUGGAAGAUACACAGUAUGGAGUCCUCAUCAAACUCUGAGACACCUAAUAAAUAGUAGGAGGGGUUGGUAUUCGCCUGGUGUUAAUUUCCUGGCAAGUAUAGUUCACAGAUAAAGGGGUUCUUUUCUUGAUGUCUAAAUACCGUAUGUGAUACAACAUCGUGUAUUCCAAUUUUUCUCCAGUUAAAUUUUAAUAAGUUAGGAAAGUUAAUUUUGUUUUAGCAAUGAAUUGUUUUCUUAAUAAUAAUUGCCAUGUUCCUCUGAAGUCUUAUUAAUGCCAAACCAACAACUACUAGGUUCAUCUCUCGUUCACUUCCUCAGGGAUUCUCGAGGGCAUUCUUUGGCAGGUAGUCUUUCUUGUUGAGCUCCUGGAAUUACUUUUAAUUUAUCAUCUGUUGGGUUUUGCUUUUUGAUUGCUUUGUGAUUUGUGUUUUUAUCGCUUUGUCGCUCAUUAAUCUUGGCUGUUUUGAAUCUGUGUUGGAUUUAGACGUUUGGAGUUGAAAACAGUUAAAGCUUAGACUAGUAGAAGAGAUUUAUACAUUCAUUUAUCUUGGACAAAGUUUUUGGGGGAAAAGAAAAAUUAUAAGUAUACACUUUCCAAUGGUUCGGUGAUGUUUGAUUGGUUUAAAGAUGUUGGAUCUCUCAUCAGAUUUCUUAUGUAUCGACUGCUGUUGCCACAGGAUGCUCGCAGAUCCUGCUUUUUUGUAUAAACUUCUACCAGAGCAGGCUGCCACAAUUGGUUGCACUGUUUUGUGGGAGUUGGAGAAUCACAAGGAGAGGUGUUUUUUCUCUCAUAACAAAGGAACUCUCCCCUUCCUUUUUAUUCUCAUUUUAUAUAUUAAGCUAAUAAAUGUUUGUUUCUGUUGUGAUGGGAUAAAGCAAGAAUGGGAUCUUUGCCCUAAUAAAUGUGCUCACAGUAACAGCAUGUAAUGCUUUUGUUGUUUGGUCGCUUGCUCCUUGUCAUUCUUAUGGAAACACCUUCCGGUUUGACUUGCAAAUUACAUUACAAAAGCUCCCAAACAAUAUAUUUGAACGGCGGUACCCAUUUCGAGAAUUUGACUUGCAAAAGAGAAUCCACUCCCUUUUUUACAAGGCUGCAGAGUUGUGUAUGGUGGGAUUAAGUGCAGGAGAAGUGCAAGGUUCUUUGUCAAACUAUCUUGCUGGUAAAAAGGACAGGUAAACAUGGUUGCAAAACUUCCUUUUCAUUCCUCGUUCACUUAUUCGUUAUAAAUAAAGAAAACUUAGAAGAUUGUUCUGUUUACUGUCUAAGCCAGUUUAACAUUUAUUAAAUUACCCUUGUAAAAGAGAAUCCACUCCCUUUAAUGUCUGACAGGUUAUCUGUGACAAACAUGAGAUAUCAGCUAUUGUGUGGAUUUGAUAGAGCGGUCAUCAACCAUUUUGAUGUUAUUGGAGUAGUACUGUUCUUAAGCACUGCUUUGAGGUCUCUCCCUCUAUCUCUUUUACGCAUUUGUUUAUUGAUCUACAUCUCUAUAUACAUUGAUAGACUAAUCUGGUCGUACCAAAUUACCCUUGUUUUAAUGUUUUGUUUGUUAAACUUUGACUGGGGAAUCUGUUUAUUUGUCUGAUAUGAUGUUAGUGUGGUUUCUAUUGAAGUGUGUAGAUCUAUCACCGAGUAUUAUUUCAAUUUUUCUUUGCUUAAUCAACUUGCAUCCUUUCCAAGUCCAGAUCCUUAACAAUAGCGAGACUUCGCUACGGAAGUACAAUUUCUCUAGUUUUACAGUUAAAUACGUAAGGAUGGUUUUAAAUUAACUGAACUCUGAGGUAGUUUUCUAAGGAAAUACAAGCGGUGAAUAUGGUUCCAAGUUUUAAGUGCCUUAAUUAACCCAUUUGUUCAGCCCUGUGCGUAAACAAUCAGUAAUCGCUGUCCAAAUUCUUCUUUACUGCCUAUAUGUGUUGGACUUUGUCUAUUGUUCAACUUCUCAAAUGGAUUCCAUGCAGGGUUCUUAAUGUCCAAUUAGGAGAAAGAUCAAGGCUUGCUUGGCAAGGAGUGGAAGUGGAUCCGCUACUUCAGUCAGAUGACCUUUUCAAGAAGGCUUACAACAGGCCAUCUCAGGAUGUCAAUGGCUCAACUCAAAAGUCCCCAAGGUGGUUGAUAUCAAAGAAUGCCAUUGUCUCUGGGCUUCGGCUCCUUGGCAUCAAACAAGGGAAUGUCGACUCUGUUGAAAUGGAAGCAAGGGCUCCUAAAGUGCGAAGAAAGAGGAUAGCCCGGAAGAAGGUGACCGCAUAAAUUUCUUGGGAGUUAAUCCUAGUCAAUAGCCCAAUUUUGCUGCCUGUCGAAGAGAUACAACACGGAAAUCCUCAUCAAACUCUUUGAGACAUCUAAGAACUUGUAGGGAGGUGGUGGUAUUCACCUUGUUUCCUGGCAAGAAAUUUAUGGAACUUAUCUUCUAAAAACCAGCCAUGGCUUCAAAUUCAAUCACCUCAACACUCCAAUAUUGGCUUGUAAACCACCCACAAAUCCUCAACUUCACAUGGACACAAAACCAAACCCCAGCUUCCUCCCCACACUUCCUCAUUCUCUCCAUCCUCACUUACCUCUCCCUCACAUUCAUCCUCUACCACACAUCAACAUCAACAUCACCACCAUCAUCACCUUUCAUUGGACCCCACAUCCUCAAGCCCAUCACAGCCGUCCAUAACCUCACCCUCCUCCUCCUCUCCCUCAUCAUGGCCGUUAGUUGCACUCUCUCCAUCAUCGUCCAUUUGCCCCACCUCCAUUACACCCUCUGUUUCCCCCCCACCAUUUCUCCGUCUGGCCCCCUCUUCUUCUACGCUUACCUCUUCUACCUCUCCAAAAUACUCGAAUUCGUAGACACCCUUUUGAUCAUUUUGUCAAACUCCGUCCAACGGCUCACGUUCCUCCACGUCUAACACCAUGCAACCGUCGUCGUAAUGUGCUACCUUUGGUUACAGACGAAGCAGUCUUUGUUUCCUAUUUCACUUGUGACCAAUGCAAGUGUGCAUGUGAUCAUGUACGGGUACUAUCUAUUGUGUGUGAUGGGGUUGAGGCCAAAGUGGAAGAGAUUGGUCACUGAUUGUCAGAUUGUUCAGUUUGUGUUUAGUUUUGUUGUUUCGGUUUUGAUGCUGUAUUAUCAUUUUACGGGAUUUGGUUGCUCUGGGAUUUUGGGUUGGUGCUUCAAUGCUGUGUUUAAUGCUUCUCUUUUGACACUUUUUGUUAAUUUUCAUUCCAAGAGCUACGCUAAAAAAAAGCAGGGAUGAUCAGAACAAAUAGUUUUUGUGAUUGUUUUGUGCGUGCGUGUGUGUGUGUGAUUUUUUUUUUCAAGUUUGAUUUUGUUUAAUUAUGAAGGGUUGUGAUCUGUUCAUUGCAAUUGACAGAGAUGUUUUCAGUUGCCUAGACUUCGUAUUUUCAGUUUUAGUAAUAAAUGUCGUUUUUCACCACAUUUGUUUAGUCUCUCGCUUUUAAAUCCCCUCUCACACACAAAAAAAAUUGGAUUUGUAUCUUGUAAACAAAUAUUUUUCAUUUUGUUAAUGUAUUAAUUAUUGUUAUCUACAUUUAUGUGAUAGGGCACAUGCCACAUCGACUAAAAUUAAGUUAUGAAAUUUUGCAGCCCCUGAGCACUCAAUGUUUGUAGGCACAAGUUCAAGUCCCACCAUUUGUUAGGAUUUAAAUAAAGAACAUUAUAACCAUGCGUCCAAGAACUUAAAGAUAGCUUAAGUGCAUGGAUUCGAGUCCUAGUUAUUGUUGGAAUUCGAUUUCCUUUCUAAUUAAAUUGGGUAAGGGUAAAAUUAUCUCUCAAUUAAUAAGGACAGAGUAGAUAUUUCUCUCGAUUUUCCUCCCAAUUAAAUUAGUUAGAAGUAAAAUUAUCUCUCAAUUAAUAACAGUAGAAUAAAUAUCUCUCUAGUAUUAUGCAAGGGUAGAAAUUUGGGCUGUACCAUGUUAGAAUUAUCAAGGAUAGUUUUGGUAGAAUUCUAAUUGUAAUAUAUGAGUGUAUAAAAAAAAUGAACAUCAAUGAAAGAUUUUAGGCAAGAACUAUCUUGGAAUAGAAUUUUGAUUGUAAUAUAUCAGUAUAUAAAAAAAUUUUAUGAAAAAUGUUUAACAAGGACUAUUUUGAUAUUUUAAUGAAUAGUAAAAAUUAAUGUUAAAAUUUGAUAGACGAGUGUAUAGUAAGAUGUGCAAAGUAUUAGAACAUAUAUAAAUAAUCCUAGCUCUAAUAAAAUUUUGCUACAAAAUUAGUUUAUCCCUUAAAGAAACAUAUCAAAAAAAUAUACAAAAACACAAUGCAUGAGUACAUGUCAAUCACAAAUGAAAGCAAUUAAGAUAAAGGAUAUGAUUUAUUUUAUUUUAUUUUAGUUAUUUUUUUAAUUAUUUUUUGUUUCUUUUGAAACAAGACCAAUUAGAUCAUGCAAGAAGUAAUUUUUUUUUUAAAUAAAAAAGGAGAAAUGAUGAAACCCACGUCCAAAGAUGCCGUUGUCGCGGAGGCCUAGAUCUCACUACACCCCAUCCCCUUCUACCAUAUUUUAUAAUUGAAGAGGCCAUUAUUGAAUUGAAAAAUUAUGAUUCAAAAACCCAAAAAUAGAAAAAGAAAAGCAAUUGUUGGAAACACACUCGGAGUUUUAAAUUGACAUGAGAAAAGAAUAUAUUCAUCAACCUCAUACGUUAAAGAUGCGACGAGUUUGAGAUUAUGAGCCAAAUUCCUAACGUGUGGGAAUUUAAAGAUGUUACUACAAAACAUGUGUUCGUCGGUGGAGUAGAAUCAGGGAAAUUAAAGAUGCUACUACAACCACUAACGUGUGGGUGGGGAUAAGCAUAACUUUUUUCAUCAAAUGCCAAAUCCCCCCAGGUGGAGAGUGGGGACUCCUUCGCAUAAAUGUUGAUAAAAUUUUGAUUAUGAUGUUAUUAGAAAUUAGGAAAAACCUGUGGUGCAACUGUGGUACCGUGUUAUAGUUGCAUCCAGCCGUUGGAUACUAGUGGACCCUAUUGUUAACAUAUAUGUUUCCAUAAUAUUGAUUUUGAUGAUAACAAACAAAAUUAAGAAUGAUUAAUCUUUUAAGCUCAAAUUAUUUAAUAUUCUUUUUAAAUAAAUCAUUAUUUUCACAUUAUAAAUGUUUUAUAUUUAAUGGAAAAAUGAUUUUAUGAAAUUGAUUGUUUUUAUUCUCUUUAAAUAAAUCAUUAUUUUUACAUUAUAAAUGUUUUAUAUUUAAUGGAAAAAUGAUUUUAUGAAAUUGAUUGUUUUUAUUCUUUUUAAAUAAAUCAUUAUUUUCACAUUAUAAAUGUUUCAUAUUUAAUGGAAAAAUAAUUUUAUGAAAUUGGUUGUUUUUCAAAGUUUAUGGUUUAAUUAAAAGAAUUUUGAAAACUUUGAAAUAAAUGCUUGAAAUUUUGGAGGACUUAUUUGAAAAGUGUCAUAGCAUUUUUAGCUAUAUCAUAAUUUCAGAAAGUUUUGGGAUUAGCAAAGCAUUACUUAUAAAUUCUAAAAUUGGACCUAUUUAAAAAGUUUUAUAACUUUUUGGGCCGUAAUAUAGUUUUGUAAAGUUUUGGGGUCAAACUGUAAUUUCAGAAAAUAAUGCACUAUGCAGGUUACUGUAGCAUCCGGCUUACCGGAUAUAAAAAACUAGAAAACCGGAUACGGGGCAGUAAGCAUCCGGAACGCAAACGGCUUAUCGGAUUUCGUAACCGGCAAGCCGGUUAGGCAAAAUUCAAAUUUUUGCCUUAGUGGUAACAUAAAUCCAGCUUACCGGAUUCCUUAAACGGCAAACCAGAUACGCUCAGAAUGUGUAUAAUGGGUAGUUUUUGAGUUCAAACUAUAUAAACUCAAAAUCAAUUCAUUUUUGGUAAUACAAGAAAGCAAGAACAAGUGCACACAACAUAUAUUGAGCUUCAAUUUCGUGAAUCAUCAUUCAUUAAAUCAUCUUUGUUCUUAAAUUUGUAUAUCCACUCUUAAAGAGAGUUUGAUUGUUGUAUUUUUCAUUUCUCAUUAAAUUGUGAGAGUACAAGUGUGAGAAACACUUGGAGUGAAGAGAUUGGAGAGAUAAUCUCUUGUUGUAGAGGUUCAUUGACACCUUAAAGUCAAUUGUAAACAUUUGAAGCCUUGGAAAGGCUUGGAUAGUGAAAUCCUCAAGCCCGGUGUGGUUGGAGGCGUGGACGUAGGCGGGGAUUGCCGAACCACGUAAAAAUCCUUGAGUUUGCUUUCUCUUCCCUUACUCAUUUAUUAUUGUGCUUUCAUUGAAUUUAUUGUUUUCGAAUUUAUUAAGGCAUUAGAUUGGAUUUGUGUGGUUUGCUUUACUUAAUUUUUAAAAUUCUAAUUCACCCCCCUUCUUGGAUUGCCUAGUUAGUAUUUCACAUAUCCAUGCAAGUGUAUCCAACAACUGGAUGCAACUAUGGUAAGGUACCACAGUUGCACCGUAGCCGGACCCUAGAAAUUAAGAUAUUAUCUCUCUACAUAUUUUUGCACGAAAUAAUAUGCAAAUAUAAUAUUUUAGUUUAUUAUUAAUAGUUUUACAAUAAUAAAAAUCAUUUUGAUAGACUGGAAAAUGUCGUAUUCGCACUUUAUUUUGUACGAACGUCUGCGAGAAAGAAUAUAUCUAUAUAUAUAUAUUGGAACAUGUAUUUAAGAUUUAGCUAGUGUGAAGUUGGGAAAGUUUUUUUUUUUUUUAACCCAGGCUAAAAAUAUUUCAAUAAAUUUUGAUCAUGGAGACUAAUAAGAUUUUUUUGGUUAUAUUUAUUAAUUUUUUAGGGACUGACAUGAAUAUUAAUAUUUUUAUUGAGAUUAUUAAAAAAAUGUGCUAUUUUACAUCUAUGACUUUUCCAAUCUUUUUUUCUUUCGUUAUUUAUUCCUUUGUGAAUUUUAGUUAAUGCUUGAUAUUAUUUGUUUGCUCAUUUUUUAAAGCAGUAAUUAAAUCUGAACCCUUACAGUAGAAGAUUAUGAAAAAGUAAAGACACAAAAAUCAUAAAAAUCAUUGUAGGUCCAAAUUUGUGCUAUUUUCAUACAUAAUUUGAGAAUAUUUAUAAUUACGCAUCACAACUAGUGGAGUAGAAUCAGGGAAAUUAAACAUUCUACAAUCAUUGACGUGUGGGUUGGGGAUAAGCAUAAACCUUUUCUAUGCAGUAUAAAAGAAUGCAAUAACUCCUUUUCUUUCAGCAUUUUCGCAACAAAAGCACAUCUAAUAACUCUUCAGAAUUCUCGUCUUCUUUGUCAGAAUGGUUGAUGCGAUCGUUUCCUCUCUCCUGGUGCAGCUGAGCUCUGUUGCGGCUGAUGAAGUGAAACAACAGGUGAGGCUUGUGACUGGUGUCGAGGAAGAAGUGAAAAAGCUCACCCGCAAUCUUCGAGCCAUUCGAGCUGUGCUGGAAGAUGCAGAGAAAAGGCAAAUGCAGCGCGACAAUGCUGUUACUUUUUGGCUGGAUCAGCUCAAAGACGCAUCUUAUGACAUGGAAGACGUGUUGGAGGAGUGGACCACUGCAAGGCUCAAAUUGCAGAUUGAGGGCGUUGAUGAUGACAAUGCUCUUGCUCUUGCUCCUUAUAAGAAGAAGGUACGUUCCUUCUUUUGUGCUCUAUCAAACUGCUUUGGUAGUUUCAAAAAACUCAGUCUUCGUCAUGACAUUGCCGUCAAGAUUAGGGAAAUCAAUGGAAAGCUAGAUGAUAUUGCCUCCCAAAAAGAUAGGUUUAAAUUUGUUGAGAAUGUGAGCAACAAUGUUAAGAAACCAGAGCGAGUGCGAGCCAUCCCCUUGAUUGAUGAGAGAGAGGUUUGUGGUAGAGUUGAUGAGAAAAAUGAUCUCUUAAGCAAGCUGCUGUGUGAAAGUAGUGAACAACAAGAAGGCCUUCAUGUCAUCUCACUAGUUGGGUUAGGGGGUAUAGGUAAAACCACUCUAGCACAACUGGCCUAUAAUAAUGAUGAGGUGAAAAGAAAUUUUGAAAAAGUUAUAUGGGUGUGUGUAUCAGACACUUUUGAGGAGAUUAGGGUCGCCAAAGCAAUCAUUGAAGGUCUAGGCGUGUCAGCUUCUGGUUUAAGUGAAUUCGAAUCUCUUAUGAAACAGAUUCAGGAAUAUAUUACGGGGAAGAAAUUUUUUCUUGUUUUAGAUGAUGUGUGGGAUGGAGAUUACAAAAAAUGGGACCCAUUCUUUUCUUGUCUAAAGAAUGGCCACCAUGAAAGUAAAAUUCUAAUUACCACACGUGAUAGGUCAGUUGCACUACAGUUGGGAUCAAUAGAUAUUAUCCCUGUCAAGGAGUUGGGAGAAGGGGAAUGUUGGUUACUGUUUAAGCAGAUGGCAUUUCUACGUAGGUCCUUUGAGGAUCGUGAAAAAUUAGAACCAAUCGGGCGAAAAAUUGCACACAAGUGCAAAGGCUUGCCUCUUGCUGCAAAGGUAAUAGGGAAUCUUUUGCGCUCUAAAAGUACAGUAAAAGAGUGGCAAAGAAUUUUAGAGAGUGAAAUGUGGAAAGUAGAAGCAAUUGGGCAAGGUCUUUUAGCUCCUUUGUUGUUGAGUUAUAAUGAUUUGCCCUCCAAUUCUAUGGUAAAACAAUGUUUCUCAUAUUGUGCUGUCUUUCCAAAAAACUACAAUAUGAAUAAAGAGGAACUAAUUUCACUAUGGAUGGCUCAAGGUUAUCUUAAUACAGAAGAAGACGAAGAGAUGGAGAUGAUUGGGGAAGAGUAUUUCAACAUUUUAGCAGCACGCUCUUUCUUUCAAGAGUUUAAAAAAGAUGAUGAUGAUGAUAUUAUGAGCUGCAAGAUGCAUGACAUAGUACAUGAUUUUGCCCAAUUUGUAAGUAGAAAAGAAUGUUUGUGGGUAGAAAUUAAUGGUACCAAAGACUCAGUCAUAAACUCUUUUGGUGACAAAGUCCGUCACUUAGGGUUAAAUUUUCAAAGAGGCAUUUCAUUUCCUAUGUCCAUUCGUGGACUUAAUAGAUUGCGUACCCUUUUAAUUUAUGAUAGAAGUGAUUUCAAUCUGUCUCUUAGUAGCAUCCUUUUGUCUUUUAGUAGUAGCAAAGAAUGUUUAAGGGCAUUAGUUAUAAGGCUGUUGCGCCUAUGUUUUUGUCCAAACACAUAUAAGAUUAGAGAAACUCGAAAGUUAUUUAGUAAAUUGGCCUGUUUGAGGGCAUUAGUUAUAAGGGAAUCAUUAGUUAUAAGGCUUUCAUCCACGCCUGUUCGUCUUCACUCAAGUUUGAUUAGAGAAAUUCCAAAAAAUGUCGGAAAAUUGAUACAUUUAAGAUAUCUUAAUUUGUCUGAAUUAGGCAUAGAGAGACUACCUAAGACUUUGUGUGAAUUAUAUAAUUUACAAAAGCUAGAUAUUAGGCGGUGCCGAAAUCUUAAAGAAUUGCCAGCGGGGAUUGGGAAGUUAAAGAACAUGAGGAGUUUACUGAAUGGUGAAACUGAUUCGUUGAAAUACAUGCCAGUAGGGAUUUCCAAAUUAACCAGUCUUCGAACAUUAGACAAGUUUGUGGUGGGUGGAGGUGUUGAUGGUAGCAAUACGUGUAGGCUUGAAUCUCUGAAAAAUCUUCAACUCCUUCGAGAAUGUGGAAUAGAAGGGCUGGGUAAUGUGUUAUAUUUAGAUGAGGUCGAGAGAUUACAACUUUACAAUCAGCAAAACCUCCUUCGUUUGCGUCUUGAGUUUGGUAGAGUCGUAGAUGGGGAAGAUGAAGAAAGGAGGAGGAAGAAAGAGAAAGAUGAACAACUUCUUAAAGCCUUACAACUGCCUUUGAGUGUAGAGAAAUUAGGGAUUAUAUUAUAUGGAGGCAACAUUUUUCCCAAAUGGUUGACUUCACUGACCAAUCUAAGGAAUUUAUAUCUUCGCUCGUGCGUUAAGUGUGAGCAUUUGCCUCCUUUGGGAAAAUUGCCUCUGGAAAAACUCGUAAUCAUCCACUUGAAAAGUGUAAAAAGAGUGGGUAACGAGGUUUUGGGAAUAGAAGAAAGCAGUGAGGAUGGCCCGUCUUCAUCUUCAUCACCACCAUCAGUUAUUGCCUUCCCCAAAUUGAAAUCACUCAUAAUUGGGGCAAUGGAAGAAUUGGAAGAGUGGAAUUACAGGAUUACGAGGAGGGAAAACAUCUCUAUCAUGCCACGUCUUUCUUCCUUGGAAGUUCGUUCUUGCAACAAAUUGAAGGCGCUGCCGGAUUACCUUCUUCGAACGUCGACGCUGCAGGAAUUGACUAUUGACAAAUGUCCUCUUCUGGAAAACCGUUAUAGAGAGGGGAAAGGAGAAGACUGGCAUAAGAUAUCUCGCAUUCCCCACAUCAAGUGGUCGCGGUAAUUUAUCACUCGCCGGUAAUUUCUCCUGCUCCUCUGAUUUACUUCGUUGUUGCUUGCAAUGAAAUUAAUAAAAAUAAUUAUAUUUUGAAUUAAAAUUCUAUAUAGAAUCAAUCAUGGUAUAAAUACGUAAAACUUCCUAGUUAUCAAAUCUGUUAAACUUGUUUUCUAAAGAUUAAAUAAAAAAAAAAUACAAGUGUAGUCUGUUUAAAUUUCUAUAUUUAUUUGUUUUUAAAAAAUAUGUGCUCUUUUGUAAAAUUUCAUGCAAUGUAAUUUAUUUUUUAAUGUACGAAAAUUUGUUAUGUGUAACAAAAUCUCUGUGAUACGUUUGCAGUAAUGUUGAAAACUAAAUUAUCAAUUUUAUCUUAUAUAAUGAUAAUCGUAUUUUUUUAUAUAUAAUAUACGUGACAUUAAUUCUUUAAAGUAAUUGUGUAAUUGUUUUUAGUAGUACAUUAGCCCACUUUGUUUUAUUUCAUACUUGUUUAAUUAUGUUCACCAGGGAUUCGAGGAAAUGUCAGAACUACACUAGCAAUUCACAGGUCCAAUCUAAUUUGGUUUUAAUGAUGCGGGCAGGAGAGCAAGACUAUGAAAAUGAGAAGUUUAGCCAAAGGAUUGCUAAAAUGUUCUGCUGGUAAUUCACUUGCUUUAUUUUAUAGAAUUUCAUUUCCAUCUUCUUCUAUUGAUAUCUUGUUGUAAUAAACAAGAACAGAGAAGUAAAUAUAUAUAUCAAAAUUUACUAUUACGAUGAUGCUAAAGCAAGCUCAAGCUCAAGCACUGCAUUUUUAUUUUAUUUAAUUUAUAGAAUUUUCAUUUCCACCUGCAUUGCAUUUUUAGGUUGACUUUGAAGACUCUAUGGAGAAAAUUGGGGUAACCAAGGAUUAUCACUGUGGUUAUUGUGCAACGUUUGGUUGCUGGACUUUGAAGAAGGAAGUGAUGGCCGGGUCUGCUCUGUUUCAAUUGAGGAUGGAUAGCUGCCUGAAAGACAUGAUGAUUAUUAUCAUUGCAUGAUGUUAAGGUGCUAAGAUCAUCAUUUCGAUCUUGUUUCAUUCUUGGAAUCAUUUAUCCUGUAUAAACAUUUGUUUUAACAAAUGUUUCAAUGCCUGCUGUAGUAACAAUUUCAUCUCUUGCAUCUCUCGGGUGCAUCAUGAUCACGGGUUUGAGAAAGCAUUUGUGGUAAAGCUUCAAAGCUUGUACAAUGGCUGUGAAAAGGCACAUUCAAUUCGGUACGUUUGGUGCGGUCUCCUAAUGCUACUACCAUAUUUUGUAUAGCAAUUAAAAUUCAGGUAUACAAUCUUAAUAUGCAAUAAAUCAUUGAGUACAAAGUUAUCUAUUAAUUAUAUGGUAACUGAAAUUUUCAUUAUAAUUUUAAUUAUCAUAUUAAUAUUAAAGUUUUUUGUAACCCUCUUUUACUUUGCUUGUACAGAGUAUCUGUUUUGGCUGAUAUGUCUAAUUCGUAGCAAUUCAUUUCCAUCGGUUUCCAUUGGUUUUAGCACAAACAGAAACAAAAAUCUGGGGAAAAAGUUUUACUUCUUCUGGUAUUAUGCCUUUAUUUAUUCAUUCAUCAUAUUUGUUCGAAUUCAUGCUCUCAUUCAGAGAGCAGCCUUUUCCAGGCUACUUUGUAGCCAAAUUUUCAUGCCAUCGAUGCAUGAUUGUCAUUUAGAUUUUCCAAAUAAUUGUUAGAUUGAAGAAGAAUAAGAAGAUAUUGUUAAAAGGGUAUUUAAUUAGCACCCUCUGAAUUUAGUUGCCAAUAAUGCAUUGAAAUGGUUGGGGAAAGUUAUUGUCUCAAUUAAAUUACAGGUGACAAGAUGCUGCUCCAAUUUUGCAAGCAUCUCGUGUUUCGAGAUUUUGCCCACAUGAGAUGCUAUGAUUUUUGACAUCAGGGUAACAAAGGUCAAAUUUUAGCAUCAAUAGAUAUCAUCUUCUUUACUGUUCUGCUCGAAAUAUUAAACUUUAGGCAAGUUGUUUUUGUUUGUGUGAGUUAUCAGGUUAAGGAUACUAAGCAGCUUAUUAAGGCAAAUGUCAGAAUGAAGAUUUUUCACCGCACCUGGUAUGAAUGAUGGCGAGGAAGAUUAAUUGUUCACAAGCCAAUUUGAUCAGUGUUAGAUUCUUUUGCCUCCCUUCAAGAGAUAUCAUCAUCAAAUUUGAGAAGAGACUUUUGUUUUGACAUUUCACUGUAGUGAAUUUUGGGAGCUUGAACCCACUUGAGUGAAAUAUUAGGGAAUACUGGGGAUAUGGGUUAUGAGUGAUCGUUAUCCUUCAAAUAUUUGUAAGCUCUCACUUGUUAGUAAAAUCAUCUUCGUAUAUUGACUUUGUUUCUUUGUUGUCAGGCCGAGUGUGAUCUUCAAGGUUUGAGAAAGUCUUCGCAGUAAAAUUUCCACCACGUGCAAUUGCUGUGAAGGGGCAUAUACAUUUGAGUAAUUCAGUUUCAGAUUUUCAAGGCGCGUUUGUUUAAUUAGUUUCGAUUAUAAUAUUUAGUCACUCAUUCUGAAUCUUUUCUAAUUUUCAAGUUCUUUAGGGCCGCCAACAGUUUUUCAAGUCUACAUGUGGCUGCAAAAAGAUUGAUGGUCAUCAAAUUAUCUUGAGCCUUGAGGCAUUGCGUUCGAGCACAAAAGGAAACAGAACUAAGGGAAAUGAAGACAGUAGGAGAUGCUCUGAAUAUAACAAAAGUAUAUUUCUACUUCUUGUGGUUAUUUUAAUUUUGUUUAUCCUGUCAUCAUAUUUAAUUAAUUCGUUUGAAUUCACACUCUCACACAUUAUUUAAAACCAUCUGCAGGUGGUUUGCAAGCUAGCUAAGUUAAUGCAAAAACAAUACUCUAGACAAAGAUGAGCAAAUUGAAGGCGACAAAUGCAAAUUGGAUUUCAAUGAAUAAUUGUUAGGCUGGUGGAGAUAUUCUUAAAAGGGCAUUAAGCUAUCUUAUGGAAUUGGAAAGUUAUUAUUGCUUGAAAGCAAGCAGCAUCUUCGUUGCGAAGGCUUUCCCCACCUGAUAAAAUGCUGAGAUUGUUACCGGCCCCUUAAUUAUUUAUUAACUCAGGUAUUUAUUAUCAAUACAUCAUCUUAUUCACCAUUUUGGCUAUAUAUAAAGAUUAAAAUUUCUAACAGUUGUUUCGGAUUCUUGUGUACUCAGGUUAAUAGGGCAAAUAUCAGAAUGAAGAUUGCUCAGUGCAACCGAUAGAGCAAGGAUGAUAGUUGUGAGAAAGAUUGUUGGCAAGACAAAUAGAGCCCUCCAUUUGGAGAAAUAUCAUCCUCAAAUUUGAAUUGUCGAGCAUGUGAGGUGAAUCUAAAGCCUUAAUAAUGAGACCUUCCUGUGGAAGUUUCAUUUGAAUGAAUUGAACGUUCUUACUGAGUGAGAAAUUAAGUAUAUAUCAUCGAUUUUGGUCGUCUGUGAAUGUUUUCCUUCAAUAUUAAUACACUAGCAUUUCUUAGUAAAUUCACUUCACGUCACUUCCUCCUUGUUGGUGGGACUAGUAAACAAAUGUCAUUUCUUAGUACAUUUUGAGAAUUUUGAUUCCCAAAUAAGCCUGCAGAACGGUGUAUGGUGGGAUUAGCUGCAGGAUUCUUUGCCAAAAUUCCUUUUUAUUCCUUUGUUCACUUAUUCGUUAUAAAUAAAGUAAAAUUAGAAUAUUGUUCCGUUUACUGUCUAAGCUGGUCUAACAUUUGUUUAAUUUGGGCAAUUUUUAAUGCCUAACAGGUUAUCUGUGACAAACCCAUCGGUGAGUGUAUGCAACUAUUGGAUGGAUUUGAUAGAGCGGUCACCAACAAUUUUGAAGUUAUUGGAGUAGCAUGGCUUGGAGGUCUCUCCCUCCCUCUUUUACGUAUUUGUCUAUUGAUUGACAUGUCUAUAUAUACAUUGAUAGACCAACCUACUCUGGUUUUAAUGUUUUGUUUGUUAAACUUUGACUGGGGAAUGUUUAUUUGUCUCAUAUGAUGUCAAUGUGGUUCCUAUUGAAGUGUAUAGAUCUGUCACCUCAAAGUCUGAUUUCAAUUUUCCUUUACUUCAUCAACUAGCAUCGUUUCCAAGUCCAGAUACUUACCAAUAGUGAGACUUUUCUACGGAAGUACAAUUUCUCUUGUUUUACAGUUAAUUAUGUAAGAAAAGUUUUACAUUUACAGAAUUCUGGUAUAGCUCUCUUAAGGAAAUGCGAGUGGUGAAUAUGGUUCCAACUUUUAAUAGGCUUAAUAGGCCCAUUUGUUAAGCCACAGUGAUUGCGGUCUAAAUUCUUCUUUACUGUCUAUAUGUGUUGGAGUUUGUCUAUUGUCCAACUUCUCAAAUCGAUUCCAUGCAGGGUUUUGAAUGUCUAAUUAGGAGAAAGAUUAACGGAUGACCUUUUGAAGAAGGCUUACACAACAGGCCAUCUCAGGAUGUCAUGGCUCAGCUCAAAAGUCCCCAGGUGGUUGAUAUCAAAGAAUGCCAUUGUUUCUGGGCUUGGUCUCCUUGGCAUCAAACAAGAUAAUGUUGACUCUAUUAAAGGGGAAAUAAGGGCGACUAAAGCGCGAAGAAAGAGGAUAGUCCGGAGGAAGGUGACUGCAUAAAUUUGUUGGAGUUAAUGUAGUCAAUUGCCCAAUUUUGCUGCCUGUCGAAGAGACACAUCAUGGAAGUCCUCAUCAAACUCUGAGACACCUAAGAAAUAGUAUGAGGUGGUGGUAUUCCCCUGGUGUUAAUUUCCUGGCAAGUGUGGUUCACAGAUAGAGGGAUUCUUUUCUUGAUGUCUAAAUACCGUAUGUGAUACAACGUCGUAUAUUCUAAUUUUCCUUGAGUUAAAUUCUAGUCAGUUAGGAAAGUUAAUUUUGUUUUCGCUAUGGAUUGUUUCCUAGAUAAUAAUAGUUUCCAUGUUUCUUUGGGGUCUUAUUAACUCUCUGUAACCCAGUUCAAGUUUGCAAAUUCUAUUUCAGAUUUCUCAUAUAGUGUGCCUUUGUCACUUCUGUGAUACACUUUUGAUCACAAGUUUCCAUUUGAAGUAACCAAUAUUCUUUAUAGACUAAUUAUCUAAGGAUUAUUUUAUACAAAAAAAUCAAAACUUUAAUUAAUUGAUCAUACUUAACUUGGCUUUUGUUUGAUAUUACUAGCUGUUGUGAGAACCAAAAAAAUAGCAGAAAGUUGACAAUGUGCAGUAAAUGUAUGACUUUUAAAUAAUAAUUUAAUAAAAUUAAUAAAGAUAUUAUAAAUUUUUUAAUAAUAAAGUAUGAGAUCAAAUCAAAUUAAUUUUUAAGUCAAAAUUGUUUAAUUAUGUAGUUUAAAAGUAUAGUUAUCCAACCUCAACACAAUAGAGAGAUUUCUAUUUACCAAACUCUACCCAACUUUGGUUGUACUGACUCGAUCAUGCAAGUCCAUACUCGACGCGUUGACCAUACAAGAUGUUACUCAACUUUAACAAAUCUUACUCAAACUUUGCACGUUUAGCAUGCCGAAUGGAAUAUGAUAGUAGAUGAUGUGAUAGAUAUUAUAGGAAUAGUCGUAACAAAAUUAUAUUUAGUACUUUUUUAUAUUUUAUGUGAUGAACAGAUGUAGUAUAUGAAUGGAUUAUAUUACAAAUUUUAGUGUUAUCAUAAUUAAAAAAUUGAAUUAUUUUUUAUUAUUGAAAAACUGUAAUAUGUUAAAUAACAGUUAUUUUUAUUAAUUUUUUUUAAUGAAUUAUACUUUUAAAUUGUAAUCGAAAAUUCUUAUUACUGAACUAAUAAAAAAUUAAUUAGCUCAAGAGAUAAAUUCACUUAGUGUAGAACGAAAUGGUGUGUUAUUUUUAUGUGGGAUCCACAUCCUUUCCACAUCAACCUCAACAUCCAAACAUGAAAUUGGACUAAAAAUAGUUCUUUCCCAUGUAUUUACGUAACCUCCUCCCACUAAACGCAAAUAUUUAUUCUUGAUUUUACUAACAUAAUUUUCUCCCAUUUCCAUAUUGUCCGCGUUGAGUGCAUGUAAUCCACAAGUUUAAUUUUUUUUUUUUUUUUAGAGAGGUAUGUUAAAAUGAAUAUAUCACUUUUUUUUCUUUUUUCCUUUUUUUUGUGUGAGUGAUGGCUUCGUUGAAUGACAGUUGGCUGAUAAUAAGUUAUCUUUUAAUUUUGUUUUUGAUUUAAUAGAAAAUAUUAAUUUUUGUAGUUUCGGUAGAUGAAAUUUCGAAUCAAAUAUUAAUAUUGUUAAAGUACGCAACCCAAUAUUUGCUUAAAUUACAAAAAAGAUUAAUUGCUUUGCAUAAAAAAGAAGUGAUCACUUGAUUUAACUUCCUUUACUAAAUUUACGAUUUAAAAUCCAAAAUAAAAAAGAGAGUUUAUUAUUGAUUAUCAUUUUCCCAAAUUUAAGCUAAGACAGUAAUAUGUCCAAAAUACCCUCCACGUUAUCCUAAAACUUUAUGAAUUCCCCCGUUCCUCUCAACAUCAUCUCUUCCAAAUCUUUCUUCCCCAAAAAACCAGCCAUGGCUUCAUAUUUAGUUACCUCAACACUCCAAUAUUGGCUUGUAAACAGCAGCGGUUCAACCUCUAGGCAACUUAGGUGGUUGCAUAGGACUCCGCUUUAUAUGAAAGCCCUACAAGAUGAUUAUUUUGUAUAUAAAAGAGGAAAAUGAAUUUAAAAGUCAUUAUUAUUCAUUUAAUUUAUUAUUAUUUUGUAAUUAUCUUUUUCUAAAUAAACUAUCAAAUUCUUAUCAAGUUUAUUUAAUGUAGUACUUAAUUGUUUUAAUUUCUACAAAACCAAUAAAUUAAUAGUUUCAAUCCUAAAAAUUCUCUAUUUCAUUGUUAGAAUUAAUAAGUUAUAUUUCAAAAGUUUUAUAUUUAUUUUAAACCUCUAUAAAAACCCCACAUUUUAUUACUUAUCCAUUAAAUUUUUCGUUCAACAAUCAAGACAUCUUGGUGUUUGAGAGAAAGAAAGAGAGAGGGAAAAAAAUCUUGCUUCCUCUACUUUCUACUCUAGAAGAAAAAGAAAAAAUCAAAUAGUUUUCUCUAUUUUCUAUGACUAUUGGUUGCUACUCAAAUUUUCAAACAACAGCCUUAAUAUAAACAUAAGUUAAUUUAUGAUUUCAUCUCAAAUUUCUGAUUUUAUCUUUUUAUUAUUCUCUUAAUUAAUUGUGUUGUUAUUUGUUCUUAUUUCUUUUUAUAUAUUCUUUUCUUCAUCUACUUUUUUUGUGCUUGUUUUAUCUAUUUUGAAAUAAAACUAUAUCAAAAAAUUUUAGACAAUAGGAGAAUAAAAAAAUUAGAUUAAUUUAAAAAAAUAGUAAAAAAGAUAUAAUUUAACUUAAAAAAAAGUGAAAAUGUUAUAAUUGAAUUAAAAUUUUAUGACUUAACAACAAUAGAAUAAAUUUGUAUUUAAUAAUUUUAUAUUUUAAAGUAUUUAAAGAAUUAAUUUUUAAUAAAUAAUAUUAAUAUAUAUAUAUAUAUAUAAGUUACUUAUCUCUCCAUCCGCACUUAUCUCUCCCUCACAUUCAUCCUCAACCACACAUCAACAUCAACAUCAACAUCACCUCUCAUUGGACCCCACAUCCUCAAGCCCAUCACAGCCGUCCAUAACCUCACCCUCCUCCUCCUCUCCCUCAUCAUGGCCGUUGUUUGCCCUCUCUCCAUCAUCCUCCAUUUACCGCACCUCCGUUACACCCUCUGUUUCCUCCUUACCAUUUCUCCGUCUGGCACGGCCUAAUUCCGACGGAAUCAACGACGGUCGUGAUGGGUUUUGGCUGCGACUAUUCGCGCUUCAAACGGCGGCGUUUCGGUUGGUUUUUGGCGACAGUGACGGUGGGAAAGUGAUGGCUGGCUCAGGAGCUUUCUUUGCUACCAUCCAUGGCCGGUGAGGUGGCCGAAAAUCGGAUAUAUGUCUGCGUCGGGUUCGCAGUUUUGGGUCGGGUUUUCCGGGUCAGUUUGACAGCUUCCUCUAUCCCUCUCCCCCAUAAAACAUUACCCAGCUUCCUCUUAUUAUUAUUUUUUUUUUCACAUACGUUACAGAACAUUAAUGAGAGAUGUUUAGUAGUAAGGACUAUUUUGAUAUUUCGAUGAGUAGUAAAAACUAAUGUUAAAAUUUUAUAGACGAAUGUAUAGUAAGAUGCUCAAAGUACUAGAACAUAUAUAAAUAAUCCCAGCUCUUAUAAAAUUUUGCCACAUAAUGAGUUUUAUCCCUUAAGCAAAACAUAUCGAUAAAGUAUACAAAAGCACAAUGCAUGAAUGAUGGUCUUACAAAGUUCGAAUAUAAAGUUUAAGAUACAGAAUAUGAUUUAUUUCCUUUUAGUUUAGUUUUUUUUUUUUUUUUUGGUUUCUUUUGAAAGGAGACCAACUAGAUCAUGCAAGAAGUUAAUUUUUUUCUAAAAUAAAAAGGGAGAAAUGAUGGUCUUACAAAGUUCGAAUAUAAAGUUUAUAAUCUAAAAUUAAUGAUGUGACAAUUAACCUAAUGGAGUAAGAAGUCCCAAAUAGAUUAUAUUUUGCUAAAGAAGUCAAUUCUACCAAGAAUACCUCUUUCUAUUGAAUUUAAAUGAUGAUUAUUUGUUUAUAUCAUAAAAGCUAAAAUAAUUGUGUGAGUAAUUUGAUUCUUUUACAGUAUAAAAAUAAAUUCAGAAAAUGUUAGGGAAAGGUCUUACACUAUAAAUGACCAAUAGAAGAAUAGAAAAGAAUUUUAGAUAGUGGAAUGUGGAAGGUAGAAGAGUUUGGGAAAGGUCUUUUGGCUACUUUGUUGUUAAGUUAUAAUGAUUUGUCAUCCAUAAUAAAACAAUAUUUCUCACAUUGUUCUAUCUUUUCAAAAGGUUACAAUAUGUGUAAAGAGAAACUAAUUACACUAUGGAUGGCUCAAAGUUACCUUUAAAUGUAGAAAAAGGCAAAGAGAUGGAGAUCCGAUCCAAUAUGAUAAUAGUAGUUUAUUUUAAUUUUUAUUAAUUUGAUUUCAUAGGAGUAGUUUUCAUUUUUUGUUGAAAAUUGGUAAAAAAAAACUAAAAUGAGAUAAUUACUUUAAAACAAUCUUCAAGAACUAAAAUAAUUAAAAAAACUCAAAAUAAACAAAAAGGCUUAAAAAUAACCCUAAUCCGAAAAUUGUUUGAAUCCAUCCUAACUGGCCCGAAUAUGAUUUUAACCCAAACCCAAUCUAACUCGCUUAUAAUUAUAACCUAAUGCGAUCCAAAUUCAACUUGAAUUUUUGAUCCGAUCUAAUCCAAUUUGAAUAUUCUAACCCUAUCAACCAGAAACCCAAUUAGGUUGAUCUGAACCUACAUUUGUCCACUCCUAGAGGGGAUCAUGACCCUACAAACUUUGAAAGUUUUUUGAGAUUUCUAAGUGAAUAUUAAAAAUUAUGUAUAAAAAGACUGAUUUGACCCCUAAACACUUGAUAUAGAAACUUUAUACAUAUAAUAGAAAUUAAUUUUAUAUUUUGUGAAAUAAAAUCAAAGUAACUGAAUUUUUUAAUUUUUAUUUUGUUAAUUAUUUUUCUACUAUGACAAAAUGACUAAUAGCCUGGUGCCUAGCUCUUUGACUUUUAUUUUGCUAAUUAUUUUUUUUCAUUUCUCUUGCAACAGUAAAUUCAAUUAUCAAUCAAAGUCGCCAAAUCAAAAUCUCUGCAGCCUGCAGCUACAAGCAAACUUCUCAAAUUUCGAAAUUCCUUAUGACUACAUAAUAGCUAUAAAUAGAAAAAGCGUCUAAAAUAACUAUGUUUUCCUAAGUUUGAGCUUGAGCCCCCUGAAGAUUUACUCCAUAUGUAACAAAAUAUUAGUUUUGCUAGUAAAAUUGCUAACUAUGUUUUUCUUUGUAUUUCCGCUCAAGGAUGAAGAAAUUUCCCUAGACUUUUGUGGUGAAUAUCUUACGAACAUAUGACAAUUUAAUCUUUGGCUGAGACUUGUUUAACAUAAGAGAUGACACUUUGAAGCAAUAGGAGAGAGAGCUGAUAAGCUUUGUUCCUAAAAAAAAAACUAUUACUUCUUUCUUUGAACAUAUGCGCAUUCUCUCUAAUUGUUGCAAUGGAGGAAUUUCCCAUCUAAAGAACACUUCAAUCAUCCAUUGCUUUGUAAGAUGUGAAAAGGCUACGAUUCUUGUACACAUACUUGAUUGCACCGGAAUCUAUUCACUAUGCAUUAUCAUGUUUGAGAAUAUUAAUCUCAGAUAUCAUGACCAUAAAUUUUGUCCACAAAAUUUGUGUUCAAACACUUCUUUUCUUUCUUAAGAAGUUGACAGUCUUUUUUAAAGUGGCUUGGCUUUUCACAUUGGCCACAUGUACACUUCUUUUUUUUAUUCUGUUGGUUUGAUUCUAUUUGGAAUCAAACUUUUGCUUUUGGUUAUUAAUGCGGUCAUUAGACUGCUUAAGCUCCUUCUCCUCCUCCACAACAUUAAUUUUAGAGGACAUAGCAGGCUGUUCCUCAAGACUAUUAAGUCUAAGUUUCUAUUCAAUAUGAAGACUUUGCCAUGCCUUCCAAGCUAAUUUCCUCUUUGCUAUAUUUAAGACUUUUUUCAUAGUCUUUUCAAGAGGGGGGAAGUUUAUCAAUAAUUGAAGAAGUGGUGCAGUCAAUUAAAUGAGCGAACUCGAGAAUCAUAAGAGUACAUACAAUAGUGGCUACAAUAAUUAGGCCUGCUUCCUCUCUCACCAGAACAGAACUGACGGCCCGAUCCGAUACCGCCAAAUACAUGACACAACUUAAAAGUAAAUUUUAACUCCCAAGUAUAAGAGUGUCUUGUUGUAUUAUAACUCGGUGAGUCCGAGGUCGAUCCACAGAGAAAAGAUUUAAUUAGUUUAUUUUAUUUUAUCUAAAAAUUGAAAUUAAAACUUGAAUAUAAACAACUUAAUUUAAAUGAAACUAUGGAAUUGAACUAGUUAGGGUUAUGGAUCCACUCUUAGAAAUAAAUAAAACUUAAUAAAUUCUUUUUGCCAAUUUGUUUUAGAUUUAUUACUCAAAAGAUUAAUUAUACAAAUUAUUAUUAUUUUCCCUUUAAUUUUAUGAUGGAUUAAGUAUUUAUUGUGCCAAAAUUUAAUUUGUCUACAAUAAGUCAAAAUACCAUUUCACCAUGCCUUAUAUUAAGAUCUUAAGAAUUUAUUGUGCCAAAUUCAUUUGUUUGUCUACAAUAAAUCAAAUUUUCAAAAUAUAAAACAUGUAUAAAAUUAAAUAGAAAAUAAUUUAAUUUAUAAAAUUAAACAUAGAAUUUGAUUAAAUCAUAUUUAUUUCUUAAGAGUUUCACCUUCCCCUAACUAAUAUUAUUUAGUUAAGCAUAAUUAAAAUAAAAAGAAGUAGUAAAAUUGAAUUACUUAUAAUUAAAAGAAAUAAAAACAACUAAAAUUGGAAAUAAAACUAAUUUUAUUAAUGAAAAUAAUUAUACAAAAUAUUAAAAACACACCUGGAAAUCAAGAUUAUAAGGAGAUGGAGAGAAUUUGAGAAGAAGAGAGUUGUAGAGAGAUGAUUAAAACAUAAAAAUGAGGCUCUAUUUAUAGAAAAAUAAAUUCAUAAUCCAGUGCUUUGCGGUCCAUCAUAGGCUUCAUGCAUGUGCUCCUCACAACCCUUAGAUCAAGAUCCAAUGGCUGGUCAAACUUCAAAAGUCAACAUCACACAUGGCAUCAUUUGACUCGUCCGAUUUACCCAAAGAACGGUUGAGAUUUGGCGGGUUAAUGGAUGGAUCGGGUCGACCCGAAUACAAAGAUUCGGAUCCUCCAACUUGCUUCACCAACCAUUGCCACGUGGCACAAUCAUGGCCAUUGAAUCAUGAACGGUUGAGAUUUAGUCAAGAUUGCCAAUUAUCCCAUGCACUCAUAUCUAUUGUAAGCUCAUUUCAUCAUCCAAUCAGUGCUCGGUCAACAGGAAAAGUCAACUUUUUUUACACAAGCCCAAUUUUAAGCCGAUCUUGACUGAUCUUAAGGUUUUCGGACCUCCGGAAUCCAAAUUUGACCUCUGUUUAUCUGUUUGGAGCCUCGAAAUACGUGAAAUUAAUAUUUUUCCUAAUAAACACAUAAAAAUACACAAAAUUAAAUAUAUUUAAAACAUAAUUAAUAAUUCAUAAUAUAUUACAUAAACGCAAAUAUAAAUUAUAACAUAAGCAUAAAAUAACAUAUUAUCGCUUGAUAAUUAAACAAUUUUUAAUACUAAUCACACCCCCCAACCAGCUUAUUGCUAGCCCUCUAGCAAUUAAAGCGUUAUAUUAAGAUUUAUAAAAUUCACAUGCAAGUUAAUAGUUGUUCAUCUAUCCUCUAAAUUACCAAAUAAAUGAACUCUCCCAAAUUCCUUUACCACAUUGAUGUUCACUCAUUAUCCAGAAUAUCAUCAAACCUUCUUUUGUGCUCAAGUAAUUAACACAAUACUUAUGGGGCUUCAUUAAAAGAAAAACAACAUUUUCGUUCUAAAAUUCAUUAGAAAUUAUAUCUUUAGGCAAUAGAUUAUUCACACAUUUUUUUUUUAUAUUACAUUUCUAACCCGUGUAGCGAGCUUUAGGUCAAUGACUCCCAGACCAGUUGGCCUUAGGGCACUAGGUGUUGAAGCACCCCUACGGACUUAAUUACUCGGGUUUCUAAUAAACAAACAAUAUAUCUAUUACCCAUGUAGCGAGCUUUAUGCCAGUGACUCCCAGACCAGUUGACCUUAGGGCACUAGGUGUUGAAACACCCCUACGGACUUAAUUACUCGGGUUUCUAGAUAUAACAAAAUUAAAAACAUUUUUUCUUCUUCUUUUUUUUUGAUUUUUUUUUUUUUUUGGUUUUUUUGUUUUUGGAAAUAUACACUUUCUACUACCUUAGAUACUAUUCCUAAUAAAUCAAAAGAACUAAAUGCUGUAAAACUUUAACUUACAACCCACUAGUAUGUGUCAUAGUGUGUGUGUGAAGAAUGAUUCAAUAAUACCUGUUAAAUGAGUAAACAAUUAAAUAACUUAAUAACCAAGUGGAGAGUUCACAAAUUUGAGUAAUUCAAAGAAAAGGGAACAAAAACAACUUACUAUGAAUCUCAAAAUCAAAAUAUAAUACAACAAGACUAUUAGGAUGCGUCUCAAAAGUCGUGACUCUUUACACGGCCAUCCUAGACAAAAAACAAAUUUUUUUUUUUUGGUUUUUUUUUUUUUUUUAACAAAGAAAAGAAAAGAGAAAAGAGAAAAACAACACACAUAUUUAAAACAUACGUCAAUUAUCCCCACCCCACAACCUAAUCUAAACAUUAUCUUAACAUUUUAUAAUUUUACAGAUAUGCAAAAAAAUAAAAAUAAAAGAGAAUAAUAAAAGAAGAAGAAGAAGAGAUCUCACCUGAACUUGAUGCAGAAGCUUAAAAGCAAAUAACAAAGAUGAAGAAAGAGUCAAUUUUUUUUUUAACAACACCCUUAAGAUUAAGAAGAUGCGUUUCUAGAGAGACUACAUUCUCUAUAUCCUGCCAUCUUCGACUCAAAUUUGUCCUAAGUUAGUCUUUACAGAAAAAAAAAAUUUUUUUUUUUUGUUUUUUGUUUUUUUUUUUUUUUUGUAAACACAUAACCAGGACUAAGACAUUCCACAAUUAUCAACUAUUCCCUCCCCCCAACCUGAAAAAGACAUUGUCCUCAAUGUUUUAAAAGGAAAGAGAAAGAGUGUAGAAGACAUCACAUGAACACUACAACAGAAAAUAUUUACAAACGGAGAGUUAAAUCUAAAUCGCACUUCUUAUUACUGCUACUGUUACCGUUACCGUCAUUAGUCGACCAAUUCAGUGCAACAGUCUGUGGAUCUGGCUCUGGUGUAUAAGCUUGCAAAAGAUCAAGUAACUCAUUAGCAGUAGAAGCAGAGAUAAAGAGUUUUUUUACAGAAUGUGGAACAAAAUGAUUCUUUAUUGCAUGGUUAAUAAAAGUUAGCAAGCCGUCAUAAAAAUUAUUAACAUUUAACAAACCGAUGGGUUUUUGAUGAAUGUUCAAGUGGGCCCAAGAUGCAAAUGUAAUUAGUGCCUCAAAAGUUGCAAGAUCUCCUGGCAAGAAAAUAAAAGCAUCAGCAUGAUUCAUCAUUUCAGAUAUUCUCUCUUGCAUACUUGAUACCACUAAUUCUUCUCCAAUUGGUGGGCCAGACAUGCACACUAGCGGUUUCAUGGGUUUUGGGAUAAUGCCGAGUACUUGGCUUCCUCUGGUAAAAACAGCUUCUGAGACAAGUCUUGAUAACCCUCGUUCACCUCCUCCAUAUACAAGAUGCAGUUUCCUCUCUGCUAUGACACGACCAAGAUCUACAGCUGCCUGAACGAACUCUUUGUACUUUCCAUAGUGAAACCCAGAAAGCACACAAAUAUUUUUGAAUUGUUUACUCGAAGAUGAUGCCAUUGGACUAAUUUUUCAAAAACAAGUUGUGAGUGUUUGAAAAAUGAGCUCAUAUUUAAAGAUCUUGGUAACAUAAAUAAUGAGAAACAGCUGUAAAUGGGUUGGCAAUAUUUGUCAAAUGACGAGUAAAGCUCGUGGCUCAAUAAUUCAAAAACAAACAGUAAAAAGAAAGUAAUGAUUAGAAAAAGCAAACAGUAAAAGAAAACCAAAUAUUUAUUAAAUACAAAAUCACAUCGCUAAAUGCAAUAAUGCAAAUGAUAAAAUAACAGUAAAAUAAAAUAACAGUGAAGUGAAAGGAUAUUUACUGGUAGUUGUGAUUGUGGCUCACAUCUUCCUCUGGUUUUACGUCCAGUAACGGCUUGAACGCCCUCUAUGGGUCGAGGAUCGGCUUCCCAUCCAGUUUUCUUAUAAACUGGCAAACAGGGUCUUUUUGAGUCAGAUUCCCAAGACUUAACUGUGCACUUUGUUUUUGGAAUAGUAUCCACAAAUUGUAAAUCUCACGUUGCACAAUUCCGCUUCGAUGCGUCUCAAGAGAUCGUAAGAUAUCAUCCAACGAUUCUUUACUCAUGCCAUCUUUAACGAAUUUAAUUUUAUCUUCACGAGUAUCAGAAACCAUUCCUAAAGAUUUACAAUCUGGUCGUUUGCAACCAAGUCUCACACAGUUAUGACAUUUUGAGCCAAGUCGUUUAGCUCUCCUUUUCUUAGCAAACGUACUUUUACCAAAACCAGGCAUGUAAGAAACAAAUUGACCAGAAAAUUCACCUGCUAAUCGGACCUUUGCUUCAAUUAACCAACGAAUGUCAGAAGGAAUGCCAUUGAUCAUUAACAAACGCAGUCGUUCACAACGAGCUUUGUAAAUUUUCCUGAGGGCAUUCUGAGGGAGAGAGGGAAAAUGCUUAUGGAGUUUAUGUUGUAUUUCUUCCAUGUAUGAUUUUGGGGUUUCAGUUAUUGUGGGAAACUGAAGAUACCGACUUAAAAAGUCACGGAGUACCGUUAUCCGCCAUUUAUACGGGAAAAUAAAUCAAAACACACCAAAAUCAAAUCUGCAAAAUCAAAUCAAGCGUGAAAGCGAGCAAAAAGAAGCACACAAUAUAAAAGGAAAAUGAACUUACAUUCGUCCUCUCAUUGAGUUAACCUCAAGCUCCAUUUGAAAUUCAUAUAUGCCACUCUCUACUGUUCUGAGUUGUCCCUCUAGAUCCUCAACAUAGGACACGAAUUCUGGUGGUUGCAGAUCCCAAAGUGGAUGUGAUUUACAGCUUUGUAUCAGGCCUCUUAAGUGAAAUUUUAUACGCCGAAAUCUUUUAAGAUGUGCGAACAGGUAUUUUCUCAUUGAGGUGCUCAUGAUGUAAAAUGAAAAUUGAUGAGAGAAUGUACAACUGUCAAACAAACACGCUUACACAAGAAAAACAAUGUUAAAAAAAAACUAUGUACAGUGCAUCAAUCUAAGGAAAAAAAAAAGUCAAACAAUGAAACGGUAAAAUAAUAGUAAAACAAAAAAAAAUCAUUAAAAACUUAAUCAAGAACUGGUGGGUCAUCCAAAUUAAUUUCGGUGUCCUCGUCACGUGGGUGAUGUUCCAGAUAUGGUUUUAAUCUUUGACCAUUAACUUUAAAUGUGACACCAUUAUUUGGAUUCUCAAUUUCUAUGGCCCCAUAUGAAUAUACAUUUUUUACAACAAAUGGGCCACUCCAUUUUGACUUUAACUUUCCUGGAAAUAAAUGAAGACGAGAAUUAUAAAGCAACACUUUUUGACCAAUCUCAAAUGUUUUUCGAAAAAUUCUUUUAUCAUGAAAUGCUUUUGUUCUUGCCUUAAUAAUUCUUGAAUUUUCAUAUGCAUCAUUCCUUAAUUCCUCAAGUUCAUUCAAUUGCAAUUUUCGCACAUUACUAGCAUCAACCAAAUUUGAAUUAAAAGCUUUAAUAGCCCAAAGUGAUUUAUGUUCAAGUUCAACAGGUAAAUGACAAGGUUUACCAUAAAUUAACCGAUAGGGUGACAUUCCUAAUGAUGUUUUAAAUGCAGUGCGGUAAGCCCAAAGUGCAUCAUUAAGUCUAAGAGACCAAUCUUUUCGGUUUGGGUUAACCGUUUUUUCCAAAAUUUGUUUUAUCUCCCUAUUUGCUAAUUCAACUUGACCAUUUGUUUGAGGAUGAUAAGGGGUAGCAAUUUUAUGUGUAAUUCCAUAUUUCUUCAUUAAAGACUCAAAUGACUUAUUACAAAAAUGCUUACCUCCAUCACUGAUAAUGGCUCGAGGGAUUCCAAAUCGACUUAAAAUGUUUUCUCUUAAAAAUUUAAUCACAGUUUUACUGUCAUUAUUUCGACAAGAAAUUGCUUCAAUCCAUUUUGAGACAUAAUCAACUGCAACUAAUAUAUACACAAAUCCAAAAGAUGAUGGAAAUGGACCCAUGAAAUCAAUUCCCCAACAGUCAAAUAUUUCAAUUUCAAGUAUGGGAUUUAAGGGCAUCAUGUUUCUUUUUGUAAUUGAUCCCAAUUUUUGACAUUUUUCACAACUUUUGCAAAAUUCAUAUGUGUCUUUAAACAUGGUAGGCCAAUAAAAUCCACACUGCAAAAUUUUAGCAGUAGUUUUUCUUGAAGAAAAGUGACCACCACAUGCUUCAGAAUGACAAAAAUUAAUGACACUACUUACCUCAUUAUCAGGAAUACAUCGCCGAAAAAUUUGAUCUGGGCAAUAUUUGAACAAAUAAGGAUCAUCCCAAUAAAAUUUCUUUACUUCAACAAAAAAUUUCUUCUUCUCUUGAGCAUUCCAUUGCAAAGGCAUUUUACCUGUAACAAGAAAAUUAACAAUAUUAGCAUACCAUGGCAUUGAAGUAACAGAAAAUAAAAAUUCAUCAGGGAAAGAAUCAUUUAUGGGUGUUAUAUCAUUGCAGAAUUCGGAUGUGAGUCUUGAUAGAUGAUCAGCAACAACAUUUUCAGCACCCUUUUUAUCUUUGAUGGUAAGGUCAAAUUCUUGUAGUAACAAAAUCCAACGAAUUAGUCUCGGUUUGGCAUCCUGUUUACUCAUCAAAUAUCUCACAGCAGCAUGGUCAGUAAACACAACAGAUUUAGAGCCAAGCAAAUAUGAACGGAAUUUGUUUAAUGCAAAUACCACAGCAAGUAAUUCUUUUUCAGUUGUAGAAUAAUUCAUUUGAGCACUAUCCAAAGUCUUGCUCGCAUAAUAAAUCACAAAAGGCUUACCAUCCCUUCUUUGUCCUAAAACAGCACCAACAGCAAAAUCACUUGCAUCACACAUUAAUUCAAAUGGCAAAGACCAAUCAGGAGAUUGCAUAAUAGGUGCAGAUGUUAAAAGACAAAUUAUUUUUUCAAAAGAUUUUUGGCAAUCAUCAUUCCAUUCAAACGGUGCAUCUUUUAAUAAGAGGUUACAAAGUGGUUUAGAUAUGGCACUAAAGUUUUUUAUAAACCUCCUAUAAAAUCCUGCAUGUCCUAAAAAGGAUCGCACAUCUCUAACUGUUUUUGGUUGUGGCAAUUUAGAUAUGACUUCGAUUUUUGCUUUGUCAACUUCAAUUCCUUUAAUAGAAACAACAUGACCCAAAACAAUUCCAGAAGUAACCAUGUAGUGACAUUUUUCCCAAUUCAACACGAGUUCUUUUUCAACACAUCUUUUUAAAACUUUCUCCAAAUUAUCAAGGCAAUCAUCAAAAGAAUUCCCAAACACAGUCAAAUCAUCCAUAAAGACCUCUAAACAAUGUUCAACCAUAUCACAAAAAAUGCUUAACAUACAUCUUUGAAAUGUUGCAGGAGCAUUACAAAGCCCGAAUGGCAUUCUUUUAAAUGCAAAUGUUCCAAAAGGACAUGUGAAUGUGGUCUUUUCUUGGUCCUCAAGUGCUAUAGGAAUUUGAUAAUAACCUGAAUAUCCAUCUAAAAAACAAUAGUAUGGAUGUCCUGCUACUCUUUCUAAGAUUUGGUCAAGGAAUGGUAAUGGAAAAUGAUCUUUUCUAGUGGCUUCAUUUAAUUUUCUAUAAUCAAUGCACAUGCGCCAACUAGAUGUAAUUCGUGUUGGAAUUAAUUCACCUUUUUCAUUUUUAACAACAGUGAUUCCAGAUUUUUUAGGCACUACUUGUGUAGGACUUACCCACUUACUAUCAGAAAUAGGGUAGAUAAUUCCCACAUCAAGUAAUUUAAGGACUUCUAUUUUGACUACCUCUUUCAUGUGUGGGUUUAUCUUCUUUGAGGUUGUUGACAUAUUUUAGCAUUUUCUUCCAAAUUAAUUCUAUGUGUGCAGAUUAAGGGAUUAAUGCCUUUAAUGUCAUUUAAAGUCCAUCCUAUUGCAUUUUUAUGCUUUUUAAGAACAGUAAGUAACUUACCUUCUUGGUCGCUUGUUAAAGUAGAAGAAAUCACAACAGGAUAAGUUUGUUCUUCUCCAAGAAAAGCAUAUUUCAAUCCUUCAGGCAAAGGUUUCAAUUCCAUUUUAGGCGCUUCUUGUUGUUCUAUCUUUUCAAUACUUCCAAGCUCCUCAAAUUUUGGCUCGUCAUCAUAAUUUUGCGAAGUCUGCAUAGAAUCAAGCAACGAAUUUAUAUUAGAAAUAUCAAGUUUAAGUUGCUUAUUUGACUCAAUUGAAUUAACUAAACAAACAUUAGAAAGUUCAGAAAAAUCCCCUUUUUGAAUAUUUUCCUCGAUACAAGAUUCAAACAAUUCCUUUUGUUCAUCAGUAUCAUCUUCAUUCUCAUUUUCUUCAUUAGGUUGCCUGCACAUGUUGAAAACAUUCAAUUCCAAAGUCAUAUUCCCAAAGGAUAAAUUCAUUAAACCAUUCCUACAAUUAAUCAAAGCAUUAGCAGUUGCUAAAAAUGGUCGACCUAAAAUUACAGGAAUUGGUUUGUAAUUAUUCACAACAGGUUCAGUUUCCAAGACAAUAAAAUCCACAGGAUAAAUAAAUUUAUCAACUUGUACUAAAACAUCUUCCACUAUUCCUUUUGGUACUUUAACUGAUCUAUCGGCAAGCAAAAGUGUAGUUGAAGUUGAUUUUAACUCACCAAGAUUAAGUUGAAGAUAAACUGAAUAUGGAAGCAAAUUAACACUAGCACCAAGAUCUAGUAAAGCAUGCUCAAUUCUGUGGUUACCAAUAAUACAAGAAAUGGUAGGACAACCAGGAUCUUUAUAUUUCAACUUAUUAUUAGUAGACAGAAUUGUACUUACCUGUUCGGCCAUGAAAGCACUCUUUCUUACCUUCAAUUUCCUCUUAACAGUGCACAAGUCCUUUAAAAAUUUGGCAUAUGAAGGAACCUGCUUGAUUGCAUCUAAUAGAGGAAUGUUAACUUUCACUUGCUUAAAGAUUUCAUAAAUUUCAGAAGAGUGGUUUGAUUUCUUUGGUUUAUUCAAUGCAUGCGGAAAUGGUGGUUCAGGUGGAACACUAGUUAUUUCUUCACUAGGUGUAAGUUCAUUUAGUCCUUCCUUACCCUUUGAAUUUUCAUCAUUUUCAUAAGGUUCAGGCAUAGGUCUAUCAACAACCUUACCACUACGAAGAGUUAUAACUGACUUGACUUGGUCUGUGGGUGGAUUUUGUUGAAUUUUAGGAUUUGGUUGUGGUUGGGCUGGAAAUUUUCCUUUUUCUUGAAUGGUGAGUGCAGAAGCAAUUUUAGCAAGAGUAUCUUUCAAAUCAGAAAAAGUUUGUGCAUUUUGAUUGUUAAUAACAUCUUGCUUUCUGAUGAAUGAAUGCAUUGUGUCCUCCAGAUUUUUCCAAGGUGGUGGAACAUAUGGUGCAUAAGGCUGAGGAUUUUGAAAAUUUUGUGGAGGUGGUGCUUGUGAAGAUUGUGCAUUAUUAUUAUUCCUCCAACUGAAAUUCGGAUGAUUUUUCCAACCAGGAUUAUAAGUCUGUGAAUAUGGGUUUGGUUUAUUGAAAGUGUUAAUAACAUUAGCUUGAUCAUUUAGACAUUCUUUAAGUGCAGGCAAAGUGGGACACUCUUGAGUGAAAUGAUCAUUCGAAUUACAUAUGUUACAUGCAAUUUCUUGAACAGAUUUUACUUGAUCACUCUUUUUAUGCUCCAAAGCUUCAACUUUCCUAACUAGGGAUGCAAAUUUUGCUUGUAAAUCAUGAUCUUCCCUAAGGUUAUGGAUUCCUCCACUAGAUGGAGAUGAUUGUUGCUUAUUUGUCAAUUCAAAAGUUCCAACAGUAUCCCAAUGUUGUGCAUUUUCAGCUAAUUGGUCAAGGUAAUCUAGUGCAUCUUCAGGAUUUUUAUCCCUAAAUUCACCAUUACACAUCAUUUCAACAACCUGUCUACUUUGGGGUAUUAAGCCUUCGUAGAAAUAAGUGACCAAUCGCCAAGUUUCAAAACCAUGAUGUGGGCAUAUGUUAAGCAACUCUUUAAACCUAUCCCAACAUUGGUAUAAUGUUUCUCCAUUUUUUUGAGUGAAAGAAGUGAUUUGCCUUUUAAAAGAAUUUGUUCUAUGAGGUGGAAAGAAUUUUUUCAAAAACUGUUCUUGCAUGUUAUUCCAAGUUCUUACUGAUCCAGAUCUAAGGUUUUGUAGCCAAGUUUUAGCUUUAUCUUUUAAUGAAAAAGGAAAAAGCUUUAAUCUAAUUAUGUUCAUGCUACAAUUUUGGUCCGUGUAUGUAUUACAAACUUCCUCAAAAUCUCUUAGAUGCAAGUACGGAUUCUCAGAUUCUAAACCAUGAAAUGUUGGUAAAAGUUGGAUAAUACCUGGUUUAAAAUUGAAUCGAGAUGCUUCUGGAGGAAAUACUAUACACGACGGUGCUCCGGUUCUGGUUGGAUUCAUGUAGUCUCUCAGAGUCCUUGGUUGAUUCUGAUCAUGCCCAUGUUGAGAUUGGUUGUCUCCCUGAUCAAUUUGAGGAUUAGGUUCGCCCAAAACGUUUUCGCCUUGAUUCUCAUCCAUGAUUGGUGGUGGAGAUUGAGAUCUACGAAUUAACCUGCCACUUGAAGAUCGAGACCAAUGUCUCAUGCAAGGGUUAUGUUAUAAAGAUAAUAUUUACACAAAUUGAUAACAAAAUAAAAUAAAAAAAUAAAUAAGUAAAUAAUAUAAGUAUACAAAAGAAAAUUAAAUAACAAAAAUGGUGGUUGAACCCACCAAUUAAAAAAAUAAAAAAUGCAAAAUUAAAUAAAUACUGAAAAUUAAAUAACUGAAAAUAAAAGUUAAGGGUUAGUAGUUAGUUUGGUGGUUAAACCCACCAAUAAAGCAAAAAAAAAUAAAUAAAUAAAUAAAUAAAUACGAAAUAAAAUAAAUGCAGAAAAUUAAAUAACUGAAAUUAAAUAAAAGUUAGGAGUUAGCAGUUAGUAAGUUAAGAGUUAGUAAUUAGAGUUAGUAGUUAAAGUUAGUUUGGUCCAAAAUAAGUCCAAAUAUGUCCAAAGUAUGUCCAAAUAUGUCCAAAGUAUGUCCAAAUAUGUCCAAGUCUUGAUUAUGUUGAGGAAUUUCGUCUAGGGAUUCUAUUGCAAAUUAUUUUUAAUUUUAUGGUCAAACUAUAAUUUUUAGAAGUUUAGAAUUAGCAAUUUGGGAUGAAAGUGAAACAAUUGAAAGAUAUCGCGGUCCGAACAUAAUUACCAGAAGAUUGGGCUAGAAACGGAAAUUGUUGGGGUGAAAUUAGAAUUAUGAAAGAUAUGGGGACAAAAGAGAAUUUAAGAAAAGGAAAAGGGGGCAAACGAAAUUUUACAUAUAAGAGAAAAAUAAAAACGGAAAAACAAACCAAAUAAAAAACUUUUCCCCGGCAACGGCGCCAAAAACUUGACACAACUUAAAAGUAAAUUUUAACUCCCAAGUAUAAGAGUGUCUUGUUGUAUUAUAACUCGGUGAGUCCGAGGUCGAUCCACAGAGAAAAGAUUUAAUUAGUUUAUUUUAUUUUAUCUAAAAAUUGAAAUUAAAACUUGAAUAUAAACAACUUAAUUUAAAUGAAACUAUGGAAUUGAACUAGUUAGGGUUAUGGAUCCACUCUUAGAAAUAAAUAAAACUUAAUAAAUUCUUUUUGCCAAUUUGUUUUAGAUUUAUUACUCAAAAGAUUAAUUAUACAAAUUAUUAUUAUUUUCCCUUUAAUUUUAUGGUGGAUUAAGUAUUUAUUGUGCCAAAAUUUAAUUUGUCUACAAUAAGUCAAAAUACCAUUUCAUCAUGCCUUAUAUUAAGAUCUUAAGAAUUUAUUGUGCCAAAUUCAUUUGUUUGUCUACAAUAAAUCAAAUUUUCAAAAUAUAAAACAUGUAUAAAAUUAAAUAGAAAAUAAUUUAAUUUAUAAAAUUAAACAUAGAAUUUGAUUAAAUCCUAUUUAUUUCUUAAGAGUUUCACCUUCCCCUAACUAAUAUUAUUUAGUUAAGCAUAAUUAAAAUAAAAAGAAGUAGUAAAAUUGAAUUACUUAUAAUUAAAAGAAAUAAAAACAACUAAAAUUGGAAAUAAAACUAAUUUUAUUAAUGAAAAUAAUUAUACAAAAUAUUAAAAACACACCUGGAAAUCAAGAUUACAAGGAGAUGGAGAGAAUUUGAGAAGAAGAGAGUUGUAGAGAGAUGAUUAAAACAUAAAAAUGAGGCUCUAUUUAUAGAAAAAUAAAUUCAUAAUCCAGUGCUUUGCGGUCCAUCAUAGGCUUCAUGCAUGUGCUCCUCACAACCCUUAGAUCAAGAUCCAAUGGCUGGUCAAACUUCAAAAGUCAACAUCACACAUGGCAUCAUUUGACUCGUCCGAUUUACCCAAAGAACGGUUGAGAUUUGGCGGGUUAAUGGAUGGAUCGGGUCGACCCGAAUACAAAGAUUCGGAUCCUCCAACUUGCUUCACCAACCAUUGCCACGUGGCACAAUCAUGGCCAUUGAAUCAUGAACGGUUGAGAUUUAGUCAAGAUUGCCAAUUAUCCCAUGCACUCAUAUCUAUUGUAAGCUCAUUUCAUCAUCCAAUCAGUGCUCGGUCAACAGGAAAAGUCAACUUUUUUUACACAAGCCCAAUUUUAAGCCGAUCUUGACUGAUCUUAAGGUUUUCGGACCUCCGGAAUCCAAAUUUGACCUCCGUUUAUCUGUUUGGAGCCUCGAAGUACGUGAAAUUAAUAAUUUUCCUAAUAAACACAUAAAAAUACACAAAAUUAAAUAUAUUUAAAACAUAAUUAAUAAUUCAUAAUAUAUUACAUAAACACAAAUAUAAAUUAUAACAUAAGCAUAAAAUAACAUAUUAUCGCUUGAUAAUUAAACAAUUUUUAAUACUAAUCAUUUCUUACUUGUGGUGUCUUCCUUAAUGUACUUAGACUCCAAUAAGUCCUCUAUUUCUUUUGCUGUGGAUUUUGUUGUGGUACUUAUCAAAACAAAGUACUAGCAAUGGCAUUGUAAAUGUGUCCUAUGCACAGGUAGACAUCUUGCUUCCACUUUUGCCACACUCAAGUUUCUCAUCCUCACGUUCUUCAGGCUUUCAUAUUGUAAGAACAUAAACAACAUUGAGGCUUGUCAACAAGAAAUGUAAUGUUUUUUGCCAACGUAUAAAAGUUGUGACUAGGGGUGGGCAUGGGUUGGUUUGGGUUGGUUUUUAAGUCAAUCCAAACCAAACCAUAAAAAUUUGGAUCCAACCCAAACCAACCCAAAUAUUUUUAACCCAAACCAAACCAAACCAUUUGGGUUUGGUUUGAAUUUUAUUAUCAAAAUAAUUUUUAUUUUAAUAAAAUUUAAUUAUAUCAAAAUUAUAAUAAUUAUUAAUUGUUAUUAAUUAUUAAAUUGAUAUUAAAAUAUAAAAAAAUAUAGUGGAUAAAAAUUAUAAAUUUUACAAUAACUUAAUCCUUAAAUUAAAGAAUACUAGAAAAUCAAAAUAAAGUUUAAUCACAAAAAUUAUUAUUUCUCAAUAAAUAAGAACAUACACUUUAAUAAUAAACUUUCACAAACAUGACAUUAACAAUCUAAUAAUAAAUUAUUUUUAACAUAUAUUAUUUUUCCCCCUUCUCCUUUUAUAAUGGCCAAAAACCCCUCUAAUAGUAUAAGUUUACAAUAUUACCCUUAUUUUCAACUACUCUUUUAUUUCUAUUUAUUCUAAAUUAAAUAAAUCAUAUGAAUAGAAACUAAAUAAAAAAUAAAGCAUUAAAAAUAAGAAAUAUAUGUUUUGAUAUGAACAAAAAAAUUAAUAAUAAAAUUUUUUUAUACUUAUUUAUUUUGUGAAAAUUUUCUUAUAAUAAAUAUAUAAGAAAAUUAUUAGUCAAAUGAUAAAAAAAUUUUAUAAGAAAACUUGAAUGACAAAUAAAAAUUUAUUAUAAGAUAAAUAAUAAAAUAUUUUACCUAUACUUUUUACAUUUAAUUUUAAAAUAUUACAAAAUAUUUAUUAUAAGAAAAUGUUCACAAAAUAAAUAAUUACAAGAAAAAAUUUUAUUAUUAAUUUUUCUGCUCAUAUCAAAACAUAUAUUUCGUGUUUUAAUACUUAAUAUAGGCAUUACAUUCAAUUAUUGACCAAAAAUUAGCCGCCAUCUAGCAUAUCGGACCCAGUCCAAGCCGAGUUAUUAUUGAUCAUUAGUAGAGUCUCCUGCUCUUUCUAUGAUGAUCCUUCCAUGUGGGAGGAAUUAUUUUUGUAAAUAAGAAAAAAAAUUAUUUAUGUUAUUUACAAUAAUAUUUAUUUAAUUUAAAUUUAUUUUUACUAUUAUUUUCAUUUUCUAACUGUUGACAAUUGAUCACGCUGUAAAAAAUUUAAUGGUGGUCUUUCACUUAUUUGUGUUCAUUUAUUUUGUUUUCAUUUAUUUCAUUUGAAAAAUUUGAGUGUUGGGGUUUUGUCAAUAACCCAUGGGUAAACCAUACCCAAACCAUAAUGAAAUGGUUUUCUACAUAAAACCCAUAUCUAACCAAUUUUCAUGAUUUACCCAACCCAAACCAUUUAAUUUGGUUUGAGUUUGGAUAAACCCAUGGGUUGUGGGUUUAUGCCCACCCCUAGUUGUGACCAUCAACUGCUCUAAUUUAACAAAAUCUACUGUGAAUUGCGGAUGAGAUGAGCUCAGUGUCAUUGUUACAGAAAGAACGUCUUAUGAAUGUCGGGAAAAUAUAUUUUUAGGGAAUGAAAAAUGUAAUAAUGGCAAACGUAGAGAGUUACAGUAAUAAUGAUUAUGCCACAAAGAUAAUGAGUCAAUUAUGUAAUAAUGACAAACAUAGAGAGUUGCAGUAAUAAUGGUGGAAUUUUUUUCUAAUAAAAUAAUGAGUUUACUACUCUGUAGGUACAACGAAAAUAAUAGUAAUAAGUAAAUUGUAGAAAUUAACGUGUAUUUCAAGGCACUUUACAAAUAUUACUUUCUUUAGACGUUAUUCGCCCCCAUCAAUUGAGUGAUGAAUAUGGGUUAAACAAAUACGCAUCUACGAUACAAUGAAACACUUAUUUAUUUGUUUGCAUUGGGUAUCGACAAAAGCAAACCUAAAUACUCUUGAAUGUUGCAAGCUUGUCAAGAAUCAAUAUAAUUGUUCCUGUAGUAAACAAUAUGUUGGAUAUUUAAUGCAUAAAAUAUAGAUGUUAUAUGAUAAAAUUCGUUUUAGAAAGGAGAGUUUAGAAAAGAGUGUUAUAAGAAUGUUAUUUUCAUGUCUAAAUGGCCUAAACAUGGCCUCUAUUUAUAAAUAUAAUUGUGCCCUCCAUUUGGAUUGUCAUUUUUCAUGAUACCCAUUCGUUUAUGGUCAUUGGAUCAAGAUUUGAUUUUAAUCAAUUGUCUAAAUAAGUACAUCACCAUUUCAAAUGAAAUGACAAUGUGAAAUGAUACAUUUUUAAGUGGAAAGAUACCUUUUAUAUGGGACAAUUACUAGGACAAGUUUUUAUAAUAAAACAUCAUUUAUUUUGAAAUUGUUACAGCCCUAAGAUUAUUCUAGGUUAAGUUAAUCUAUUAUGUAUAACUUCAGAAGGUUCAUCGGUAGAUUGCUUUAAGUUUUUGUCAUAGUUUACAAAUAUUUUGUUACUUAUAAUGUAAGAAAUUUUACAAAUGUUGGUGCUGAGUAAUCUGCAUAAUUAUUAUGAAUCAGAGAAACAGGGCAGAUGUUGUACAAUUAUUGUUGUGGUGGAGCGGAAAGUUAGCCCGGACGGUGACUGCUAUUGGGAUUUCUUUAAUUUGCAGCAUAAAAGCAUUUACAUUGACAUCGACUCAAGGGUAAAAAUUAAAUAUCUCAUGUAGCAUAAGAAGAAUGCAAAAAUGCUUGAAUGAGCAUUCUCACUGAAUACACAAAAGCUACUUUCCCUUGAGCACUUUCGCAACAAAAGCAAAUGUAAAAUGUAGCAUUUAAUUCUAACAUCAAAUGGUUGAUGCCAUCGUUUCCAUCCCUUGGGGAAAUUGAAUUCCUCUAUCUGAUAUUACAGUCUGGAGCGGCUCUUAAGUACCUCAGGCAACUUAGGGCAAUUUAGGCGGUUGCUCAGGGCCCCACAUUUAACCUAGGAUCCCAUUAUAAAUGAAGGUUUCUAAGUUAAUUCUUAAAUUAUAGUUAUUAAUUAUUGAUUUAUAUUUAUUAUUUAUAACUAUAUUUUCCAUAAACAAACUACUAGAUUCUUUCAAAUCCCCUUUUAAUAUUAUAAUUAACAAUUUUAAUCCAUUUAUUUCCUCCGUAUAUUUCAUUUAAAACUCUAUAAAGGCCACACCUUUUUUAAAUUAUUAUCCAUUAAUAUCUUUUUCCAAUUAAAGAAAAAAACAAAACCUUCAUUACUUUGGUGAAAAAACUACUUUCUCUACCUUACUUUUUGCAUAAGGAAGAAAAGAAAAUCAAUCGUUUUACUUUCUUUUGAUCAUUGUUGCUCAAAGUCUCAAUCCAUCAAAGUUAAAUUUCUCAAAUUUUCAGGUUUUAUCUUCCGAUUCUCUUAUUAAUUAAUUGUGUUAUUUAGGUGUUUUUGUUUCUUUGUAAAAAUAUUAUUCUGUUCAUAGGUUGUUUUCUUUUAAUUAUCUAGCAUAAUAGUUUGCAUGAUUACUCUUGUUUCAUUAGAAAAAAAAAAUGUCUACUAAAAACUAUGCAUCAUGAUACAAAAAACUUCAUAAAAGGAGAAGAACAGAAAAGUUAGUUUAAUCUAAAAAACAAUGCUAUUGAUAAAAAAAUAUUUAAGAUCACCCAUUUCAUAAGAAAGAUUAAAUAGGUUAACUAUAUUGUCUAUUGAGAAAGAUAUAUUAGCAAAAUUAGAAUAUAAAAAGUUGACUAAUAAUUUUGCAUCUAAGAAAGUUAGAGAAAUUGAUUUUAAAUAAAUAAAACUUUAAUAAAUUAAUACAUAUAUUUCACCUCAAUUUUUUUAGAAGGCCUAAUUAAAUCAAUUUAUUUAAGACCUAAAAUAUGAUUGAGCCGCCUUGAAAUUGCAGUAAGAUAGAAAAGUGAAAUAGACAGAACACUUGCUCAUACGUAAAGAUGCGACGAAUUUGAGAAUACUUAUUAUUAUGUGCCAAAUUCCUAAUGUGUGGGAAUUUAAAAAUGUUAGUGCAUAACAUGUGUUUAUCGGUGGAGUAGAAUCAGGGAAAUUAAAGAUAAGCAUAAUUUUUGCAUCCAAUGCCAAAUUCCCCCAGGGAGAGAGUGGGGACUCCUUUGCAUAAAAGUUGUUAAAAGUUUAUUGUUAAUAAUAAAAAUAACAUGCAGAUACAGUAUUUUAGGUUAUUGUUAAUAGUUUUACAAUAAUAAAAAUCAUUUUGUUAGAUCGUAAAAUGUAGUACUCAUACUCUAUUUUGUGCAAAAGUCUGCGAGAAAGGAUUUCAGAUUUACCUAACGGGGAAGUUGGGAACUUGCUUUUUUACCUAGGCUAAAAAUAUUUCAAUAAAUUCUGAUCGUGGAGACUACCUGAAACGACCCGCCCCGAAACCCCCCAGGCGAGUCUAUCUAGUUACAUCAAAACAGACUUAAAAAUAAUAUUAUACGUAAAGAAUCUGCUGAAAAUUCGACAGAGUCUCCUUUAUAUAUAUAACACUCCCAAAGUACAAAUAUGAAUAUACAACAAACUCCAGUGCUCAACAUACUCAACCAAAAAUACUGAGUUAUAUAAUAUACAACCCCAAAAGAACAAGAUGACCAAGAUGUCCCAACAGAAACAUUUAUAUACUCUAGCACCAUCACGUGGCCAAGACUCAAAAUAUAUACAGUCGCUGGGUCGGUCUGGUGUACCUGCAACCUCCUGGUGAGGGGGGGAAAAUAUAAUAAAAACGGGGUGAGUUUAAAACUCAGUGAGAUUAGUGAGUGGAUAGUAGGUUUGAAAAUUGAUCUUUACUUUAAAAGAAAUAAGCAUAUCCAAACACGGUUUCAUUAAACCAUAAGUGAGAAAUCAGAAAUAAAUCAUUAAAUAUUUAAAUCAGAUUACCAACCAUAGAAAUCAUAUCACCAAAUCAUAUCGAUUUCACAAAUCUGAAAAUCAUAUCUCAUCAUAUCUCUGCAUGCAUAAUCUAGUCCCCAAAGGACAAAAGCGCCCAAGCACACGGCCCAAAGCCUCUGUGUGUACUCAGACGGGCCCCAAAGGCCUCCUUACAAUCAGAGCGCGCACCUCCCUUAUUACCCCUCAGUUUGGCGGGCCUCCCUUAUUACCCCUCAUCUAUAUCACUGUACUCAUAUUCACAUACCUCUUUACCACAUUUUAAAUCAUACCACAUUUGAAUCCACUUUUCUUAACUUUCAAAUAAUAUCACACUUUAUUCAAAAUCGAUACGCAAAAUUAUUAACCAAACAUUUUCAUAUAAUAUCAACAAGUGAAUAAAAUCCAUUUCGAGAAAUCAUUAAAUCAGCACAUUUAAAAAUACUUAUUCCGCAACCAUGCUUUACUAUCAUAAUUAACUCUAAAAAUAAGUUUCGUAUAUUCCACUCACAGUGACGGUGUUCAUAGUCGGUUAUCGUCUACGUCCGCGGACCGGUUCUCGCUCGCGGAUCCUCCUAAAUCAAGGAAACGACAUAAUUAUUCUCCGUAAAUCGGAAUUCCGACUAAAUAUAUGCAAUAACUCGAAACGAACAUUUAUCCAUAAUUAACAACUCCCGUGACGAUAAAAUUACUAAAAUGCCCUUGAGUCCGUAAAUCAUUAACAUGCUCCGAAAUCGUAAAUCACCGAAUUAUCCUCGAAAUCGUAAUUACACCCAAUUCACAAUUCUAUGAAUUACUGAAAUAUCCACAGGCUCAGAAAUGACAAAAUUGCCCUCAUAGUGUGAAAUUACCAAAAUGCCCUUGCCGGUCAACGGUCACCGGAAUUUGGUCAACGCUGGCCAGGAAGCUCAAAUCUUAAAGUGCCAAUCACGCUGAGUUCAAUGGUACCGGCGGUGAGCUCCAACGCGCGGCAACGACGCCGGAAUCUAGCUCGACAGCCGUGAGUUCCAACAAUCGACCGGCAGCAAAACGACGACUCUCGGUGCCUAUGAAUGGUCGGAAAUGGAAGAGGGAGUCAUGAGGAACAAAAUCCAACCGGUGGUGUCACUCAAAACCGGCGAAAAUCUCGGCGGAGUAAAGUGAAGCAGUCGCGGGUUUCAAGCUUCGAUCGCCGGCGUUCCGGUUCGUUUUCGGCAGUGAGGAUGGCAGGGGAACGACGGUCGGCUUCUAAGCUUCAGAUCGGUACCAAGCUCGGCCAAAACGGUGGUCGGAAACGUGAAAUCCGUCCGGGUUAAAGUCGCGGGUCGGGUCGGAUCCGGCGGGUCAAGAUCGGGUAAGUUGGCAGCUUCUCUCUCUCUGUUUUGCACGUGCAUGUGUUUUUCCUCUGUUUCCAACAUAUUCCUUUGCUUAUAAACUCUUUCACCGCCUCAUGCCAUUUUACAUUCACAGGUAUUACACUACCAAGAGUUUUUUUUAGUCAUAUAUAUUUAUUUUUUAGGGACCAAUAUGAAUAUUACUAAUUUUAUCGAGAUUAUUAAAAAAACAAUGUGCUAAUUUACCAAUAUGAUUUCUCCAAUCUUUUUUCUUUUCGUCAUUUAUUCCUUUGUGAAUUUGAGUUAAUGCUUGAUAUUAUUUUUGUGCUCAUUUUUUAAAGUAGAAGAUUAUGAAAAAGUGAACACACAAAAAGCAUAAAAAUUAUUAUUAGAUCCAAAUUUGUGCUAUUUCAUACAUAACUUGAGAAUAUUUAUAAUUACGCAUCACAACUAGUGGAGUAGAAUCAGGGAAAUUAAACAUUCUACAGUCAUUGACGUGUGGGGUGGGGAUAAGCAUAAACCUUUUCUAUGCAGUAUAAAAGAGUGCAAUAACUCCUUUUCUUUCAGUAUCAUCGCAACAAAAGCACAUCUAAUAACUCUUCAGAAUUCUCGUCUUCUUUGUCAGAAUGGUUGAUGCAAUCGUUUCCUCUCUCCUGGAGCAGCUGAUCUCUGUUGCGGCCGAUAAAGUGAAACAACAGGUGAGGCUUGUGACUGGUGUCCGAGAAGAAGUGAAAAAGCUUACCAGCAAUCUUCAAGCCAUUCGAGCUGUGCUGGAGGAUGCAGAGCAAAGGCAAAUGCAGCAAGACAAAGCUGUUACUUUUUGGCUGGAUCAGCUCAAAGACGCAUCCUACGACAUGGAAGAUGUGUUGGACGAGUGGGUCUUUGCAAGGCUCAAAUUGCAAAUUGAGGGCGUUGAUGAUGACAAUGCUUUUUCCCUUGCUCCUCACAAGAAGAAGGUACGUUCCUUCUUUCCUGCUGUAUCAAACUGCUUUGGUAGUUUCAAACAACUUAGUCUUCGUCUUGACAUUGCUGUCAAGAUUAGGGAAAUCAAUGAAAAGCUAGAUGAUAUUGCCUCCCAAAAAGCUAGGUUUAAAUUUGUUGAAAAUGUGAGUAACCAUGUUAAAAAACUGAAACAAGCGCGAACCACCUCCUUGAUUGAUGAGGGAGAGGUCUGUGGUAGAGUUGACGAGAAAAACGAGCUCUUAAGCAAGUUGUUGUUUGAAAGUAGCGAACAACAAAAAGGCCUUCAUGUCAUCUCACUAGUUGGGUUAGGGGGCAUAGGUAAAACCACUCUUGCACAACUGGCCUAUAAUAAUGAUGAGGUGAAAAGAAAUUUUGAAAAAGUUAUAUGGGUGUGUAUCAGACACUUUGGAGGAGAUUAGGGUUGCCAAUGCAAUCAUUGAAGGUCUAGCCGAGUCAGCUUCUAGUUUAAGCGAAUUUCAAUCUCUUCUAAGCCAUAUCCAUAGAUCAAUUGAAGGAAAAAAAAAUUUUCUUGUCUUAGAUGAUGUAUGGGAUGGGGAUUACAAAAAAUGGGAACCAUUCUUCCUAUGUUUAAAGCAUGGUCUCCACGGAAGUAAAAUUUUGGUUACUACACGUAAUGAGUCAGUUGCACGUAUGAUGGGAUCAACAAAUAUUAUUUUCAUUGAGCAAUUGACUGAAGAGGAAUGCUGGUCGUUGUUCAAGCGGUUAGCAUUUUUCGGUCACUCUUUCGAGGAUUGUGAAAGAUUAGAACCAAUCGGGCGAAAAAUUGCACGCAGGUGCAAAGGCCUGCCUCUUGCUGCAAAGGUAAUAGGGAAUCUCUUGCGCUCUAAAAGUACAAUAAAAGACUGGCAAAGAAUUUUAGAUAGUGAAAUGUGGAAGGUAGAAGAGCUAUGGAAAGGUCUUUUGACUCCUUUAUUGUUGAGUUAUAAUGAUUUGUCGUCCAAUUCUAUGGUAAAACGAUGUUUUUCAUAUUGUGCUGUCUUUUUGAAAGACUACAAUAUGUAUAAAGAGGAACUAAUUUCACUAUGGAUGGCUCAAGGUUACCUUAAUGCAGAAGAAUAUGAAGAGAUGGAGAUUACUGGGGAAGAGUGUUUCAACAUUUUAGCAGCACGCUCUUUCUUUCAAGAGUUUGAGAAAAAUGAUGAUGAUGAUAUUAUGAGUUGCAAGAUGCAUGACCUAGAACAUGAUUUUGCUCAAUUUGUAAGUAGCAAUGAAUGUUUGUGGCUAGAAUUUAGUGGUACCAGAGAAUCAGUCAUAAACCCUUUUGGUGAGAAAGUCCGUCACUUAGGGUUAAAUUUUAAAGAAGGCGCUUCAUUUCCUAUGUCCAUUCAUGGACUUAAUAGAUUGCGUACCCUCCUAAUUGAUGAUGAAAGUCCUUUCAAUUCAUCUCUUAAUAAUAGCAUCCUUCCAGAGUUAUUUAGUAAUUUGGCGUGUUUGAGGCCAUUAGUUAUAAGGCAAUCAUCCUUGCUUUUUCGUUAUCCCCCAAAUGGGAUUAGAGAAAUUCCAGAAAAUGUCAGAAAAUUGAUACAUUUGAAAUGUCUUAAUUUGUCUGAAUUACACAUAAAGAGACUACCUGAGACUUUGUGUGAAUUAUAUAAUUUACAAAAGCUAGAUAUUAGGGGGUGCCGAAAUCUAAGAGAAUUGCCUGUGGGGAUCGGGAAGUUAAAGAACAUGAGGAGUUUACUAAAUGGUGUUACUCGUUCGUUGAAGUACAUGCCAAUAGGGAUUUCCAAAUUAACCAGUCUUCGAACAUUAGACAAGUUUGCUGUGGGUGGAGGUGUUGAUGGUGGCAGUACGUGUAGGCUUGAAUGUCUGAAAAAUUUUCGACUCAUUCAAAAAUGUGGAAUAGAAGGGCUGAGUAAUGUGUCACAUUUAGAUGAGCCUGAGAGAUUAGAACACAAAAAUAUGGAAAACCUCCUUCAUUUGUAUCUUUUGUUUGAAGUUGUAGAUUAGGAAGAUAAAGAAGAGGAUGAAGAUGAAGGUGGGGAAGAUGAAGGUGAAGAUGGAGGAUAUGAAGAAGAAGGAGGUGAAGUUGUAAAUGUGGAAGAUGAAGAAAGGAGGAGGAAGAAUGAGAAAGAUGAACAACUUCUUGAAGCCUUAAGCCGCCUUUGAAUGUAGAGGAAUUAUGGAUUUUAUUAUAUGGAGGCAGCAUUUUUCCCAAAUGGUUGACUUCGCUAACCAAUCUAAGGAAUUUAUUUCUUCACGGGUGUCUUAACUGUGAGCAUUUGCCUCCUCUGGGAAAAUUGCUUCUGGAAAAACUCGCCCUGCAAAAUUUGAAUAGUAUAAAAAGAGUGGGCAAUGAGGUUUUGGGAAUAGAGGAAAGUAGUGAUGAUGACCCGUCUUAAUCUUCAUCAUCAUCAUCAGUUAUUGCCUUCCCCAAAUUGAAAUCACUCAAAAUUUGGGACAUGGAAGAAUUGGAAGAGUGGGAUUACAGGGUUACGAGGAAGGAAAACAUCUCCAUCAUGCCACGUCUUUCUUCCUUGGAAAGGUGUUGCCAGAUGACCUUCUUCAAACGUCGACACUGCAGGAAUUGAGUAUUGGGGGAUGUCCUAUUUACUUCAGUGUACGAUAAUUUGUUACGUGAAACUUCUUGAGAGACUGAAUUUCUGGGGUACUUUGUAGUAAUGUUGAAAACUAAGUGAUGGCUGGGUCUGCUCUGUUUCAGUUGAGGAUGGUUUGCUUCCUGGAAGACAUGCUGAUUAUUAUUGCAUGAUAUUAAGGUGCUGAGAUCAUCAUUUCUAUCUUGUUUCUUUCUUUGAUCGGUUUAUCCUCUAUAAGCAUAUGGAAUUAUGCUAGUAUUAUCACUUCUUCACUCAAUUUUCACUGUUGGUUGUAAUAACCAUUUCAGGUUCUCAAAAGCCUCAAAGCAAAGCAUCUUUGGGCUGAUCAUAUAUUUCAAUUGACGAAGCAAUUCGAUGUUGGCACUAUUAUGCAGGUAACCAGAGUUGAUAAUUUGCACAAAUUUGCAUUGUCAGAAUACCCUUCAUAUUCACUGUGUUUCUUUGUGUAGGUAUGUAGAGUAUCAUCUUCAAGGGUUGUAAGAGCCUUUGCAGUAAAUUUAGCUGCUCGUGCAAUUGCUCAUUCAUCGGAGUACAAUUUUGGAUUUUCAAGGUUUGUAUGCUCAGUUGUAAUUAAAAUGCUUAGUCACUUAUUCCUAAUCUUUCUGAUUUUCAAGUUGUUUUAGGUCCAUAAACAGUUUUCAAACAUGUUUCAAUGCUUCUUGUAAUGACAAUUUCAUAUCUUGCAUCUCUAACGUGCAUCACGUUUGAAACAGCUUUCGCGGUAAAGUCUUCGAUGCUUCUACAAUGGCUGUGAAGAGGCACAUUAAAUUCGGUACAUUUUGGUACGGCCUCCCAAUGCUGGUAUAAUGUUGUGUAUAUUUAGUUUGCAAUUAAAACUUAGGUAUACAAAUCUUAAUCUGCAAUAGAUCGUAGUGUACAAAGUUUUCUAUUAAUGAUAUGGUGACUGAAAGUUUAAUUAUCUUAAAAUUUUUCUAUGACUCUCUUUUACUUUCUUUGUACAGAGUACCUGUUUUGGCUGAUGUGUCUAAUUCAUAGAAAUUCAUUUCCAUCGGUUUCCAUUGGUUUGAGCACAAACAGAAACAGAGGUCUGAGGAAAAGUUUUAUUUCUUGCGGUAUUAUGCCUUUGUUUCUUUAUUCACCAUAUUUGUUCGAAUUCAUGCCCUCAUUAAGAAUUUAAAGCCUUUUCCAGGCAGCUUUGUAGGCUACCUUAUGAAAUUGGAAAGUUAUUAUUGCUUGAAUGCAAGCACCGUCUUCUGUUGCGAAGGCUUUCCCCACAUGAUGAGAUGCUGUGAUUGUUACCGGACCCUUAAUUAUUUAACUCAGGAUUUUAUCAUCAACCACAUCAUCUUAUUCACCAUUUUGGAUAUAUAUAAAGAUUAAAAUUUCUAACAGUUGUUUCGGAUUCUUGUGUAAUCAGAUAAAUGGGGCAAAUGUCAGAACAAAGAUUGUUCAGUGUUGCUGGUAGGGCAAGGAUGAUGAUGGUGAGGAAGAUUGUUCACAAGCCAAGUAGAGCUAGGGAUGGCAAAACAUCGGGUCGGGCUCGGGCUUGGCCAAACCCGACCCGACCCGAUCAACAAAGAAUUAAAGCCCGACCCUAAAAAAGCCCUACCUAUUUAUAAUUAGGGUUGGGUCGGGCUCGACCCGAAUCGGACCAACCCUACCGAAAUCUAUAAUAGCAACAGCCACCACAGAGCUAUUUUCCAAAUUCACCAAAUCGAACUCUGAAAAUCCAAUCAAACUUUGGCUUAUAAAGCCAAAAUCAUUGCUUAAUUAAACCUAUACAGAAAAUAAUACUUCCACUCGCUGAAGAUUUUCCUCGAGUCCUCAUAUGUUUCUCUGUUUACUUGUCUACGAACAGCAAACAAGAAGUUUGCUAUUUCAUAUCAGUGUCGCACAAUAAAAUAAUUAAUUAAACAAAUUAUUAAAUUUACAAAGAAAUCAAUCCCUAAGCUGGUAUAGCAUCCACUAGACUACUCUUUUUAAUCGUUAAUUAAUAAAUAGUUACUGAUCUAUAACAAAUUCUUUCCAUCACCACAAAAAUAAAAUAAAAAUUCAUUGCCAUCUAAUUGGAUUAUAAGAUACAAUAACAAUUGGCAAUUGUAUUGCCAUCUAAUUUCAUUACCUAAACUUAAUUAUAAGAAACAAAUUGGCUGCUGGAAUAGAGGACAUAAAGAAGUCAAAAAUUGAACUUACAAUUUUGGUCAUAAACUUAAUUUGAACUUACAAUUUUGGUCGGAAAUAAUUACAGAACCGAUCGAGAGUAUUGCUGGUUUUAUGGGUAAAUAAAAAAUUGUAUGCAGUGCGGCGACGGGCGGCUGGCUGGUUCACUCACGUCGCGGCGUCGCGGACGGUCACGAUGGCGGAUUGGCGGUGAGANNNNNNNNNNNNNNNNNNNNNNNNNNNNNNNNNNNNNNNNNNNNNNNNNNNNNNNNNNNNNNNNNNNNNNNNNNNNNNNNNNNNNNNNNNNNNNNNNNNNNNNNNNNNNNNNNNNNNNNNNNNNNNNNNNNNNNNNNNNNNNNNNNNNNNNNNNNNNNNNNNNNNNNNNNNNNNNNNNNNNNNNNNNNNNNNNNNNNNNNNNNNNNNNNNNNNNNNNNNNNNNNNNNNNNNNNNNNNNNNNNNNNNNNNNNNNNNNNNNNNNNNNNNNNNNNNNNNNNNNNNNNNNNNNNNNNNNNNNNNNNNNNNNNNNNNNNNNNNNNNNNNNNNNNNNNNNNNNNNNNNNNNNNNNNNNNNNNNNNNNNNNNNNNNNNNNNNNNNNNNNNNNNNNNNNNNNNNNNNNNNNNNNNNNNNNNNNNNNNNNNNNNNNNNNNNNNNNNNNNNNNNNNNNNNNNNNNNNNNNNNNNNNNNNNNNNNNNNNNNNNNNNNNNNNNNNNNNNNNNNNNNNNNNNNNNNNNNNNNNNNNNNNNNNNNUGUUAUUAGAGUGAGUAGAAAUUAAGCACAUAUCUGCGAUUUGGGUUGUCGGUGAAUGUUUUCCUUUAAUAUUUGUACACACCCAUUUCUUAGUAAAAUUUUCUUCAUGUCUAUUACUAUGACAUAGGCUAAUAGCCGUACCAUAUAACAUUAUCUUCUUAUUUCUUUAUGCUUGGUUUUGCUACAUAUCAUUUCUGUACAUUCAAGAAUGCAAUUUUGUAACUACUUAACUCUGCUUCGGCAAAGUUAAGUAGUUACAAAAUUCUUUUUUUUUUCCUUUUUCUUUCUCCGAUAAAAUUGCCACAAAUGGAAGCGAUUGGCUUGAUUUUUGCUUCUGUAAAAAGUGGUGGGAGCAAUGUCUUGUGUACCCGCAAGUUAUAAAUCGUCAUAGUUUAAAUGAAGAAUCCAGAGUUGCCAUCCAAAACUAAAGAAAUUGCAAAUUAAGUAGUUCAUUACAAAUGAUAUAUUUUGAGUUGCUAAUUAUUAAGUAUUUUAUUCAAAAAUGUUCUCGUUCCCACAAUUCCUAAUGUUUAAAGUGCAUCAUUGCUCUACUUCCGUCAUAACAGCAUAAGAGAAUUUAACAUAAUACUAAGAAAAUGAUUAUUUUACCCUAAAUGUAAAUGAUUAUUCUACCCUUGACAUAAAAUAACUAAUUUGCCCUAAUUUAAUAACGAAAAAAAUAGAUGACUGCAAUAUAGAUAUUAAAUAAUAAAUAAAAUAAAAAAUCAGAAUUAAGCUAAUUUGUUCAAGACAAUAUCUUUAGUUGGCAUGUAAUUUUCAUUAGCCGGCGUCUACUCUUAAUUUAUGUCAAAUUAAGUAAUCGCUUCGCCCCAAUAAUGUUGCCUUUGAUCUCUCAGCCCCAGUAAAAGAAUUGGCUGAAAGAGAAUGUUGGUCACUGUUUAAGCAAGUAUGCUUUUGGCGGUCCUUUGAGGAUCUUCAAAAUUUAGAACCAAUCAAAAAUAAAAAAUUUCAUACAAGUGUAAAGGCUUGCCUCUUAAUGCAAAGGUAAUACGAAGUCUCUUGCUGACAUAUACAUCCUUUACUUUAUAAUCUUUUACUUUUGCUCUUAAGCUAAAGCAUUAAAAGGCCCCAUAUCCACUCUUUAUAUAUAUAUAGGGAGAAUGACAAUUUUCUCCCAUACUAUAAUCAAUAUAUAUCAUUUACGUCCUACUUUUUUAUAAUAACCAAUAAUCCUUGGAUAGCAUAAUUUAACAAUAUUAUUUUUGGUUUAUUUUAAUUUUUGUUCAUUUGAUUUCAUAGUAGUAGUUUUCAUUUUUUUAGUUUAAAAUUUGUAAAAUGAACUAAAAUGAGAUAAUUUUGAAAAAGAAUCAAAACAAAAAAAGGCCCAAAAUUACCCCUGUUCCGAACAUUAUCUGAAUCCAUCAUAAUUGACCCAAAUUCAAAUUUAACUCAAACCCAACCUUGGCCUCAUAUAAUUAUAACCUGAUCCGAUCUAGACUCAACCCCAAAGUUUUGAUUUGAUCUAAUCCAAUUCGAAUAUUCCAAGCCAAUCAACCUAAAACCCAAUCAAGUUGAUCCAAACCCAAAUUUGCGCACUCCUAGAGGGGACCAUCACCCUAUAAGCUUUGAAUUUUUUUUGAGGUUUUUAAAUGAAAUAUUCAAAAUUAGGUAUAAAAUGACUGAUUUGCCCUGGAAUACUUGAUACAUAUAAUGAAACUUUAAUUGUAUAUUUUGUGAAAUAAAAUCAAUUAAACCUGAUUUUUUUAUUUGUUAAUUAUUUUUCAUAGCCUUUUUUAAAAGUUUGUAAGUUUGGGCCUACCUCUUUGAUUUUUAUUUUGUUCAUUUUGCUUUCUCUUGCAACAAUAGUUUCAAAUACCAGUCACAAAAUUCUCAAAUUUUGGAAUACCCUACAUACUAGCUAUAAAUAGAAAAAACUGAAUAAAAUUAAUCCCCAACUAACACUUGAAAUUUGAACUUGGGCCUCAUGAAGAUUUACUCAGAGCUCCGCCCCUGAUAUGCAAUAAAAUAUUAGUUUUGCUAGUGAAAUUGCCAAUUAUGUUUUUUUUUUUUGUAUUUUCCGCUUAGGGAAGAAGAAAUUUCCUACAACUAUUGUGGUGAAUAUCUUGUGAAUUUAUGACAGUUUAAUCUUUAGUUUGCCACUUGCUUAAAAUGAAAAAGGGAAAAGGGUAUUUAUAUCUCUAAGGUUUGGAGAAAUAGUCACCAACACUACAAGUUUUUUAAAAAGGACAUCAAGACUCCUUUUUGACCACAAUACCCUUUACCUUUAGUAUCUCGAAAAAUUUAACUUGCAAAUGAAUAAAUACAAAUAUUAUAUAAAUAAUGUAAUCUACGUUGUAGAUUAAUAAUAUUAAAAUAUUAAAAUAAAUUUAAAUAUGUAAAUUAAUAUAUUUAUUUAAUAAUAUAUUUGUAUUUAUUGUAGAGAUUUUAAAUAAAUAUUUGCAUUAAAUACAUUUUACAAUUAAAAAAGUCUCACAUACUAAUAAUGUUAAAAUUAUUAUUUUACAUAAUAAUUUAAAUUUUAAUACAUUUAUUUUAAUAUUAUGUUUACAUUUAUCAUAAAAUUUACUUUAACAUAAUAAAAUAUAUUAAUAGAUUGUAAAAUAUUAAAAUAUUUUUAAAUAUUGAAAUUAUUUUAAAAUGUAUAAAUUAUUACAUUUAUUUUAAUAUUAUAUUUCUCUUUACUAUAAAAAAUUAAAGUUAACUUUUGGGAUAAUAAAGGUAAAGGGUAUUGUAGUAAGAAAGAAGUUUUAGUAUCUUUUCUUGAAAACUUAAGAGCGUUGGUAACCAUUUCUCCAAACUUUGGGGAUAUAAAUGUCUUUUUCCUAACAAAAAAUGACAUUUUUAAUAGGAAAUAUAAUAAGCUUUGUUCUAUAGAAAAAUCCAUCAGAUAUAUUAUGCCCCCGGUUGCUAUGUUAAAAAUAAGUAAUUCUUCUUUUUGUAUAUUAAAAUAGUAAAAGGGUGGAUAAUAUUUAAAUUUUUUUUUUACCUUUUAUCUUUUUUGACAUUCGAAUUUUAAACUCGAGAAAUAGACUUCCUGAGAGGUUAACUAAAUUCUUAGUAAUUUGAUAUAAUUUCAUAACCGUUCUCCAAAAGCAAUUUUAUAAAUCAUUGUGGAAAAGCUUUAUUCCUUAGUUAUCUUUCGCAUAUUUUCUUUGUAGUAUGAUAUUUAUUAAAAUCAUUAUGGGACUGAUUUUAUUCUCUUUUUUUUCUCAACAAAAUAUCCGACUGCAGAUGUAAUAAAUUACUAAUUACAAUUAUUUGAGUCCCACUCUAAAUUAGAUUUUGAAAUAAAGUUACAUUCUCAAAUGACCAAAUGAAUUAACGAGUCUGACAAAAAGAUGUUGUCGGCCAAGUUGAAAAAUAUAAUAAAUAAAUUGUCAGGAGAUGAUUUUUUCUGAAAUUUCACUUUCAAGGUCCAGAACACAUUCAAAUUUCCGUUGAAAUUCAUAAUGGAUUCAUAUGAUCGGGCGAAAUUACACUAUACAAUUUCAUCAAUACCUAUUAAACGAUAAAAAAUUUAUUGAUUAUUUAUAAUUAAAAAAAAUCUAUCUACUAAGACUAUUCUAGAUCAACAAUUAAUAUAUUAAAUAUAACUUCAGAAGGUUCAUCGGUGUAUUGAUCUAAGCCUUUUGCAGUAGUUUAUAAAUAUUUUGUUGCUUAUAAUGUAAGAAAUUUUACAGGAGUUGAUGCUGAGUAGUCUGAAUAAGAAAAUUAAUUAUAUUGUAAGUUAUUGGGUAUUCAUAAUAAAAUAAACAAAUAAAAAAUGAAUAAAAAUUUAAAUACUUAAUUAAUUUUUAUCAAAUUCUUAUCAAAUAUUUAAAAUAUAUAUAAAAUCAAUUAAUUGAUGAUGUUGUUAAUUUUCAUGAUAUUUUUAAUAUUAUAUUAGUGAUUAUUAAAUUUAAUACAAUCAAUAAUGCUAUAAAUUAUUAAAUGGUUAAUUUUAUUGACAAAUUAUCAAAUAUGCAAAUAAUGAAAAAUUAAUCUCAAGAGUUGGUAGAAGUAAAGUUCCAAUUUAAUCAGAUGAUAGAUAAUAAAUAAAAAUAAUUUUUAAGUAAAUUAUAAAUUAAAAAAUAAUUAAUAUUAAGUAUAAAUAAACAAUAAUGAUAGAAAUUAAAGUCUCAUAAGAGUAUCUCCAAAAGACUCUUCAAAUAAGAUUCUACUUCUUAUUUGAAGAGCCAUAUCAAUAUUUAACACUCCAAAAGACACGUUAAUUUAGAUUCUUCAAAUAAGAUUUGUUUCUCACUCUUCAAUAUUGCCGAGUGAGUUUCUCCCUCUUCUAUUAAUAUUUUAUUAUUAUUUAUUGAAAAGAUAAGACUGCAAUAAUUAUUAUUUAUGUUUCUUUUAAAAAAUAUAAUAACAAUACAAUUUGAUAGUGGGAAAAUUUGAUUAAAAUAAUAUUAAUUUAUUCUUAUUUGGUGAGUCUUUUGGACGGGAUUAUAUUUUUUUAUACACUUAUUUGCCACAUCAGUAAGCAAAUUGAAAUUUAAAGAGUAAAAUUUAAAGAUCCUUUUGGAGAUGCUCUAAAUAGAUAACUUUUUUUCUUUAAUUUUAUCCCAACUAAAAUCAUGUGUAAAUUAGAAUGAUUAAUCCCAUAAUUGUAGGAUGAAACUUAAAUUUAGUCCCCGAGUCCAAUUCAAUUAAGUUUAACAAACAUGAGAUAAAUAUUUAAUCACAAAAUUAGUCCAAUUUCGUACUUAAUCCUAGUAUAUGAACAUGGAUUGAUAAAAUAAUUUAGGUAAUAUGCUUCUAUGACUUACAAUUUAAAUAAAUUUGAGAAUUUAUAUAAGGGAUGGAAAAUUCAUAAUAAUCAUAACAUGUGCUAUCUUUUCUUCCUUUUCUUAAUUAAAUAAAAGAAAAAUAUUCAUCACAGAACCACCGCUGUUUAAAAUGACCCGAUGAUCGAUGAAGUCGCAUUCGCCUAUCUAAUAUUGCGCAAUCAGAUAAAUUCUCAAAUUUAAAAUGAAUUUAAUCUGCAAUUAUAUCAAUAACUACACAAUAAAGAUUAAAAAAUUUCAAAUUAUACUUGAGUUAAAAUUUAAUUCUUUUUUAUUGUUUAAAGUAAUUUAUUUAUAAUUAUUUUAACCCAAUUAGAUUUAUUUUUUUUAAUGCUUGUUCUAUGACAGAAUUGGUCCUCAAAGUUUAAUUAAGCUUGAGAUGGAUACUCUCAGCAAUUUAUUACCUAUUUUAUUAGAAUCUAAGAGGAAAAGAGAGUUGCGAUUUGUAUGUGUAGAAAGAAAAUGUCAAAACGAAAUGUUAAUGUCACUUGUAGAGAGAGAGUUGGGACUGAUGACCAUAUACAUUUUUCCGCCCCUAAUAAGAGCUUGCUUGACGAUAGUGAAGAACUAAUGAGACUGAGGAUCUGCAAUUUAGUCAUGAAAAAUUAGUGACUAAAUACAACUAAAUUUCAGUUUUCUCUUUCUAAUUUCUUUGGGAUCCAGAAAAAAACAUUUCCCCCUCAAUUUUCUGUUUGCAAGGGGGUAACUGUAAGCACAGUCUGAUUUUAUUUUCAGGGAAUAAUAUCGGUGAACCACCGUCGGGAAAAAUUUGAAGUCUAAACAGGUCAUUCACAGAUAAGGCCAAAGAGUAAAACAGGUCGUUCAUCGUGCGUUUGGAUUCCUUUCAUCUUGUUAAUUAUUGAAGACAAGAUGAAAACGCAACUAAUGGGGGCCGUGUAUGGUGUAUAAAAUAGCAUUAAUUGUUGUCUGUGUUUGUUGUUUAAUGCUAUUUUAUACACCAUACAUGGCCCCAAUUCCAAUUAGGGGAAUUCAAUAUUUUAAUUUUUUGCAAGAUGACUUUCAUCUAUCUCAUUGGCAGGCCGGCCAAGACAGUAAUCAUCCAUUUCAUCUUAUGAAUUAUUGAAGACACGUAGCUGUUCGACGCCUGCACUUUUCAAAUCUGAAGAGCAAUUAGACAAUAUUUCUAUUUCAAAUUGGGGCCACACUCCAAAAACAUUGCAAUAAUUCUCUGUUUUAUACCUAAUAUUGCGCAAUCAGAUAGAAAAAAGGGUCGGCUGCAUGAUUUUUCCAACUUUUGUUUUAUUUUUUCUCUUUUCCACGGGCAUGGGCCCCGACCACCACAAAAUAAUUUGAGAAUGUUAUAUUUAACAAUUCUCUUUUUGUCGUGACAUAAUGGACUAAAACGGAAUCACAACUUUUUCAAAUGACCAAAUGGCUUCGCCCAACGUGAUAAUAAAAGGCCAUAUAGAUGAGAAAUGGAUCCAUACGUUAAAGCUAUAUUGAAACAUAUAAUAAAUAAAUAGUCAGGAGAUGAUUUUUAUCAAAAAUUUCACUCGCACGGUCCCGACCAAAUACAAAUUUGUGAUGAUAUUCAUAAUGAAUUUAUACAAUUAGGCGAAAUUACUCUAUAUAGUUCCAUCGAUAUAUAUUAUAUCAUUAAAAAUAUACUAAUAUUUAUAAUAAAAAAAAUUUAUGACUAUUCUAAAUCGACUGUAUUAUAUGUGAACUCACAAGAUUCAUCGAUAGAUUGCACUGAGCUUUUUGUUGCAGUUUACAAAUAUUUUGUUACUAAUUAUCUUAAGAGCGGCAAGUAACUAAAUACAAAUGUAAGAAAUUUUACAAGUGCUGAUGCUGUGUACUCCGCAGAAAGCUAGCCCACGACGGUGACUCCUGUGGGGACUCCUUCAAUUUGCAGCACAAAUUGACAUUGACUUGAGGGUAAAAAUUAAAAUAUCUCCAAUUAGUAUAAGAAGAAUCCAAACAUGCUUGAAUGAACAUUCUCUCAGAAUACAUAAAACCUACUUUUCUCAGAGCAUUUUAGCAGCAAGAAAAGCAAUUGCAUCAUUUACCAUUUGAUCUAAUAUCAGAAUGGCUCAUGCGCUCGUUUCCUCUCUCUUGGACCAGCUGAAUUCCAUUGCUCAAGAUCAGGUGAAAGAAAAGUGGAGGCUUGUGACGGGUGUCGAACAAGAAGUGGGAAAGCUUACCACCAAUCUUCAAGCCAUUCAAGCUGUGCUGGAAGAUGCAGAGCAGAGGCAAAUGAAGCAGGACAAAGCUGUUACUUUUUGGCUAGAUCAGCUCAGAGACGCAUCCUACGACAUGGAAGAUGUGUUGGAAGAGUGGAUCACUGAAACACGGAAAUUGCAGCUUGAUGAGCGAGGCGAUGAUGAUGAUGAUGAUAACGACAGUGCUUUUGUUACUUUUUUGACGAAGGUAUGUUCCUUCUUUCCUGUUGCCUCAAACUGCUUUGGUGGUUUCAAACAACUCAGCCUUCGUCAUGAUAUUGCUGUCAAGAUUAGAGAAAUCAGUGAAAAGCUAGAUGUUAUUGCCAGACAAAAAGAUAGUUUCAAAUUUGUUGAGAAUGUGAGUAACAAUGUUAGGAAACCAGAGCGAGUGCGAACCACCUCCUUGAUUGAUGAGGGAGAGGUUUUUGGUAGAGUUGAUGAGAAAAGUGAGCUAUUAAGCAAGUUGUUGGGUGAAAGUAGUGAACAACACCCUCAUAUCAUCUCACUGGUUGGGUUCGGGGGUAUAGGUAAAACCACUCUUGCACAACUAGCCUAUAAUAAUGAUGAGGUGAAAAGAAAUUUUGAAAAAGUUAUAUGGGUGUGUGUAUCAGACACUUUUGAGGAGGUUAGGGUGGCCAAAGCAAUCAUUGAAGGUCUAGGCGAGUCAAAAGAAGCUUCUGAUUUAAGCGAAUUCCAAUCUCUUAUGAGCCAUAUCUAUAGAUCAAUUGGAGGAAAAAAAAUUUUUCUUGUCUUAGAUGAUGUAUGGGAUGGGGAUUCCAAUAAAUGGGAUCCAUUCUUCUUUUGUCUAAAGAAUGGUCUCCACGGAAGUAAAAUUUUGGUUACCACACGUAAUGAGUCAAUUGCACGUAUGAUGGGAACAACAGAGUCAGAUACUAUCUCCAUUGAACAACUGGCUGAAGAGGAAUGCUGGUUGUUUUUCAAGCAGUUAGCAUUUUUUGGUCGCUGUUUCGAGGAUUGUGAAAAAUUAGAACCAAUCGGGCGAAAAAUUGCAUGCAAGUGCAAAGGCCUGCCUCUUGCUGCAAAGGUAAUAGGGAAUCUCUUGCGCUCUAAAAUUACAGUAAAAGAGUGGCAAAGAAUUUUAGAUAGUGAAAUGUGGAAAGUAGAAGAGAUUGGGCAAGGUCUUUUGGCUCCUUUGUUGUUGAGUUAUAACGAUUUGCCCUCCAAUUCGAUGGUAAAACGGUGUUUCUCAUAUUGUGCUGUCUUUUCAAAAGACUACAGUAUGAACAAAGAAGAAUUGAUUAGUUUGUGGAUGGCUCAAGGUUACUUUAACGUAGAAGAAGACGAAGAAAUGGAGAUGAUUGGAGAAGAGUAUUUCAACAUCUUGGCAACACGCUCUUUCUUUCAAGAGAUUGAAAAAGAUGAGGAUGAUGAUGAUUUUAUGAGCUGUAAGAUGCAUGACAUAGUACAUGAUUUUGCCCAAUUUGUAUGUAGAAAAGAAUGUUUGUGGCUAGAAAUUGAUGGUAACAAAGAAUCAGUCAUAAAUUCUUUUGAUGACAAAGUCCGUCACCUAGGAUUAAAUUUUGAAGGAGGCGCUCCACUUCCUAUGUCCAUUCAUGGACUUAAUAGAUUGCGGACCCUCCUAAUUGAUGAUGGAAGUUUUCUCUAUCCAUCUCUUCAUAGUAGCAUCCUUCCGGGGUUAUUUAGUAAAUUGGCGUGUUUAAGGGCAUUAGUUAUAAGGCAAUCGUCCUCAUUUUCUGAUCCUAGCCCAUAUUUGAUUACAGAAAUUCCAGAAAAUGUUGGAAAAUUGAUACAUUUAAAAUAUCUUAAUUUGUCUAAAUUAUGUAUAGAGAGACUGCCUGAGACUUUGUGUGAAUUAUAUAAUUUACAAAAGCUAGAUAUUAGGGGUUGCGUAUAUCUUAGAGAAUUGCCUGCGGGGAUUGGGAAGUUAAUGAACAUGAGGAGUUUACUGAAUGGUGAAACUGAUUCGUUGAAGUACCUACCAAUAGGGAUUUCUAGAUUGACCAGCCUUCGAACAUUAGAAAAGUUUGUUGUGGGUGGAGGUGUUGAUGGUGGCGGCACGUGUAGGCUUGAAUCUCUGAAAAAUCUUCAACUCCGUGGUAAAUGUUGUAUAGAAGGGCUGAGUAAUGUGUCGCAUGUAGAUGAGGCUGAGAGGUUACAACUUUACAAUAAGAAAAACCUCCUUCGUUUGUAUCUUGAGUUUGGUGGAGCCGUAGAUGGGGAAGGCGAAGCAGGGAGGAGGAAGAACAAUGAGAAAGAUAAACAACUUCUUGAAGCCUUACAACCGCCUUUGAAUGUAGAGGAGUUAAGGAUUAUAUUCUACGGAGGCAACAUUUUUCCCAAAUGGUUGACUUCACUAACCAACCUAAGGGAUUUAAUACUUUUCUUCUGCGUUAACUGUGAGCAUUUGCCUCCUUUAGGAAAAUUGCCUCUGGAAGAACUCGGACUAUUGAACUUGAAAAGUGUAAAAAGAGUGGGAAAUGAGUUUUUGGGAAUAGAAGAAAGCACUGAGGAUGAUCCAUCUUCAUCUUCAUCGUCAUCAUCAGUUAUUGCCUUCCCCAAAUUGAAAUAUCUCGAAAUUUGGGGAAUGGAAGAAUUGGAAAAGUGGAAUUACAGGAUUACAAGAAAGGGAAACAUCUCCAUCAUGCCACGUCUUUCUGCCUUGUCGAUUUGUGAUUGCCCCAAAUUAAAGGUGCUGCCGGAUUACAUUCUUCAAACAACGACACUGCAGGAAUUGAGGAUUGAGGACUGCCCUAUUCUAGAAGAACGUUACAGAGAGGGGAAAGGAGAAGACUGGCAUAAGAUUUCUCACAUUCCCCACAUCAAGUGGUCGCCGUAAGAUAUCACUCGCCGGUAAUUCCUCCUCCUCUGAUUUACUUCGUUAUUGCUUGUAAUGAAAUUAAUGAAAAUAAUUAUAUUUUGAAUUAAAAUUCUAUAUUAUUAUUAUUUCUCUCCUCGAAUGGUUGAAAUUUCACUCGCCCCGUAAAUUCUCGAAUGGUUGCAAUUACUAUCACCCGCCGGUAAUUUCUCUCCUCUGUUUUACUUCAACCAUUAAUUUAAUGGGUCACUCUAUGAUGUUGUUAUAAAAAUUAUAGAAUCAAUCAUGGUAUAAAUAUGUACUGUUAGAUUUAAUCAAUGGUUCAUGAAGUUAAAAGUUAAUUAGGAUAAUAUUUUAAAUUCAAUUAUUUAAAAUUUAAACUUCCUAGUUAUUAAAUCUAUUAAACUUGUUUUAUCAAAGCUAAAUAAUUAAAAAAAAAGUAUAGUCUGUUGAAAUUUCUAUAUUUUCUUUUAAAAAACAUGUAGUCUUUUGUAAAAUUUCAUACAACAUCAUAGAAAACCUAACGUAUUUUAUUUUUUAAUGCACGAAAAUUUGUUAUGUGUAACUUCCUGAGAGACAAAAUCUCUGUGAUGCAUUUGCAGUAAUGUUGAAAACUAAAUUAUCAAUUUUAUCUUGUAUAAUGAUAAUCGUGUUUUUUUAUAUAUAAUUUAUGUGACAUUAAUUCUUUAAAGUAAUUGUGUAAUUGUUUUUAGUAGUACAUUAGCCCACUUUGUUUUAUUUCAUACGAGUUUAAUAAUGUUCGCCAGGGAUUCGAGGAAAUGUCAGAACUACACUAAGAAUUCACAGGUCCAAGCUAAUUUAGUUUUAAUGAUGCAGGUAGGAGAGCAAGACUAAGAAAAUGAAAAGUUUAGCCAAAAGAUUACUAAAAUGUUCUGCUGGUAAUUCACUUGCCUUGUUUAAUAGAAUUUCAUUUCCAUCUUCUUCUAUUGAUAUCUUGUUGUGAAUAAACAAGAACAUAGAAGUAAAUAAUUGAAACGCAGAGAAGUAAAGAUAUAUCAAAAUUCGCUAUUAUGAUGAUGUUAAAGCAAGCUCAAGCAUUGCAUUUUUAUUUUAUUUAAUUUAUAGAAUUUUCAUUUCCACCUGCAUUGCAUUUUUACUUCAUUUUUAGGUUGACGUUGAAGACUCUUAUGGAGAACAUUGGAGUAACCAAGGAUUAUUACUGUGGUUAUUGUGCAACGUUUGGUUGCUGGACUUUGAAGAAGGAAGUGAUGGCCGGGUCUGCUCUGUUUCAAUUGAGGAUGGAUAGCUGCCUGAAAGACAUGAUGAUUAUUAUUGCAUGAUGUUUAGGUGCUAAGAUCAUCAUUUCUAUCUUGCUUCAUUCUUGGAAUCAUUUAUCCUAUAUAAACAUAUUGAAUUGUGCUAAUAUUAUCACUUGUGUCAAUGGAGGCAGGAAUUUGGUGCUGAAACUAUUAUGCAGGUAACCACACUUGAUAAUUUACACAAAUUUGCGUUGUCAGAAUAUCCUUUAAUAUUCAUUGUGUUUCUUUGUGUUAUCAGGUUAUCAUGGUAUAUAGAGUAUCAUUUUCAAGGAUUUGUAAGAGCUUUCGCAGUAAAGUUAGUCAUCACCACCUUGUGCAAUUGCACAUACAUUCAUAGUACUUCAAUAUUAGAUUUUCAAGGUUUGUAUGUUUAGUUGAGAUUAAAAUGUUUAGUCACUCAUUCUUAAUCUUUUCUGAUUUUCAAGUUCUUUAGGGCCAUAAACAGUUUUUCCAACUCAUUCUUAUUUUUUAGGUUGAUUUCGAGUACUCUGUGGAGAACAUUGGUGAGACAAAGGAUUAGACUGGCGAUGGAACUGCUGCCUCUGCUGUUAUUGUGCAAGGUUUGAUCACUGGACCUUGAACAAGAAAGCCUUACACGCAUUCUGUAAUUCAAGCGUUCUCUAAAACGAACGAGCAGUAGAAGGAAUAGUAUGACCGGAUCUGCUCUAUUUUAAUUGAAAAUCUCUGUGAUGUUGACGAGCUUAAAGUAGUUGAUGCUUUUUGAAAAUUGUUAUUACGAAUGAAUUCAUUCCUGAAGACGAGUAGCUAAUGAUUGUUAAGGCUUAUUUUCUUAAAGUUCCUUUCUUAACAAAUGUUUCAAUGCUGGCUGUAGUAACAUUUUCAUAUCUUGCAUCUCUCGGGUGCAUCAUGUUCGCGGGUUUGAAAAAGCAUUUUUGGUAAAGUUUCAAAGGUUGUACAACGGCUGUGAAAAGGCAUAUUCAAUUCGGUACGUUUUGGUGUGGUCUCCUAAUGCUAAUAUCAUAUUUUGUAUAGCAAUUAAAAUUUAGGUAUACAAUCUUAAUAUGCAAUAAAUCAUUGUGUACAAAGUUUUCUAUUAAUUAUAUGGUGACUGAAAUUUUAAUUAUAAUUUUAAUUAUCAUAUCAAUCUUAAAUUUUUUUGUAACUCUUUUUUACUUUGCUUGUACAGAGUACCUGUUUUGGCUGAUAUGUCUAGUUCGUAGAAAUUCAUUUCCACUGGUUUCCAUUUGCUUUAGCACAAACAGAAACAGAGCUCUGGGGAAAAGUUUGACUUCUUGUGGUAUUAUGCCGUUGUUUCUUCAUUCAUCAUAUUAUUCGAAUUCAUGCUCUCAUUCAGAGGGUGAAGCCUUUUCUAGGCUGCUUUGUAGCCAAAUUUUUACGCCAUUGAUGCAUGACUGUCAUUUAGAUUUUCCAAAUAACUGCUAGAUUAGAGAAGAAUAAGAAGAUAUUGUUAAAAGGGUAUUUAAUUAGCGCCCUCUGAAUUUAGUUGCCAAUAAUGCAUUGAAAUAGUCGGGGAAAGUUAUUUUCUUAAUUAAAUUACAGGUGAUAAGAUGCUGCUUCAAUUUUGCAAGCAUCUCGUAUUGCGAAGAUUUUGCCCACAUGAGAUCCCACUAUUCUUGACAUCAGGGUAACGCAGGUCAAAUUUUAGUAUCAAUAUAUAUCUUCUUCUUUACUGUUCUGCCUCUAAAUAUUAAACUUUAGGCAAGUUGUUUUUGUUUGUGUAAGUUAUCAGGUUCAGGAUACUAAGCAGCUUAAUUGUUCGCCACACCUAGUAUGAAUGAUGGCCAGGAACAUUAAUUGUUCACAAGCCAAUUUGAUUAGUGUUAGAUUUUUUGCCUUCCUUCGAAAGAUAUCAUCAUCAAAUUUGAGUUGAGAAUAUUUGAAGAGAAUUUUGUUUUGAGAGUUUCACUGUAGUGAAUUUUGGGUUUGCGUUUGAGCACACACAAAGGAUGCACUAAAUAUAACAAAAGUAUAUUUCUACUUCUUGUGGUUAUUUUAAUUUUGUUUCUCGUGUCAUCAUAUUUGAUUAAUUCGUUCGAAUUCACACUCACACAUUUCCAUGAAUAAUUGUUAGGCUGGUGGAGAUAUUUUUAAAAGGGCAUUAACCUACCUUAUGGAAUUGGAAAGUUAUUAUUUCUUGAAAGCAGGCAGCAUCUUCGUUGCGUAGGCUUUCCCCACUUGAUAAGAUGCUGACAUUGUUACCGGCCCCUUAAUUAUUUAUUAACUCAGGUAUUUAUUAUCAAGUACAUCAUCUUAUUCAACAUUUUGGCUAUAUAUAAAGAUUAUAAUUUCUAACAGUUGUUUCGGAUUCUUGUGUACUCAGGUUAAUAGGGCAAAUGUCAGAAUGAAGACUGUUCAGUUUAACCCGUAUAGCAAGGAUGAUAGCGGUGAGGAAGAUUGUUGGCAAGCCAAAUAGAGCCCUCCAUUUUGAGAAAUAUCAUCCGCAUAUUUGAAUUGUUGAGCAUGUGAAGUGAACCUUCUUAUGGAAAUACCUUCCUGUUUGACUUGCAAAAUACAUUACAAAAGCUCCCAAACAGUAUAUUUGAACAGAGUUACCCAUUUUGAGAAUUUUGACUCCCAAACAAGACUGCAGAGUUGUGUAUGGUGGGAUUAGCUGCAGGAGCAGUGCAAGAUUCUUUGUCAAACUAUCUGGCUGGUAAAAAGACUGUUGCCAAACUUCCUUUUCAUUCCUUUGUUCACUUACUCGUUAUAAAUAAAGUAAAAUUAGAAUAUUGUUCCGUUUACUGUCUAAGCCGGUCUAACAUUUGUUUAAUUUGGGCAAUUUUUAAUGCCUGACAGGUUAUCUGUGACAAACCCAUCUGUGAGUACUAAUGUGCUUGGUUAUGGUGCUUUCAUUGGACUACAUGCAAACAUGAGAUAUCAGCUAUUGUGUGGAUUUGAUAGAGACGUCGCCAACCAUUUUGAAGUUAUUGGAGUAGCAAUGUUGUUAAGCACGGCUUUGAGGUCUCUCCCACCCUCUUUUACGUAUUUGUCAAUGAUCGACAUCUCUAUAUAUACAUUGAUACACCAAAUUACUCUUGUUUUAAUGUUUUGUUUGUUGAACUUUGACUGGGUUAUUUGUUUAUUUGUCUCAUAUGAUGUUAAUGCGGUUCCUAUAAAAGUGGAUAUAGAUCUAUCACCUCAAAGUCUGAUUUCAACUUUCCUUCACUUAAUCAACUAGCAUCCUUUCCAAGUCCAGAUACUUACCAAUAGUGAGACUUUGCUACGGAAGUACAAUUUCUCUUGUUUUACAGUUAAAUAUGUAAGAAUAGUUUCAAAUUUACAGAAUUCUGAUAUAGUUCUCUAAGGAAAUGCAGGUGGUGAAUAUGGUUCCAACUUUUAAUAGGCUUUAAUAGGCCCAUUUGUUCAGCCACAGUGAUUGCGGUCUAAAUUCUUCUUUACUGUCUGUAUGUGUUGGAGUUUGUCUAUUGUCCAACUUCUCCAAUGGAUUCCAUGCAGGGUUUUGGAUGUCUAAUUAGGAGAAAGAUCGACAGAUGACCUUUUGAAGAAGGCUUACACAACAGGCCAUCUCAGGAUGUCAUGGCUCAGCACAAAAGUGCCCAGGUGGUUACUGAGCAAGAUAGAGAGAGAAGUUUUUUCUUCUUCAGGCUACCUUCCGCAGCUGUGGCAUACAUGAACUAAGUAGCUACGCGAUCAACAGAAAGUUAGUGACGUGACUUGGGGAUCGAGGGAUUGAUACCAAAGAAUGCCAUUUUUCUGAGCUUGGGCUCCUUGGCUUCAAACAAAACAGUGUUGACUCUAUUGAAGGGGAAAUAGGGGCAACUAAAGCUCGAAGAAAGAGGAUAGUCCGGAGGAAGGUGACUGCAUAAAUUUCUUGGAGUUAAUGUAGUCAAUUGCCCAAUUUUGCUGCCUGUCGAAGAGACACAGCAUGGAAGUCCUCAUCAAACUCUGAGACACCUAAGAACUAGUAGGAGGUGGUGGUAUUCUCCAUAUUUCCUGACAAGUAUAGUUAAUUUUGUUUUAGCUAUGAAUUGUUUCCUAGAUAAUAAUAAUUGCCUUGUUCCUUUGGAGUCUUAUUUACUCUCCGUAACUCAGUUCAAUUUUGCAAAUUCUAUUUCAGAUUUCUUAUAUAGUGUGUCUUUGUUACUUUUGUGAUGCCUUUUUUAUCGCAAGUUUCCAUUUGAAGUAUCCGAUAUUCUUUACAGACUAAUUAUCUAAUGAUUAUUUUAUACAAAAAAAAUCAUAACUUUAAUCAAUUGAUCAUACUCAACUUAGGUCUUGUUUGAUGUUACUAGCUGUUGUUAAAAUAAAAAAAGCUGAAAUUUGACAAUGUGUAAUAAAUGUAAGACUUUUAAAUAAUAAUUUUUAAUACAAUUAAUAAAGAUAUUAUAAGUUUUUUUAUUAUAAUAAAAUAUGAGAUCAAAUCAAAUUAAUUUUUAAGUUACAAUAGCAAAUAUUUACCAAAACUGUUUAAUUAUGUAGCUUAAAAAGUAUAGUUCUCCAACCUCAACAUUAUAUAGGGAUUUUCCAGACUCUACCAGACUUUAGUUGUACUCACUCGAUCAUGCAAAUCCAUACUCAAUGUGCUUGGCCAUACAAGAUGUUACUCAACUUUAACAAGUCUUACUCAAACUUUGCAUGUUUGGCAUGCCGGAUGGAAUAUGAUAGUAUAUGAUGUGGUAGAAUAUUAUAGGAAUAGUAAUAACAAGAUUACAUGUAGUACUAGGUUACAUUUUACGUGAUGUGGUAUAUGAAUGGAUUAUAUUACAAAUUUUUUUGUUAUAAUAAUUAAAAAUUUGAAUUAUUUUAUUAUUGAAAAAAUGUAAUAUGUUAAAUAACAGUUAUUUUUAUUAAGUAAUUUCUUUGUAAUGAAUUAUACUUUUAAAAUAUAAUCGAAAAUUCUUAUUACUAAACUAAUAAAAAGUUAAUUAUUUGAGUUAUCUCCUAAACUACUUAGCUCACGGGAUAAAUUCACUUAGUUUAGAACGAAACAGUGGAUUUUAGAGCAUCACCAAAAGACUCUUCAAAUAAGAUUUUAUUACUUAUUUGAAGAACCACAUCAACAUUUAAAACUCCAAAAAACACUUCAAUUAAAACUUUUCAAAUAAAAAAUGAUUCUCUUUCUUCAAAUUUGGAGAGUUGCUUUCUCCCUCUUCAAUUUAUAUUUUAUUACUUUUUAUUAGAGAGAGAAAGAGAAGUGCUUUAAUUGCUAUUAACUUUUCCUCUAAAAAAAAUAAUUAUUUGAUUAAAAUAAUAUUAACUUAUUUUUAUUUGAAGAGUUUUUUGGCGAGUAGUAUAUUUUUUACCUUUCUAUUUACCACAUAAGUAAGUAAAUAAAUAGUUGAAAAGUAAAAUGUAUUAAAACUUUGAGUGGGACUACUGGCACCCCUCUAAAUACCUUUUAACACCCCUUUAGUUAUUUUAUAAUUUUAACCUUUAUUAAAAUUACAUAAUAAGACAAUCAUGAAUUUUACAAUUCUAAAUACCUCUUAACACCCCUUUCUUUUGUUUUUAUUUUAUUUUUUUAACAUUUCCGAGUUUACUCCAACUGCAAAUUAAUUUAUGAAUUAUGAUCUACAUACUAUAAAUUUAAGUAAUGCUACAAGCGACUGUAAAUAUUAAAAUAUCAGCAGAAAAAUAAAAAUAUCUUGAUUAAGAGACAAAAUAAAUAGUACCUGAAAUUGAAAUUCAGCAUUUUAAAAAUUAAGAAAGUUACUUUUUCAUCUUAUUUUCUGGUGAGGAAUUAUCGACAUCAGCAACUCAUCAUCAACAAACUUCAGAGAAGAAACUGAGACCUAUGAGGGAAAUUAAGAAAAAAGAAGGUAAUUAUGAAGCAAAGGACGAGCUUAACAAUCAUCAGAAUUAUUUUCCCACCGACAUGUUUUCCAGUGCCCCAGUUGUCUUUCUCCACAAAGGCACGCAGUCUUUCGAAGAAUUCGUGAUUCUGCAUUUUCAGAAGCUUGUGCUCAACAUCUUCAUCAGUAAACCAAAUUAGCACUUGGCCUUAUAAUUACACGCAUGGUAGCCAAGUGUUUGCAAGGUGUCAUUAUCAAUUACAAUGAGUUUAAAGUGCUGGCCAUGUGGUGUUUCAAUGAUUUGCCACAUUGAAGUCGAAGUUUCGUGGAGCAAGUUCCCUUUUCCUUUUUUUUUUUCCUUCUCUCUCUCUUUUUUUUCAAUAGAUGAUUAAUUGUCUCAAAAUCAGUCAAAAAUUAAAUGGGGUUUAUAUUAAUAAAUUUGAAUUAAGGAUAUUUUUAUCAUUAAAAGGGUGUUAAAAGAAUUUUAUAAUAUUUUUAAAUAUUUUAAUAGGGUUAAUAAAAAAAAGAGGUGUUGAGAGAUAUUUAGAGGGGUGCCAAUAGUCUCACUCAAAAACUUUUGAAGAUGCUCUUACUAACAUAAUUUUCUCCCAUUUCCAUAAUGUCCGCGUUGAGUGCAUGUAAUCCACGAGUUUGAUUGAGCAGAAUAGCCGAAAGUCUAAUGAUACCCACAUCCAACUUUGUCACAAAGGCCUGGACGCCAUUCCUUAAGCCCAUGUUGUUUCGGUUUUGAUGUUGUAUUAUCAUUUCACGGGUUUUGGUGCUCUAGGAUUUGGGGAUGGUGCUUCAACGCUGUGUUUAAUGCGUCCCUUUUGGCACUUUUUGUUAAUUUUUAUUCCAAGAGCUAUGCUAAGAAAAAGAAGCAGGGAUGAUCAAAGUGUUGUGAUUGUUUUGUGUUUUCUUUUUUAAUUUAUUUGAUUUUGGUUAAUUAUGAAUGGUGGUAAUUGGUUGAAUGCAAUUGAAGAGAUGCUUUCAAUUGCCUAAACUUUGUUUUUUCAAUUUUUGUAAUAAAUGUCAUUUGUCACCACAUUUUUUUAGUCUCUCCCUUUUAAAUUCCCUCACACAAACUUCGGAUUUGUAUUUUGUAAACUAGUACUUUUCAUUUUCGUUAAUGUGUUAGCUAUUAUUAUCUACAGUUAUGUCAUACGACACACAUGUCACAUUAGCUAAAAUUAGAUUAUGAAUUUUGGGCACAGGACCAAGUCCCACCGUUUGGUAGGAAAUAAGUGUUGGAUCAUAAACUUGAUCCAAAAUAAAUAAAUUCAAGUCCAACUCAUGGAAGAUUCCAUGAGUAGGUAUACUUGGUGAGGUUUGAAUUAUUUGUGUUAGGUGUGGUAGGUUUUAAUGGAUGGUGAGAAUUUGUGUAUUAGUUGAAUAAAUAGAUUGUUGUGAUUAGUUUGUUUCAUGUUUAAAUACCCCCCUCCCCUUUGGUUUAAAUAUAAAGUGAAGUAACAAAAUCUCUAAGGUGUAGAGAGUGAAAAAUAAGAGUUGUAAUUAGUGAGGAGUGUUAUUGAAGAAAUAAAAUAGUGUGUUUUAUUUGUUAAUUCUCCAAAAAAUGGUAUCAGAGCUAGUGUUUGAUGCUAUAUAUAGUAAUAUAGCAUAUCAAAUCGAAGAUCUCGACGAGAGGAACGUGACGCCGCAAAAAUCAUCCCGAUCCGAGACUGGACGCGCCCACACAUGCCGCCGGAAGCUUUAUGUCCUGAAGCUAAGUCGACUCACCGAGUUGAACCAAGCUGAGCCGAACCGAACCAAGCCGAGUCGAGCUGAACCGAAUCAAGUCGAACCAAGCCAACUGGAGCUGAAUCAAUCCGGACCGAACCAAGACUAUUAAGCCAACGCUGACCGUUGACCGUUGAUUGAAAGUUGACUCGAGUCCUUCCCAAGGUUUUUUGAUGUGCCAGAUCCAUCUGUGCUUUUAGAAUCUCCAAAUUCUCACUCAAUUUAUGAGUUAUGGAAAAUGGUGGUAUGAUGUCAUUUCAAGUUCUACAAUUAAAGGGAAGUAAGUUUGACCAUUGGAGUAUUAAAAUGAAGACUCUAUUGGGUGCACAGACGUAUGGGAUGUCAUGGAAAAAGGAUUUAUUGUGCUAGAAAAUGAAGCUACUUUAACUGUGGCGCAGAAGGAGAAUUUAAAAGACUUGAAGAAGAAAGAGAAUAAAGCAAAGUAUCUCAUCUUUCAAUCAUUAGAAGAAGAUGCUUUUGAAAAGAUUGCUGGUACAACCUCCUCAAAAGAAGCAUGGGAGAAACUAGAGAUCUCUUACAAAGGAGCGGAGCAAGUUAAGAAGGUUCGUCUCCAAACAUUAUGAGGAGAAUUUAAGUCCUUACACAUGAAGGCGUCGGAGUCAAUUUCUGACUACUUUACUCGGGUUGUGACCGUUUCUAAUGAAUUAAAUAGAAAUGGCGAGGAGUUAAAAGAGGUAAGGAUCAUUGAAAAGAUACUUCGAUCAGUAGACUUGAAGUUUGACCAUAUUGUUGUGACAAUUGAGGAAACAAGAGAUCUAGAGGAUAUGACGAUCGAGCAACUUCAAGAAAGGCUGCAAGCCUAUGAAGAAAAACAAAAAAAGAAGCAAGGAAUCAAAGAACAACUUCUCAAGAUGGAGGUCAAUCCAAAGAAAAGAGAAGAAAGCUCCGACAACGGAAGAAGACAUAUUUAUCUCCCAUGAAAGCUAUACAAAGGAGAUUCUAAAAAGGUUCAAGAUGAAUGAUUGCAAGCCUAUAAGCACGACAAUGGAAUGCAGAGUCAAGUUAUCCAAACAUGAUGAAGGGGAAGAUAUAGAUCCAACAUUCUUUAAAAGUUUGGUCGGAAGCCUAUGUUAUUUGACAUGCACGAGACUAGAUAUCUUUUAUGUUGUUGGACUUGUGAGCCGAUACAUGAAGAAUCCAAAGACCACCCAUUUUAAAGUUGCAAAAAGAAUCCUUUGCUACAUCAAAGCUACAACUAAUUUCGACUUGUUAUACUCAUUUUCUAAUGACUACAAGCUUGUUGGAUAUAAUGAUAGUGAUUGGGGUGGAGAUGUAGAUGAUUGAAAGAGCACAACAUGAUUUGUGUUCUUCAUGGGAGAUACUGCUUUCACAUGGAUGUCAAAGCAGCAACCAAUUGUCACGCUAUCCACUUGUGAAGCUGAAUAUGUAGCUGCCACAUCAAGUGCUUGUCAUGCAAUUUGGCUUAGAAAUUUGUUGAAGGAGUUGGGUUUGCCACAAGAAGAGCCAACCAAAAUUUAUGUUGAUAACAAAUCAGUAAUUGCCCUCUCCAAGAAUCCAGUCUUUCAUGAUCGAAGCAAACACAUAGGCACUCGCUAUCAUUUCAUAAGAGAGUGUAUUGAAGAAAAGAAGUGCAAGUCAAGUAUGUAAAAUAACAAGAUCAAGCAGUUGAUAUCUUCACUAAGCCACUCAAGCAAGAAGACUUCGUAAAAUUCAGAAGUUUGCUUGGUGUCACAAGAUCAAGUUUAAGGGGGGGUGUUGGAUCAUAAACUUGAUCCAAGAUGAAUAAAUUCAAGCUCAACUCAUGGAAGGUUCUAUGAGUAGGUAUGGUUAGUGAGGUUUGAAUUAUUUGUGUUAGGUGUGGUAGGUGUGGUUGGUGAAGUAGGUGAGUGGUAGGUUUUAAUGGAUGGUGAGGAUUUGUGUAUUAGUUGAAUAAAUGAAUGGUUGUGAUUAUUUUUGUUUCAUGUAUAAAUACCCCCUCUCCCCUUUGGUUUAAAUAUCAAGUGAAGUAACAAAAUCUCUAAGGUGUAGAGAGUGAAAAACAAGAGUUGUAAUUAGUGAGGAGUGUGGUUGAUAGAAUAGAAUAGUGUGUUUUUUUGUGUGUUUUGUUUGUUAAUUCUCCAACAAUAAGGAGCAUUAAUGAAAUAUGUUUAAUUAAGUAAUAAUUUGUUAUUUUAGAGUGAAAAAUAAGGGUAAAUUGUAUUCUACCCCAUAUUAGAUUGACAAACUUCAAUUUACCCCCUAAAAGUACAAAAACUUCAACUUAUCUCCAAAUACCAUUUUCUUCCCGUUAAAUUCAACUAUCGAAAGCAUAAAAUUAUAGUCUUACAUUCUCUUAACAGUCAACUAACGGAUAAGGUAAUUUCCAUAAAACCCAAAUGUAGGGGCGGGCAACGGUUUGGUUUAGAAGUUAGGAACCGAAUGGUUUGAAAACAAACGAACCGAUUGGUUUAUAUUUGGUUUAGUUUGAACUGACAAACCGAUUGGUUCGCUUCAACUUAAUUAAAAAUACAUUUAUUUUAAAAUAUAAAUGCUUAAAAUAUUUUUUUUUUCAUUUUUCAGUUUCCUAAUCUAAAAAUGUUUCAUAACCCUAAAUCAACAGCCAUCUCUCUCAAGUUCGGCGGAGGCACAACAAGCUCUCUCGGUCUCUCCCUCGCAAUCUCAUGGUGAUUGAAUUCUUGUGAUGUCUCCACUUUUGUUUCUUGUUCUUGUGUGAUCGAAUUCUCUCUAUACACACAUACCCCAGCCUCUUGUUCUUUGGCUUAAUGGAGUUUCGUUUCUUUUCUCUCAGUUUCUUUCCUGUUGAAUUCUCGUGAUGUUUCUAUUUUUUUCUUGUUUUUUAGACGUGUUUUCGAAAUUGGCAUAAUGCGAACCAAACCCGAACUGAAUUUCAAAAUCGAAUCAAAUUGAACCAAACUGAAAUUUUUAUGUUCGGUUUGGUUCAAUUAAAAAAUUUGGUAUGCAUUCGGUUCUCUUUCUUAAGAACCAUUUGGUUUUAGUUCAGUUCGGUUUUGGUCUAGAAAAGAACCGAACCGAACCAAAACAAACCAUAUACUGGCCACCUUGCUCAAAUGUUUCAACAAAUUUCAAUGCACACUUAAACAUGUCAAUAAAAUUCGCUUUGUACCCAAAUUGAUAAUUUUUAUUUUUUAAUUAGUUAAUUUUUAACUGCAGAAGCAUAAAAAAUUAUUUCUUUUUAAAAUAAGAAAAAUAAUUUUUUUUCUAACUUUUUUCCUUUUUUUAUUUUCUAGUUAAUUUCUUUAUCUGGUUCGGUUCAUUUUUCCCUUUUUUAUUUCUUACUGUUUUCUGCAUGUUCUCCACGCUUCAACUUCGCCAAGCAUCAUAAGGCCACAAUAGCCAUGCCAGCAAUGGUGCAGCAACGUUAACGCCACUGUUCCAAGUCUUGGCCCAUCAUCUGCUUUUCAACAAACCUUAGCUUCUUCCCAAAUUCAUCAAUGAACCCCAGAACCAGACUAAUCAUUAAAAUUAUUAACAACCAUUUGCUUGGAUCAAUGUAUGCUUGGCAUGUCUAUGGGCUUACUUGUUAUGGUCGCUGAUGGCCUUGGGCUUGCCUGGAAUGGUCGCAACGCGCAGCCAUGGGCUUGCUUGGAAUGCCCGAACCCAGCUGCCAAGGUUUUGCUAGCGUAUCCAUGGAUUUUGCUGGACAUGGCAGUGCGAGGCCAUGGGUGUUGCCGGGCAAUGGACAUGGGUUUUGCUGGGCUGAUUUGGAAUUAACAGUGGCUAUGGAGUUGUUAAGUGUGUGAAAGAUAAAAAAAAAACGAACCAAGAAGAAGAUGAACAGGGAAUAGAACGAAGAAGAUGAAGAAAGUAGAAGAGAGGGAAAAAAUAUUUUGCUUUUUUAUAAAUUUUCGGAUUUUUAUUUCAAAAUUUAUAAUUUUUGUUUAAAUUUGAGAAUCUUAAGGGUAAAAUUUUCUUUGUAACUAUGUAGAAGGAGGUUUUCAGAUGGUUUUUGGUUGGGUUAACAUGAAAUAUGCUUGUUUUAUGAAAUAUUAUUAUUGAGGUUUUGUUUUAUUUUCUAAAAGUUAGAUUAGAGGAUGAUUUUCAUUAAUGACAUCCAUAAAGUUUGAAUUAGUUAUAUUAUAGAAAAAUAGGGAUUUAAAUGAUAUAUCUUUCCAACAUAAAUAUAUCAGUAACAUAAGUUAUUCUAUAAUUAACAGGGGUAUUAUCGUAUUUUAGUGAGUCAAUAUUGGUUGAUAGUUAAAUUUAACAGAUUUUAGAGAGUAAAUUGAAGUUUUUAUUUUUAUUUUUGAGUAAAUUAAAGUAUGUCAAUCUCAUAAGGGGUUAAAAUAUAAUUUACCCAAAAAUUAGUGUUAAAAUUUUAUAGAUGAGUGUAUAUUAAGAUGUUCAAAGUAUUAGGACAUAAUGAAUAUUAUCCUCAACCUCAAGAGAAACAUAUCAAUAAAAUAUACAAAAAUAGAAUGCAUUAGUACAUGUCAAUAAGAAGACCAAUUAGAUCAUGUCAUAUUUGUUAUGUGGUUAUUUUUAAAUUAAGAAAAGGAACAAUGAUGGUUUUACAAAGUUUGAAUAUAAAAUUUAUAAUCUAAAAUUAAUGAUAACGUGUUAUUAAGCUAAUAGAGUAAGAAGUCCCNNNNNNNNNNNNNNNNNNNNNNNNNNNNNNNNNNNNNNNNNNNNNNNNNNNNNNNNNNNNNNNNNNNNNNNNNNNNNNNNNNNNNNNNNNNNNNNNNNNNUUAGCUAUAGAGUAGAGUCCCAAAUGCAUGUACAUCAUAUCUUGGUAAGAAAUUGGUUCUACCCAAAAUACUUCUUUGUAUUGAAAUCAAUGAUGAUUGCUUGUUUAAAUCAUGAAAGUUAAAAUAAUUUUGUAAAUCAUUUCAUUCUUUAAUUUACGGUAUAAAAAUAAAUUAAAAAAAUGUUAAUUUCUCCCAUACUUUUAGGACUCAAAAAAUAACAAAAAGUCUUAACAUAUUUAAUGGUUAUAUAUAAAUCAUCCGUAUGUAUUUUUCUUGAGAGAAGCUCAAUUCGAUAGGCAAUGCUCCCCAUAGUUUUCUUUUCUAAUUAGAUAAAAGAACAAAAGAAAUUGAUUACAAUAAUUCACGGCGAAGUCACCUUGGUCUACCUGAUAUAUAUUACAGAGGUAAGCUUCUUUUUAAUGCCAAACUAGAAUAACAAACUUUAAUUUACUUCUUAAAGGGUAAAAACCUCAAUUUGUCCUUAUAUUUGUUCAAAAGAUACAUUUUGUCUUCUUAAUAUAAACAAGUUAAAUUGAUGUUUCACAUCUUUUAGAAAUAAAUUAAAAAUUGUUAUUCUAAGUAGGAGGUAAAUUUCAAAUAAAACAUGUGUUCAUAUGAUAGAUGUGCAUUUUACAAUAAUUAAUAAACAAAAAGGGUAGUGAUAUUUUCACCCUGCAAUUUUUGUAAAUCCACCCCCACUCCCAAGAAAUAAUUACAAUAAAUUCACAUAAUUUUUUAAAAACUCAAUAAAGAAAAUUUUUGGAGAUUUAAACUAUUAUAUACAAGAGGAUAGGAGUAAACAUUUUUCAUGCAGUAUAAAAAGAAUGGUGACACUCCUUUUCUUUCGGUAUUUUCGCACAAAAGCACGCUUAAUAACUGAUCAAAAUUAUUUCUCCUUUUCUUUGAUCGCUGAUUCGCUUCCCCUCUCCUGGAGCUGCUGAACUCCUUUGUUGCUGAUGAAGUGAACAGGUGAGGCUUUUCAAAUGACCACAAUAUGUAUAAAGACGAACUAAUUACACUAUCAGUGGCUCAAGGUUACCUUAAUGCAGAAGAGGGCAAAGAGAUGGAGAUUCGAUUCGAUUCGAUAAUAGUAGUUUAUUUUAAUUUUUAUUCAUUUAAUUUCAUAGCAGAAAUUUUUAUUUUCAUUUUUUUGUUGAAAAUUGGUAAAAACGAACUAAAAUGAGAUAAUUACAUUAAAACAAUCUUCAAUGACUAAAGUAAUUUGAAAAAAUAAAAAUAAAAAUAAACAAGCUCAAAAUUUACCCCUAAUCCGAACAUUAUCCGAAUUCAGCCUAAUUGACCCAAAUCUAAUUGUAAUCCAAACUUGACAUGACCCGCAAAUAAUUAUAACUCGAUCAGAUCCAAACUCAACCUGAAUUUUUAAUUCAAUACGAUCCAAUCCAAAUAUUCCAACCCCAUCAAAUUGAAACUUGAUCGGGUUGAUCCGAACCCGAAUUUGCCACUUCCGGAGGAGACCAUGACCCUAAAAGCUUUGAAAUAAUCUUUGCGGUUUCUUAAUGAAAUAUUAAAAGUUAUGUGCAAAAAGACUGAUUUGACCCUAGAAUACAUGAUAUAUAAAUUUCAGACAUUAUAUUCUGUGAAAUAAAGUCAAAGUAAACUGGUCGUUUGAUUUUUUAUUAAUUAUUUUCCAUUAAGACAAAAUGACAAAUAGACUUUUUUAAAAGUUUAAUAAAGUUUGGGCCUAACUCCUUGAUUUUUAUUUUUUAAUUAUUUUUCAUUUUGUUUUUUACUUGCAACAUUAGCUUUAAUUAUCAAUCAGUCUCCAAAUCAAAAUGACUGAAACCUGUAGCUACAAGCAAAAUUCUCAAAUUUUGAAAUUUCUAACGACUACUUAAUAGCUAUAAAUAGAAAAAUCAUCUAAAAUUAAUCCUCCUUCAGAGGCAGAUUAAAUUCUUAGUAAUUUCAUAUAAUUUCAUUUCAUCAGAACAAUUUUUCAAAAGCAAUUUUAUAAAUGGUUGUCGAAAGCUUUAUCCCUUAAUCAUAUUUCACGUAUUUUCUUUGUAAUAUGAGGCGCGUCCAUAGACCAUAGUAUGAUAUUUAUUGUAAUUAAAAUCAUUAUGGAACUGAUUUUAUUCUUGUUUCUCAAACAAAGUAUCUAACUGCAGAUGUAAUAAAUUACUAAUUGCCAUUAUUUGAGUCGCGCUCUUUGAAUUCGAUCUUGGAGUUUCAAAUGACCAAAUGAAUUAGUAAGAUAAUGGCUUUUCGUUCCGAGAGCUAUGCUAAGAAAAAGCAGGGAUGAUCAGAACAAAUAGUGUGUUGUGAUUGUUUUGUGUGUGUGUGUGUGUGUUUUUUUUUUAAGUUUUAUUUUGUUUAAUUAAGAAGGGUUAUGAUCUGUUCAUUGCAAUUGACAGAGAUGUUUUCAGUUGCCUAGACUUCGUAUUUUCAGUUUUAGUAAUACAUGUCGUUUUUCACCACAUUUGUUUAGUCUCUCCCUUUUAAAUCCCCUCACACACAAAAAAUUAGGAUUUGUAUUUUGUAAACUAAUAUUUUUCAUUUUGUUAAUGUAUUAAUUAUUAUUAUCUACAUUUAUGUGAUAGGGCACAUGCCACAUAAACUAAAAUUAAGUUAUAAAAUUUUGCAGCCCCUGAGCACUCAAUGUUUGUAGGCACAAGUUCAAGUCCCACCAUUUGUUAGGAUUUAAAUAAAGAACAUUAUAACCAUGCGUCCAAGAACUUAAAGUUAGCUUAAGUGCAUGGAUUCGAGUCCUAGUUAUUGUUGAAAUUCGAUUUCCUUUCUAAUUAAAUUAAGUAAGGGUAAAAUUAUCUCUCAAUUAAUAAAGACAGAGUAGAUAUCUCUCUUGAUUUUCCUCCCAAUUAAAUUAGUUAGAAGUAAAAUUAUCUCUCGAUUAGUAAGAGUAGAAUAAAUAUCUCUUUAGUAUUAUGCAAGGGUAGAAUUUUGGGUUGUACCAUGUUAGAAUUAUCAAGGAUAGUUUUGAUAGAAUUCUAAUUGUAAUAUAUAAGUGUAUAAAAAAAAUGAACAUUAAUGAAAGAUGUUUAGGUAAGGACUAUCUUGGAAUAGAAUUUUGAUUGUAAUAUAUCAAUAUAUAAAAAGAAAUUUAUGAAAAAUGUUUAACAAGGACUGUUUUGAUAUUUUAAUGAGUAGUAAAAAUUAAUGUUAAAAUUUGAUAGAACUUAUAUAAAUAAUCCUAGCUCUAAUAAAAUUUUGCUACAUAAUUAGUUUAUCCCUUAAAGAAACAUAUCAAAAAAAUAUACAAAAACACAAUGCAUGAGUACAUGUCAAUCACAAAUGAAAGCAAUUAAGAUAAAGAAUAUGAUUUAUUUUAUUUUAUUUUAGUUAUUUUUUUGUUUCUUUUGAAACAAGACCAAUUAGAUCAUGCAAGAAGUAAUUUUUUUUAAAAAAAUAAAAAAAGGACAAAUGAUGAAACCCACGUCUAAAGAUGCCGUUGUCGCGGAGGCCUAGAUCUCACUACACCCCAUCCCCUUCUACCAUAUUUUAUAAUUGAAGAGGUCAUUAUUGAAUUGAAAAAUUAUGAUUCAAAAAUCCAAAAGUAGAAAAAGAAAAGCAAUUGUUGGAAACACACUCGGAGUUUUAAAUUGACAUGAGAAAAGAAUAUAUUCAUCAACCUCAUACGUUAAAGAUGCGACGAGUUUAAGAAUAUAUUCCUAACGUGUGGGAAUUUAAAGAUGUUACUACAAAACAUGUGUUCGUCGGUGGAGUAGAAUCAGGGAAAUUAAAGAUGCUACUACAACCACUAACGUGUGGGUGGAGAUAAGCAUAACUUUUUUCAUCAAAUGCCAAAUCCCCCCAGGUGGAGAGUGGGGACUCCUUCGCAUAAAUGUUGAUAAAAUUUUGACUAUGAUGUUAUUAGAAAUUAGGGAAAACUUAUGGUGCAACUGUGAUAUCGUGUCAUAGUUGUAUCCAGCCGUUGGAUGUCAAUGGACUCUACCCAUACAAGUGUAUCCAACGGCUGGAUGUAAUUAUGGCACGGUACCACAGUUGCAUCGUAGCCGGACCCUAAAAAUUAAGAUAUUCUCUCUCUACGUAUGUCUGCACGAAAUAAUAUGCAAAUAUAGUAUUUUAGUUUAUUAUUAAUAGUUUUACAAUAAUAAAAAUCAUUUUGAUAGACAGGAAAAUGUCAUAUUCGCAUUUUAUUUUGUACGGACGUCUGCGAGAAAGAACAUAUAUAUAUAUAUAUAGAGGAACGUGUAUUUAAGAUUUAGCUAGUGUGAAGUUGGGAAAUUUUUUUUUUUGAACCCAAGCUAAAAUUAUUUCAAUAAAUUUUGAUCAUGGAGACUAACAAGAUUUUUUUAGUUAUAUUUAUUAAUUUUUUAGGGACUAAUAAAUUUUGAUCAUGGAGACUAAUAAGAUUUUUUAGUUAUAUUUAUUAAUUUUUUAGGGACUAACAUGAAUAUUAAUAAUUUUAUUGAGAUUAUUAAAAAAACAAUGUGCUAUUUUACAUCUAUGACUUUUCCAAUCUUUUUUUCUUUCGUUAUUUAUUCCUUUGUGAAUUUUAGUUAAUGCUUGAUAUUAUUUUUUUGCUCAUUUUUUAAAGUAGUAAUUAAAUCUGAACCCUUACAGUAGAAGAUUAUGAAAAAGUAAAGACACAAAAAUCAUAAAAAUCAUUAGUAGGUCCAAAUUUGUGCUAUUUUCAUACAUAACUUGAGAAUAUUUAUAAUUACGCAUCAGAACUAGUGGAGUAGAAUCAGGGAAAUUAAACAUUCUACAAUCAUUGACGUGUGGGGUGGGGAUAAGCAUAAACAUUUUCUAUGCAGUAUAAAAGAAUGCAAUAACUCCUUUCUUUCAUAUCUUCGCAACAAAAGCACAUCUAAUAACUCUUCAGAAUUCUCGUCUUCUUUGUCAGAAUGGUUGAUGCGAUCGUUUCCUCUCUCCUGGAGCAGCUGAUCUCUGUUGCGGCUGAUGAAGUGAAACAACAGGUGAGGCUUGUGACUGGUGUCCGAGAAGAAGUGAAAAAGCUUACCAGCAAUCUUCAAGCCAUUCAACUUGUGCUGGAAGAUGCAGAGAAAAGGCAAAUGCAGGACGACAAAGCUGUUACUUUUUGGCUGGAUCAGCUCAAAGGCGCAUCUUACGACAUGGAAGAUGUGUUGGAGGAGUGGACCACUGCAAGGCUCAAAUUGCAGAUUGAGGGCCUUGACGAUGACAAUACUCUUGCUCUUCCUGCUCAUAAGAAGAAGGUAUGUUCCUUCUUUCCUUCUGCCUCAAACUGCUUCGGUAGUUUCAAAAAACUCAGUCUUCGUCAUGACAUUGCAGUCAAGAUUAGAGAGAUCAAUAAAACGCUGGAUGAUAUUACCUCUCAAAAAGAUAGGUUUAAAUUUGCUGAGAAUGUGAGUAACAAUGUCAAGAAGCCAGAGCGAGUGGGAACCACCUCCUUGGUUGAUGAGGGAGAGGUUUGCGGUAGAGUUGAUGAGAAAAAUGAGCUCUGCAAGUUGUUGUGCGAAAGUAGUGAACAACAACAAGGCUUUCAUGUCAUUUCACUAGUUGNNNNNNNNNNNNNNNNNNNNNNNNNNNNNNNNNNNNNNNNNNNNNNNNNNNNNNNNNNNNNNNNNNNNNNNNNNNNNNNNNNNNNNNNNNNNNNNNNNNNNNNNNNNNNNNNNNNNNNNNNNNNNNNNNNNNNNNNNNNNNNNNNNNNNNNNNNNNNNNNNNNNNNNNNNNNNNNNNNNNNNNNNNNNNNNNNNNNNNNNNNNNNNNNNNNNNNNNNNNNNNNNNNNNNNNNNNNNNNNNNNNNNNNNNNNNNNNNNNNNNNNNNNNNNNNNNNNNNNNNNNNNNNNNNNNNNNNNNNNNNNNNNNNNNNNNNNNNNNNNNNNNNNNNNNNNNNNNNNNNNNNNNNNNNNNNNNNNNNNNNNNNNNNNNNNNNNNNNNNNNNNNNNNNNNNNNNNNNNNNNNNNNNNNNNNNNNNNNNNNNNNNNNNNNNNNNNNNNNNNNNNNNNNNNNNNNNNNNNNNNNNNNNNNNNNNNNNNNNNNNNNNNNNNNNNNNNNNNNNNNNNNNNNNNNNNNNNNNNNNNNNNNNNNNNNNNNNNNNNNNNNNNNNNNNNNNNNNNNNNNNNNNNNNNNNNNNNNNNNNNNNNNNNNNNNNNNNNNNNNNNNNNNNNNNNNNNNNNNNNNNNNNNNNNNNNNNNNNNNNNNNNNNNNNNNNNNNNNNNNNNNNNNNNNNNNNNNNNNNNNNNNNNNNNNNNNNNNNNNNNNNNNNNNNNNNNNNNNNNNNNNNNNNNNNNNNNNNNNNNNNNNNNNNNNNNNNNNNNNNNNNNNNNNNNNNNNNNNNNNNNNNNNNNNNNNNNNNNNNNNNNNNNNNNNNNNNNNNNNNNNNNNNNNNNNNNNNNNNNNNNNNNNNNNNNNNNNNNNNNNNNNNNNNNNNNNNNNNNNNNNNNNNNNNNNNNNNNNNNNNNNNNNNNNNNNNNNNNNNNNNUAGAAAAGAAUGUUUGUGGGUAGAAAUUAAUGGUACCAAAGAAUCAGUCAUAAACUCUUUUGGUGACAAAGUCCAUCACUUAGGGUUAAAGUUUGAAGAAGGCGCUUCAUUUCCUAUGUCCAUUCAUGGACUUAAUAGAUUGCGUACCCUCUUAAUUUAUGACCAAAGUCCUUACAAUCCGUCUCUUAGUAGUAGCAUCCUUCCGGAGUUAUUUAAUAAAUUGGCGUGUUUAAGGGCAUUAGUUAUAAGGCAAUCGUACUUAUUAUUUUUGUAUCCUGAGGCAAAUAGGAUUAGAGAAAUUCCAGAAAAUGUCAGAAAAUUGAUACAUUUAAAAUAUCUUAAUUUGUCUGAAUUACACAUAGAGAGACUGCCUGAGACUUUGUGUGAAUUAUAUAAUUUACAAAAGCUAGAUAUUAGGCGGUGCCCAAAUCUUAGGGAAUUACCUGCGGGGAUUGGGAAGUUAAUGAACAUGAGGAGUUUACUGAAUGCUGAAACUCGUUCGUUGAAGUACAUGCCAAUAGGGAUUUCCAAAUUAACCAGUCUUCGAACAUUAGAAAAGUUUGUUGUGGGUGGAGGUGUUGAUGGUGGCAGCACGUGUAGGCUUGAAUCUCUGAAAAAUCUUCAACUCCUUCGUGAAUGUAGAGUAAAAGGGCUGAGUAAUGUAUCGCAUGUAGAUGAGGCUGAGAGGUUACAACUUUACAAUAAGAAAAACCUCCUUCGUUUGGGUCUUCAGUUUGGUAGAGUCGUAGAUGGGGAAGGCGAAGAAGGGAGGAGGAAGAAUGAGAAAGAUGAACAACUUCUUGAAGCCUUACAACCGCCUUUGAAUGUAGAGGAAUUAGAGAUUGAAUCCUACCGAGGCAACAUUUUUCCCAAAUGGUUGAAUUCACUAACCAAUCUAAGGAAUUUAUAUCUUUCCUCGUGUUUUAACUGUGAGCAUUUGCCUCCUUUGGGAAAAUUACCUCUGGAAAAACUCGAAAUCAUCCACUUGAAAAGUGUAAAAAGAGUGGGUAAUGAGUUUUUGGGAAUAAAAGAAAGCAGUGAGGAUGAGCCGUCUUCAUCUUCAUCAUCAUCAUCAGUUACUGCCUUCACCAAAUUGAAAUCUCUCAAUAUUUGGGACAUGGAAGAAUUGGAAGAGUGGAAUUACAGGAUUACGAGGAAGGAAAACAUCUCCAUCAUGCCCCGUCUUUCUUCCUUAACAGUUGGUUCUUGCAACAAAUUAAAGGCGCUGCCGGAUUACCUUCUUCAAACGACGGCACUACAGAAACUGAAUAUUAAUUGUUGUGAAAAUUUGGAAGAACUGCCCAUUCUAGAAGAUCACAGGACAACAAGUGUAGUCUGUUCCUUGAUGAUUUUGGAUUGCCCCAAAAUAAAGGUGCUGCCGGAUUACCUCCUUCGAACGACGACACUGCAGGAAUUGACAAUUGUGGGAUGUCCUCUUCUACAAGAACAUUAUAGAGAAGACUGGCAUAAGAUAUCUCACAUUCCCCACAUCAUGGUGCCGGUAAUUUCUCCUCCUCCGAUUUACUUCGUUGUUGCUUGCAAUAAAAUGAAUAAAAAUAAUUAUAUCUUUAAUUCUAUAUAGAAUCAAUCAUGGUAUAAAUAUGUAAAACUUCCUAGUUAUCAAAUCUGUUAAACUUGUUUCCUAAAGAUUAAAUAAAAAAAAAAACAAGUGUAGUCUGUUUAAAUUCGAUAAUUACUUUUAAAAAAAUAUGUGCUCUUUUGUAAAAUUUCAUGCAAUCUCAUAGAAAAUCCCAAUGCAAUUUAGUUUUUAAUGUACAAAAAUUUGUUAUGUGUAACUUCCUGAGAAACAAAAUCUCUGUGAUACAUUUGCAGUAAUGUUGAAAACUAAAUUAUCAAUUUUGCCUUGCAUACUGAUAAUCGUAUUUUUUUAUAUAUAAUUUAUGUGACAAUAAUUCGUUAAAGUAAUUGUGUAAUUGUUUUUAGUAGUACAUUAGCCCACUUUGUUUUAUUUCAUACGAGUUUAAUUAUGUUCAUCAGGGACUCGAGGAAAUGUCAGAACUACACUAGCAAUUCACAUCGUCAUCAUCGUCAUCAUCGGUUACUGCCUUCCCCAAGUUGAAAGCACUCAAAAUUAAUUAUUUGGAUGAACUGGAAGAGUGGAAUUACAGGAUUAGGAGGAAGGAAAACAUCUCCAUCAUGCCACGUCUUUCUUCCUUGUGGAUUCGGUAUUGCCCCAAACUAAAGGUGCUGCCGGAUUACCUUCUUCAAUUGACGACACUGCAGAAAUUAAGGAUUGAGCUAUGUCCUCUUCUGGAAAACCGUUAUAGGGAGGCGAAAGGAGAAGAUUGGCAUAAGAUAUCUCACAUUCCCCACAUCGAGAUAUCACCCGACGGUAAUUUCUUCUCCUCCUCUGAUUUACUCUGUUGUUGCUUGCAAUGAAAUUAAUAAAAAUAAUUAUAUUAUGAAUUAAAAUUCUGUAUAUUGCCAAUGUGUGACAGGAAUAUAUUAUAUAUUUCUAAUAUUUUGAUUUGCAUAUUGAAUUUAACUAUUUACUUCAGCCAUUAAUUUGCCAAUAAUUUAAUGGGUCACUCUAUGAUGCUGUUAUAAAAAUUAUAAAACCAAUCAUGGUAUAAAUAUGUACGGUUUGAUUUAAUCAAUAGUUCAUAAAUUUAAAAGUUAGUUAGGAUAAUAUUUUAAUUUUAUUUAUUUAAAAUUUAAACUUCUUAGUUAUCAAAUCUGUUAAACUAAUUUUCUAAAGAUUAAAUUAUUAAAAAAACUGUAAUCUGUUGAAAUUCCUAUAUUUUCUUUUAAAAAAUAAGUAGACUUUUAUAAAAUUUCAUACAACAUCAUGGAAAAUCCUAAUGUAAUUUAUUUUUUAAUGUACCAAAAUUUAUCAUGUGUAACUUCCUGAGAGACAAAAUCUCUGUGAUACAUUUGCGGUAACGUUGAAAACUAAAUUAUCAAUUUUAUCUUGUAUAAUGAUAAUCGUAUUUUUUUGUAUAUAAUUUAUGUGACAUUAAUUCUUUAAAGUAAUUGUGUAAUUUUUUUAGUAGUACAUGAGCCCACUUUGUUUUAUUUCAUACGAGUUUAAUUAUGUUCACCAGGGAUUCGAGGAAAUGUCCGGUCCAAUCUAAUUUCGUUUUAAUGAUGCAGGCAGGAGAGUAUGCUAAGAAAAUGAAAAGUUUAGCCAAAGGAUUGCUAAAAUGUUCUACAGGUAAUUCACUUGAUUUAUUUUAUAGAAUUUCAUUUCCAUCUUCUUCUAUUGAUAUCUUGUUGUGAAUAUACAAGAACAAAGAAGUAAAGAUAUAUCAAAAUUUACUAUUACGAUGAUGCUAAGGCAAGCUCAAGCUCAAGCAUUGCAUUUUAUAUUUUAUUUAGUUAAUAUAAUUUUCAUUUCCACCUGCAUUUCAUUUUUUGGUUGACUUUGAAGACUCUAUGGAGAACAUUGGGGUAACCAAGGAUUAUCACUGUGGUUAUUGUGCAACGUUUGGUUGCUGGACUUUGAAGAAGGAAGUGAUGGCCGGGUCUGCUCUGUUUCAAUUGAGGAUGGGUAGCUGCCUGAAAGACAUGAUGAUUAUUAUUGCGUGAUGUUAAGGUGCUGAGAUCAUCAUUGCUAUCUUGUUUCAUUCUUGGAAUCAUUUAUCCUGUAUAAACAUUUGUUUUAACAAAUGUUUCAAUGCCUGCUGUAGUAACAAUUUCAUAUCUUGCAUCUCUCGGGUGCAUCGUGAUCACGGGUUUGAGAAAGCAUUUGUGGUAAAGCUUCAAAGCUUGUACAAUGGCUGUGAAAAGGCACAUUCAAUUCGGUACGUUUGGUGCGGUCUCCUAAUGCUACUACCAUAUUUUGUAUAGCAAUUAAAAUUCAGGUAUACAAUCUUAAUAUGCAAUAAAUCAUUGAGUACAAAGUUAUCUAUUAAUUAUAUGGUAACUGAAAUUUUCAUUAUAAUUUUAAUUACAUAUUAAUAUUAAAAUUUUUUGUAACCCUCUUUUACUUUGCUUGUACAGAGUACCUGUUUUGGCUGAUAUGUCUAAUUCGUAGAAAUUCAUUUCCAUCGGUUUCCAUUGGUUUUAGCACAAACAGAAACAGAAAUCUGGGAAAAAGUUUUACUUCUUCUGGUAUUAUGCCUUUAUUUAUUCAUUCAUCAUAUUUGUUCGAAUUCAUGCUCUCAUUCAGAGAGCAGCCUUUUCCAGGCUACUUUGUAGCCAAAUUUUCAUGCCAUCGAUGCAUGAUUGUCAUUUAGAUUUUCCAAAUAAUUGUUAGAUUGAAGAAGAAUAAGAAGAUAUUGUUAAAAGGGUAUUUAAUUAGCACCCUCUGAAUUUAGUUGCCAAUAAUGCAUUGAAAUGGUUGGGGAAAGUUAUUGUCUCAAUUAAAUUACAGGUGACAAGAUGCUGCUCCAAUUUUGCAAGCAUCUCGUGUUUCGAGAUUUUGCCCACAUGAGAUGCUAUGAUUUUUGACAUCAGGGUAACAAAGGUCAAAUUUUAGCAUCAAUAGAUAUCAUCUUCUUUACUGUUCUGCUCGAAAUAUUAAACUUUAGGCAAGUUGUUUUUGUUUGUGUGAGUUAUCAGGUUAAGGAUACUAAGCAGCUUAUUAAGGCAAAUGUCAGAAUGAAGAUUUUUCACCGCACCUGGUAUGAAUGAUGGCGAGGAAGAUUAAUUGUUCACAAGCCAAUUUGAUCAGUGUUAGAUUCUUUUGCCUCCCUUCGAGAGAUAUCAUCAUCAAAUUUGAGAAGAGAGUUUUGUUUUGACAUUUCACUGUAGUGAAUUUUGGGAGCUUGAACCCACUUCAGUGAAAUAUUAGGGAAUACUGGGGAUAUGGGUUAUGAGUGAUCGUUAUCCUUCAAAUAUUUGUAAGCUCUCACUUGUUAGUAAAAUCAUCUUCGUAUAUUGACUUUGUUUCUUUGUUGUCAGGCCGAGUGUGAUCUUCAAGGUUUGAGAAAGUCUUCGCAGUAAAAUUUCCACCACGUGCAAUUGCUGUGAAGGGGCAUAUACAUUUGAGUAAUUCAGUUUCAGAUUUUCAAGGCGCGUUUGUUUAAUUAGUUUCGAUUAUAAUAUUUAGUCACUCAUUCUGAAUCUUUUCUAAUUUUCAAGUUCUUUAGGGCCGCCGACAGUUUUUUAAGUCUACAUGUGGUUGCAAAAAGAUUGAUGGUCAUCAAAUUAUCUUGAGCCUUGAGGCAUUGCGUUCGAGCACAAAAGGAAACAGAACUAAGGGAAAUGAAGACAGUAGGAGAUGCUCUGAAUAUAACAAAAGUAUAUUUCUACUUCUUGUGGUUAUUUUAAUUUUGUUUCUCCUGUCAUCAUAUUUAAUUAAUUCGUUUGAAUUCACACUCUCACACAUUAUUUAAAACCAUCUGCAGGUGGUUUGCAAGCUAGCUAAGUUAAUCCAAAAACAAUACUCUAGACAAAGAUGAGCAAAUUGAAGGCGACAAAUGCAAAUUGGAUUUCCAUGAAUAAUUGUUAGGCUGGUGGAGAUAUUCUUAAAAGGGCAUUAAGCUAUCUUAUGGAAUUGGAAAGUUAUUAUUGCUUGAAAGCAAGCAGCAUCUUCGUUGCGAAGGCUUUCCCCACCUGAUAAAAUGCUGAGAUUGUUACCGGCCCCUUAAUUAUUUAUUAACUCAGGUAUUUAUUAUCAAUACAUCAUCUUAUUCACCAUUUUGGCUAUAUAUAAAGAUUAAAAUUUCUAACAGUUGUUUCGGAUUCUUGUGUACUCAGGUUAAUAGGGCAAAUAUCAGAAUGAAGAUUGCUCAGUGCAACCGAUAGAGCAAGGAUGAUAGUUGUGAGAAAGAUUGUUGGCAAGACAAAUAGAGUCCUCCAUUUGGAGAAAUAUCAUCCUCAAAUUUGAAUUGUCGAGCAUGUGAGGUGAAGCUAAAGCCUUAAUAAUGAGACCUUCCUGUGGAAGUUUCAUUUGAAUGAAUUGAACGUUCUUAGUGAGUGAGAAAUUAAGUAUAUAUCAGCGAUUUUGGUCGUCUGUGAAUGUUUCCCUUCAAUAUUAAUACACUGGCAUUUCUUAGUAAAUUCGCUUCACGUCACUUCCUCCUUGUUGGUGGGACUAGUAAACAAAUGUCAUUUCUUAGUACAUUUUGAGAAUUUUGAUUCCCAAAUAAGCCUGCAGAACGGUGUAUGGUGGGAUUAGCUGCAGGAUUCUUUGCCAAAAUUCCUUUUUAUUCCUUUGUUCACUUAUUCGUUAUAAAUAAAGUAAAAUUAGAAUAUUGUUCCGUUUACUGUCUAAGCUGGUCUAACAUUUGUUUAAUUUGGGCAAUUUUUAAUGCCUAACAGGUUAUCUGUGACAAACCCAUCGGUCACUAACAAUUUUGAAGUUAUUGGAGUAGCACGGCUUUGAGGUCUCUCCCUCCCUCUUUUACGUAUUUGUCUAUCGAUCGACAUGUCUAUAUAUACAUUGAUAGACCAACUUACUCUUGUUUUAAUGUUUUGUUUGUUAAACUUGACUGGGGAAUGUUUAUUUGUCUCAUAUGAUGUCAAUGUGGUUCCAAUUGAAGUGUAUAGAUCUGUCACCUCAAAGUCUGAUUUCAAUUUUCCUUUACUUCAUCAACUAGCAUCCUUUCCAAGUCCAGAUACUUACCAAUAGUGAGACUUUGCUACGGAAGUACAAUUUCUCUUGUUUUACAGUUAAUUAUGUAAGAAUAGUUUUAAAUUUACAGAAUUUUGAAAUAGCUCUCUUAAGGAAAUGCGAGUGGUGAAUAUGGUUCCAACUUUUAAUAGGCUUAAUAGGCCCAUUUGUUAAGCCACAGUGAUUGCGGUCUAAAUUCUUCUUUACUGUCUAUAUGUGUUGGAGUUUGUCUAUUGUCCAACUUCUCAAAUCGAUUCCAUGCAGGGUUUUGAAUGUCUAAUUAGGAGAAAGAUUAACGGAUGACCUUUUGAAGAAGGCUUACACAACAGGCCAUCUCAGGAUGUCAUGGCUCAGCUCAAAAGUCCCCAGGUGGUUAAUGACAAUGUGCCAUUGUUUCUGGGCUUGGUCUCCUUGGCAUCAAACAAGAUAAUGUUGACUCUAUUAAAGGGGAAAUAAGGGCGACUAAAGCGCGAAGAAAGAGGAUAGUCCGGAGGAAGGUGACUGCAUAAAUUUGUUGGAGUUAAUGUAGUCAAUUGCCUAAUUUUGCUGCCUGUCGAAGAGACACAUCAUGGAAGUCCUCAUCAAACUCUGAGACACCUAAGAAAUAGUAUGAGGUGGUGGUAUUCCCCUGGUGUUAAUUUCCUGGCAAGUGUGGUUCACAGAUAGAGGGAUUCUUUUCUUGAUGUCUAAAUACCGUAUGUGAUACAACGUCGUAUAUUCUAAUUUUCCUUGAGUUAAAUUCUAGUCAGUUAGGAAAGUUAAUUUUGUUUUCGCUAUGGAUUGUUUCCUAGAUAAAAAUAGUUUCCAUGUUUCUUUGGGGUCUUAUUAACUCUCUGUAACCCAGUUCAAGUUUGCAAAUUCUAUUUCAGAUUUCUCAUAUAGUGUGCCUUUGUCACUUCUGUGAUACACUUUUGAUCACAAGUUUCCAUUUGAAGUAACCAAUAUUCUUUAUAGACUAAUUAUCUAAGGAUUAUUUUAUACAAAAAAUCAAAACUUUAAUUAAUUGAUCAUACUUAACUUGGCUUUUGUUUGAUAUUACUAGCUGUUGUGAGAACCAAAAAAAUAGCAGAAAGUUGACAAUGUGCAGUAAAUGUAUGACUUUUAAAUAAUAAUUUAAUAAAAUUAAUAAAGAUAUUAUAAAUUUUUUAAUAAUAAAGUAUGAGAUCAAAUCAAAUUAAUUUUUAAGUCAAAAUUGUUUAAUUAUGUAGUUUAAAAGUAUAGUAUCCAACCUCAACACAAUAGAGAGAUUUCUAUUUACCAAACUCUACCCAACUUUGGUUGUACUGACUCGAUCAUGCAAGUCCAUACUCGACGCGUUGACCAUACAAGAUGUUACUCAACUUUAACAAAUCUUACUCAAACUUUGCACGUUUAGCAUGCCGAAUGGAAUAUGAUAGUAGAUGAUGUGAUAGAUAUUAUAGGAAUAGUCGUAACAAAAUUAUAUUUAGUACUUUUUUAUAUUUUAUGUGAUGAACAGAUGUAGUAUAUGAAUGGAUUAUAUUACAAAUUUUAGUGUUAUCAUAAUUAAAAAAUUGAAUUAUUUUUUAUUAUUGAAAAACUGUAAUAUGUUAAAUAACAGUUAUUUUUAUUAAUUUUUUUUAAUGAAUUAUACUUUUAAAUUAUAAUCGAAAAUUCUUAUUACUGAACUAAUAAAAAAUUAAUUAGCUCAAGAGAUAAAUUCACUUAGUGUAGAACGAAAUGGUGUGUUAUUUUUAUGUGGGAUCCACAUCCUUUCCACAUCAACCUCAACAUCCAAACAUGAAAUUGGACUAAAAAUAGUUCUUUCCCAUGUAUUUACGUAACCUCCUCCCACUAAACGCAAAUAUUUAUUCUUGAUUUUACUAACAUAAUUUUCUCCCAUUUCCAUAUUGUCCGCGUUGAGUGCAUGUAAUCCACAAGUUUAAUUAAUUUUUUUUUUUUUGAGAGAGGUAUGUUAAAAUGAAUAUAUCACAUUUUUUUCUUUUUUCCUUUUUUUUGCGUGAGUGAUGGCUUCGUUGAAUGACAGUUGGCUGAUAAUAAGUUAUCUUUUAAUUUUGUUUUUGAUUUAAUAGAAACUAUUAAUUUUUGUAGUUUCGGUAGAUGAAAUUUCGAAUCAAAUAUUAAUAUUGUUAAAGUACGCAACCCAAUAUUUACUUAAAUUACAAAAAAGAUUAAUUGCUUUGCAUAAAAAAGAAGUGAUCACUUGAUUUAACUUCCUUUACUAAAUUUACGAUUUAAAAUCCAAAAUAAAAAAAAGAGUUUAUUAUUGAUUAUCUUUUUCCCAAAUUUAAGCUAAGACAGUAAUAUGUCCAAAAUACCCUCCACGUUAUCCUAAAACUUUAUGAAUUCCCCCGUUCCUCUCAACAUCAUCUCUUCCAAAUCUUUCUUCCCCAAAAAACCAGCCAUGGCUUCAUAUUUAGUUACCUCAACACUCCAAUAUUGGCUUGUAAACAGCAGCGGUUCAACCUCUAGGCAACUUAGGUGGUUGCAUAGGACUCCGCUUUAUAUGAAAGCCCUACAAGAUGAUUAUUUUGUAUAUAAAAGAGGAAAAUGAAUUUAAAAGUCAUUAUUAUUCAUUUAAUUUAUUAUUAUUUUGUAAUUAUCUUUUUCUAAAUAAACUAUCAAAUUCUUAUCAAGUUUAUUUAAUGUAGUACUUAAUUGUUUUAAUUUCUACAAAACCAAUAAAUUAAUAGUUUCAAUCCUAAAAAUUCUCUAUUUCAUUGUUAGAAUUAAUAAGUUAUAUUUCAAAAGUUUUAUAUUUAUUUUAAACCUCUAUAAAAACCCCACAUUUUAUUACUUAUCCAUUAAAUUUUUCGUUCAACAAUCAAGACAUCUUGGUGUUUGAGAGAAAGAAAGAGAGAGGGAAAAAAAUCUUGCUUCCUCUACUUUCUACUCUAGAAGAAAAAGAAAAAAUCAAAUAUUUUUCUCUAUUUUCUAUGACUAUUGGUUGCUACUCAAAUUUUCAAACAACAGCCUUAAUAUAAACAUAAGUUAAUUUAUGAUUUCAUCUCAAAUUUCUGAUUUUAUCUUUUUAUUAUUCUCUUAAUUAAUUGUGUUGUUAUUUGUUCUUAUUUCUUUUUAUAUAUUCUUUUCUUCAUCUACUUUUUUUGUGCUUGUUUUAUCUAUUUUGAAAUAAAACUAUAUCAAAAAAUUUUAGACAAUAGGAGAAUAAAAAAAUUAGAUUAAUUUAAAAAAAUAGUAAAAAAGAUAUAAUUUAACUUAAAAAAAAGUGAAAAUGUUAUAAUUGAAUUAAAAUUUUAUGACUUAACAACAAUAGAAUAAAUUUGUAUUUAAUAAUUUUAUAUUUUAAAGUAUUUAAAGAAUUAAUUUUUAAUAAAUAAUAUUAAUAUAUAUAUAUAUAUAUAUAUAUAUAUAUAUAAGUUACUUAUCUCUCCAUCCGCACUUACCUCUCCCUCACAUUCAUCCUCAACCACACAUCAACAUCAACAUCAACAUCACCUCUCAUUGGACCCCACAUCCUCAAGCCCAUCACAGCCGUCCAUAACCUCACCCUCCUCCUCCUCUCCCUCAUCAUGGCCGUUGUUUGCCCUCUCUCCAUCAUCCUCCAUUUACCGCACCUCCGUUACACCCUCUGUUUCCUCCUUACCAUUUCUCCGUCUGGCACGGCCUAAUUCCGACGGAAUCAACGACGGUCGUGAUGGGUUUUGGCUGCGACUAUUCGCGCUUCAAACGGCGGCGUUUCGGUUGGUUUUUGGCGACAGUGACGGUGGGAAAGUGAUGGCUGGCUCAGGAGCUUUCGUUGCUACCAUCCAUGGCCGGUGAGGUGGCCGAAAAUCGGAUAUAUGUCUGCGUCGGGUUCGCAGUUUUGGGUCGGGUUUUCCGGGUCAGUUUGACAGCUUCCUCUAUCCCUCUCCCCCAUAAAACAUUACCCAGCUUCCUCUUAUUAUUAUUUUUUUUUUCACAUACGUUACAGAACAUUAAUGAGAGAUGUUUAGUAGUAAGGACUAUUUUGAUAUUUCGAUGAGUAGUAAAAACUAAUGUUAAAAUUUUAUAGACGAAUGUAGAGUAAGAUGCUCAAAGUACUAGAACAUAUAUAAAUAAUCCCAGCUCUUAUAAAAUUUUGCCACAUAAUGAGUUUUAUCCCUUAAGCAAAACAUAUCGAUAAAGUAUACAAAAGCACAAUGCAUGAAUGAUGGUCUUACAAAGUUCGAAUAUAAAGUUUAUAAUCUAAAAUUAAUGAUGUGACAAUUAACCUAAUGGAGUAAGAAGGCCCAAAUAGAUUAUAUUUUGCUAAAGAAGUAAAUUCUACCAAGAAUACCUCUUUCUAUUGAAUUUAAAUGAUGAUUAUUUGUUUAUAUCAUAAAAACUAAAAUAACUGUGUGAGUAAUUUGAUUCUUUUACAGUAUAAAAAUAAAUUCAGAAAAUGUUAGGGCAUGUUCUGUGUUUUAUUUUUAAAUUUAUAUUAUGAGAAUGAAAAUGGUGUUUUCAAGUUGAUAAAUUUUCAAUUGAAAUAUGUGUUUGUUAUUAUUUCAUUUAUCCUAUAUUUUCAAAAUGAAAAUAACCGAUAGAUAAAGUUAAAAAUGAUAAAAUAAUGGAUAUAUUAAGCAAUUUUACUACAUGCAAAUUAUUUUCUGUGUUUAAAGUUCAUAUAAAGCUUGUUUAUUUUUCAACAUACCAACUUACAACAAUAAUAAUAAAAUUUUUGUGAUAUCCAAUAUUAACUUUUUAAAGUAAUUAUUUUUUGUUAAUGUGUCCGCUGUUCAAUCGAUCUUCCUACUUUCUAUGCUUGAGAUUAGAUCAUUUGCUUCAAAGAUUCGAACUGGACUUAUAGUAGGAAAAAGAAUUUUCUUCAAUAUGAACUCUAAUUCUCUUUUAUAUAUAUAUAUAAAAAAAUCUAAUUCUCCUUUCAACAUUUUAACAUUUUGAUGAAAUAAAAAAUUAUUGGCGAAAGAUUACAUGCUUCCUUACUUUAGAGAACCAAAUACUCAGAUAGGUAGUGUAAAUCUCUACUGAUCGUUGGUGAUUUUAUCAAAAUAAAAUUCAAUAAAAUGUAUAAGAACACUUAAAUCCGUCCAAAAAAAAAAAUGACCCAGCAAAUAAAGAAAAGUACUGUGAAGUAAAAAUUGAACAAACCUAGAAAGAAGAGAAGAAGAAGAAUGGAAGAAGGAGAUUCGGUUCAUAAAUCAUGGAGGGAGAUGAGACUUAAGAGAUAGGGUUAGUGAGACAGACGAGGUCCUAGAGUCUUAAAGAUGAAGACUAUCUAUUAUUAGUUACUUAUUAUAAUGAUGUUUAUUAUUAUAAUUUAUUUUACAAUUUUUUUUUAUGAAACAAGUAAAACAUGUUUAAGUUGUUUUGUAAUUUAUAACUGUUAGAGGCAAGUCAGAUUCUGUGUUUUACAAUUAAAUUUUAUGAGGACUACUGAACGCUUAUUUUACUUAGAUUUAUAAAACGAAAAUGAGAAUGGCCAGUAAAAAACAAUACCGAAUGCCCACUUACUUCAUCUCAUACUCUUAGGUCACAAAAAUAGCAAUAACUCUAACAAAUUUAUUAUUGAAUGUGAAUGGUUAUAUAUCGAUCAUUUGAUACGUAUUUUUCAAGACAGAACCUCAAUUCAAUGGACAAAAGCUCCUCUUAAUUUUUCUUUUCUAUUUAAAUAAAAGAACAAAAGAAAUUGAUUACAGAGCCAUUACUUUUCCAAGAAUUAAUAAACGAAAAGGCCCAUAAUUUUUGUAAACCCACCCCACUCUCAAGAAAUAAUUACAAUAAGUUCAAAUUAUUUUUUAAAAAUUGAAAUAAAGAAGAUGUAAUUACAAUAAUUUGGAGAUUGAAUCAAAUAAAAUAAAAGGGUUAUUUUUACAUACCUCCCCUGAGGUUUCACCUAAUAUCAGUUUAAUAGAAAGUAUCUCCGUAUUUUUACAUCCCUCCCCUACAGUUAGUAUAAAGUUAUGUAUAUCAUCAGUACACAAGGCUAAAAUCGUAAAAGCUCAUUUAAAAUUCGUUUUAAUCGUAUCAAGUGGCAUCGUAAUCAAAGCCAAUAAACCACCAGCCAUGGCUGCACUCACUCCCUGAAACGCCAUCACAGUUUUUGAAUCCGGCCUAAUCAUCAUCAUAUCACCCUCACGGUCACCAUAUUUCCUGCGCAAGAAACACCCAACUCCACCCCAAACAAGCCUUUGAGCAACGGAAUAAGACGCCCACCAAACUGCAUUUGAUGGUGCAUUUGUCAAGAUUGAAAUCCCGGAGCCCAUAUACAAUCCUCUAACCCCAUCAUUUCUAACAAUCUUCCUAAACAUAUCAACCCCAUUUACGUAUCUAGCAUCGGCCCCAUUAGCCACCAUAAGCCUCUGAGUCAAAACAUCAACUGGGGUCCAGACAAGCUGAGCAGCCAUGGCAGCACUCAAUCCACCAACAGCACUAGCGACCGCCGCCGCCGCAGUAAACCCUAAGUCACUAACAGCAAAGCUGCCAACUUUAGUUAAAUAAAAUUAAUUUAUUUGCUUUGAUUACGAUUAACAGAUGCAUAUCUUUGUGAAAACUUUGACCGGCAAGACCAUCACUCUCGAGGUGGAGAGCUCCGACACGAUCGACAAUGUCAAGGCUAAGAUCCAGGACAAGGAAGGGAUUCCACCGGACCAGCAGCGGCUGAUCUUCGCCGGAAAGCUCAUCUUUUAAUAAACUUUAGGAAAAGACCCCAUCACCAUCAUCGUGACCAUCUGCUUCCCUCCUUGUUUGUUGUUCCUUCAUUUUCUUUUUAUUUCUUCUUCGUGGAAUCGGUCUUAUUUUCUUCUUCUCUCACUAUUGUAGGUUGUUGUUGGCAGAGGGACGAAUUGUGUUUAUUUGCUUUUAGAAUUGGCUAAUUUAAUUGAUAUAAAUUGUUUUGGUUGUGCCGCGGACAUAAAUUGAAGUUUAGUCGACGGUGCUUUCAUAGCAACAUUUGGUGCUGUUAUUAUGGAUACCAAGCUAAAGUAAGAUGACGUUGGACAUGUUAUGAGGUUUAGUUUUUUUGAAUUGAUUUUUUAUUUGAAUUUUUGGGGAAAAAUAUCAAAAAUGGAAAGCUUGAUUUUAAGAAAACAAGGAUGUGGUUUUGUUGGCGAGGUGGUACAGGGGAUUUUAGUUUUUGUUGGAUGAAAGAAGACUGUCAACCUUGAAAGGGUAUUUUCAUCCUCUUGUUAGUCCACUAACGGUCAACUGACGGAAAUACUAACUGCAGGGGAGGGAUGUAAAAAUACGGAGAUACUUUCUAUUAAACUGAUAUUAGGUGAAACCUCAGGGGAGGUAUGUAAAAAUAACCCUAAAAUAAAAUACCCAAACUAUUAUAUACAAGAACUCUUGAUUUUUGGGGUAUUUUAGUCAUUUUAUAUUAUCAUGGUAAAUUAGUCAAAUAAAACUUAUCUUAAAGCAACCUAAACGGUCAAAGACACCUAAGUUAAAAAAAAAAUUAUACGAAUGAUUUAAUUUAUUGAUUGUCUAUACGUUUUAUUGAUUUAUAUAUUUUAAAAAUAGUAUGAACGUAUUACAAUUAUUUUCUGACAGCAAGGUAGAUUUGUAAAAUAAGUGGGUAGAAAAUAUCCCCGUCCUCAAACAAAUAAAUGAAUUAUCGGUGAUGCAUGCUUUUUUCCAACUUUUUUUUUUUUUCUUUUGGUUUUUUGUUUUUGUUUUAAAUGGCACUGGCCCGACCACUACAAAUUAAUUAGAGAAUAUUUACAAUUAUGUAUCACAGCUGUGGAGUAGAAUUGGGGAAAUUAAAAAUGCUAAAAUUAUUGACACGUAGGGUGGGCGACAAUAACCACAAACAUUUUUCGUGUAGUGUAAGAAGAAUGCAACAACUCGUUUCUUUCAGUAUUUUCGCAACAAAAGCACGUUGAACAACUUAUGAAAUUAUUUCUCUUUUUCUUUGCCAGAAUGGAUGUGAUCGCUUCCCCUCUCCCGGAGCAGCUGAACUCCUUUGCUGCUUGUGACUUACCAUAAAUCUUCAAGCCAUUCAAGCUGUGCUUGAAGAUGCAGAGAAGGCAAGUUGAUAUAAGAUUGUUGCAUGGAAUAAGCAGGGCAUCUUCCGAGGCUAGAAGUUGGGCUACGAGUAUUCGUUUUGGACAUAUAAUAUAGUUUCCAAGCUUGCGAUGAGUCGAACCAAAUGCAGAACAACCUAGGCUGUUAUGCUCUGCGAUUGAACUAAAAAUUUCACUUCUUUUAUAGUCGUUUUUUAGUUUUAAGAUAUUUUUCUAUUUUUCUUGAUUCUUCUAGGAUUUUUAUCAUUUUUUCUAGAUGUUGGAUUUAAGUGCCAUCUGUUUUCUUUCUCUUAUUUAGAUUCGAAGAAUUUUAUUAUCAUAUAAUAUUUUGAAUUUGCUUAGUUUGUUAAAUUUGCUAUAUUUAGGCUCCUAUAAAUGGGAUUAAAAACCCUAAUUUUGUUCAUUCAAAUUAUUCUCAAUAAAACUUAUUAUUCAAAUACUAGUUUAUAUUAUCUAAUAGCUUUUUAGUGUUUCUGCAUCAUCAGCUGGUAUCAGAGCAAGUUCACUUGUCAUCAUGGUGCGACCACACAAUCAAAGGAGCAACCAUCCCGGAGACGAUGUUCAAAUAUUAGGUUAUCUCUUGUAAGCCAUAUUCAUAAAUGUAUUGAAGGAAAGAUACUUUUUUCUUGUCUUAAAUGAUGUGUGGGAUGGACGUUACAAUUAAUGGGAACCAUUCUUUUGUUGUUUAAAGAAUAGUCUCUACGAUAGUCAAAUUUUGAUUACUACACGUAAUCAGUUAGUAGCAAGCAUGAUGAGAUCAACAAAUCUUACCUUUCUUAAGGAAUUAAUUGAAGAAGAAUGUUGGUCAUUGUUUAAGCAGGUAGCAUUUUUGGGUCAAUUCUUCAAGGAUCGUGAUCAAUCGAUCAAAAAAUUGCAUUUAAGUGCAAAGGCUUGCCUUUUGUUGCAAAGAUAAUAGGGAAAUUCUUACACUAUAAAUGACCAAUAGAAGAAUAGAAAAUAAUUUUAGAUAGUGGAAUGUGGAAGGUAGAAGAGUUUGGGAAAGGUCUUCUGGCUCCUUUGUCGUUAAGUUAUAAUGAUUUGUCGUCCAUAGUAAAACAAUAUUUCUCACAUUGUGCUAUCUUUUCAAAAGGUUACAAUAUGUGUAAAGAGGAACUAAUUACACUAUGGAUGGCUCAAAAUUACCUUAAAUGUAGAAAAAGGAAGAGAUGGAGAUCCAAUCCAAUCUGAUAGUAGUAGAUUAUUUUAAUUUUUAUUAAUUUGAUUUCAUAGGAGUAGUUUUCAUUGUUUUGUUGAAAGUUGGUAAAAAAAAAACUGAAAUGAGAUGAUUACUUUAAAACAAUCUUCAAGAACUAAAAUAAUUAAAAAAACUCAAAAUAAACAAAAAGGCUUAAAAAUAACCGUAAUCCGAACAUUGUUUGAAUCCAUCCUAACUAGCCCGAAUAUGAUUUUAACCCAAACCCAACCUAACUCGCUUAUAAUUAUAACCCAAUGCGAUCCAAAUUCAACUUGAAUAUUUGAUCCGAUCUAAUCCAAUUUGAAUAUUUUAACCCUAUCAACCAGAAACCCAAUUAGGUUGAUCUGAACCCACGUUUGUCCACUCCCAGAGGGGAUCAUGACCCCACAAGCUUUGAAAGUUUUUUGGAAUUUCUAAGUGAAUAUUAAAAAUUAUGUAUAAAAAGACUGAUUUGACCCCUAAACACUUGAUAUAGAAACUUUAUACAUACAAUAGAAAUUUAAUUUUAUAUUUUGUGAAAUAAAGUCAAAGUAACUGAAUUUUUUUUUAUUUUGUUAAUUAUUUUUCUACUAUGACAAAAUGACAAAUAGCCUUGUGCCUAGCUCUUUGACUUUUAUUUUGCUAAUUAUUUUUUUCAUUUCUCUUGCAACAGUAACUUCAAUUAUCAAUCAAAGUCGCCAAAUCAAAAUCUCUGCAGCCUGCAGCUACAAGCAAACUUCUCAAAUUUCGAAAUUCCUUAUGACUACAUAAUAGCUAUAAAUAGAAAAAGCGUCUAAAAUAACUAUGUUUUUCUAAGUUUGAGCUUGAACCCCCUGAAGAUUUACUCCAUACGUAACAAAAUAUUAGUUUUGCUAGUAAAAUUGCUAACUAUGUUUUUCUUUGUAUUUCCGCUCAAGGAUAAAGAAAUUUCCCUAGACUUUUGUGGUGAAUAUCUUACGAACAUAUGACAAUUUAAUCUUUGGCUGAGACUUGUUUAACAUAAGAGAUGACACUUUAAAGCAAUAGGAGAGAGAGAUAAUAAGCUUUGUUCCCCAAAAAAAUCUAUCAGAUAUAUUAUGCCCCCGGUUGCUAUUUCUAAAAAUAGUCAUAAUUACUAAAAAAUAAGUAAUUCUUUUUUCAUAUAUUAAAAUGGUAAACUGGUGGAUAAAAUUUAAAAUAACUUUUUAUCUGUUUUGACAUUCGAAUUUUAAGCUCGAGAAGUCAAGCAAUAAAUAAACCUUUUUGAGAGGCUAACUAAAUUCUUAGUAAUUUCAUAUAAUUUCAUUUCAUCAGAACAGUUUUAUCAAAAGCAAUUUUCUAAAUCUUUGUGGAAAGCUUUAAUCCUUAAUUAUCUUUCACAUAUUUUCUUUGUAAUAUGAGGUAAGCCAUGGACCAUAGUAUGGUAUUUAUUGUAAAUAAAAUCACUAUGAAACUGAUUUUAUUAUUAUUUUUUUCACAAACAAAGUAUCUAGCUAACUGCAGAUGUAAUGAAUUACUAAUUACCAUUAUUUGAUUCGCUCUCUAAAAUAGUGUUGUGUGUUGAUUCUGUUAUGCAUCUAGGAAUUUCAAAUGUUAUGACAUAAGUUGCAUUGGAUAUAUGUAUAUCAUAGAUUACAUUAUGAAGAAGACAAGAAAUGGAUCCAUACGUUAAAGCAAAAUUGAAAAAAAAAAAUUGCUAGGAGAUGAUUUUAUCUGAAAUUUCACCUGCACGGUAUUGGCCACAUAUAAAUUUGUGAUGAAAUUCAUAACGGAUUAAUAUAAUUGAACGAAAUUACUCUAUACAAUUUCAUAAGUAUGUAUUAUACAAUUAAAAAUCUAUUGAUAUUUUCAAUAAAAUAAUAUCUCUACUAUAAGUGAUGGGAUAUAUAUUUGUGGGGAAUGACAAAUGUAGAAAAUUGCAGUAAUAAAGGUGGAAGUGGAACUUUGUAAUAAUUAAUUAAUGUGUUUACAAUUCUGUAAGUAUAAUAAAAUAAUAGUAAUAGGUAAAUUGUAGAAAAUUAAUGUGUACUUUAAGGCACAUUACAAAUGUCUCUUUCCUAAAGAUAUUAUUUUUCCCACCAAUUCAGUGAUGCAUAUAGGCUAAACAAAUAUACCUCCGGGAUACAACGAAUCACUUAUUUGUUUGCUUGUGUUUUUCAUCGAUGAAAGCAAACUUGAAUACUUUUGAAUGUUGCAAGCUUGCCGAGAAUCAAUAUAUUAUUCCCGUAGUAAACAAUAUAUUAGAUAUUUGAUGCAUAUAGUAUAGAUGUUAUACAAUAAAAUUUGUUUCAGCAAAGAGGGUUGAGAAGAGAGUGAUGUAGUAUCAUUAUUUCCAUGUUUAAAAAUUAAUUCUAAAUUAACUACAACAUGCAAUCUUUUAAUAUUCACAUGUCCUAAAUGAAUAUGCUACAAAAAUAAUGAGUCAAUCAUGUAAGCAGAAGAAACAUUAAUUUUAUUAAUAUUGGGCUUGAACAUUCCCAAAUACAUGUAUCCUUUCCCAAUAAAGGUACCACCCUUAGACAAUGCAAAUUUGCUUUGACUCAAAUAAGGUACCACCCUAAUAUAGAUACAAGAUUUUUCCUACCUUUAGAUACAUGAUAAACAUCAAUAUGAGUUAAAGUUUUUCCACAAGUGAACUCUAGUUGCACAUUCCCUCUAAUUGUUGCAAUGGAGGAAUUUCCCAUCUAAAGAACACUUCAAUCAUCCAUUGCUUUGUAAGAUGUGAAAAGGCUACGAUUCUUGUACACAUACUUGAUUGCACCGGAAUCUAUUCACCAUGCAUUAUCAUGUUCAAGAAUAUUAAUUUAAGAUAUUAUGGCCAUAAAUUUUGUCCACAAAAUUUGUGUUCGAACACUUCUUUUCUUUCUUAAGAAGUUGAUAGUCUUUUUUAAAGUGGCUAGGCUUUUCACAUUGGUCACAUGUACACUUUUUUUUUUUUUGUUGGUUUGAUUUUAUUUGGAAUCAAAGUUUUGCUUUGACAGUCUUUUUAAAGUGGCUAGGCUUUUCACAUUGGUCACAUGUACACUUCUUUUUUUUAUUUUGUUGGUUUGAUUUUAUUUGGAAUCAAACUUUGGCUUUUGGUUAUUAAUGUGGUCAUUAGACUGCUUAAGCUUCUUCUCCUCCUCCACAACAUUAAUUUCACAGGACAUAGCAGUCUGUUCCUCAAGACUAUUAAGUCUAAGUUUCUAUUCAAUAUGAAGACUUUGCCAAGCCUUCCAGGCUAAUUUCCUCUUUGUUAUAUUUAAGACUUUUUUCAUAGUCUUUUCAAGAGGGGGGAAGUUUAUCAAUAAUUGAAGAAAUAAUAGUAAACUUAUUACUUUUCAUGUUGUGUUGGUUGAAUUGAUCAAGAAUGCAAAAAUUCUCAUUAUAUUGUUCAAUCACAAGUCUAUUAUCAAUCUUUUUAUAACUAAAAAAAAUUAGAAGUCAAGAAUUUCUUACUUGUGGUGUCUUCCAUUAGGGGUGGGCAAAAUCGGGUUCGGGUCGGGUUCGGGUCAAUCCGAUCGGGUUUCGGGUUGUUCGGGUUAGACAAAAAUUAAUCCGAACGUAACCCGAAUUAUGAACCCGACCCGAACUGACCCGAACUAAGUUCGGGUCAGGUCAAUUGUUAAAUGGAAUUGGAAUUCGUAUAUUUAAUCAAAAACUCCAAAUUAGAACCGUUAGAGAACCGAACUGAAAAAACUUGAAAAGAAUGAAUCUGGCUAUAUUUGUGAACCAGAAACAAGCCAGCGUUAUGCUUACGCCAUUUCAUUCUAUCCUGUCACCCAUAGACAAAAUGAAUCUAGAUGCAUUAUGGCUUUUCUCCUUAAACCUCAAGAGCAUUUUCGUCCUCUCAGUCAAGCGUGAAACUGCAUGUACGAACUGCUUCGCUUUCACGCACCGGUAGCUACAGCGGCAAGAGCAUUUUCGUCCUCUCAGUCAAGGGUGAAACUGCAUGUACGAACUGCUUCGCUUUCACGCACCGGUAGCUACAGCGGAAGACCCAGGCCGAGAUAAUUUAUUUCUUCCAACCACAAACUAUGUUUUGUUCACGAAUUACAAACUGUGCAGCUUGUGAUUUCUGCCGUUCUGCGUAUGUGAGUGCAGCAGCGAUAUGUGUAGUGUUAGGCUGUUAGCUUAGGUUUUUUUUUUUUUGGGAACCCGAUCAGGUAUUCGGAUCGGGUCGGGUUUGAUCCGAACCGAUCACAACCCGAUCGGGUUUGUAAAUUUCAAUCCGAUCGGGUUUCAAUCCCAACCCGAUCCGACCCGAACCCGAAAUUUAUCGGGUCGGGUCGGGUCGGAUCGGGUAAAAUGCCCACCCCUAUCUUCCAUCAUGUACUUAGACUCCAAUAAGUCCUAUAUUUCUUUUGCUGUGGAUUUUGUUGUGGUACUUAUCAAAACAAAGUACUAGACAUGGCAUUGUAAAUGUGUCCUAUGCACACGUAGACAUCUUGCUUCCACUUUUGCCACACUCGAGUUUCUCAUCCUCACGUUCUUCAGGCUUUGAUAUUGUAAGAACAUAAACAACAUUGAGGCUUGUCAACAAGAAAUGUAAUAUUUUUUGCCAACGUAUAAAAGUUGUGACCAUCAACUGCUCUAAUUUGAUAAAAUCUACCAUUGAAUUGCGGAUGAGAUGAGCACAGUGUCAUUGUUACAGAAAGAAUGUCUUAAGAAUGUUGGGAAUAUAUAUUUUUAGGGAAUGACAAACGUAAUAAUGGCAAAUGUAGAGAGUUGCAGUAAUAAUGAUUAUGCCACAAAGAUAAUGAGUCAAUCAUGUAAUAAUGGCAAACAUAGAGGGUUGCAGUAAUAAUGGUGGAAUUUUAUUCUAAUAAAAUAAUGAGUUUACUACUCUAUAGGUACAACGAAAAAAAUAGUAAUAAGUAAAUUGUAGAAAUUAAUGUGUAUUUCAAGGCACUUUACAAAUAUUACUUUCCUUAGACGUUAUUCGCCCCCACUAAUUGAGUGAUGAAUAUGGGUUAAACAAAUACGCAUCGACGAUACAAUGAAGUACUUAUUUGUUUGUUUGCAUUGUGUAUCGACGAAAGCAAACCUAAACACUCUUAAAUGUUGCAAGCUUGUCAAGAAUCAAUAUAUUAUUUGCUGAUAUAUUGUUCCCGCAGUAAACAAUAUGUUGGAUAUUUAAUGCAUAAAAUAUAGAUGUUAUAUGAUAAAAUUCGUUUUAGAAAGGAGAGUUUAGAAACGAUUGUUAUAGGAAUGUUAUGUUCAUGUCUAAAUGGCCUAAACAUGGCCUCUAUUUAUAAAUAUACUUGUGCCCUCCAUUUGGAUUGUCAUUUUUCAUGAUACCCAUUCAUUUAUGGUCAUUGGAUCAAGAUAUGAUUUUAAUCAAUUGUCUAAAUUGGUCCAUCACCAUUUCAAGUGAAAUUACAAUAUGAAAUGAUACAUUCUUAAGUGGAAAGAUACCUUUUAUAUGGGACAAUUACUUGGACAUGUUUUUAUAAUAAAACAUCAUUUAUUUUGAAAUUGUUACAGCACUAAGAUUAUUCUAGGUUAAGUUAAUCUAUUAUAUAUAACUUCAGAAGGUUCAUCGGUAGAUUGUUUUAAGUUUUUGUCGUAGUUUACAAAGAUUUUGUUACUUGUAAUGUAAGAAAUUUUAGAAAUGUUGGUGCUGAGUAAUCUGCAAAAUUAUUAUGAAUCAGAGAAACAGGGCAGAUGUUGUACAAUUAUUGUUGUGGUGGAGCGGAAAGGUAGCCCGAGAUGGUGACUGCUAUUGGGAUUUCUUUAAUUUGCAGCAUAAAAGCAUUUACAUUGACAUCGACUCAAGGGUAAAAAUUAAAUAUCUCAUGUAGCAUAAGAAGAAUGCAAAAAUGCUUGAAUGAGCAUUCUGACUCAAUACACAAAAGCUACUUUCCCUUGAGCACUUUCGCAACAAAAGCAAAUGUAAAAUUUAGCAUUUAAAUCUAACAUCAAAUGGCUGAUGCCAUCGUUUCCAUCCCUUGGGGAAACUGAAUUCCUCUACAUGAUAUUACAGUCUGGAGCGGCUCUUACCUUAGGCAACUUAGGAUAAUUUAGGCGGUUGCUCAGGACCCCACAUUUAACCUAGGACCCCAUUAUAAAUGAAGGUUUCUAAUUUAAUUCCUAAAUUAUAGUUAUUAAUUAUUGAUUUAUAUUUAUUAUUUAUAACUAUAUUUUCCAUAAACAAACUACUAGAUUCUUACAAAAUCCCCUUUUAACAUUAUAAUUAACAAUUUUAAUCCACUUAUUUCCUCCAUAUAUUUCAUUUAAAACUCUAUAAAGGCCACACCUUUUUUAAAUUAUUAUCCAUUAAUAUCUUUUUCCAAUAAAAAAAAACACAAAACCUUCAUUACUUUGGUGAAAAAACUACUUUCUCUACCUUACUUUUUGCAUAAGGAAGAAAAGAAAAUCAAUUGUUUUACUUUCUUUUGAUCAUUGUUGCUCAAAGUCUCAAUCCAUCAAAGUUAAAUUUCUCAAAUUUUCAAGUUUUAUCUUCCGAUUCUCUUAUUAAUUAAUUGUGUUAUUUAGGUGUUUUUGUUUCUUUGUAAAAAUAUUAUUCUGCUCAUAGGUUGUUUUCUUUUAAUUAUCUAGCAUAAUUGUUUGCAUGAUUACUCUUGUUUCCUUAGAAAAAAAAUGUCUACUAAAAACUAUGCAUCAUGAUACAAAAAACUUCAUAAAAGGAGAAGAAUACAAAAGUUAGCUUAAUCUAAAAACGUGCUAUUGAUAAAAAAUUAUUUAAGAUCAACCAUGUCAUAGGAAAGAUUAAAUAGGUUAACUAUAUUAUCUAUUGAGAAAGAUAUAUUAGCAAAAUUAGAAUAUAAAAAGUUGAUUAAUAAUUUUGCAUCUCAGAAAGUUAGAGAAAUUUAUUUUAAAUAAAUAAAACUUUAAUAAAAUUAAUACACAUAUUUCACCUCAAAUUUUUUGAAAGGUCUAAUUAAAUCAAUUUAUUUAAGACCUAAAAUAUGAUUGAGCCGCCUUGAAAUUGCAGUAAGAUAGAAAUGUGAAAUAGACAGAACACUUGCUCAUACGUUAAAGAUGCGACGAAUUUGAGAAUAUUUAUGUUUAUGUGCCAAAUUCCUAAUGUAUGGGAAUUUAAAAAUGUUAGUGCAGAACAUGUGUUCAUCGGUGGAGUAGAAUCAGGGAAAUUAAAGAUAAGCAUAAUUUUUGCAUCCAAUGCCAAAUUCCCCCAGGUAGAAAGUGGGGACUCCUUUGCAUAAAAGUUGAUAAAAGUUUGACUAAGAUCUUAUUAGAAAUUAAUAUAUUCUCUCUCCACAUAUUUCUGCACGAAAUAACAUGCAGAUAUAGUAUUUUAGGUUAUUGUUAAUAGUUUUACAAUAAUAAAAAUCAUUUUGUUAGAUCUUAAAAUGUACUCACACUCUAUUUUGUGCAAAAGUCUGCGAGAAAGGAUUUCAGAUUUACCUAACGGUGAAGUUGGGAACUUGCUUUUUUACCUAGGCUAAAAAUAUUUCAAUAAAUUCUGAUCGUGGAGACUAACAAGAGUUUUUUUAGUCAUAUAUAUAUUUAUUUUUUAGGGACUAAUAUGAAUAUUACUAAUUUCAUCGAGAUUAUUAAAAAAACAAUGUGCUAAUUUGCCAAUAUGAUUUCUCCAAUCUUUUUUCUUUUCGUCAUUUAUUCCUUUGUGAAUUUGAGUUAAUGCUUGAUAUUAUUUUUCUGCUCAUUUUUUAAAGUAGAAGAUUAAGAAGUCUACUGCUGUUUAGCUUGGUAGGCUAUAAAUAAAGAGGCGCAUAUAUAGAAGGCUUAGAAAUAACUCUCAUUCUCAUCAUUGCAAAAUGGCUUCUCUUCGUUUUCUCCUUGCAGCUGCUCUUGUAGUUGCAUUUGUGCUUGAGGGAUCAUAACCAGAUCAAGCUCAACUUUCUCCCUCUUUUUAUUCUUCCACAUGCCCUAAUGUAACCAACAUAAUUCGGGAGGUGCUUCAGAAUGCUUUCUUGUCCGAUAUUCGCAUCGGUGCCAGCCUCGUCAGGCUUCAUUUCCAUGACUGUUUUGUUAAUGGCUGUGAUGCAUCGAUUUUUCUGGACAAUACUACUACCAUAGAAAGCGAGAAAUUUGCUGGGCCAAAUAAUAAUUCAGCGAGGGGUUUUGAAGUUGUUGAUGACAUGAAAGCUGCCGUUGAAAGGGCCUGUCCAGGCGUUGUUUCCUGUGCUGAUAUUCUUACUAUUGCAGCUGAACAAUCUGUUGCUCUGUCAGGGGGUCCUUCAUGGACAAAUCUAUUGGGAAGAAGAGACAGCAGAACAGCAAACAGGACUCUUGCAAAUGAAAAUCUUCCAGUACCGAACAAUAGUCUUGAGAGGCUCAAAGAUAGAUUCAGAAAUGUUGGCCUCAACGAUAAUUUUGAUCUUGUUGCACUCUCCGGAGCUCACACAUUUGGAAGGGCUCAGUGCCGAACUUUUAGCGAUAGAUUAUUCAAUUUCAACAACACUGGCAAUCCAGACCCAACACUUAACACAACCCUCUUACAGCAACUUAGGCAACUAUGCCCACAAGGUGGAAACGGCAGCGUUCUAACUAAUCUUGAUGUCACAACACCUGAUGUGUUUGACAACAAAUACUUCUUCAAUCUUCAAAUACACAAGGGCCUUCUGCAGAGUGAUCAAGAGUUGUUUUCGACUCCCGGUGCCGAUACCGCUGCCAUUGUCAAUAACUUUGGCAGGAACCAGACUGCUUUCUUUGUAAACUUUGUGACUUCAAUGAUUAGAAUGGGCAAUUUGAAACCACUGACGGGAAAUCAAGGGGAGAUUAGAUUGAACUGCAGGAGGGUCAACGGAAACAGCAAUAUCGCAACAAGAUCAUCAUCAUCGGAGGGUGAUUUGAUCAGCUCUUUCUGAAUAAGCUAGUUUGCAGCUAACGCGAGAGAAAGAGUUUGUGGGUAACAAACUCAUGAAUUUACUCCUAUGUUUUGCCUGAAACAUGCUUUGUAUUUUCAAUAAACUAAAGUUGUGGUUGUGUAUUCACGUCCUGCUUUCUAUGUAUCAGAAAUCCUUGUCAUAUUGUAUGUGUUUCUUUUUCUUUUCUUUUUUUUCUCCCAAAGUCAUCGAUAUGUAUUUUCAUUUGAGUCACAAGUUUUUAAUACCCCACUUUAUCCUCUAGCUUUUAAAAAAAAAAAAGUAGAAGAUUAUGAAAAAGUGAACACACAAAAAGCAUAAAAAUCAUUAUUAGAUCCAAAUUUGUGCUAUUUUCAUACAUAACUUGAGAAUAUUUAUAAUUACGCAUCAGAACUAGUGGAGUAGAAUCAGGGAAAUUAAACAUUCUACAAUCAUUGACGUGUGGGGUUGGGAUAAGCAUAAGCUUUUUCUAUGCAGUAUAAAAGAAUGCAAUAACUCCUUUUCUUUCAGUAUCAUCGCAACAAAAGCACAUCUAAUAACUCUUCAGAAUUCUCGUCUUCUUUGUCAGAAUGGUUGAUGCGAUCGUUUCCUCUCUCCUGGAGCAGCUGAUCUCUGUUGCGGCUGAUGAAGCGAAACAACAGGUGAGGCUUGUGACUAGUGUCCGAGAAGAAGUGAAAAAGCUUACCAGCAAUCUUCAAGCCAUUCGAGCUGUGCUGGAGGAUGCCGAGCAAAGGCAAAUGCAGCAAGACAAAGUUGUUACUUUUUGGCUGGAUCAGCUCAAAGACGCGUCCUACGACAUGGAAGAUGUGUUGGACGAGUGGGUCUUUACAAGGCUCAAAUUGCAAAUUGAGGGCGUUGAUGAUGACAAUGCUUUUUCCCUUGCUCCUCACAAGAAGAAGGUACGUUCCUUCUUUCGUGCUGUAUCAAACUGCUUUGGUAGUUUCAAACAACUCGGUCUUCGUCAGGACAUUGCUGUCAAGAUUAGGGAAAUCAAUGAAAAGCCAGAUGAUAUUGCCUCCCAAAAAGAUAGGUUUAAAUUUGUUGAGAAUGUGAGUAACCAUGUUAAAAAACCGAAACAAGCGCGAACCACCUCCUUGAUUGAUGAGGGAGAGGUCUGCGGUAGAGUUGACGAGAAAAACGAGCUCUUAAGCAAGUUGUUGUUUGAAAGUAGUGAACAACAAAAAGGCCUUCAUGUCAUCUCACUAGUUGGGUUAGGGGGCAUGGGUAAAACACUCUUGCACAACUGGCCUAUAAUAAUGAUGAGGUGAAAAGAAAUUUUGAAAAAGUUAUAUGGGUGUGUGUAUCAGACACUUUUGAGGAGAUUAGGGUUGCCAAUGCAAUUAUUGAAGGUCUAGGUGAGUCAGCUUCUAGUUUAAGCGAAUUCCAAUCUCUUCUAAGCCAUAUCCAUAGAUCAAUUGAAGGAAAAAAAAAAUUUCUUGUCUUAGAUGAUGUAUGGGAUGGGGAUUAUAAUAAAUGGGAACCAUUCUUCCAUUGUCUAAAGCAUGGUCUCCACGGAAGUAAAAUUUUGCUUACCACACGUAAUGAGUCAGUUGCAUGUAUGAUGGGAUCAACAAAUAUUAUCUUCAUUGAGCAAUUGACUGAAGAGGAAUGUUGGUUGUUGUUCUAGCAGUUAGCAUUUUCCGGUCGCUCUUUCGAGGAUUGUGAAAAAUUAGAACCAAUCGGGCGAAAAAUUGCACGCAAGUGCAAAGGCCUGCCUCUUGCUGCAAAGGCAACAUGGAAUCUCUUACGCUCUAAAAGUACAAUAAAAGAGUGGCAAAAAACUUUAGAUAGUGAAAUGUGGAAAGUAGAAGAGAUUGGGCAAGGCCUUUUUGCUCCAUUGUUGUUGAGUUAUAAUGAUUUGCCCUCCAAUUCUAUGGUAAAACGAUGUUUUUCAUAUUGUGCUGUCUUUCCGAAAGAGUACAAUAUAAAAAAAAAGGAACUAAUUUCACUAUGGAUGGUUCAAGGUUACCUUAAUGCAGAAGAAGAUGAAGAGAUAGAGAUGACUGGGGAAGAGUAUUUCAACAUUAGCAGCACGCUCUUUCUUUCAAGAGUUUAAAAAAGAUGAUGAUGAUGAUGAUAUUAUGAGCUGUAAGAUGCAUGACAUAGUACAUGAUUUUGCCCAAUUUGUAAGUAGAAAAGAAUGUUGGUGGGUAGAAAUUAAUGGUACCAAAGAAUCAGUCAUAAACUCUUUUGGUGAUAAAGUCCGUCACUUAGGGUUAAAUUUUGAAGGAGGAGCUUCAUUUCCUAUGUCCAUUCAUGGACUUAAUAGAUUGCGGACCCUCCUAAUUUAUUUCCAAAGUCCUUCCAAUCCGUCUCUUAAUAGUAGCAUCCUUUCGGAGUUAUUUAGUAAAUUGGCGUGUUUCAGGGCAUUAGUUAUAGGGCAACAGAACUUUAUAUUUGAUCCUUACCCAAAUUUGAUUAGAGAAAUUCCAGAAAAUGUCAGAAAAUUAAUACAUUUAAAAUAUCUUAAUUUGUCUGAAUUAUGUAUAGAGAGACUGCCUAAGACUUUGUGUGAAUUAUAUAAUUUACAAAAGCUAGAUAUUAGGUGGUGCGAAGAUCUUAGAGAAUUGCCGGCGGGGAUUGGGAAGUUAAAGAACAUGAGGAGUUUACUGAAUGGUGGCACUCCUUCGCUGAAGUACAUGCCAAUAGGGAUUUCCAAAUUAACCAGUCUUCGAACAUUAGAAAAGUUUGCUAUGGGCGGAGGUGUUAAUGAUAUCAGUACGUGUAGGCUUGAAUCUCUAAAAAAUCUUCAGCUCCUUCGAGAAUGUGGAAUAGAAGGGCUGAGUAAUGUGUCACAUUUAGAUGAGGAUGAGAGAUUAGGACUUCACAAUAUGAAAAACCUCCUUCGUUUAUCUCUUGAGUUUGAUGAGGAAGGUGAAGAAGGGAGGAGGAAGAAUCAACAACUUCUGGAAGCCUUACAACCGCCUUUGAAUGUAAAAGAAUUAGGGAUUGUAUCCCACGGAGGCAACAUAUUUCCCAAAUGGUUGACUUCACUAACCAAUCUAAGGGAUUUAAGACUUAAAUCGUGCGUUAUCUGUGAGCAUUUUCCUCCCUUGGGAAAAUUACCGUUGGAAAAACUCACCCUUUAUGGCCUGUACGGUGUGAAAAGAGUGGGUAAUGAGUUUUUGGGAAUCGAAGGAAGCAGUGAGGAUGACCCAUCUUCAUCUUCAUCAUCAUCAUCAGUCAUUGCCUUCCCCAAAUUGAAAUCACUCCACAUUGGGGCAAUGGAAGAAUUGGAAGAGUGGAAUUAUAGGAUUACAAGAAAGGAAAACAUCUCCAUCAUGCCGCGUCUUUCUUCCUUGACGAUUUGGUAUUGCCCCAGAUUAAGGGUGUUGCUGGAUUACCUUUUUCAAUCGACGACAUUGCAGAAAUUGAGUAUUUCUUAUUGUCCAAUUAUGGAAGAACUGCGCAUUCUAGAAGAUCACAGGACAACAGACAUACCACGUCUUUCUUCCUUGGAAAUUGAGUAUUGCCCCAAAUUAAAGGUGCUGCCGGAUUACCUUCUUCGGCGACGACGCUGCAGCAAUUGAGUAUUCAGGGAUGUCCUCUUCUGGAAAACCGUUAUAGAGUGGAGAAAGGAGAAGACUAGCAUAAGAUAUCUCACAUUCCCUACAUCGAGUCCGAGUGGUAAAUUCUCGAAUGGUUGCAAUUACUAUCACCCACCGGUAAUUUCUCUCCCCUAUUUUACUUUGUUGUUACUUCAAACAACGACACUGCAAACAUUGACAAUUUGGGGUUACAGAGAAGGGGAAGGAGAAGACUGGCAUAAGAUAUCUCACCCUCCCCACAUCAUGCGGUCGGCGUAAGAUAUCACUCGCCGGUAAUUUCUCCUCCUCCUCUGAUUUACUCUGUUGUUGCUUGCAAUAAAAUUAAUAAAAAUAAUUAUAUUUUGAAUUAAAAUUCUAUAUAUUGCCCAAUGUCUGACAGGAAUAUACAAUAUUUUCUAAUAUUUUGAUUUGCAUAUCGAAUUUAACUAUUUACUUCAACCAUUAAUUUAUUGGGUCACUUUAUGAUGCUAUUAUAAAAAUUACAGAAUCAAUCAUAGUAUAAAUAUGUAGUGUUAAAUUUAAUCAAUAGUUCAUAAAGGUUAGUAAGAAUAAUACUUUAAUUUUAAUUAUUUAAAAUUUAAACUUCCUAGUCAUCAAAUUUGUUAAACUUGUUUUCUAAAGCUAAAAUAAUAAUAAAAUAAAGUAAAAAAAACAAGUGCAGUCUGUUGAAAUUUCUAUAAUUUCUUUUAAAAAAUAUGUAGUCUUUUGUAAAAUUUCAUACAACAUCAUAGAAAUAAUUUAUGUGUAAGUUCCUGAGAGACAAAAUCUCUGUGAUACAUUUGCAGUAAUGUUGAAAACUAACUUAUCAAUGUUAUCUUGUAUAAUGAUAAUCGUAUUUUUUUAUAUAUAAUUUAUGUGACAUUAAUUCUUUAAAGUAAUUGUGUGAUUGUUUUUAGUAGUACAUGAGCCCACUUUGUUUUAUUUCAUACGAGUUUAAUUAUGUUCACCAGGGAUUCGAGGAAAUGUCAGAACUACACUAGCAAUUCGCAGGUCCACGCUAAUUUGGUUCUAAUGAUGCACGCAGGAGAGCAAGAUUAUGAAAAUGAAUAGUUUAGCCAAAGGAUUGCUAAAAUGUUUUGCUGGUAAUUCACUUGCUUUUUUUUAUAGAAUUUCAUUUCCAUCUUCUUCUAUUGAUAUCUUGUUGUGAAUAAACAAGAACAGAGAAGUAACUAUAUAUAUAAAAAGUCCCUAUUAUGAUGAUGUUAAAGCAAGCUCAAGCUCAAACAUUGCAUUUUUAUUUUAUUUUAUUUAUAGAAUUUUCAUUUCUACCUGGAUUGCAUUUCUAUUUCAUUUUCAGGUUGACUUUGAAAACUCUAUGGAGCACAUUGGGGGGGUAACCAAGGAUUAUCAUUGUGGUUAUUGUGCAACGUUUGGUUGCUGGACUUUGAAGAAGGAAGUGAUGGCCGGGUCUGCUCUGUUUCAAUUGAGGAUGGAUAGCUGCCUGAAAGACAUGAUGAUUAUUAUUGCAUGAUGUUUAGGUGCUAAGAUCAUCAUUUCUGUCUUGUUUCAUUCUUUGAUCGGUUUAUCCUAUAUAAACAUAUGGAAUUAUGCUAAUAUUAUCAAUUUUUUCACCUAAUUUUCACUGUUGUUGUGAAAACAAUUUCAGGCUCUCAAAAGCUACAAAGCAAAGCAUUUGUAGGCUGAUCAUAUGUUUCAAUUGAGGAAGGAGCUUGGUGUUGGCAAUAUUGUCCAGGUAACCACAGCUGAUAAUUUCCACAAAUUUGCAUUAAACUUAGUUGUCACCAUCUCCUGCAAUUUCUCAUUCAUUCAAGAGUACUUCAAAAUUAGAUUUUCAGGGUUUGAAUGUUUAGUUGCGAUCAAAAUAUUUAGUCACUCAUUCGUAAUCUUUUCCGAUUUUCAAGUUCUUUAGGGCCAUAAACAGUUUUCCAACUCAUUCUUAAUUUUUAGGUUGAUUUCGAGUACCCUGUUGAGGACAUUCCUGAGACUAAGGAUUAGGCUGGCGAAGGAACUACUACCUCUGUUGUUAUUGUGCAAGGUUUGAUCAUUGGACCUUGAAUAAGAAUCCCUUACACGCAUUCUGUACUUCAAGCAUUCUCUAAAGGAAAAGAGCAGUAGAAGGGAUAGUGAUGGCCGGAUCCGCUCUAUUUUAGUUGAAGAUCUCUGUGAUGUCGAUGAACUUAAAGCAGUUGAUACUUCUUGAAAAUUGUUGUUACGGAUGAAUUGAUUCCUGAAGAUGGGUAUCCAAAGGCAUAUUUUCAUAAACUUCCUUUUUUUAACAAAUGCUCCAAUGCUUGCUGUAGUAACAAUUUCAUAGCUUGCAUCUCUCGGGUGCAUCAUGUUCACGGGUUGGAAAAAGCAUUUGUGGUAAACCUUCAAAGCUUGUAAAAUGGCUGUGAAAAGGCACAUUCAAUUCGGUAUGCUUUGGUGCGGUCUCCUAAUGCUAAUAUUAUGUUUCAAUGCUGGCUGUAGUAACAAUUUCAUAUCUUGCAUCUCUUGGGUGCAUCAUGUUCAAGGGUUUGAAAAAGCAUUUGUGGUAAUGCUUCAAAGCUUGUACAACGGCUGUGAAAAGGCACAUUCAAUUAGGUACGUUUUGGUGCGGUCUCCCAAUGCUAAUAUCAUAUUUUGUAUAGCAAUUAAAAUUUAGCUAUACAAUCUUAAUAUGCAAUAAAUCAUUGUAUACAAAGUUUUCUAUUGAUUAUAUGGUGACUGAAAUUUUAAUUAUCAUAUCAAUUUAAAGUUUUGGCUGAUAUGUCUAAUUCGUAGAAAUUCACUUCCAUCGGUUUCCAUUGGCUUUAGCACAAACAGAAACAGAGCUCUGGGGAAAAGUUUUACUUCUUGUGGUAUUAUGCCUUUGUUUCUUCAUUCAUCAUAUUUUUCGAAUUCAUGCUCUCAUUCAGAGGGUAAAGCCUUUUCCAGGCUGCUUUGUAGCCAAACUUUGACGCCUUUGAUGCAUGACUGUCAUUUAGAUUUCCCAAAUAACUGUUAGAUUGGAGAAGAAUAAAAAGAUACUGUUAAAAGGGUAUUUAAUUAGCGCCCUCUGAAUUUCUUGGAGUUAAUGUAGUCAAUUGCCCAAUUUUGCUGCCUGUCGAAGAUACACAGCAUGGAAGUCCUCAUCAAACUCUGAGACACCUAAUAAAUAGUAGGAUAGUAGGAGGGGGUGGUAUUCGCCUGGUGUUAAUUUCCUGGCAAGUAUAGUUCACAGAUAGAGGGGUUCUUUUCUUGAUGUCUAAAUACCGUAUGAGAUACAACAUCGUGUAUUCCAAUUUUUCUCUAGUUAAAUUUUAAUAAGUUAGAAAAGUUAAUUUUGUUUUAGCAAUGAAUUGUUUUCUUAAUAAUAAUAAUUGCCAUGUUCCUCUGAAGUCUUAUUAAUGCCAGACCAACAACUACUAGGUUCAUCUCUCGUUCACUUCCUCAGGGAAUCUCGAGGGCAUUCAUUGGCAGGUAGCCUUUCUUGUUGAGCUCCUGGAAUUACUUUUAAUUUAUCAUUUGUUGGGUUUUGCUUUUUGAUUGCUUUGGGAUUUGUGUUAUUAUCGCUUUGUCACUCAUUAAUCUUGGCUGUUUUGAAUCUGUGUUGGAUUUAGAAGUUUGGAGUUGAAAACAGUUAAAGCUUAGACUAGUAGAAGAGAUUUAUACAUUCAUUUAUCUUGGACAAAGUUUUUGGGGGAAAAAAAAAUUAUAAGUAUACACUUUCCAAUGGUUCGGUGAUGUUUGAUUGGUUUAAAGAUGUUGGAUCUCUCAUCAGAUUUCUUAUGUAUCGACUGUUGUUGCCACAGGAUGCUCGCAGAUCCUGCUUUUUUGUAUAAACUUCUACUAGAGCAGGCUGCAACAAUUGGUUGCACUGUUUUGUGGGAGUUGGAGAAUCAUAAGGAGAGGUGUGUUUUUUCUCUCAUAACAAAGGAACUCUCCCCUUCCUUUUUAUUUUCAUCUUAUAUAUUAAGCUAAUAAAUGUUUGUUUCUGUCGUGAUGGGAUAAAGCAAGAAUGGGAUCAGCUUGGUUUUGGUGCUUUCCUCGGACUAUAUGCAAACAUGAGAUAUCAACUAUUGUGUGGAUUUGAUAGAGCGGUCAUCAACCAUUUUGAUGUUACCAGGUUAUCUCUCCCUCUCCCUCUUCUACGUAUUUGUUUAUUGAUCUACAUCUCUAUAUAUAUUGAUAGACUAUUCUGGACGUACCAAAUUACCCUUGUUUUAAUGUUUUGUUUGUUAAACUUUGACUGGGGAAUCUGUUUAUUUGGCUGAUAAGAGGUUAGUGUGGUUUCUAUUGAAGUGUGUAGAUCUAUCACCAAGUAUUAUUUCAAUUUUUCUUUACUGAAUCAACUUGCAUCCUUUCCAAGUCCAGAUCCUUAACAAUAGUGCGACAUUGCUACCGAAGUACAAUUUCUCUAGUUUGACAGUUAAAUACGUAAGAAUGGUUUUAAAUUAACUGAACUCUGAGAUAGUUCUCUAAGGAAGUACAAGUGGUGAAUACGGUUCCAACUUUUAAGUGCCUUAAUAUAUCCAUUUGUUCAGCCCUGUGCAUAAAAAAUCAGUAAUUGCCGUCCAAAUUCUUCUUUACUGCCUAUAUGUGUUGGACUUUGUCUAUUCUUCAACUUCUCAAAUGGAUUUUUUGAAUGUCCAAUUAGGAGAAAGAUCAAGGCUUGCUUGGCUAGGAGUGGAAGCGGAUCCGCUACUUCAAUCAUAUGACCUUUUGAAGAAGGCUUACAACGGGGCGGCUCAGGAUGUCAAUGGCUCAACUCAAAAGUCCCCAAAGUGGUUGAUAUCAAAGAAUGCCAUUGUCUCUGGGCUUGGGCUCCUUGGGAUCAAACAAGGGAAUGCGACUCUGUUGAAGGGGAAGCACGGGCCCCUAAAGUGCGAAGAAAGAGGAUAGUCCGGAAGAAGGUGACCGCAUAAAUUUCUUGGGAGUUAAUCCUAGUCAAUAGCCCAAUUUUGCUGCCUGUCGAAGAGAUACAACACGGAAGUCCUCAUCAAACUCUUUGGGACAUCUAAGAACUAGUAGGGAGGUGGUGGUAUUCACUGUGUUUCCUGGCAAGUAUAGUUCACUGAUGGAUGGAUUCUUUUCUUGAUGUCUAAAUAUCAUAUGUGAUACAACGUCGUAUAUUCCAAUUUUUCUCCAGUAAAAUUCUAGUAAGUUAGAAAAGUUAAUUUUGUUCUAGCGAUGAAUUGUUUUCUUAGUAAUAAUAAUGGCCUGUUGCUUUGGAAUCUUAUUCACUCUCUGUAACCCAAUUAAAUUGUGCAAAUUCUACUGCGGAUUUGUCAAACAGAGCGUCUUUGUGAUUUCUUUGAUAGACUUUUGAUCGCUAGUUUAAGUUUGAAUCAUCUUGUAAUGCCAAAACAGAGCGCUUUUAAUUACUAGAUCGUACUCGAGUUUUUAUUCAGCUUUUAAUUACGAGAUCAGCUUUUAGUAUUAGCGAUAAUUAUAAUAUAAACGUUAAUUAUGAAACUCUUACCAAACAAGAUGUUACUCAAUUUUACUUAAUCUCACUCGUCUUUGAUUUGUAAAUUUUAUGCCUAAAUUUUUGUCAACAAAUUGGUCCCAGUUCCACGUUGAGUGCACGAGAUCCACAAGUUUGAUUGGGCAGAACGCAGAAGCAGCUAAAAAAAACUGAUGAAACCCACGUCCAAAGAUGCUGUUGUCGCGGAGGCCUAGACACGACUCCCCAUCCCCUUUUACCAUAUUUUAUAAUUGAAGAGGCCAUUAUUGAAUUGAAAAAUUAUGAUUCAACCGUUGGAAACCAACUCGGAAUUUUAAGUUGAUAUGAGAAAAGAUUUUUUCAUCAUCAUCAUCAUCAUUAUUAUUUCUUUUUAACAAAAAUUUAAGCUAAGACAACAAUAUAUGCCCAAAAUACCCCUCACAUUAUCCCAAACUUUCUAAACUCCCCCAUUCCUCUCAACAUCAUCUCUUCCAAAUCUUUCUUCCUCCAAAAAGCAGCCAUGGCUUCAAAUUCAAUCACCUCAACACUCCAAUAUUGGCUUGUAAACCACCCCCAAAUCCUCAACUUCACAUGGACUCAAAACCAAACCCCAGCUUCCUCCCCACACUUCCUCAUUCUCUCCAUCCUCACUUACCUCUCCCUCACAUUCAUCCUCUACCACAAAUUAACGCCAACGUCACCAUCAUCAUCACCUCUCAUUGGACCCCACAUCCUCAAGCCCAUCACAACCGUCCAUAACCUCACCCUCCUCCUCCUCUCCCUCGUCAUGGCCUUUGGUUGCACUCUCUCCAUCGUCCUCCAUUCACCCGACCUCCGUCACACCCUCUGUUUCCCCCCCACCAUUUCUGCCUCCGGUCCCCUCUUCUUCUACGCUUACAUCUUCUACCUCUCCAAAAUACUCGAAUUCCUAGACACCCUUUCGAUCAUUUUGUCAAACUCCAUCCAACGGCUUACAUUCCUCCACGUCUACCACCAUGCAACCGUCGUCGUAAUGUGCUACCUUUGGUUACAGACGAAGCAGUCUUUGUUUCCUAUCGCACUUGUCACCAAUGCAAGUGUGCACGUGAUCAUGUACGGGUACUAUCUAUUGUGUGUGAUGGGGUUGCGGCCAAAGUGGAAGAGAUUGGUCACUGACUGUCAGAUUGUUCAGUUCGUGUUUAGUUUUGUUGUUUCAGUUUUGAUGCUGUAUUAUCAUUUUGCGGGAUUUGGAUGCUCUGGGAUCUUGGGUUGGUGCUUCAAUGCUGUGUUUAAUGCUUCCCUCUUGACACUUUUUAUUAAUUUUCAUUCCAAGAGCUAUGCUAAGAAAAAGCAGGGAUGAUCAAAACAAAUCGUCGUUGUGAUUGUUCUCUGUGUGUGUGUGUUUUUUUUUUUUUGGUUAAUUAUGAAGGGUUGUGAUCGGUUCAUUGCAUUUGACAGAGAUGUUGAAGGGUUAUGUACUGGAAAAUAGAAAUUAAACCAACAUUAUCACUAUAACUGGUACAUUAUUACCAUCACAGAUCAAGAUCUGAAUGGACGCAUAGCAGCCAUCCUCAAAACCAAAGGAGGAGAAAAUUGAAAUAGAACAACCACCUUAAGGUGAAUAAGGCCAGAACAAGACACACAUCCUCAAAUCAUAAGGAAGAGGUGGGUGCAACCGAAAAAAAAAAGAAAAAAAGAAAUCAAGAAUCCACUGGAGAAGGCAAGAAAGAUAUUUGCCUCCGAAGAUUUGGUGAGGAAGAGAUGAGGAGUUAGAAAAGUUUUCGGAGAGAUCUACAGAUUAGCUUUAAAAGUGUGUUUUAAAGAAAAAGUUGUUGAGAACUUGAGAGGAUACAUGCGCAAUCAAUCCUUUACUCUUCAUGUUUGUGGAAUGUUUAUCCACUGAGUGUAAUCGUAAUCACACGGUUGAUAUUAGUUGGUUCUAUGUUGGAGUUGAUCCAUCAUAGCCGGAGCCUUUAAAUAAAAAACAUUACAACUAGAGAUGGCAAUGGGGCGGGGUGGGAGUGGGGAUGCCUACCUCAUUCCCCACCCCAUUAAAAAUUUUUGUCUCCAUUCCCCACCCUAUUCCCCAAUAAAUUUAGUGGGUUGAGGAUGAGGAAUCCCUACGUGGGGAAUGAUUCUCCCAUUCCCACCUCAUUCCCCAUUUACUUAUUUUAUAGUAGAUAUAAAAAUAUAAUUUUAGUAAAUUUAAAAUUAAAGACUUAAAAUAAAAACAUCAACAUAUUAUAAAGUAUUUAAAUUUUUUUGAAAAUCUCUAAAAGUUUGAAAUAAUAUCUUAAACUGAUAUUAAAAGUGAAAAAUAUUUAAAGAUAUUUAAAGAGAGCAGCACCUUAAAAGAGAAAAGAAAAUAUAAUAAUAUUUUUAAGUUAAAAAAUAUUGUAGGGUUUUCUUUUACUUAUAUCAUAUUUAUAUUACAUAAAAAUUAAAAAAUUAUUAAUUGACAUUAUAGUCGAUAAAAUAAAAAUUAAAAACAUAUUUAUAUAUAAUGGGGAUUGGGGUGGGGAUGGGGCGGGGAGUGCAAUACCAAACCCAACCCCAUUAACAAUUUGGGGAUUACUUUUCCCCCAAAAUUAUUAAAAAUUUUUUUCAUUUAGGGUGGGGCUCCAUGGGGCCCCAAACCCGUGGAGAAUUUUGUCAUCCCUAAUUACUUUGUCAUCCCUAAUUACAACUCAUGCAUCUAAGUACUUAAAGUUGGCUUGAGUGCAUGGGUUAUUGUCAGUUUUCUUCCUAAUUAAAUUAGGUUGGGAUAAAAUUAUCUCUUUAUUAAUAAGAAUAAAGUAGAUAUCUCUCUCGAUUUUCCUCUUAAUUAAACUGGAUAGGAGUAAAAUUAUCUUUUGAUUAAUAAGGAUGUAAUAUAUAUCUCUCUAAUAUUAUGUGAUGGUAGAAAUUUGGGUUGUACCGUAAUAGAAUUAUCAAGGAUAGUCUUGAUAGAAUUAAUGUAAAGAAUUAAGAUAAAGCCUCAAAGAUGGAACAGAGGUUAAAAAAAAAAAAGAGUACAAGACAAAGAAAUAAGGAAACAAAAGAAGACCAAGAAUAAAAGAAAAAAUAAUUUGGAAAACAAAAAAAUGGAUUGCAAUUUUAAAUUUUGAUUAAGGAUAAAUUGUAGUGGAUGCCAUUGUUGGUAAUUUAUUAUAUUUCAAAGCUCAAAUAAGGAAUAAAAUUAUUAUUAUUAUUAUUAUUAUUUUGCAAUAACUCGUUUCAAAUUUUAAAAGAUUAUAACUUUUUGUUUUUUAACAUUUUAAUCAUAAAUUAAAAAGGAGUUACUAUUCAAGAUUCCUAAGAAUACUGAAAAAAAUGAUAAAUAUUAUUCUAAGAAAAUGAUAUAUAUUGGAUAUACUAAAUAUUAUAAAUUAUUAAAUAUUUUACUAUUUUACCCCUUAGUUUGAUGUUUGGGGAAAAAAAAUACUAAAAUGGCUUUCAAUAAAAAGAAUUAUUAUUAAAAAAAUAAGAUUAAAAUUAUAACAAAUGAUAUUAAUAAGAAAGAAACUGAUAAAAAUUUGGGAUUAGAAAUAGGGGUUAAGGCUUCAGUCCUUGAAUUUCUCUAAAUUUUAUAUAUUUUUAAUUUUUAACCCGUCAAAUUACAUUAUUAAUGGAAUGUCAAUAAAUUUUGUGCGUUAAUUUUUGUUUUAGAUACUUUGAAAGGUAAAAUGGUAUUUUGGAUGGUAAAAGUCAACUAAUUAAUUAAAUAUUUAUAUUCUUCGCUCACCGGAUUUCUUAAAAAGUUUUCUGAACCUCCUAGCCAGCAUAUCCAUCUCUUCCUCAUCCAGCUCGCUUUCCUCAUCACUUUCAUGUUUCGAGGCUUUGAGAGCAAUGUUUUUCUUCUUCUCCUCAUUGCCUCUUUCGGCUUCUAAGUCUUCCUCAUAAGAAAUAAGAGAGCCAAUUAAAUCAUCAAUAGGUAAGAUAUUUAAAUCCUUGGCUUCUUCAAUGACAGUCCUUUUUGGUCUCCAUUCCUUAGGUAGCGACCUAAUAGUUUUCUUAACUUUCUCGCUAUUUGAAAAAGUAUUUCCUAGGGCUCCUAGAGUGUUCACUAUGUCCGUAAAUCUAGUAUACAUAGCAUACACACUCUCAUUUUGUUCCAUUUGGAACAAUUCAUAUUGCCGAGUGUACCUACUAAUUUUAGACUCUUUCACUUGAUUUGUGGCUUCAUAAACAACUUCAAGUUUGUGCCAAAUUUCAUUAGCACUCUCACAACUAGAUACUCUAUGGAAUUCUUUCUUAUCUAGUGCACAAAAUAAGGCAUUCAUAGCUUUGGAAUUUAGAGUAGCUUUUCUCUUUUCCAAUUCAUUCCAUUCCCGUGAAGGUUUUGGAAUAUCUUCCCCGACUUCGUUUCUAGUCAAAGGCAUAAAUGGACCAUCACAAACAAUUUCCCAAAUUUCAUAAUCUAAAGCUUGUAAAUAAAUUCUCAUCCUAGUUUUCCAAUAUGGGUAGUCAUUACCGUCAAAGAACGGUGGUCUAAUUGUGGAUUGUCCUUCCCUAAAGGUUGAAUCACUAUAGGUUGCCAUGGAUCUUUAACUCUACACGGUUAAGUCUACACAAGAGCACCUCGCUCUGAUACCAAAUGAAAUACUAACUAGGCAACCUAAGAGGGGGAGUGAAUUGGGUUUUUAAAAUUUAAGCUAAACAAACCACACAACAAUUUAAUCUAUUACCUUGAUCAAAUUGAAAACAAUAAAUUCAAUCAUGCACAAUAUUAAAAGAGUAAGGGAAGAGAAAACAAACACAAUGAUUUUUAUGUGGUUCGGCAAUCCCCGCUUACGUCCACGCUUCCAAGCUCACCGGGCUUGAGGAUUUCACUAAGCUAGCCUCCCAAGGCUUCAAAAGCUUACAAUUGACUUCCAAGGUGUCAAUGGACCUUUACAACAAGAGAUUAUCCCCAAUCUCUUAACCCAAGUGUAUCCCAACACUUACAAUCUUUUAACUUGAUUUUACAAAAAAAAGAUUACAAAUGAAUCUCUCUCACACAAUAUGUUUGAUCACAAGUGAAAGCUCAAUGUGUGAAUGAAUGAGAUGAAUACAAGAAUUUAAAGCUCAAUGAAAGUUGUAUUCUCAAUAUUUUGCUCAAUGAUGAUUGUUGGAAUCCUUCUUGUUUGAAUUGGAUUGAGCUUAUUUAUAGUUGGAGCUGAAAAACUAGCCGUUACAAACUGUCUGCCCGAAAACGGCUCGCCGUUAACCAUUAACGGUUAACCGUUUACGCUGGUCAAAAGUUACCGUUGGGCCAAAUUUCAAACAAACGGUUAACCGUUUAGGCUUACCCUUUUGCCGUUAAAUUCCAGAGACCAGCAAAACAAAUUUGAUUUAACCGUUCUUACUAAACGGUUCAAGGUUAGCAAUCUAGAAAUAAUCAGUUAACCGUUUUCAGUAAACGGUUCACCGUUAUUUUCCAGAAUCAUCAUUUUAACAAUACUUUGCAGAACAUGCUUUCUGGAAAUUAUCGGUUAGCCGUUUGCUACAGUGUAAUUACUACAGUGAAAUUAUUUUCCAAAAUUACAAUUUGACCCCAAAACUUUAUAAACUAUAGUAUGGCCCAACACGUUAUGAAACAUUGCACAUAGGUCCAAUUUCAUAAUUUCUAAGUAAUGCUUUGUUAAUCCCAAAACUUUUUGAAAUUAUGGUAUAGCCCAAAAUGCUAUGACACUUUUCAAAUAAGUCAUUCUCCAAAAUUUCAAGCAAUAUUUGUUUAUUUCAAAGUUUUCAAAAUUCUUUCAAUUAAACCAUAAACUUUGAAAAACAACCAAUUUCAUAAAAUCAUUUUUCCAUUAAAUAUGAAACAUUUAUAAUGUGAAAAUAAUGAUUUAUUUAAAAAGAAUAAAAACAAUCAAUUUCUUGAAAUCAUUUUUCCAUUAAAUAUAAAACCUUUAUAAUGUAAAAGUAAUGAUUUAUUUUAAAAUGUAUAAAAAAUAAUUUGAUCUUAAAAGAUUAAUCAUUCUUAAUCUUGUUUGUUAUCAUCAAAAUCAAUAUUAUGGAAACAUAUAUGUUAACAACAUAUACAUCCUUUACUUUAUAAUCUUUUACUUUUGCUCUUAAGCUAAAGCAUUAAAAGGCCCCAUAUCCACUCUUUAUAUAUAUAUAUAGGGAGAAUGACAAUUUUCUCCCAUACUGUAAUCAAUAUAUAUCAUUUACGUCCUACUUUUUUAUAAUAACCAAUAAUCCUUGGAUAGCAUAAUUUAACAAUAUUAUUUUUGGUUUAUUUUAAUUUUUGUUCAUUUGAUUUCAUAGUAGUAGUUUUCAUUUUUUUAGUUUAAAAUUUGUAAAAAUGAACUAAAAUGAGAUAAUUUUGAAUAAGAAUCAAAACAAAAAAAGGCCCAAAAUUACCCCUAUUCCGAACAUUAUCUGAAUCCAUCAUAAUUGACCCAAAUUCAAAUUUAACUCAAACCCAACCUCGGCCUCAUAUAAUUAUAACCUGAUCCGAUCUAGACUCAACCCCAAAGUUUUGAUUUGAUCUAAUCAAAUUCGAAUAUUCCAAGCCAAUCAACCUAAAACCCAAUCAAGUUCAUCCAAACCCAAAUUUGCGUACUCCUAGAGGGGACCAUCACCCUAUAAGCUUUGAAUUUUUUUUUGAGGUUUUUAAAUGAAAUAUUCAAAAUUAGGUAUAAAAUGACUGAUUUGCCCUUGAAUACUUGAUACAUAAACUUGAUACAUAUAAUGAAACUUUAAUUGUAUAUUUUGUGAAAUAAAAUCAAUUAAACCUGAUUUUUUUUAUUUGUUAAUUAUUUUUCAUAGCCUUUUUUAAAAGUUUGUAAGUUUGGGCCUACCUCUUUGAUUGUAUGUUGUUCAUUUUGCUUUCUCUUGCAACAAUAGUUUCAAAUAUCAGUCACAAAAUUCUCAAAUUUUGGAAUACCCUACAUACUAGCUAUAAAUAGAAAAAACUGAAUAAAAUUAAUCCCCAACUAACACUUGAAAUUUGAACUUGGGCCUCAUGAAGAUUUACUCUGAGCUCCGCCCCUGAUAUGCAAUAAAAUAUUAGUUUUGCUAGUGAAAUUUUCAAUUAUGUUUUUUUUUUUGUAUUUUCCGCUUAGGGAAGAAGAAAUUUCCUACAACUAUUGUGGUGAAUAUCUUGUGAAUUUAUGACAGUUUAAUCUUUAGUUUGCCACUUGCUUAAAAUGAAAAAGGGAAAAGGGUAUUUAUAUCUCUAAGGUUUGGAGAAAUAGUCACCAACACUACAAGUUUUCUAAAAAGGACAUCAAGACUCCUUUUUUACCAUAAUACCCUUUACUUUUAGUACCUCGAAAAAUUUAACUUGCAAAUGAAUAAAUACAAAUAUUAUAUAAAUAAUGUAAUCUACUUUGUAGAUUAAUAAUAUAAUCUACUUUGUAGAUUAAUAAUAUUUAAAUAUUUAAAUAAAUUUAAAUAUGUAAAUUAAUAAAUUUAUUUAAUAAUAUAUUUGUAUUUAUUGCAUUUUACAAUUAAAAAAGUCUCACAUACUAAUAAUGUUAAAAUUAUUAUUUUACAUAAUAAUUUAAAUUUUAAUACAUUUAUUUUAAUAUUAUGUUUACAUUUAUCAUAAAAUUUACUUUAACAUAAUAAAAUAUAUUAAUAGAUUGUAAAAUAUUAAAAUAUUUUUAAAUAUUGAAAUUAUUUUAAAAUGUAUAAAUUAUUACAUUUAUUUUAAUAUUAUAUUUCUCUUUACUAUAAAAAAUUAAAGUUAAUUUUUGGGAUAAUAAAGGUAAAGGGUAUUGCAGUAAGAAAGAAGUUUUAGUAUCUUUUAUUGAAAACUUAGGAGCAUUGGUAACCAUUUCUCCAAACUUUGGGGAUAUAAGUGUCUUUUUCCUAACAAAAAAUGACAUUUUUAAUAGGAGAUAUAAUAAGCUUUGUUCUAUAGAAAAAUCCAUCAGAUAUAUUAUGCCCCCGGUUGCUAUGUUAAAAAUAAGUAAUUCUUCUUUUUGUAUAUUAAAAUAGUAAAAGGGUGGAUAAUAUUUAAAUUUUCUUUUAACCUUUUAUCUUUUUUGACAUUCGAAUUUUAAACUCGAGAAAUAGACUUCCUGAGAGGUUAACUAAAUUCUUAGUAAUUUGAUAUAAUUUCAUAACCGUUCUCCAAAAGCAUUACGAUAUUUAUUAAAAUCAUUAUGGGACUGAUUUUAUUCUCUUUUUUUUUCUCAACAAAAUAUCCGACUGCAGAUGUAAUAAAUUACUCAUUACAAUUAUUUGAGUCCCCACUCUAAAUUAGAUUUUGAAGUUUGUCCUGACAUAAUAAAGUUACAUUUUCAAAUGACCAAAUCAAUUAAUGAGUCUGACAAAAAGAUGUUGUCGGCCAAGUUGAAAAAUAUAAUAAAUAAAUUGUCAGGAGAUGAUUUUUUCUGAAAUUUCAUUUUCAAGGUCCAGAACACAUUCAAAUUUCCGCUGAAAUUCAUAAUGGAUUCAUAUGAUCGGGCGAAAUUACACUAUACAAUUUCAUCAAUACCUAUUAAACGAUAAAAAGUUUAUUGAUUAUUUAUAAUUAAAAAAAAUCUAUCUACUAAGACUAUUCUAGAUCAAUAAUUAAUAUAUUAUAUAUAACUUCAGAAGGUUCAUCGGCGUAUUGAUCUAAGCCUUUUGUAGUAGUUUAUAAAUAUUUUGUUGCUUAUAAUGUAAGAAAUUUUACAGGAGUUGAUGCUGAGUAGUCUGAAUAAGAAAAUUAAUUAUAUUGUAAGUUAUUGGGUAUUUAUAAUAAAAUAAACAAUAAAAAAUGAAUAAAAAUUUAAAUACUUAAUUAAUUUUUAUCAAAUUCUUAUCAAAUAUUUAAAAUAUAUAUAAAAUCAAUUAAUUGAUGAUGUUGUUAAUUUUCAUGAUAUUUUUAAUAUUAUAUUAGUGAUUAUUAAAUUUAAUACAAUCAAUAAUGCUAUAAAUUAUUAAAUGGUUAAUUUUAUUGACAAAUUAUCAAAUAUGCAAAUAAUGAAAAAUUAAUCUCAAGAGUUGGUAGAAGUAAAGUUCCAAUUUAAUCAGAUAAUAAAUAAAAAUAAUUUUUAAGUAAAUUAUAAAUAAAAAAUAAUUAAUAUUAAGUAUAAAUAAACAAUAAUGAUAGAAAUUAAAGUCUCAUAAGAGCAUCUCCAAAAGACUCUUCAAAUAAGAUUCUACUUCUUAUUUGAAGAGCCAUGUCAAUAUUUUACACUCCAAAAGACACGUUAAUUUAAAUUCUUCAAAUAAAAUUUAUUUUUCACUCUUCAAUAUUGCCGAGUGAGUUUCUCCCUCUUCUAUUAAUAUUUUAUUAUUAUUUAUUGAAAAGAUAAGACUGCAAUAAUUAUUAUUUAUGUUUCUUUUAAAAAAUAUAAUAACAAUACAAUUUGAUAGUGGAAAAAUUUGAUUAAAAUAAUAUUAAUUUAUUCUUAUUUGGUGAGUCUUUUGGAGGGGAUUAUAUUUUUUUAUACACUUAUUUGCCACAUCAGUAAGCAAAUUGAAAUUUAAAGAGUAAAAUUUAAAGAUCCUUUUGGAGAUACUCUAAAUAGAUAACUUUUUUUCUUUAAUUUUAUCCCAACUAAAAUCAUGUGUAAAUUACAAUGAUUAAUCCCAUAAUUUUAGGAUGAAACUUAAAUUUAGUCCCCGAGUCCAAUUCAAUUAAUUUAACAAACAGGAGAUAAAUAUUUAAUAACAAAAUUAGUCCAAUUUCGUACUUAAUACUAGUAUAUGAACAUGGCCUGAUAAAAUAAUUUAGGUAAUAUGCUUCUAUGACUCACAAUUUAAAUAAAUUUGAGAAUUUAUAUAAGGGAUGGAAAAUUCAUAAUAAUCAUAACAUGUGCUAUCUUUUCUUCCUUUUCUUAAUUAAAUAAAAGAAAAAUAUUAAUCACAGAACCACUGCUGUUUAAAAUGACCCGAUGAUCGAUGAAGUCGCAUUCGCCUAUCUAAUAUUGCGCAAUCAGAUAAAUUCUCAAAUUUUAAAUGAAUUUAAUCUGCAAUUAGAUCAAUAACUACACAAUAAAGAUUAAAAAAUUUCAAAUUAUACUUGAGUUAAAAUUUGAUUCUUUUUUAUUAUUUAAAGUGAUUUAUUUAUAAUUAUUUUAACCCAAUUAGAUUUUUUUUUUUAAUGCUUGGUCUAUGACAGAAUUGAUCCUCAAAGUUUAAUUAAGCCUGAGAUGGAUACUCUCAGCAAUUUAUUAGAAUCUAACAGGAAAAGAGAGUUGCGAUUUGUAUGUGUAGAAAGAAAAUGUCAAAACGAAAUGUUAAUGUCACUUGUAGAGAGAGAGUUGGGACUGAUGAUCUGCAAUUUAGUCAUGAAAAAUUAGUGAUUAAAUACAACUAAAUUUCAGUUCUUUCUUUGGGAUCCAGAAAAAAAAUAAAAUUCCCCCUCAAUUUUCUGUUUGCAAGGGGGUAACUGUAAGCACAGUCUGAUUUUAUUUUCAGGGAAUAAUAUCGGUGAACCACCGUCGGGGAAAAUUUGAAGUCUAAACAGGUCAUUCACAGAUAAGGCCAAAGAGUAAAACAGGUCGUUCAUCGUGCAUUUGGAUUCCUUUCAUCUGGUUAAUUAUUGAAGACAAGAUGAAAACGCAACUAAUGUCAAUAUUUUAAUUUGGAAUGGGGGCCGUGUAUGGUGUAUAAAAUAGCAUUAAUUGUUGUCUGUGUUUGUUGUUUAAUAUAUAUAUAUAUAUAUAUAGGUCUAAACAGGUCAUUCACAGAUAAGUCUAAACAGGUCAUUCACAAACAGGUCAUCUUAUGAAUUAUUGAAGACAAGUAGCUGUUCGACGCCAGCACUUUUCAAAUCUGAAGAGCAAUUAGACAAUAUUUCUAUUUCAAAUUGGGGCCACACUCCAAAAAAAUUGCAAUAAUUCUCUGUUUUAUACCAAAUAUUGCGCAAUCAGAUAAAAAAAGGGUCGGCUGCAUGAUUUUUCCAACUUUUGUUUUAUUUUUUCUCUUUUCCACGGGCAUGUUAUAUUUAACAAUUCUCUUUUUGUCGUGACAUAAUGGACUAAAACGGAAUCACAACUUUUUCAAAUGACCAAAUGGCUUCGCCCUACCUGAUAAUAAAAGGCCAUAUAGAUGAGAAAUGGAUCCAUACGUUAAAGCUAUAUUAAAACAUAUAAUAAAUAAAUAGUCAGGAGAUGAUUUUUAUCAAAAAUUUCACUCGCACGGUCCCGACCAAAUACAAAUUUGUGAUGAUAUUCAUAAUGAAUUUAUACAAUUAGGCGAAAUUACUCUAUAUAGUUCCAUCGAUAUAUAUUAUACCAUUAAAAAUAUACUAAUAUUUAUAAUAAAAAAAAUUUAUGACUAUUCUAAAUCGACUGUAUUAUAUGUGAACUCACAAGAUUCAUCGAUAGAUUGCACUGAGCUUUUUGUUGCAGUUUACAAAUAUUUUGUUACUAAUUAUCUUAAGAGCGGCAAGUAACUAAAUACAAAUGUAAGAAAUUUUACAAGUGCUGAUGCUGUGUACUCCGCAGAAAGCUAGCCCACGACGGUGACUCCUGUUGGGACUCCUUCAAUUUGCAGCACAAAAGAACGUUCACAUUGACAUUGACUUGAGGGUAAAAAUUAAAAUAUCUCCAAUUAGUAUAAGAAGAAUCCAAACAUGCUUGAAUGAACAUUCUCUCAGAAUACAUAAAAGCUACUUUCCUCUGAGCAUUUUAGCAGCACGAAAAGCAAUUGCAGCAUUUACCAUUUGAUCUAAUAUCAGAAUGGCUCAUGCGAUCGUUUCCUCUCUCCUGGACCAGCUGAAUUCCAUUGCUCAAGAUCAGGUGAAAGAAAAGUGGAGGCUUGUGACGGGUGUCGAACAAGAAGUGGGAAAGCUUACCACCAAUCUUCAAGCCAUUCAAUCUGUGCUGGAAGAUGCAGAGCAGAGGCAAAUGAAGCAGGACAAAGCUGUUACUUUUUGGCUGGAUCAGCUCAGAGACACAUCCUACGACAUGGAAGAUGUGUUGGAAGAGUGGUUCACUGAAACACGGAAAUUGCAGCUUGAUGAGGGACGCGAUGAUGAUGAUGAUGAUAACGACGGUGCUUUUGUUACUUUUUUGACGAAGGUAUGUUCCUUCUUUCCUGCUGCCUCAAACUGCUUCGGUGGUUUCAAACAACUCAGUCUUCGUCAUCAUAUUGCUGUCAAGAUUAGAGAAAUCAGUGAAAAGCUAGAUGAUAUUGCCACUCGAAAAGAUAGGUUUAAUUUUGUUGAGAAUGUGAGUAACAAUGUUAGGAAUCCAGAGCGAGUGCGAACCAUCUCCUUGAUUGAUGAGGGAGAGGUUUGCGGUAGAGUUGAUGAGAAAAGUGAGCUCUUAAGCAAGUUGUUGGGUGAAAGUAGUGAACAACAAGAAGGCCUUCAUAUCAUCUCACUAGUUGGGUUAGGGGGUAUAGGUAAAACCACUCUUGCACAACUAGCCUAUAAUAAUGAUGAGGUGAAAAGAAAUUUUGACAAAGUUAUAUGGGUAUGUGUAUCAGACACUUUUGAGGAGAUUAGGGUCGCCAAAGCAAUCAUUGAAGGUUUAGGUGUGUCAGCUUCUGGUUUAAGCGAAUUCGAAUCUCUUAUGAAACAGAUUCAGGAAUAUAUUACAGGGAAGAAAUUUUUUCUUGUUUUAGAUGAUGUGUGGGAUGGAGAUUACAAAAAAUGGGACCUAUUCUUUUCUUGUCUAAAGAAUGGCCACCAUGAAAGUAAAAUUCUAAUUACCACACGUGAUAGGUCAGUUGCACUACAGUUGGGAUCAAUAGAUAUUAUCCCUGUCAAGGAGUUGGGUGAAGGGGAAUGUUGGUUACUGUUUAAGCAUAUAGCAUUUCUACGUAGGUCCUUUGAGGAUUGUGAAAAAUUAGAACCAAUCGGGAGAAAAAUAGCAUGUAAGUGCAAAGGCCUGCCUCUUGCUGCAAAGGUAAUAGGGAAUCUCUUGCGCUCUAAAAGUACAGAAAAAGAGUGGCAAAGAAUUUUAGAUAGUGAAAUGUGGAAAGUAGAAGAGAUUGGGCAAGGUCUUUUAGCUCCUUUGUUGUUGAGUUAUAACGAUUUGCCCUCCAAUUCUAUGGUAAAACGGUGUUUCUCAUAUUGUGCUGUCUUUCCAAAAGACUACGAGAUGGAUAAAGAGGAGUUGAUUGAUCUGUGGAUGGCUCAAGGUUACCUUAAUGCAGAAGAAGACGAAGAAAUGGAGAUGAUUGGAGAAGAGUAUUUCAACAUCUUAGCAACACGCUCUUUCUUUCAAGAGUUUAAAAUAUAUGAUGACGAUGAUGAUUUUACGAGUUGUAAGAUGCAUGACAUAGUACAUGAUUUUGCCCAAUUUGUAAGUAGCAAAGAAUGUUUGUGGCUAGAAAUUAAUGGUACCAAGGAAUCAGUCAUAAACUUUUUUGGUGACAAAGUCCGUCACUUAGGGUUAAAUUUUGGAGGAGGAGCUUCAUUUCCUAUGACCAUUUAUGGACUUAAUAGAUUGCGUACCCUCCUAAUUUAUGACCAAAGUUUUGUCAAUUUAUCUCUUAACAGUAGCAUCCUUCGGGAGUUAUUUAGUAAAUUGGCAUGUUUAAGGGCAUUAGUUAUAAGGCAAUCGACCAAGCUUUUGUAUGAAGACACAAAUUGGAUUACGGAAAUUCCAGAUAAUGUUGGAAAAUUGAUACAUUUAAAAUAUCUUAAGUUGUCUAAAUUGUAUAUAGCGAGACUACCUGAGACUUUGUGUGAAUUAUAUAAUUUACAAAAACUAGAUAUUAGGCGGUGCAAAUAUCUUAGAGAAUUGCCUGCGGGGAUUGGGAAGUUAAAGAACAUGAGGAGUUUACUGAAUGAUCAAACUGAAAAGCUGAAGUACCUGCCAAUAGGGAUUUCCAGAUUGACCAGCCUUCGAACAUUAGAAAAGUUUGUUGUGGGUGGAGGUGUUGAUGGUGGCAGCACGUGUAGGCUUGAAUCUCUGAAAAAUCUUCAACUCCUUCGAGAAUGUGGAAUAGAAGGGCUGAGUAAUGUAUCGCAUGUAGAUGAGGCUGAGAGGUUACAACUUUACAAUAAGAAAAACCUCCUUCGUUUGCGUCUUGAGUUUGGUGUAGUCGUAGAUGGGGAAGGCGAAGAAAGGAGGAGGAAGAACGAGAAAGAUAAACAACUUCUUGAAGCCUUACAACCGCCUUUGAAUGUAGAGGAAUUAUGGAUUGAAUCCUAUGGAGGCGUCAUUUUUCCCAAAUGGUUGACUUCACUAACCAAUCUAAGGAAUUUAUAUCUUUCCUUGUGUUUUAACUGUGAGCAUUUGCCUCCUUUGGGAAAAUUGCCUCUGGAAAAACUCAUCCUAUGCAAUUUGAUUGGUGUAAAAAGAGUGGGUAAUGAGUUUUUAGGAAUAGAAGAAAGCAGUUAUUGGGACGACCCAUCUUCAUCUUCAUCGUCAUCAUCAGUUAUUGCCUUCCCCAAAUUGAAAUCUCUCAAAAUUUGGUUCUUGGAUGAAUUGGAAGAGUGGAAUUACAGGAUUACGAGGAAGGAAAACAUCUCCAUCAUGCCACGUCUUUCUUCCUUGAAAAUUAAGCAUUGCCCCAAAUUAAAGGUGCUGCCGGAUUACCUUCUUCAAACGACGACGCUGCAGCACUUGAGUAUUCAGGGAUGUCCUCUUCUGGAAAACCGUUAUCGAGAGGGGAAAGGAGAAGACUGGCAUAAGAUAUCUCACAUUCCCCACAUCAAGUGGCGGUAAAUUCUCGAAUGGUUGCAAUUACUAUCACCCACCGGUAAUUGCUCUCCUCUAUUUUACUUUGUUGUUACUUCAAACAACGACACUGCAAACAUUGACAAUUUUAUAGAACGCAUUAGUACAUGUCAAUAACAAGACCAAUUAGAUUAUGGCAUUGCUUUAUUUUAUUUAUUUAUUUUUUUGAUUCUUUUGAAAUAAGAUCAAUUAAUUAGAUCAUGCUAGAAGUUAAUUUUUUUUUUUCAAAUGAAAAAGGAGCAGUCAUACAAAGUUUGAAUAUAAAAUUUAUAAUCUAAAACUAAUGAUGUGACAAUUAACAUGUUAUUAACCUAGCUAAUAGAGUUGGAAGUCCCAAAUACAUCAUAUUCUGCUCCAGAAAUCAAUUCCACCUAGAAUACUUCUUUCUAUUGAAAUUAAUGAUGAUUUGUUUGUUUGCAUCAUGAAAGUCAAAAAUAAUUUUAUGAGUAAUUUGAUUCUUUACGGUACAAAAAAUAAAUUUGGAAAGUACUAAUUUCUCUCAUACUUUUUGGGCUAAAAAAUAAAUGUAAGUCUAACAUAUUUAUUAUAUAAUGGUUCUAUAUAGAAUCAAUCAUGGUAUAAAUAUGUAAAACUUCCUAGUUAUCAAUUUUGUCUUGCAUAAUGAUAAUCGUUUUUUUUUAUAUAUAAUUUAUGUAACAUUAAUUCUUUAAAGUAAUUGUGGAAUUGUUUUUACUACAUUAGCCCUCUUUGUUUUAUUUCAUACGAGUUUAAUUAUGUUCACCAGGGAUUCGAGGAAAUGUCAGAACUACACUAGCAAUUCACAGGUCCAAUCUAAUUUGGUUUUAAUGAUGCAUGCAGGAGAGCAAGAUUAUGAAAAUGAAAAGUUUAGCCAAAGGAUUGCUAAACUGUUCUGCUGGUAAUUCACUUGCUUUAUUUUAUAGAAUUUCAUUUCCAUCUUCUUCUAUUGAUAUCUUGUUGUGAAUAAACAAGCACAGAGAAGUAAAUGAUUGAACCACGGAGAAGUAAAGAUAUAUCCAAAUUCGAUUAUUAUGAUGAUUAAAGCAAGCUCAAGCUCAAGCACUGCAUUUUUUUAUUUUAUUUAGUUUAUAGAAUUUUCAUUUCCACCUGCAUUGCAUUUUUACUUCAUUUUUAGGUUGACGUUGAAGACUCUUAUGGAGAACAUUGGGGUAACCAAGGAUUAUCACUGUGGUUAUUGUGCAACGUUUGGUUGCUGGACUUUGAAGAAGGAAGUGAUGGCCGGGUCUGCUCUGUUUCAAUUGAGGAUGGAUAGCUGCCUGAAAGAUAUGAUGAUUAUUAUUGCAUGAUAUUAAGGUGCUAAGAUCAUCAUUUCUAUCUUGUUUCAUUCUUGGAAUCAUUUAUCCUAUAUAAACAUAUUGAAUUGUGCUAAUAUUAUCAUAUGCGUCAAUGGAGGCAGGAAUUUGGUGUUGACACUAUUAUGCAGGUAACCACACUUCAUAGUUUGCACAAAUUUGCGUUGUCAGAAUAUCCUUUAAUAUUCAUUGUGUUUCUGUGUGUUAUCAGGUUAUCAUCUCCAAGGGUUUGAAAGAGCCUUUGCAGUAAAGUCAGUUUUCACCAGCUCGUGCAAUUGCAAAUUCAUUCAGAGUACUUCAAUAUUGGGUUUUCAAGUUUUGUAUGUUUAGUCGAUUAAAAUGUUUAGUCACUCAUUCUUAAUCAUUUCUGAUUUUCAAGUUCUUUAGGGCCAUAAACAGUUUUUCAAACUCAUUCUUAUUUUUUAGGUUGAUUUCCUACUCGUGGAGAACGUUGGGAAGUCCAAGGAUUAGGCUGGCGAUGGAACUACUACCUCUGUUGUUAUUGUACAAGGUUUGAUCGCUGGACCUUGAACAAGAAAGCCUUACACGCAUUCUGUAAUUGAAGCGUUCUCUAAAGCAAAAGAGCAGUAGAAGGAAUAGUGUUGGCCGGAUCUGUUCUAUCUUAAUUGAAGAUCUCUGUGAUGUUGAGGAGCUAAUGAUUGUUAAGGCAUAUUUUCAUGAACUUCCUUUCUUAACAAAUGUUUCAAUGCUGGCUGUAGUAACAAUUUCAUAUCUUGCAUCUCUCGGGUGCAUCAUGUUCUCGGGUUUGAAAAAGCAUUUGUGGUAAUGCUUCAAAGCUUGUACAAUGGCUGUGAAAAGGCACAUUCAAUUAGGUACGUUUUGGUGCGGUCUCUCAAUGCUAAUAUUAUAUUUUGUAUAGCAAUUAAAAUUUAGCUAUACAAUCUUAAUAUGCAAUAAAUCAUUGUAUACAAAGUUUUCCAUUAAUUAUGUGGUGACAGAAAUUUUAAUUAUCAUAUAUCAAUUUAAAUUUUUUUGUAACUCUCUCUUACUUUGCUUGUACAGAGUACCUGUUUUGGCUGAUAUGUCUAAUUCGUAGAAAUUCAUUUCCAUCGGUUUCCAUUGGCUUUAGCACAAACCGAAACAGAUCUCUGGGGAAAAGUUUUACUUCUUGUGAUAUUAUGCCUCUGUUUCUUCAUUCAUCAUAUUUUUCGAAUUCAUGCUCUCAUUCAGAGGGUAAAGCCUUUUCCAGGCUUCUUUGUAGCCAAACUUUGACGCCUUUGAUGCAUGACUGUCAUUUAGAUUUUCCAAAUAACUGUUAGAUUGGAGAAGAAUAAGAAGAUACUGUUAAAAGGGUAUUUAAUUAAUGUAGUCAAUUACCCUCUGAAUUUCUUGGAGUUAAUGUAGUCAAUUACCCAAUCUUGCUUCAAACUCUGACAUACCUAAUAAAUAGUAGGAGGGGGUGGUAUUCGCCUGGUGUUAAUUUCCUGGCAAGUAUAGUUCACAGAUAGAGGGGUUCUUUUCUUGAUGUCUAAAUACCGUAUGUGAUACAACAUCGUGUAUUCCAAUUUUUCUCCAGUUAAAUUUUAAUACGUUAGUAAAGUUAAUUUUGUUUUAGCGAUGAAUUGUUUUCUUAAUAAUAAUAAUUGCCAUGUUCCUCUGAAGUCUUAUUAAUGCCACGUCAUCGAUCCGUCUAUGCGAACAGUGUCGUGAACAGUACCAUACAUGUGAAUAGUACCGUACAUGUGAAUAGUGCCAUUUUUCCGUUUAUGCUCCUCCUAAGGUUUUCGACCGUCUUGAGUUCAAAAGUGAUGUCCGUUUUGCCGUCUGAUCUCUCGUUUAUUGUGAAAUGACCAUGAUACCCCUAAAAUACAUAAAAUACUUAAUUAAAAAUCAAACACACAUAAUUAAAUUGCAAGAAGCUUAAAUACAUAAAAGUAAGGGUUGUUAGUAAAACUUGAAAUGUAAAAUGAUGAUUUUCUCCUUUAUAAAUAUACAUUUUCUAACACUCAACACCGGCUUCUUAAUUAUUUGUUAAAUCAGGUUUUUCUUAUCAAGUACAUCAUCUUAUUCACCAUUUUGGCUAUAUCAGAAUUUGCUAUUACCAUGAUGUCAAAGCAAGCUCAAGCACUAGAUCCCUAAUAAUAAUGCAUUGCAUUUUCAUUUUAUUUUUAGGUUGGUUUGAAGACCCUAUGGAGAACAUUGGGGUAAUCAAGGAUUAGGCUGGUGAUCGAACUACUUCCACUGUGGUGUUGUGUGCAACGUUCAGUUGCUGGACUUUGAAGAAGAAAGUGAUGGCCAGGUCUGCUCUGUUUCAAUUGAGGAUGGAUAGCUGCCUGGAAGGCAUGAUGAUUUUUGUUGCAUGAUAUUAAGGUACUAAGAUCAUCAUUUCUAUCUUGUUUUUUUCUUUGAUUGGUUUAUCCUCUAUAAGCAAAUUCAAUUAUGGUAAUAUUACCAUUUUUUCACCCAAUUUUCACCGUUGGUUGUAAUAACAAUUUCACGUACUCAAAAGCUACAGAGCAAAGCACAUGUGGGCUGAUCAUAUGCUUCCAUGGAGGAAGGAAUUCGGUAUUAACACUAUUAUGCAGGUAACCACAGUUGUUAAUUUGCACAAAUUUUGCAUUGUCAGAAUGCCCUUUAAUAUUCACAGUGUUUCUUUUUGUUAUUCAGGUUACCAUGGCAUGUAGAGUAUCAUCUUUGAGGGUUUGUGAGAGCCUUUGCAGUAAAGUUACCGGCUCGAACAAUUGCACAUUCAUCGAGAACAAUUUUAGAUUUGCAAGGUUGCGAUUAGCAGGCUUAGUCACUCAUUCCUAAUCUUUUUUGAUUUUCAAGUUAUUUAGGUCCAUUAACCGUUUUCGCACAUGUUUCAAUGCUAGUUGUAAUAACAAUUUCUUAUCCUGCAUCUCUAAGGUGCAUCACGUUUGAAACAGCUUUUGCGGCAAAGUUUCAAUGCUUGUACAAUGGCCGUGAAGAGGUACAUUCAAUUCGGUACAUGUUGGUGCAGUCUUCUAAUGCUAAUAUCAUGUUGUGUAUAUUUAAUUUGCAAUUAAAACAUAGGUAUACAUUCUUAAUCUCCAAUAAAUCAUUGUGUACAAAGUUUUCUAUUAAUUAUAUGGUGACUAAAAGUUUAAUUAUCUUAAAAUUUUUUGUAACUCUCUUUUACUUUGCUUGUACAGAGUACCUGUUUUGGCUGACAUGUCUAAUUCGUAGAAAUUCAUUUCCAUCAGUUUCCAUUGGUGCUAGCACAUACAGAAACAGAGCUCUACUUCUUAUGGUAUUAUGCCUUUGUUUCUUCAUUCACCAUAUUUGUUCGUGUAAAAAACACAGAUUAGAAUGAAUAAUUUCUAUAUUUUAUUGAUGAUAAUUACUCCUCUUUAAAUAGAUUACAGGGGCAUAAAUCAAAUCCCACAAAAUCAGAGCUAUGACAUCUAGAAAUCUAAUUCUAAGGAAACAAAUCAAUAAACCUAUUUAAGGAAACAAAUCUUGCCAAAUAACAUAGAUCCUAAUAUAUACAAUUCUAAUUAUGUAUAAUUUUGAUUUCAUCCACACUCCCCCUCAAGCUUGGCUAUAGAUGUUGAUGAGACCAAGCCUGCCUUCAAGAAACUCAUGAGUAUGUUCUCAGAGUCCUUUGGUGAGGAUAUCAGCCAGUUGGUGAGAUGUAGGCACAUAUUCAAGCUUGAUAAUGUUUCCAUCAAGCUUUUCUUUAAUAAAAUGUCGAUCAACCUCCACAUGUUUAGUCUUAUCAUGAUGAACAGGAUUGUGAGAUAUACUAAUUGCUGACUUAUUAUCACAAUAGAGCAGCAUAGGUUCUUCAAAUCCAAUCUUUAAUUCCUUCAACACCCUUCUUAUCCAGAUAAACUCACACACUCCAUGUGCCAUUGCUCUAAACUCAGCUUCCGCACUACUUCUAGCAACCACUGACUGUUUUUUGCUACGCCAAGUCACCAGAUUUCCCCAUAGCAACGUGCAAUAACCAGAUGUUGAUUUAUGAUCAUUAAUUGAUCUAGCCCAAUCAGCAUCUGUGAAUGCUUUCACCUUUCGAUCAUUGGUCUUUGCAAAAAUAAGCCUUUUUCGGGUGUUCGCUUCAAGUAUCUCAGGAUUCUAUCUACUGCAUUCAAAUGACCUUGACAUGGUGCAUGCAUAUGUUGACUUACUAAACUCACUGCAAAGGCAAUAUCCGGUCUUGUAUGUGAGAGAUAGAUGAGCUUUCCAACUACAGGUGAUAAGAUGUUGCUUGAAUUCAGCAUCUUGUAUUGCGAUGAUUUUGCCCACAUGAGGUUCUGUGAUUCUUGACAUCAGGAUAACUCAGGUCAAUUUUUUGUAUCAGCAUAUAUCAUCUUGUUUACUGUUUUGCCUUCAAAGAAUAAACUUUAGUGAAGUUGUUUUUGUUUGUGUAAGUUAUCAGGUUAAGGAUACUAAGCAGCUUAUUAAGGCAAAUGUCAUAAUGAAGAUUGUUCACCACACCUGGCAUUUAUGAUGGCAAGGAAGAUUAAUUGUUCACAAGCCAAUUUGAUGAGUGUUAGAUUUUUGGCUUUAUAUAUUAUUAGAGCUCUCCCUUCUGAGAGAUAUCUCAUUAAAUUGAGUAGAGCUCUCCCAAUAAUCGCAAGCUUUCAUUUGUUUGUAAAAUCAUCUUCUUAUAUUGAUUGUGUUUCCUUGUGUUAUCAAGUAGAGUAUCAUCUUCAAGGGUUUAAAAAAGUCUUUGCAGUAAAGUUUCAACCAGUUGCUGUGAAGAGGCAUAUUCAUUUGAGUAAUUCAGUUUCAGAUUUUCAGGGCAUGUAUGUUUAAUUAGUUUUGAUUAUGCUCUAAAUCUAACAAAAGUAUAUUUCUACUUCUUGUGGUUAUUUUACUUUUGUAUUUUCUGUCAUCAUUUUGAUUAAUUCAUUCGAAUUCAGACUCUCAUUAUUUAAAACCAUUUUCAGGUGGCUUGCACGCUAAUUAAGAAAUUGGAAAGUUAUCAUUGCUUGAAUGAAAGCACCAUCUUCUUUUGUCAAGGCUUUCCCCACACGAUGAGAUUAUGUGCUUGUUAUCGGCCGCUUAAUUAUUUAUUAAAUCAGGUUUUUGUUAUCAAGUACAUCAUCUUAUUCACCAUUUUGGCUAUAUAUAAAGAUUAAAAUUUCUAACAGUUGUUUCAGAUUCUUGUGCACUCAGGUUAAUAGUGCAAAUGUCAGAAUGAAGAUUGUUCAGUGCAACCGGUAUAGCAAGGAUGAUAGUGGUGAGGAAGAUUGUAACACCCCAGUUCGAAAUCCAAGGGCAAAUAUGUCCACAACUCACAUAUGAUUUAAAUAACUCUUUACAAACAAUAAAAUUCGAGCCUCAAAUACAAAAGCCAGCAGAAUAACUUAAAAAUUUAGCCAAACCAUCUACUAUCUUCAACUUGUCACUCAUCACGAAAUAAUCCUGACUUCUGGAAACUGAAUCACAAUAAACUAUAAUGAGUACAAAACUCAGUAAGAAACUAGUUUUUCUUAUAGAAAAUACAUACAUACUUAUACAUAAUGCAAUGGAUGAUAUGCCAUGAUCUUUUGGAAAUAUUGUAAAAUAAAUUCAUAAAAAUCUCUUUCUGUCGCCUUCAAACUUUCUCAUUUUCUUUCGAUGAAAUACGUAUCCUGCAAUGUCGCACUUUGUGCUGUGCGUGGCACUUUGCGGCACUCUGGCCCUCAAGAGGUGGCCCCUGCAUAGUCUCAAGAGGUGGCCCCCCCACAACUUCAAGAGGUGGCCCCCAAUGUAAAAAUCUCAUAAAACAGAAAUUCCGUUUGCUAAAAUCCACUUUCUCAUUCAUAGAAAAUUCAAUGCAUUUUCGUGCUCAUGCCAAUGAACCAUCACACAUACAUAUGCCCAUGUACAUAAUCACGCCCAUUACAUAACAACACAUCACAUAAACACAUGAGCAGAGACAUAUAAAUCCAUAUUCGUACAUAUCAAAAUAGGCUUUUCAUACAAGUCAAACAUAUAUAUUAUUUAUUGUGAUUCGUUUUAAAGUCUAGUUCACUUACCUCUUGGCAUCCUCAUGUAACAAAUGUGUACUGAUACCAUCAACCUAAAAUCAUCAAUAAAUUCUCAUAAGAUAUAAUCAAAUCUCAAUCAUAAACUCUAAUGUCCUCAAAUAUCUCAAUUUAAACAACUCUUAAGCUCAACCUCAAAUGUCCUCAAUAAUCGGCCCUCAAAACAUAACAGUCCAUACUUCUCCGAUUUUUAAUAAAUUAUUCUCUUAUUGGAAGAAUCUCAAAUUUUACAGACCAUAUGCUGACACAUUGAAAGUUCAUUGAUAAAAAUUUCAUAACAUAAUUCCUUCCAAAACGAUUGAAAAUAAUUCACGUUUCAGACAUCAUCAAUACUGUCAAACAGUUUUCUGUUUUGAACACACUUGCUUUAAAAAUACAAAACAAUUUAUUUCUUUAUCAUAAAAUCAUGAAAAUUUCCAGAAUCAUACUAGACUUAUAUAAAACUCAUUGGUCCAAAUUUCAUAAGUUUGAAGAAGUCUAGAUAUGGUAGAAAUAAUUUCGUAAUUCACUGAAAUCAUAAAUUUCCAGGUUUUCAGACUUGACUUUGAAAAAUCAUAAUUAAUUGAAAUCUUAUCUGAUUAACUUGAAACAAGUUUCAAAACAUAUUAGACGAUGUCUAGUUUAACAUACCCAAAAAUCAGAAUCAAAAUCAAUUUUUACAAAUUACUAUGAUUUUCGUAAUAAUUCACUGUCAGCAUAUUUAUGUAAAAUCUUUGAUUUCUACUUCUAUUGCAAUCAUGCUUCUCCACAACAAUUUAAUAGAAACCAAUAAUUAAAACAUACCUCCAAAAAUUCUCCCAACAAUAACAACUUGAUCCAAUGUGUUGUCUAUGGCAAAACUAAGAAGAAGAAGAAGAGCUUCUUUUUUUUUUCUUUUCUCUCUUGUCUCUCCAUCUCUCUUUUUUAACCGAUCCCUCUUUUUCUCUCUCUUAUAAUGAAAAAGACAUCUUGUUCUAUUUAUACUAGGGUAAAAAGGAUCACUAAAAAUUAAAAAGACUUAAAUACCCUUAGGAGAUUUGGGGUAUUACAAAGAUUGUUGGCAAGCCAAAUAGAUCCCUCCAUUUUGAGAAAUAUCAUCCUCAAAUUUGAAUUGCUGAGCAUGUGAAGUGAAGCUAAAGCCUUAAUAAUGAGACCUUCCUGUGAAAGUUUCAUUUGAGUGAAUUGAACGUUCUUGGAGUGAGUGAGAAAUUAAGCAUAUAUCAGCGAUUAGUGAAUUUUUUUCUUUAACAUUAGUACACUCUUAUUUCUUAGUAAAAUUCUCUUCCCGUCUCUGACUGUGACGUAGACCAAAAGCUUAACAAUGUAAAAUUAUAUUGUUAUUUCCUUAUGCUUGUUUUGCUAUAUAUCAUUUCUGUGCAAUCAAGAAUGUAAUUUUGUAAUUAUUUAAUUCUGCUUCCGCAAACAUGCCGUAUUACAAGUGAUAUCUUGCAGAAUUUUCCCCCCCUUUUUUCUUUCUGCAUUAAAACUGCAACAAAUGGAAGUGACUGGCUUGAUUUUAGCUCCUGUAAAAAAGUGCUUGCGGCAAUGUCUUUUGUAUCAGCAAGUCAUCAAACAUCAUUUUACGCUUGAAGUUGGGCCUUCUGAAGAUUUACCCCAUAUGGAACAAAAUAUUGGUUUCGCUACUAAAAUUGCGAACUAUGUUUUUCUUUGUAUUUUCCGCUCAACUGUUGUGCUGAAUAUGUUGCGAACAUAUGACAAUUUAAUCUUUGGCUGAGACUUGUUUAAAAUAAAAAAUGACACUUUAAAGCAAUAGGAGACUUUUAUAUAUUAAAAUGGUAAACGGGUGGAUAAAACUCAAAAUAAAUUUUUGACAUUUUAUCUAUUUUGACAUUCGAAUUUUAAACUUUAGAAGUCAAGCAAUGAAUAAACCUUUUUGAGAGGCUAAUUAAAUUCUUAGUAAUUUCACAUAAUUUCAUUUCAUCAGAACAGUUUUAUCAAAAGCAAUUUUAUAAAUCGUUGUUGAAAGCUUUAUUCCUUAAUUAUCUUUCACAUAGUUUCUUUGUAAUGUGGGUAAGUCAUAGACCAUGGUAUGAUAUUUAUUAAAUAUCAAAAGAUACCUCUUCUAUGGCAAAGUUAAUUAGACAUGUCUUUAUAAUAAAACAUCAUUUAUUUUGAAAUUGAUCCAACACUAAGAUUAUUGUAGAUCAAAUUAGUCUAUUACAGAUAACUUCAGAAGGUUCAUCAGUAGAUUGUUCCAACCUUUUUGUCGUAGUUUACAAGUAUUUUGUUACUUAUAAUACAAGAAAUUUUACAAGUGCUGAUGCUGAGUAGUCUGAAUAAUUAUUAUGAAUCAUAAAAACAGGGCAGAUGCUGUACAAAUUUUACAAAUAUUUUGUUACUUAUAAUGUAAGAAAUUUUACAAGUGCUGAUGCUGAGUAGUCUGCAUAAUUAUUGAGGUGGUGGAGCAAAUGCUCAGUAGUCUGAAUAAUAAUUAUGAAUCGGAAAAAUAGGGCAGAUGCUGUACAAUUAUUGAGGUGGUGGAGCAGAUGCUCAGUAGUUUGAAUAAUUAUUAUGAAUCGGACAAACAGGGCAGAUGCUGUACAAUUAUUGACGUGGUUGAACAGAAAGCUAGCCCCAGACGGUGACUCCUGUGGGGACUCCUUUAAUUUGCAGCACAAAAGAACGCUCACAUUGACAUUGACUCACGGGUAAAAAUUAAAUAUCUCAUAUGGUAUAAGAAGAAUGCAAACAUGCUUGAAUCAACAUUCUCUCAGAAUACAUAAAAGCUACUUUCCUCUGAGCAUUUUAUCAAGAAAAGCAAUUGCUGCAUUUACCAUUUGAUCUGAUAUCAGAAUGGCUCAUGCGAUCGUUUCCUCUCUCUUAGACCAGCUGAUCUCUGUUGCGGCUGAUGAAGUGAAACAGCAGGUGAGGCUUGUGACGGGUGUCGAACAUGAAGUGGGAAAGCUUACCACCAACCUUCAAGCCUUUCAAGCUGUACUGGAAGAUGCAGAGCAGAGGCAACUGGAGAAGGAAAAGGCUGUUACUAUUUGGCUGGAUCAGCUCAGAGACGCAUCCUACGACAUGGAAGAUGUGUUGGAUGAGUGGAUCACUGCAAGGCUCAAAUUGCAGAUUGAGGGCAUUGAUGAUGACAAUGCUCUUGCUCUUGCUCCUCAUAAGAAGAAGGUACGCUCCUUCUUUUGUGCUGUAUCAAAUUGUUUUGGUAGUUUCAAACAACUUAGUCUUCGUCAUGACAUUGCCGUCAAGAUUAGGGAAAUCAAUGGAAAGCUAGAUGAUAUUGCCUCCCAAAAAGAUACGUUUAAAUUUGUUGAGAAUGUGAGUAACAAUGUUAAGAAACCAGAGCGAGUGCGAACCACCUCCUUGAUUGAUGAGGGAGGGGUUUGUGGUAGAGUUGAUGAGAAAAAUGAGCUCUUAAGCAAGUUGCUGUGUGGAAGUAGUGAACAACAAAAAGGCCUUCAUGUCAUUUCACUAGUUGGGUUAGGGGGUAUAGGUAAAACCACUCUUGCACAACUGGCGUAUAAUAAUGAUGAGGUGAAAAGAAAUUUUGAAAAAGUUAUAUGGGUGUGUGUAUCAGACACUUUUGAGGAGAUUAGGGUCGCCAAAGCAAUCAUUGAAGGUCUAGGCGUGUCAGCUUCUGGUUUAAGCGAAUUCGAAUCUCUUAUGAAACAGAUUCAGGAAUAUAUUACGGGGAAUAAAUUUUUUCUUGUUUUAGAUGAUGUGUGGGAUGGAGAUUACAAAAAAUGGGACCUAUUCUUUUCUUGUCUAAAGAAUGGCCACCAUGAAAGUAAAAUUCUAAUUACCACACGUGAUAGGUCAGUUGCACUACAGUUGGGAUCAAUAGAUAUUAUCCCUGUCAAGGAGUUGGGUGAAGGGGAAUGUUGGUUACUGUUUAAGCAUAUAGCAUUUCUACGUAGGUCCUUUGAGGAUUGUGAAAAAUUAGAACCAAUCGGGAGAAAAAUAGCAUGUAAGUGCAAAGGCCUGCCUCUUGCUGCAAAGGUAAUAGGGAAUCUCUUGCGCUCUAAAAGUACAGAAAAAGAGUGGCAAAGAAUUUUAGAUAGUGAAAUGUGGAAAGUAGAAGAGAUUGGGCAAGGUCUUUUAGCUCCUUUGUUGUUGAGUUAUAACGAUUUGCCCUCCAAUUCUAUGGUAAAACGGUGUUUCUCAUAUUGUGCUGUCUUUCCAAAAGACUACGAGAUGGAUAAAGAGGAGUUGAUUGAUCUGUGGAUGGCUCAAGGUUACCUUAAUGCAGAAGAAGACGAAGAAAUGGAGAUGAUUGGAGAAGAGUAUUUCAACAUCUUAGCAACACGCUCUUUCUUUCAAGAAUUUCAGAAAAAUGAUGAUGAUGAUUUUACGAGUUGUAAGAUGCAUGACAUAGUACAUGAUUUUGCCCAAUUUGUAAGUAGCAAAGAAUGUUUGUGGCUAGAAAUUAAUGGUACCAAGGAAUCAGUCAUAAACUUUUUUGGUGACAAAGUCCGUCACUUAGGGUUAAAUUUUGGAGGAGGAGCUUCAUUUCCUAUGACCAUUUAUGGACUUAAUAGAUUGCGUACCCUCCUAAUUUAUGACCAAAGUUUUGUCAAUUUAUCUCUUAACAGUAGCAUCCUUCGGGAGUUAUUUAGUAAAUUGGCAUGUUUAAGGGCAUUAGUUAUAAGCCAAUCGACCAAGCUUUUGUAUGAAGACACAAAUUGGAUUACGGAAAUUCCAGAUAAUGUUGGAAAAUUGAUACAUUUAAAAUAUCUUAAGUUGUCUGAAUUACACAUAGAGAGACUGCCUGAGACUUUGUGUGAAUUAUAUAAUUUACAAAAGCUAGAUAUUAGGCGGUGCCCAAAUCUUAGGGAAUUACCUGCGGGGAUUGGGAAGUUAAUGAACAUGAGGAGUUUACUGAAUGGUAAAACUUAUUCGUUGAAAUACAUGCCAGUAGGGAUUUCCAAAUUAACCAGUCUUCGAACAUUAGAAAAGUUUGUUGUGGGUGGAGGUGUUGAUGGUAGCAAUACGUGUAGGCUUGAAUCUCUGAAAAAUCUUCAACUCCUUCGAGAAUGUGGAAUAGAAGGGCUGGGUAAUGUGUCCCAUUUAGAUGAGGCCGAGAGAUUACAACUUUACAAUCAGCAAAACCUCCUUCGUUUGCGUCUUCGGUUUGGUGGAGUCGUAGAUGGGGAAGAUGAAGAAAGGAGGAGGAAGAAUGAUAAAGACAAACAACUUCUUGAAGCUUUACAACCGCCUUUGAGUGUAGAGGAAUUAGGGAUUGAAUCCUAUGGAGGCGACAUUUUUCCCAAAUGGUUGACUUCACUAACCAAUCUAAGGAAUUUAACACUUUCCUCGUGCGCUAACUGUGAGCAUUUGCCUCCUUUGGGAAAAUUGCCUCUGAAAAAACUCGAACUACUCGACUUGGAAAGUGUAAAAAGAGUGGGUAAUGAGUUUUUGGGAAUAGAAGAAAGCAGUGAGGAUGACCCAUCUUCAUCUUCAUCGUCACCAUCAGUUAUUGCCUUCCCCAAAUUGAAAUCACUCGAAAUUGACGGAAUGAAAGAACUGGAAGAGUGGAAUUACAGGAUUACGAGGAAGGAAAACAUCUCCAUCAUGCCCCGUCUUUCUUCCUUGCAAAUUAUGAAUUGCCGCAAAUUAAAGGCGCUGCCGGAUUACCUUCUUCAAACGAUAGCACUGCAGAAACUGGGUAUUUAUUAUUGUGAUCUUCUAGAAGAACUGCCCAUUCUAGAAGAUCGCAGGACAACAGACAUACCACGUCUUUCUUCCUUGGCGAUUUGGUAUUGCCCCAAAUUAAAGGUGCUGCCGGAUUACCUCCUUCGAACGACGACGCUGCAGGUAUUGAGUAUUAUGGAAUGUCCUCUUCUAGAAGGACAUUAUAGAGAGGGCAAAGGAGAAGACUGGCAUAAGGUAUCUCACAUUCCCUGCAUCAUGUGGUUGCCGUCGUUGUAAGAUAUCACUCGCUGGUAAUUUCUCCUCCUCCUCUGAUUUACUUCGUUGUUGCUUGCAAUGAAAUUAAUAAAAAUAAUUAUAUUUUGAAUUAAAAUUCUAUAUAGAAUCAAUCAUGGUAUAAAUAUGUAAAACUUCCUAGUUAUUAAAUCUGUUUAACUUGUUUUCUAAAGAUUAAAUUAAAAAAAAGUGUAGUCUGUUGAAAUUUCUAUAUUUACUUCUAAAAAAUAUGUGCUCUUUUGUAAAAUUUCAUACCACAUCAUAGAAAAUCCCAAUGUAAUUUAUUUUUUAAUGUACAAAAAUUUGUUAUGUGUAACUUCCUGAGAGGCAAAAUCUCUGGGAUACAUUUGCAAUAAUGUUGAAAAAUAAAUUAUCAAUUUUAUCUUGUAUAAUGAUAAUCAUAUUUUUUUAUAUAUAAUUUAUGUGACAUUAAUUCUUUAAAGUAAUUGUGUAAUUGUUUUUAGUAGUACAUUAGCCCACUUUAUUUUAUUUCAUAUGAGUUUAAUUAUGUUCACCAGGGAUUCGAGGAAAUGUCAGAACUACACUAGCAAUUCACAGGUCCAAUCUAAUUUGGUUUUAAUGAUGCAGGCAGGAGAGCAAGACUAUGAAAAUGAAAAGUUUAGCCAAAGGAUUGCUAAAAUGUUCUGCUGGUAAUUCACUUGCUUUAUUUUAUAGAAUUUCAUUUCCAUCUUCUUCUAUUGAUAUCUUGUUGUGAAUAAACAAGAACAGAGAAGUAAAUGAUUGAACCACAGAGAAGUAAAGAUAUAUCCAAAUUCGAUUAUUAUGAUGAUUAAAGCAAGCUCAAGCUCAAGCAUUGCAUUUUUUAUUUUAUUUAGUUUAUAGAAUUUUCAUUUCCACCUGCAUUUCAUUUUUAUUUCAUUUUUAGGUUGACGUUGAAGACUCUAUGGAGAACAUUGGGGUAACCAAGGAUUAUCACUGUGGUUAUUGUGCAACGUUUGGUUGCGGGACUUUGGAGAAGGAAGUGAUGGCCGGGUCUGCUCUGUUUCAAUUGAGGAUGGACAGCUGCCUGAAAGACAUGAUGAUUAUUAUUGCACGAUGUUAAGGUGCUAAGAUCAUCAUUUCUAUCUUGCUUCAUUCUUGGAAUCAUUUAUCCUAUAUAAACAUAUUGAAUUGUGCUAAUAUUAUCAUAUGCGUCAAUGGAGGCAGGAAUUUGGUGUUGACACUAUUAUACAGGUAACCACACUUCAUAGUUUGCACAAAUUUGCGUUGUCAGAAUAUCCUUUAAUAUUCAUUGUGUUUCUGUGUGUUAUCAGGUUAUCAUCUCCAAGGGUUUGAAAGAGCCUUUGCAGUAAAGUCAGUUGUCACCAGCUCGUGCAAUUGCGCAUUCAUUCAUAGUACUUCAAUAUUGGGUUUUCAAGUUUUGUAUGUUUAGUCGAUUAAAAUGUUUAGUCAAUCAUUCUUAAUCAUUUCUGAUUUUCAAGUUCUUUAGGGCCAUAAACAGUUUUUCAAACUCAUUCUUAUUUUUUAGGUUGAUUUCCUACUCGUGGAAGUCCAAGGAUUAGGCUGGCGAUGGAACUACUACCUCUGUUGUUAUUGUGCAAGGUUUGAUCGCUGGACCUUGAACAAGAAAGCCUUACAUGCAUUCUGUAAUUGAAGCGUUCUCUAAAGCAAAAGAGCAGUAGAAGGAAUAGUGAUGGCCGGAUAUGCUCUAUCUUAAUUGAAGAUCUCUGUGAUGUUGAGGAGCUAAUGAUUGUUAAGGCGUAUUUUCAUGAACUUCCUUUCUUAACAAAUGUUUCAAUGCUGGCUGUAGUAACAAUUUCAUAUCUUGCAUCUCUCGGGUGCAUCAUGUUCACAGGUUUGAAAAAGCAUUUGUGGUAAUGCUUUAAAGCUUGUACAAUGGCUGUGAAAAGGCACAUUCAAUUAGGUACGUUUUGGUGCGGUCUCCCAAUGCUAAUAUUAUAUUUUGUAUAGCAAUUAAAAUUUAGCUAUACAAUUUUAAUAUGCAAUAAAUCAUUGUAUACAAAGUUUUCUAUUAAUUAUAUGGUGACUGAAAUUUUAAUUAUCAUAUCAAUUUAAAUUUUUUUGUAACUCUCUUUUACUUUGCUUGUACAGAGUACCUGUUUUGGUUGAUAUGUCUAAUUUGUAGAAAUUCAUUUCCAUCGGUUUCCAUUGGCUUUAGCACAAACCGAAACAGAGCUCUGGGGAAAAGUUUUACUUCUUGUGAUAUUAUGCCUUUGUUUCUUCAUUCAUCAUAUUUUUCGAAUUCAUGCUCUCAUUCAGAGGGUAAAGCCUUUUCCAGGCUGCUUUGUAGCCAAACUUUGACGCCUUUGAUGCAUGACUGUCAUUCUUUUUCUUGGUUAUUCAAACUUUCAGUUAUAUAUUAUGUGAAAGAUUCUUUUUCUUAUUAAAGUACAUUGUUGGUUUUUUCUUUUUCCUUCAUUUUGUCUGAAUUAAAGCUAAAAUUGUAAGUUUUUUUUUAAUUGGAAAAUAUUAAUAUUUCAUUAAACAAAUAACAACAAUACAACUACUUGCAGUACAUCACUAGUUCACAUUACAAAGAUUAAAAUACAGAGAUCUGUUUUAGUUACAGAGAUCUAUUACAGUAAUCAAUUGAAUUAACCCCUAAAAGUUUAUUAAAGAAUAGGAAGAAACACAUGUACACUAAAAGAAAAACUUCCAUUCGUAAUGCACAUAUAAUUCAAGCUCCAUUUGGGGUUCCAUGGCUCUUUCGAAAUUAUCUCCACCACCAUAUUUAUGCUUUCCAGCUAGUACCAAAAUAGAUUUACCGUAAAAAUUGAUUCACACCCUCUAACUUUACAAACAUGAGAAACAUAGACUCUAGAUCUAAAAGUUGAAGGGUUAUGUACUGGCAAAUAGAAAUUAAACCAACAUUAUCACUAUAACAGAUACAUUAUUACCAUCAAAGAUCAAGAUCUGAAUGGAUGCACAGCAGCCAUCGUCAAGACCAAAAGAGGAAGAAAUUGAAAUAGAACAACCACCUUAAGGUGGAGAAGGCCAGAACAAGACACCCAUCCUCAAAUCAUAUGGAAGAGGUGGGUGCAACCAAAAAAAAAAAAAAAGAGAGAAUCCACUGGAGAAGGCAAGAAAGAUUUCUGCCUCCAAAGAUUUGGUGAGGAAGAGAUGAGGAAUUUGGAGAGGAAAAGUUUCGGAGAGAUCUAGAGUUUGGCUUUAAAAAUGUGUUUUAAAGAAAAAGUUGUUGAGAGGAAACGAGACCAAUUAGAUCAUGCAAGAAGUUAAUUUUUUUUAAAUAAAAAAGGAGAAAUGAUGAUCUUACAAAGUUUGAAUAUAAAGUUUAAAAUCUAAAAUUAAUGACUUGACAAUCGAUGCAUUAUUAGCCUAAUAGAGUAAGAAGUCCCUGCUAAAGAAUUCAAUAUUCUACCCAGAAUACUUCUUUCUAUUGCAAUUAAAUGAUGAUUAUUUGUUUUUAUCAUGAAAGCUAAAAUAACUUUGUGAGUAAUUUGAUCCUUUUGCAGUAUAAAAAUAAAUUCAGAAAUGGGCACCAUUCUUCCUUUGUUUAAAUCAUGGUCUCCACGGAAGUAAAAUUUUGGUUACUACACGUAAUGAGUUAGUUGCACGUAUGAUGGGAUCAACAAAUAUUAUCUUCAUUGAGCAAUUGAUUGAAGAGGAUUGCUAGUCGGUUUUCAAGCGAUUAGCAUUUUUCGGUCACUCUUUCGAGGAUUGUGAAAGAUUAGAACCAAUCGGCCGAAAAAUUGCACGCAAGUGCAAAGGCCUGCCUCUUGCUGCAAAGGUAAUAAGGAAUCUCUCGCGUUCAAAAAGUGCAAUAAACGACUGGCAAAGAAUUUUAGAUAGUGAAAUGUGGAAGGCAGAAGAGAUUGGGAAAGGUCUUUUGACUCCUUUAUUGUUGAGUUAUAAUGAUUUGUCGUCCAAUUCUAUGGUAAAACAAUAUUUUUCAUUUUGUGCUGUCUUUCCGAAAGACUACAAUAUGUAUAAAGAGGAGCUAAUUUCACUAUGGAUGGCUCAAGGUUACCUUAAUGCAGAAGAAUAUGAAGAGAUGGAGAUGACUGGGGAAGAGUGUUUCAACAUUUUAGCAACACACUCUUUCUUUCAAGAGUUUGAGAAAAAUGAUGAUGAUGAUAUUAUGAGUUGCAAGAUGCAUGACAUAGUACAUGAUUUUGCUCAAUUUGUAAGUAGCAAAGAAUGUUUGUGGCUAGAAAUUAAUGGUACCAAAGAAUCAGUCAUAAACUCUUUUGGUGGGAAAGUCCGUCCCUUAGGUUAAAGUUUAAAGGAGGCGCUUUAUUUCCUAUGUCCAUUCAUGGACUUAAUAGAUCGCGUACCCUCCUAAUUGAUUAUGAAAGUCCUUCCAAUUCGUCUCUUGAUAGUAGCAUCCUUCCUGAGUUAUUUAGUAAAUUGGCAUGUUUAAGAGCAUUAGUUAUAAGGCAAUCAUUCUUGCUUUGUCGUCCUGACCCAAAUUUGAUUAGAGAAAUUCCAGAAGAUGUCGGGAAAUUGAUGCUUUUAAAAUAUCUUAAUUUGUCUGAAUUACACAUAGAGAGACUGCCUGAGACUUUGUGUGAAUUAUAUAAUUUACAAAAGCUAGAUAUUAGGGGGUGCCGAAAUCUAAGAGAAUUGCCUGCAGGGAUUGGGAAGUUAAAGAACAUGAGGAGUUUGCUAAAUGGUCUUACUUGUUCGUUGAAGUACAUGCCAAUAGGAUUUUCCAAAUUAACCAAUCUUCGAACAUUAGACAAGUUUGCUGUGGGUGGAGGUGUUGAUGGUGGCAGUACGUGGAGGCUUGAAUGUCUGAAAAAUCUUCAACUCCUUCGAGAAUGUGGAAUAGAAGGGCUGAGUAAUUUGUCACAUGUAGAUGAGGCUGAGAGAUUAGAACUCAAAAAUAUGGAAAACCUCCUUCGUUUGUAUCUUUUGUUUGAAGUUGUAGAUUGGGAAGAUAAAGAAGAGGAUGAAGAUGAAGGUGGGGAAGAUGAAGGUGAGGAUGGGGGAUAUGAAGAAGAAGAAGGAGGUGAAGUUGUAAAUGGGGAAGAUGAAGAAAGGAGCAGGAAGAAUGAGAAAGAUGAACAACUUCUUGAAGCCUUACAGCCGCCUUUGAAUGUAGAGGAAUUAUGGAUUUUAUUAUAUGGAGGCAACAUUUUUCCCAAAUGGUUGACUUCGCUAACCAAUAUAAGGAAUUUAUUUCUUCACAGGUGUCUUAACUGUGAGCAUUUGCCUCCUCUGGGAAAAUUGCCUCUGGAAAAACUCGCCCUGCAAAAUUUGAAUAGUGUAAAAAGAGUGGGUAAUGAGGUUUUGGGAAUAGAGGAAAGUAGUGAUGAUGACCCGUCUUCAUCUUCAUCAUCAUCAUCAGUUAUUGCCUUCCCCAAAUUGAAAUCACUCAAAAUUUGGGACAUGGAAGAAUUGGAAGAGUGGGAUUACACGGUUACGAGGAAGGAAAACAUCUCCAUCAUGCCACGUCUUUCUUCCUUGGAAAUUGAUUGUUGCCCCAAAUUAAAGGUGUUGCCAGAUGACCUUCUUCAAACGUCGACACUGCAGGAAUUGAGUAUUGGGGGAUGUCCUAUUCUAGAAGACUGGCAUAAGAUAUCUCACAUUCCCCACAUCGAGUUUUAAAUUCUCGAACGGUUGCAAUUACUAUAACCCGCCGGUAAUUUCUCCUCCUCCUCUGUUUUGCUUCAUUGUUACUUGUAAUGAAAUUAAUAAUAAUAAUGAUAAUAAUUAAAUUUUGAAUUAAAUUUCUAUAUUUUGCCAAUGUCUCAUAGGAAUGUGCAAUAUUUUCUAAUAUUUUGAUUUUUGUAUUGAAUAUAACUAUUUACUUCAGUGUACGAUAAUUUGUUACGUGAAACUUCUUGAGAGACUGAAUUUCUGGGGUACUUUGUAGUAAUGUUGAAAACUAAGUGAUGGCUGGGUCUGCUCUGUUUCAGUUGAGGAUGGAUUGCUGCCUGGAAGACAUGCUGAUUAUUAUUGCAUGAUAUUAAGGUGCUGAGAUCAUCAUUUCUAUCUUGUUUCUUUCUUUGAACGGUUUAUCCUCUAUAAGCAUAUGGAAUUAUGUUAGUAUUAUCACUUCUUCACCCAAUUUUCACUGUUGGUUGUAAUAACCAUUUCAGGUUCUCAAAAGCUACAAAGCAAAGCAUCUUUGGGCUGAUCAUAUAUUUCAAUUGACGAAGGAAUUCGAUGUUGGCACUAUUAUGCAGGUAACCAGAGUUGAUAAUUUGUACAAAUUUGCAUUGUCAGAAUACCCUUCAUAUUCACCGUGUUUCUUUGUGUAGGUAUGUAGAGUAUCAUCUUCAAGGGUUGUAAGAGCCUUUGCAGUAAAUUUAGCUGCUAGUGCAAUUGCUCAUUCAUCGAAGUACAAUUUUGGAUUUUCAAGGUUUGUAUGCUCAGUUGUAAUUAAAAUGCUUAGUCACUUAUUCCUAAUCUUUCUGAUUUUCAAGUUAUUUUAGGUCCAUAAACAGUUUUCACACAUGUUUCAAUGCUUCUUGUAAUGACAAUUUCAUAUCUUGCAUCUCUAAUGUGCAUCAUGUUUGAAACAGCUUUCGCGGUAAAGUCUUCGAUGCUUGUACAAUGGCUGUGAAGAGGCACACUAAAUUCGGUACAUUUUGGUACGGCCUCCUAAUGCUGGUAUAAUGUUGUGUAUAUUUAGUUUGCAAUUAAAACUUAGGUAUACAAAUCUUAAUCUGCAAUAGAUCAUAGUGUACAAAGUUUCUAUUAAUGAUAUGGUGACUGAAAGUUUAAUUAUCUUAAAAUUUUUCUAUGACUCUCUUUUACUUUCUUUGUACAGAGUACUUGUUUUGGCUGAUGUGUCUAAUUCAUAGAAAUUCAUUUCCAUCGGUUUCCAUUGGUUUGAGCACAAACAGAAACAGAGGUCUGAGGAGAAGUUUCACUUCUUGCGGUAUUAUGCCUUUGUUUCUUUAUUCACCAUAUUUGUUCGAAUUCAUGCCCUCAUUAAGAAUUUAAAGCCUUUUCCAGGCAGCUUUGUAGCCAAAUUUUGAUGCCAUAAAUGCAUGAUUGUCAUUUAGAUUUUCCGAAUAUUUGUUAUUUGGAGAAAUAUUGUUAAAAGGGCAUUUGAUUAGCUACUUACCCUAUGAAUUUAGUUGCCAAUAAUAGAUUGAAAUUGAGUAGGCUAAUGGUUGAGGAAAGUUAUUGUCUUAAUUAAAUUACAGGUGAUAAGAUGUUGCUUGUGUAAUCAGAUAAAUGGGGCAAAUGUCAGAACAAAGAUUGUUCAGUGCUGCUGGUAGGGCAAGGAUGAUGAUGGUGAGGAAGAUUGUUCACAAGCCAAGUAGAGCCCUCCAUUUUGAGAAAUAUCAUCCUCAAAUUUGAAUUGUUGAGCAUAUGAAGUGAUGCUAAAGCCUUAAUAUUAAGUCUUUCUGAAAGUUUCAUUUGAAUGAAUUUUCGGAGAUUGAAUGUUCUUAGCGUGAGUAAGAAAAUUAAGCACAUAUCUGCGAUUUGGAUCGUCGGUGAAUGUUUUCCUUUAAUAUUUGUACAAACCCGUUUCUUAGUAAAAUUUUCUUCAUGUCUUUUACUAUGACAUAGGCUAAUAGCCGUACCACAUAACAUUAUCUUCUUAUUUCUUUAUGCUUGGUUUUGCUACAUAUAAGAAUGCAAUUUUGUAACUACUUAACUCUGCUUCGGCAAAGUUAAGUAGUUACAAAAAUUUUUUUUUUUCGUUUUUCUUUCUCCGAUAAAAUUGCCACAAAUGGAAGCGAUUGGCUUGAUUUUUGCUUCUGUAAAAAGUGGUGGGAGCAAUGUCUUGUGUACCCGCAAGUUAUAAAUCGUCAUAGUUUAAAUGACGAAUCCCGAGUUGCCAUCCAAACUAAAGAAAUUGCAAAUUAAGUAGUUCAUUACAAAUGAUAUAUUUUGAGUUGCUAAUUAUUAAGUAUUUCAUUCAAAAAUGUUCUCGUUCCCACAGUUUCUAAUGUUUAAAGUGCAUCAUUGCUCUACUUCCGUCAUAACAGCAUAAGAGAAUUUAACAUAAUACUGAGAAAAUGAUUAUUUUACCCUAAAUGUAAAUGAUUAUUCUACCCUUAACAUAAAAUAACUAAUUUGCCCUAAUUUAAUAACGAAAAAAAUAGAUGACUGCAAUAUAGAUAUUAAAUAAUAAAUAAAAUAAAAAAUAAGAAUUAAAACUAAAAUAAUUAAAAGAGAGCUCAAGAGAAAACGCACUUUAAUCUGGUACCUGUACCCGUGGAUCGUGGCGAUGGCGGAUUGGGGCUUAUUACCAAGUCGUUUAAGAAUUUUAAACUUUCAAAUUUUUUUUAAACCUUGAAUUUUUUAGUUUAUUGGUUAAGUGAUAAAAUUUGGUGGUAGUUUGAUACUGUGUUGUAUGUUGUGUUAUUUUAGCUCAUUAACUUUGUUAUGUAAUUCUUCUUUAAAUACGACGUCGUUUUUGUCCAUUAAGAGUCCAAUGACAAGUUUAUCAUUCUGACAUGAGUAAAAUUCUAACGGCGUGAUGACAAUAGUGUAGAAAUGAUAGAUUUUGUAAACAUCAGGUGGAAUUGUUAAAAAAAAAAAUGUGGUCGUGUAUUUUUUAUAAAGUCUAAAACAUCAAGUGAUUAGAGAAUAUUUGUGCUUAAGUAUUUGAUUCAAAAAAAUUUCCACUCCUAGACUAUUUAAGUUGUAACCAAAACUGAGAAUUUUUUUUUUUUUUUGCAUGAUGAAUCUCGAUAUUUAGGAUGAAUAUUUUAAUAUUUAAGCUUAAUGGUCACCCACUAUUGGUAGAAGAAUUUUUAUUCUAACACUAUACAAUUUUCGUGUGAGGUGGUCUUGGGCUUAUCUCAACCUUAAAAGUCAAAAGCUAGCUCAAUAAGUGAGAUUUUUUUCUCACACUUAUGAAAUCACCACGAGCUCCUCCCACAACCAAUGUGGGAUAAUCCCAACAAUCUCCCCUCACUCAUCGAGCCUUGGGUUGGAAGCAUAAACAUCAAUUCUCCCUAUUAGAUUGUUGGUUGAGUUGUUGGUGAACCUGAGCUUUGAUACUAAUGUUAGAUGGUCUUGGGCUUCUCUCGACUUCAAAAGCUAGCUCAAAGAGAGAGAUAUUCCCUCACAUUUAUGAGGUCAUUAUCAGCCUCUUCCACAAUCGAUGUCGGCUAACCCGACAUUUCUCUCUCUAUAUAAUACAUAAGUUGGAUAAUAAAUUUAUAUCUCAAUCUAGGUAUAAACAUUAAUUUUAUUUCUUUUUAUCAAUCAUUAUCCUAUUGGGUCUAUCGACUCACCGUACAAAAUGUUGUAAAACUUCCCCGCCGAAGAGACUUUGGUAGCUUUGAGUUUGUAAAUCAAGUUCCUAUCCGUCGUCCCUCCUAAUCCAUUCUUCGGCCAAGUACGCCUGACAUUCUUGUACCUUACAACGUCAUAUUUGGCACAAAAUUCAUGAAACUUAAACCAAACACUAAACUAUUAUUAGUUCUCAACAUUUUAUAUCAUUCGACGUUUUGUGUCAGAAUAAAUAUUUUAUCUUUGAACUUCUCAAGCACUUAUUCAUGGCUUAUUUCUCAACUCACUAUGGAUUAAUGAUGCUGAUGAAAUUGUGGAUUAACCAGACAAUAUUGUAAUUAUUACACAUACACACAAGCACACGUACAUACGUACAAAAGCAUAUAGGAGUUGACCUUGCUCAGGAUUUAAAAAAAAUGAAUAAAAUUUUCCAAUAAUUAAUUAAGAUAAAAAAGAUCAUUAAAACCCGAGUACCCCUCGCAAUUGUGUCACUUGAAUUCUCUGUAUUUAUGCACAUAUAAUAUUUUGAAUGAAUCUAUAAUGAUGUUAAUUUUUUAAUGAACUUAAUCUUAAAUUAAAAUUUUCUUUUGAAAAAAAAGAAGAAAUCUUAAAUAUUAUAAAAUAUAGAUCAGUUGGAAAACUAUUCCUAGAAAUGCAUCUUAGUUUUAUUCUUGGAAAAUGUUUCCUUUCGCACUUGCGAGGAAUUAGAAAUUGAACAAUAAUUUUUAGACUUUUCAUUGUCUUUGUGGUUAUAUGGUUGUCUUUAAUAUAAAUAUAUGAUCCCGGAGGCCAAAUGUCUAAGUCACAUGCAUUUACCUAAUACUUUUUUCUUUUUUCUUUGUUUUUCGGAUAGGGCAAUUAUUUAAUACCUUGAAGAAAGAGAGAUAAAAUAUAAUGCAUGCCAAUUUGUUGCAACAAAGCUUUCAUAUCAAGCGUUGGCAUAAAUUAUUAUGCCAAUUUGUUCAAGACAAUAUCUUUAGUUGGCAUGUAAGUUUCAUUAGCCGGCGUCUACUCUUAAUUUAUGUCAAAUUAAGUAAUCGCUCCGCCCCAAUAAUGUUGCCUUUGAUCUCUCAGCCCCAGUAAAAGAAUUGGCUAAAAGAGAAUGUUGGUCACUGUUUAAGCAAGUAUGCUUUUGGCGGUCCUUUGAGGAUCUUCAAAAUUUAGAACUAAUAACCAAUCAAAUGAAAAAUUGCAUACAAGUGUAAAAGCUUACCCCUUAAUGCAUAGGUAAUAGGAAUUCUCUUGCUCAACAUAUACACCCUUUUCUUUAUAAUCUUUUACUUUUGCUCUUAAGCUAAAGCAUUAAAAGGCCCAAUAUCCACUCUUUAUAUAUAGUAGUUUCUGGUCCGGGAUCAUAAAGUGCGGGAAAUAUUCGGAAAAAUUUUAAAAUCGUGGGGUUUUAAAUGCUUAAAACUUAAAGUGCUUAAACUGAACGGUUAAUAUGUUUUCCUGGACGUUCCCGCAUUUUAAAAUUCCGGACUGUAACAUUUCUCUCUCUCUCUCUCUCUUUAUAUAUAUAUAUAUAUAUAUAUAUAUAUAUAUAUAUAUAGGGAGAAUGCCAAUUUCCCCCCAUAUUGUAAUCAAUUUAUAUCAUUUAUGUCCUACUCUUAUAUAAUAGCCAAUAACUCCUGGAUAGCAUAAUAUAACAAUAUUAUCUUUAAUUUUAAAUACACUUUUAUUUAUAUUUAUUAUAAAUUAAAUAAAACAUGUGAAUGAAAACUAAAAUAAAUAUUAAAUAUUAAAAACAAUAAAUAUAUGUUUUGAUGUGAAUAAAAAAUUAAUAGUAAAAUAUUUUUCUUGUACUUCUUUUAUUUACAAACAUUUUCUAAUAAUACAUAUAUAAGAAAAUUAUUAUAAAAUAAUUAUAAAUUAAUAUAAAUUAAUAAUAAAAUAGUAUAAAAUUAAUAAUAAAAUAUUUUUCUUGUACUUUUGUAUUUUAUAUAUUUAUUAUAAGAAAAUGUUUAUAAAACAAAAAUACAAAAAAAUUUAUUAUUAAUUUUUUUAUUCACAUCAAGACGUAUAUUUCUUGUUUUUAAUAAAUUUUUUUUUUACCAUUCAAUAUGAUUUGUUUAAUGUAUAAUAAAUAUGAAUAAAGGUGUAUUUGAAAAUAAAAAUAAUAUUGUAGGAAACAUUUACCAUUUUCUAAGAGAAGCUUAAGAGUGAGUAAAGGCUUGUUUAAACCAGAUAUUUUGAGCCAUAUAUUUUAAAAUACCUCAAGGCACCCUCAUUGUUAAAUAUGCUAUAUUUCUACUCUUACUUUUUCUUUCCUUUUAUAAUAUUACCCUUGCAACAAUAUUCUAACCUUUUUGAGGAUAUCAAUGAAAGAAAAAAAAUUAAUUUAUCAAAAUUUGCCUUAAAAGUAACAUAAAAAAUUCCACAAAUUUUUAUGUUAUUAUUUUACUUUUAGGAUUAAUUUGGUAAAUUAAUUUUUUAUAAAAUAACUAUUAGUAAAAUUGUUGCAAAUAUAUUAAACAUUUCUUUAAGUUGGAUAAUAUUGAUUUAUUUAUAAAUAAAUUAUUGGCAAUUAGUUCUUUCAUACUGAAAUUUAUUAGUUAAUUUGCUAAUCAAUAAUUAUUGGUUAAUACGCUAAUAAACUUUUAUAGAUAAAUUAAUUAAUGUCAAGAAUAUUAUUGCAAGGUAUUAUUAUAAAAGCAAAUAGAAAGUAAGUGCAAGAAUGUAAUAUAUUUAAUUAUAAAGGUAUUUUGAGAUAUUUUUGAAAUUAUAAGAACUAAACAAGCAUUUACCAGUUGAGAGAAGAUGAAAUGGGAAAAAUUCAAGGGUUAGGAUAUAUGAUGAGUUAAGGAUUAGGUCUUGUAAAAUCUUGAUUUGGGGAGAUGAUUUUGGAGUGUUUCAACCCUAAAUUCAUUUGGGAAGACUCAUUGACGUACACAUUAAAGGUGGAAAGUGUAGAGAGAGAGAGAAGGAGAAAGUGUGUGUUUAGAGUGAGAGAUGUGUAAUUCAAGUAAACAAGUUGGAUACUUGGAUUUCUCACUAAAUAGAGUAAGAUUUCCAUCAUUCUAUCAUUAUUUAUGCUAAAUUUAAUUUAAAGAUUUGUUUAUUUUAUUUAAAUUAAUGUUUCCAACAUAUGGUAAAGUGGUACGAAGAUAAAUUUUGUAAUUUGUGGAUUACUUUAGGUGCACACAGCACCAACAAGGCAUUGUAGAGCCAAAAAGACUUAGCACUUGAUGUUUCUGGUUCGAUAUAUAAAUAGCUAAUAAUUGUGUAUUAUGUUUAUGUAGUUUAUGGUUAGUAAUGAGAUUGGUGGUAAUGUAGCUCUAUAAUUAACUAUUUAUUUCCAAAACUAAGGAACUUCAUAUCGUAUUUUCUUCCAAAACUAAGGAGCUUCAUAUCAUGUAUUUCAUUAAAAAAUAGUCUCACUCUUAGACUUUAUGAGUUGCUGUGAAAAAUAAAUGAUGAUAAAUUUUCAUACAAAUUUAUUUUUAUAAAUUGAUACGACAUUAGUUCAUUGGUUGCAUGAAAUAUAAAAGCAGGUAGCAGUUGGUCCUUUGAGGAUCAUAAAAUUUAGAACCAAUCGGUCUAAAAAUUGCAUGCAAGUGCAAAGGUCUGCUCUUGUUGCAAAGGUAAUAGAGAAUCUCUUAUUCUCUAAAAGAGUAGUAGAAGAAUAGAAAAGAAUUCUAGAUGGUGAUAUGUGGAAGCUAGAAGAGAUAAGGAAAGGUCUUUUGGCUCCUUUAUUGUUGAGUUAUAUUGCUAUGCCAUCCAUGGUAAAAUGAUUUUUCUCAUAUUGUGCUGUCUUUUCAAAAGACUACAACAUGUAUAAAGAGGAACUAAUUACCCUAUGGAUGACUUAAAGUUACCUUAGUAUAACUAAUUACCCGGCGUCGGAGGGUUUACACCGGGAAAACACUCGGCGUGCUCUGACUUGUCUCUGUGUACGCAGGAGUUUGCGGAGAAGAAGCCUUACGAGGAGAGAUCCUGAUCGUGGUCGAGUUGGUUGAGGAGAGAGCUUGGUCGUGGUCGAGCAGGGAACCAAAAUCUCGCAUCAACACAGUUUCUGUUGCAAUUGUAUUGGCCUGGGUUUAGGGAACUGUCAACUUUCAGAAGAAGAUGGAGUUUCUCAAACCAAAUCUAAGAAGAUAUCUCACAUUCCCCACAUGGUCUCAACGCACAGGUAAGUUCUUCUCUAGCUCUGUUUUUCAUUGUUUGUUAUUUUUAAUGUAACUAAGAAGCAGAGUUAAUCUCUUAUCUUGUCCUUGCUUUGAGAAAACCUGCUUUUACAUCUAUUUUUAAUUCACAUGUCCACAGUAAUUUCAUUUUAGUUUGAGCUGAGUGAUAACUGUUCAAGGCUCACUUACUCAUUGGGAGAAGCUGCAUGACGCAGGCUGCAAGGAUUUAGAUUUUCAUUCGAAGGCUCACUUACUCAUAGUGUGCAUGUUUCGUUACGAUUAAAAUGAUUAGUCUCUUGUUCUUAAGUAUACAAUUUCCAAUGGAUUUGAUAGAGCGGUCAUCAACCAUAUUGAUGUUAUUGGAGUAGCACUGUUCUUAAGCACUGCUUUGAGGUCUCUCCCUCUCUAUAUACAUUGAUAGACUAUUCUGGUCGUACCAAAUUAUCCUUGUUUUAUUGUUUUGUUUGUUAAACUUUGACUGGGGGAAUCUGUUUAUUUGUCUGAUAUGAUGUUAGUGUGGUUUCGAUUGAAGUGUGUUGAUCUAUCACCAAGUAUUAUUUCAAUUUUUCUUUACCUAAUCAACUUGCAUACUUUCCAAGUCUAGAUCCUUAACAAUAGUGAGACUCCGCUACAGAAGUACGAUUUCUCUAGUUUUGUAGUUAAAUACGUAAGAAUAGUUUUAAAUUAACAGAACUCUGAGAUAGUUCUCUGAGGAAAUACAAGUGGUGAAUAUGGUUCCAACUUUUAAGUGCCUUAAGAUUCCCAUUUGUUCAGCCCUGUGCGUAAACAAUCAGUAAUUUCUGUCCAAAUUCUUCUUUAAUGCCUAUAUGUGUUGGACUUUGUCUACUGUUCAACUUCUCAAAUGGAUUCCAUGCAGGGUUUUGAAUGUCCAAUUAGGAGAAAGAUCAAGGCUUGCUUGGCUAGGAGUGGAAGCGGAUCCACUACUUCAGUCAGAUGACCUUUUGAAGAAGGCUUACAACAGGCCGUCUCAGGAUGUCAAUGGCUCAACUCAAAAGUCCCCAAAGUGGUUGAUAUCGAAGAAUGCCGUUGUCUCUGGGCUUGGGCUCCUUGGCAUCAAACAAGGGAAUGUCGACUCUGUUGAAGGGGAAGCAAGGGCUCCUAAAGUGCGAAGAAAGAGGAUAGGCCGGAAGAAGGUGACCGCAUAAAUUUCUUGGGAGUUGAUCCUAGUCAAUAGCCCAAUUUUUUUGUCAAAACAUUGGUCCCGAUUCCAGCAAAACAGUAACUUCCAUUCAAAAGGGUUCAGCGUUGAGUGCAUGUAAUCUGCACAAGUUUGACAAAAAAUAACCGAAAAAAAAAAAAGAAACCCACGUCCAAAGAUGCCGUUGAAAAAAGUUAUUGGGUAUUCAUAAUAAAAUAAACAAAUAAAAAAAUGAAUAAAAAUUUAAAUACUUAAUUAAUUUUUAUCAAAUUCUUAUCAAAUAUUUAAAAAAGUAUAUAAAAUGAAUUAAUUGAUGGUAUUAUUAAUUUUCAUGAUGAUUUUUAAUAUUAUAUUAGUGAUUAGUAAGUUUAAUACAAUCAAUAAUGCAAGAAAUUAUUAAAUGGUUAAUUUUAUUGGCAAAUUUUAUCAAAUACGCAAGUAAUGAAAAAUUAAUCUCAAGAGUUAGUAGAAGUAAAGUUCUAAUUUAACCAGAUGAUAGAUAAUAAAUACAAAUAAAUUUUAAGUAAAUCAUAAAUUAAAAAUAAAUAAAUUAAUUAAUAUUAAGUAUAAAUAAAAAAUAAUGACAUAAAUUAAAGUCUCAUAAAUGGAUAACUUUUUUUCUUUAAUCUUAUCCUAAGUCCCAACUAAAGGAAUGUGUAAAUUAGGAUUAUUAAUCCCAUAAUUUUAGGAUUAAACUUAAAUUUAGUCCCUUAGUCCAAUUCAAUUAAGCUUACCAAAUAUGAUAUAAAUAUAUAAUCACAAAAUUAGUCCAAUUCCAUACUUAAUCCUAGUAUUCGAACAUGGCCGGAUAAAAUAGUUUAGAUAAUAUACUUCUAUGGCUCACAAUUUAAAUAAAUUUGAGAAUUUAAAUAAGGGAUGGAAAAUUCACAAUAAUCAUACCAUGUACUGUCUUUUCUUCCUUUUCUUAAUUAAAUAAAAGAAAAAAAAUUAAUGACAGAACCACUGCUGUGUGAUAUCGAUGAAGUCGCAUUCGCCUACCUAAUAUUGCGCAAUCAGAUAGAAAAAAGGGUCGGCUGCAUGAUUUUUCCAACUUUUGUCUUAUUUUUCUCUUUUCCACUACAAAUUAAUUUGAGAAUGUUAUAUUUUCCAAUUCUCUUUUUGUCGUGACAUAAUAGACUAAAGCGGAAUCACAUACUUUUUCAAAUGACCAAAUGGCUUUGGCCUACCUGAUAAUAAAAGGAAUGGAUCCAUACGUUAAAGCUAAAUUGAAAAAUAUAAUAAAUAAAUUGUCAGGAGAUGAUUUUAUCAAAAAUUUCACUCGCACGGUCCCGACCAAAUACAAAUUUGUGAUGAUAUUCAUAAUGAAUUUAUACCAUUAGGCGAAAUUACUCUAUAUAGUUUCAUCGAUAUAUAUUAUACCAUUACAAAUAUACUAAUAUUUAUAAUAAAAAAAAUUUAUGACUAUUUUAAAUCGACUGUAUUAUAUGUGAAUUCACAAGAUUCAUAGAUAGAUUGCACUGAGCUUUUUGUUGCAGUUUACAAAUAUUUUGUUACUAAUUAUCUUAAGAGCAGCAAGUAACUAAAUACAAAUGUAAGAAAUUUCACAAGUGCUGAUGCUGUGUACUCUGCAGAAUUAAUAAUGGAUUAUUAUGAAUCAGAGAAACAGGGCAGACGCUGUACAAUUAUUGACGUGGUGGAGCAGAAAGCUAGCCCCACAUGGUGACUCCUUUAAUUUGCAGCACAAAAGAACGUUCACAUUGACAUUGACUCGAGGGUAAAAAGAAUGCAAACAUGCUUGAAUGAACAUUCUCACAGAAUACAUAAAAGCAAGAAAAGCAAUUGCAGCAUUUUCCAUUUGAUCUAAUAUCAGAAUGGCUCUUGCGAUCGUUUGCGCUCUCUUGGACCAGCUGAAUUCCAUUGCUCAAGAAAAGUGGAGGCUUUUGACGGGUGUCGAACAAGAAGUGGGAAAGCUUACUACCAAUCUUCAAGCCAUUCAAGCUGUGCUGGAAGAUGCAGAGCAGAGGCAAAUGAAGCAGGACAGAGCUGUUACUCUUUGGCUGGAUCAGCUCAGAGACGCAUCCUACGACAUGGAAGAUGUGUUGGAUAAGUGGAUCACUGAAACACGGAAAUCGCAGCUUGAUGAGGGCGGCGAUGAUGAAGAUGAUGAUAACGACAAUGCUUUUGUUACUCUUUUGACGAAGGUAUGUUCCUUCUUUCCUGCUGCCUCAAACUGCUUUGGUUGUUUCAAACAACUCAGUCUUCGUCAUCAUAUUACUGUCAAGAUUAGAGAAAUCAGUAAAAGGCUAGAUGAUAUUGCCAGACAAAAAGAUAGUUUCAAAUUUGUUGAGAAUGUGAGUAACAAUGUUAAGAAACCAGAGCGAGUGCGAACCACCUCCUUGAUUGAUAAGGGAGAGGUUUUUGGUAGAGUUGAUGAGAAAAAUGAGCUCUUAAGCAAGUUGUUGUGUGACAGUAGUGAACAACACCCUCAUAUCAUCUCAUUGGUUGGGUUCGGGGGUAUAGGCAAAACCACUCUUGCACAACUAGCCUAUAAUGAUGAUGAGGUGAAAAUAAAUUUUGAAAAAGUUAUAUGGGCGUGUGUAUCAGACACUUUUGAGGAGAUUAGGGUCGCCAAAGCAAUCAUUGAAGGUCUAGGCGAGUCAAAAAAAGCUUCUGGUUUAAGCGAAUUCCAAUCUCUUAUGAGCCAUAUCCAUAGAUCAAUUGGGGGAAAAAAAUUUUUUCUUGUCUUAGAUGAUGUAUGGGAUGGGGAUUCCAAUAAAUGGGAUCCAUUCUUCUUUUGUCUAAAGAAUGGUCUCCACGGAAGUAAAAUUUUGGUUACCACACGUAAUGAGUCAAUUGCACGUAUGAUGGGAACAACAGAGUCAGAUACUAUCUCCAUUGAACAACUGGCUGAAGAGGAAUGCUGGUUGUUUUCCAAGCAGUUAGCAUUUUUCGGUCGCUGUUUCGAGGAUUGUGAAAGAUUAGAACCAAUCGGGCGAAAAAUUGCACGCAAGUGCAAAGGCCUGCCUCUUGCUGCAAAGGUAAUAGGGAAUCUCUUGCGCUCUAAAAUUACAGUAAAAGAGUGGCAAAGAAUGUUAGAUAGUGAAAUGUGGAAAUUAGAAGAGAUUGGGCAAGGUCUUUUGGCUCCUUUGUUGUUGAGUUAUAACGAUUUGCCCUCCAAUUCGAUGGUAAAACGGUGUUUCUCAUAUUGUGUUGUCUUUCCAAAUGACUACAGUAUGAAUAAAGAAGAAUUGAUUAGUCUGUGGAUGGCUCAAGGCUACUUUAACGCAGAAGAAGACGAAGAAAUGGAGAUGAUUGGAGAAGAGUAUUUCAACAUAUUAGCAGCACGCUCUUUCUUUCAAGAGUUUAAAAAAGAUUAUUUCAAUGGUGAUUUUAUGUGGUGUAAGAUGCAUGACAUAGUACAUGAUUUUGCCCAAUUUAUAAGUAGAAAAGUAUGUCUGUGGCUAGAAAUUGAUGGUACCAAAGAAUCAGUCAUAAACUCUUUUGGUGACAAAGUCCGUCACUUAGGGUUAAAUUUUCAAGGAGGAGCUUCAUUUCCUAUGUCCAUUCAUGGACUUAAUAGAUUGCGUACCCUCUUAAUUUAUGAUAGAAGUCAUUUCAUUCCAUCUCUUAGUAGUAGCAUCCUUUCGGAGUUAUUUAAUAAAUUGGUGUGUUUAAGGGCAUUAGUUAUAAGGCAAUUUAACCUUUAAGUUUGCAUCCUGUGCCAGAUAGGAUUAGAGAAAUUCCAGAAAAUGUUGGAAAAUUGAUACAUUUAAAAUAUCUUAAUUUGAAUGGACUAUGUAUAAAGAGACUACCUGAGACUUUGUGUGAAUUAUAUAAUUUACAAAAGCUAGAUAUUAGGUGGUGCCGAAAUCUUAGAGAAUUGCCUGCGGGGAUUGGGAAGUUAAUGAACAUGAGGAGUUUACUGAAUUACGACACUCGUUCGUUGAAAUACAUGCCAAUAGGGAUUUCCAGAUUGACCAGCCUUCGAACAUUAGAAAAGUUUGUUGUGGGUGGAGGUGUUGAUGGCGGCAGCACGUGUAGGCUUGAAUCUUUGAAAAAUCUUCAACUCCUUCGUGAAUGUCGAGUAGAAGGGCUGAGUAAUGUAUCGCAUGUAGAUGAGGCUGAGAGGUUACAACUUUACAAUAAGAAAAACCUCCUUCGUUUGAAUCUCAAGUUUGGUAUAGCCGUAGAUGGGGAAGGCGAAGAAGGGAGGAGGAAGAAUGAGAAAGAUAAACAACUUCUUGAAGCCUUACAACCGCCUUUGAAUGUAGAGGAAUUACGGAUUUUGUCCUACGGAGGCAACAUGUUUCCCAAAUGGUUGACUUUGCUAACCAAUCGAAGGGAACUAAGGAUUGAUUUUUGUGAAAAUUUGCAAGAACUGCCAAUUCUAGAAGAUUGCAGGACAACAGACAUACCGCAUCUUUCUUUCUUGAUUAUUCAGAAUUGCCCCAAAUUAAAGGUGCUGCCGGAUUACCUUCUUCGGACGACGACGCUGCAGAAAUUGACAAUUUGGCGAUGUCCCCUUUUGGAAAACCGUUAUAGAGAGGGGAAAGGAGUAGACUGGCAUAAGAUAUCUCACAUUCCCCACAUCAAGUUGUCGCUGUGGAUGCCGUAAGAUAUCACUGGACGGUAAUUUCUCCUCCUCUGAUAUACUUCGUUGUUGCUUGCAAUGAAAUUAAUAAAAAUAAUUAUAUUUUGAAUUAAAAUUCUAUAUAGAAUCAAUCUUGGUAUAAAUAUGUAAAACUUCCUAGUUAUCAAAUCUGUUAGACUUGUUUUCUAUAUUUAUUUACUUUAAAAAAAUAUGUGCUCUUUUGUAAAAUUUGAUACAACAUCAUAGAAAAUCCCAAUGUAAUUUAUUUUUUAAUGUACGAAAAUUUGUUAUGUGUGACGUCCUGAGUGACAAAAUCUCCUUGAUACAUUUGCAGUAAUGUCGAAAACUAAAUUAUCAAUUUUAUCUUGUAUAAUGAUAAUCUUAUUUUUUUAUAUAUAAUUUACGUGACAUUAAUUCUUUAAAGUAAUUGUGUAAUUGUUUUUACUACAUUAGCCCACUUUGUUUUUUUUCAUACUUGUUUAAUUAUGUUCACCAGGGAUUCGAGGAAAUGUCAGAACUACACUAGCAAUUCACAGGUCCAAGCUAAUUUGGUUUUAAUGAUGCAGGCAGGAGAGCAAGACUAUGAAAAUGAAAAGUUUAGCCAAAGGAUUGCUAAAAUGUUCUGCUGGUAAUUCCCUUGCUUUAUUUUAUAGAAUUUCAUUUCUAUCUUCUUCUAUUGAUAUCUUGUUGUGAAUAAACAAGAACAGAGAGUAAAUGAUUGAACCACAGAGAAGUAAAGUAAUAUCAAAAUUCGCUAUUAUGAUGAUUUUAAAGCAAGCUCAAGCUCAAGCUUGCAUUUUUAUUUUAUUUUAUUUAUAGAACUUCCAUUUCCACCUGCAUUUCAUUUUUAUUAGACUCUAUGGAGCACAUUGGGGUAACCAAGGAUUAUCACUGUCGUUAUUGUGCAACGUUGGGUUGCUGGACUUUGAAGAAGGAAGCGAUGGCCGGGUCUGCUCUGUUUCAAUUGAGGAUGGAUAGCUGCCUGAAAGACAUGAUGAUUAUUAUUGCAUGAUGUUAAGGUGCUGAGAUCAUCAUUUCUAUCUUGUUUCAUUCUUGGAAUCGUUUAUCAUAUGCGUCAAUGGAGGCAGGUAUUUGGUGUUGACACUAUUAUGCAGGUAACCACACUUGAUAAUUUGCACAAAUUUGCGUUGUCAGAAUACCCUUUAAUAUUCAUUGUGUUUCUUUGUGUUAUCAGGUUAUCAUCUCCAAGGGUUUGAAAGAGCCUUUGCAGUUGUCAGAAUACCCUUUAAUAUUCAAUUAGGUACGUUUUGGUGCGGUCUCCCAAUGCUAAUAUCAUAUUUUGUAUAGCAAUUAAAAUUUAGCUAUACAAUUUUAAUAUGCAAUAAAUCAUUGUAUACAAAGUUUUUUAUUAAUUAUAUGGUGACUGAAAUUUUAAUUAUCAUAUCAAUUUAAAUUUUUUUGUAACUCUCUUUUACUUUGCUUGUACAGAGUACCUGUUUUGGCUGAUAUGUCUAAUUCGUAGAAAUUUAUUUCCAUCGGUUUCCAUUGGCUUUAGCACAAACAGAAACAGAGCUCUGGGGAAAAGUUUGACUUCUUGUGGUAUUAUGCCUUUGUUUCUUCAUUCAUCAUAUUUUUCGAAUUCAUGCUCUCAUUCAGAGGGUAAAGCCUUUUCAUGGCUGCUUUGUAGCCAAACUUUGACGCCAUUGAUGCAUGACUGUCAUUUAGAUUUUCCAAUAACGGUUAGAUUGGAGAAGAAUAAGAAGAUAUUGUUAAAAGGGUAUUUAAUUAGCGCCGUCUGAAUUUAGUUGCCAAUAAUGCAUUGAAAUAGUUGGGGAAAGUUAUUGUCUUAAUUAAAUUACAGGUGAUAAGAUGCUGCCUCAAUUUUGUAAGCAUCUCGUAUUGAGAAGAUUAAUUGUUGACAAGCCAAAUUUUAGGCAAAUUUUACCGUGAUUCUUGACAUCAUGGUAACACAGGUCAAAUUUUAGUAUCAAGACAUAUCUUCUUCUUUACUGUUCUGCCUCUAAAUAUUAAACUUUAGGCAAGUUGUUUUUGUUUGUGUAAGUUAUCAGGUUAAGGAUACCAAGCAGCUUAAUUGUUCACCACACCUGGUAGGAAUGAUCGCCAGGAAGAUUAAUUGUUGACAAGCCAAUUUUAUCAGUGUUAGAUUUUUUGCCUCCCUUUGAGAGAUAUCAUCAUCAAAUUUGUGUAGAGAAUCUUUGAAGAGAAUUUUGUUGUGAGAGUUUCACUGUAGUGAAUUUUGGGAGCUUGAACUCACUUGAGUGAGAUAAUAGAGUGUAUUGGGGAUUUGGGUUAUGAGUAAUCGUUAUCCUUCCAAUAUUUGCAAGCUCUUACUUGUUAGUAAAAUCAUCUUCGUAUAUUGACUCUGUUUCUUUGUUCCUUAUUUAAUUAGUUUCGAUUAUCAUAAUUAGUCACUCAUUCUGAAUUUUUCUAAUUUUAAAGUUCCUUAGGUCCGCCACCAGUUUUUCAAGUCUGCAUAUGGCUGCAAAAGAUCGAUGGUCAUAAAAUUAUCUUGAGCCUUGAGGCAUUGCGUUCGAGCUCACACUGUAACAGAGAUAAAGAUAAAGAAGACAGUAGAAGAUGCUCUAAACAUAACAAAAGUAUAUUUCUACGUCUUGUGGUUGCUUUAAUUUACUUUUGUUUCUUCUGUCAUCAUAUUUGAUUAAUUCGUUCGAAUUCACACUCUCACAUUAUUUAAAACUAUUUGUAGGUGGCUUGCAAGCUAGUUACGUUAAUGCAAAAACAAUACUCUAGACAAAGAUGAGCAAAUUAAAGGUGAUAAAUGCAAAUUGAAUGUCCAUGAAUAAUUGUUAGGCCGGUGCUGAUAAAUUGCUUCAAAGCAAGCAGCAUCUUCUGCUGCGAAGGCUUUCCCCACAUGAUAUGUUGUGAUUGUUACCGGCCCCGUAUUUAUUAACUCAGGUCAGUAUUAUCUUCUUCAUCAUUUUGGCUAUAUAUAAAGAUUAAAAUUUUGAACACUUGUCUCGGUUUCUUGUGUAAUCAGGCUAAUAGAGCAAAUGUUUACUGUCUAAGCACUAAUGCGACAAUCCCAUCUGUAAAUUUGGGCCAUCUUUGAUGUCUGACAGGUAAGCUGUGACAAUCCCAUCUGUAAGUACUAAUGCGCUUGGUUAUAGUGCUUUCAUUGGACUAUAUGCAAACAUGAGAUAUCAACUAUUGUGUGGAUUUGAUAGAGCGGUCACCAACCAUUUUGAUGUUAUUGGAGUAGCACUGUUCUUAAGCACGGCUUUGAGGUCUCUCCGUCUCUCUUUUACGUAUUUGUCUAUUGAUCGACAUCUCUAUAUAUACAUUGAUAGACCAAAUUACUCUUGCUUUAAUGUUAAUGUGGUUCCUAUAAAAGUGUAUAUAAAUCUAUCACCUCAAAGUCUGAUUUCAAUUUUCCUUUACUUAAUCAACUAGCAUCCUUUCCAAGUCCAGAUACUUACCAAUAGUGAGACUUUGCUACGGAAGUACAAUUUCUCUUGUUUUAUAGUUAAGUAUGUAAGAAUAGUUUCAAAUUUACAAAUUUCUGAUAUAGUUCUCUACGGAAAUGCGAGUGGUGAAUAUGGUUCCAACUUUUAAUAGGCUUAAUUGGCCCAUUUGUUCAGCCACAGUGAUUGCGGUCUGAAUUCUUCUUUACUGUCUCUAUGUGUUGGAGUUUGUCUAUUGUCCAACUUCUCCAAUGGAUUCCAUGCAGGGUUUUGAAUGUCUAAUUAGGAGAAAUCAACGGAUGACCUUUUGAAGAAGGCUUACACAACAGGCCAUCUCAGGAUGUCAUGGCUCAGCUCAAAAGUCCCCAGGUGGUUGAUACCAAAGAGUGCCAUUGUUUCUGGGCUUGGGCUCCUUGGCGUCAAACAAGAUAAUGGGAAAUAGGGGCAACUAAAGCGCGAAGAAAGAGGAUGGUCUGGAGGAAGGUGUCUGCAUAAAUUUGUUGGAGUUGAUGUAGUCAAUUGCCCAAUUUUGCUGCCUGUCGAAGAGACACAGCAUGGAAGUCCUCAUCAAACUCUGAGACACCUAAGAAAUAGUAUGAGGUGGUGGUAUUCCCCUGGUGUUAAUUUCCUGGCAAGUGUGGUUCACAGAUAGAGGGAUUCUUUUCUUGAUGUCUAAAUACCAAAUGUGAUGCAACGUCGUAUAUUCUAAGAUAUUAAAUUCUAUUUCAGAUUUCUCAUAUAGUGUCGUUGUCACUUCUGUGGUACACUUUUGAUCGCAAAUUUCCAUUUGAAGUAGCCGAUAUUCUUUACAGACUAAUUAUCUAAUGAUUAUUUUGUACAAAAAAAAUCAAAACUUUAAUUAUUUGAUCAUACUCAACUUAGGUCUUAUUCGAUAUUACUAGUUGUUAAUGUGUAAUAAAUGUAUGACUUUUAAAUAAUAAUUUUAAUAAAAAUAAUAAAGAUAUUAUAAGUUUUUUUUUAUAAUAAAGUAUGAGAUCAAAUCAAAUUAAUUUUGAAGUCACAAUAGCAAAUGUUUACCAAAACUAUUUAAUUAUAUGACUUAAAAGAUAUAGUUGUCCAAUCCCAACAAUAUAUAUAAAGAUUUACCAAACUUUACCCGACUUUAGUUGUACCCACUUGAUUAUGUAAGUCCAUUCUCCACGCGCUUGACCAUAUGAGAUGUUACUCAACUUUAACAAAUCUUACUUAAACUUUGCACGUUUGACAUGUUGGAUGAAAUAUAGCAUAUGAUGUGAUAGAAUACAAUAGGAAUGGUUGUAACAAGAUUAUAAUUAGUACUAGUUUGUAUUUUAUGUGAUGUAGAACGCAUUAUAUUACAACUUUUAGUGUUAUACUAAUUAAAAAUUUGAAUUAUUUUAUUAUUGUAAAAAUUUAAUAUCUUAAAUAACAGUUAUUUUAAUUAAGUAUUUUUGUUGCAAUGAAUUAUACUUUUUUAAAUAUAAUUGAAAAUUCUUAUUACUAAACUAAUAAAAAAUUAAUUAUUUGAGUUAUCUCCUAAACUACUUAGCUUACGAGAUAAAUUCACUUUGUUUAGAAUGAAACGGAUUACAUUUAGUACUAUUUUGUAUUUUAUGUGACGUAGUGUAUGAUUCAAUUAUAUUACAAAUUUUAUUGUAAUAAAAAAAUUUUGAAUUAUUUUAUUAUUGUAAAAAUACAAUAUCUUAAAUAACAAUUAUUUUUAUUAAGUAUUUUUUAAUGAUUUAAAAUAUAAUUGUAAAUUCUUAUUAUUAAACUAAUAAAAAAUUAAUUAUUUGAGUCAUCUCCUAAACUACUUAUUUCACGAGAUAAUUUCACUUAGUUUAGGAUGAAACGGUGGGUUAUUUUUAUGUGGGAGCCACAUCCUUUCCAUAUGAGAUGUUACUCAACUUUAACAAAACUUACUCAAACUUUGCACGUUUGGCAUGCCGGAUGGAAUAUGAUAGUAUAUGAUGUGAUAGAAUAUUAUAUGAUUAGAUGUAAUAGGAUUAUAUUUGGUCUUGUUUUAUAUUUUAUGUGAUCUAGUAUAUGAAUGGAUUAUAUUACAAAUUUUAUUGUUAUAAUAAUUAAAAUUUUGAAUUAUUUUAUUAUUGAAAAAAUAAAUAACAGUUAUUUUGAUUAAGUUUUUUUUUUCUGUUGAAUUAUAGUUUUAAAAUAUAAUCCAAAAUUUUUAUUACUAAACUAAUAAAAAAUUAAUUAUUUGAGUUAUGUCCUAAACCAACUUAGCUCACGAGAUAAAUUCACUUAUUUUAGAACGAAACGGCGGGUUUUAUGUGGGAAGCCACAUCCUUUCCAUAUCAACCUCAACAUCCAAACAUGAAAUUGGACUAAGAAUAGUUCUUUCCCAUGUAUUUACGUACCCUCCUGCCACUAAACGUAAUUGUAUAUUUUGGACCUUAUUUGACUUGAUUUUAUUAACUUAAUUUUCUCCAAUUUCCAUUGUCGACGUUGAGUGCAUGUAAUUAAUCCACAAGUUUUGAUUGAGCAGAAAUAGCCAAAAAAAACUGAUGAUAUGAUAAUAGCAAAAAAUCUAAUGACACCCACGUCCAAAGAUGCCGUUGUCACAAAGGCCUGGACGCCAUACCUCGAACCCAUCCCCUUUUACCAUGAGUGAUGAUACAGCCACAAACUCUUAUACAAACUUAUUUUAUACAAACUAAUGUGACAUCAAUUCAAUGGUUGAAUGAAAAUAUAAAAUAAUGAAAGUAAAUCAUGUGGGCCAAGAGAUAUUUAAUUUAACCAAUAAAUUGACGCCACAUAAGUUUGUACAAAAUAAAUUUGUAUAAGAGUUUGUGGCUGUAUUACUGUAUUAUUACUCUUUUACCAUAUUUUAUAAUUAAAGAGGUCAUUGUUUGAAAGAAAAGAAUGACAUGUUGGUAUGAAAUUACGUUAAAAUGAAUAUAUCACUUUUUUUUUUGUGUGAGUGAUGGCUUCGUUUAAUGACAAUUGGCAGACAAUGAAUCAUCUUUUAAUUUUAGUUUUGAUUUAAUAAAAAAUAUUAAUUUUUGUAGUUUCGGUAGAUGAAAUUUCGAAUCAAAUAUUAAUAUCGUUAAAGUACGCAACUCAAUAUUUACUUAAAUCAGAAAAAAGAUUAAUUGCUUUACAUGAAAAAGAAAAGAAAAGAAAAGAGUGAUCACUUGAUUUAACUUCCUUUACUAAAUUUACGAUUUAAAAUCUAAAAUGGAAAAAGGAAAACAAGUUUUGGAAACACACUCGGAGUUUUAAAUUGAUAUGAAAAAAGAGUUUAUUAUUGACAAUCUUUUUCCCAAAAUUUAAGCUAAGACAACAAUAUGUCCAAAAUACCCUCCACAUUAUCCCAAAACUUUAUAAACUCCCCCGUUCCUCUCAACAUCAUCUCUUCCAAAUCUUUCUUCCCCCCAAAAACCAGCCAUGGCUUCAUAUUCAAUUACCUCAACACUCCAAUAUUGGCUUGUAAACCACCCCCAAAUCCUCAACUUCACAUGGACUCCGAACCAAACACUAGCUUCCUCCCCACACUUCCUCAUUCUCUCCAUCCUCACUUACCUCUCCCUCACAUUCAUCCUCUACCACGCAUCAACAUCAACAUCACCACCUCUCAUUGGACCCCACAUCCUCAAGCCCAUCACAGCCGUCCAUAACCUCACCCUCUUCGUCCUCUCCCUCAUCAUGGCCGUUGGUUGCACUCUCUCCAUCAUCCUCCAUUUACCCUACCUCCGUUACACCCUUUGUUUCCCCACUACCAUUUCUCCGUCUGGCCCUCUCUUCUUCUACGCUUACAUCUUCUACCUCUCCAAAAUACUCGAAUUCUUUGACACCCUUUUGAUCAUUUUAUCAAACUCCAUCCAACGGCUCACGUUCCUCCACGUCUACCACCAUCAACCGUCGUUGUAAUGUGCUUCCUUUGGUUACAGACGAAGCAGUCUUUGUUUCCUAUUGCAAUUGUCACCAAUGCAAGUGUGCAUGUGAUCAUGUACGGGUACUAUCUAUUGUGUGUGAUGGGGUUGCGGCCAAAGUGGAAGAGAUUGGUCACUGAUUGUCAGAUUCUUCAGUUUGUGUUUGGUUUUGCUGUUUCGGUUUUGAUGCUGUAUUAUCAUUUCACGGGUUUUGGUUGCUCUGGGAUUUGGGGAUGGUGCUUCAACGUUGUGUUUAAUGCGUCCCUUUUGGCACUUUUUGUUAAUUUUUAUUCCAAGAGCUAUGCUAAGAAAAAGAAGCAGGGAUGAUCAAAGUGCUAUGAUUGUUUUGUGUUUUCUUUUUUAAUUUAUUUGAUUUUGGUUAAUUAUGAAUGGUGGUAAUUGGUUGAAUGCAAUUGAAGAGAUGCUUUCAGUUGCCUAAACUUUGUUUUUUCAAUUUUUGUUAUAGAUGUCAUAUGUCACCACAUUUUUUUAGUCUCUCCCUUUAAAAUUCCCUCACACAAACUUCGGAUUUGUAUUUUGUAAACUAGAAUUUUUCAUUUUCGUUAAUGUGUUAGCUGUUAUUAUCUACAAUUAUGUCAUACGACACACAUGUCACAUCAACUAAAAUUAGAUUAUGAAUUUUGGGCACAGGGCCAAGUCCCACCGUUUGGUAGGAAAUAAGUGUUGGAUCAUAAACUUGAUCCAAGAUAAAUAAAUUCAACCUUAACUCAUGGAAGGUUCCAUGAGUAGGUAUGGUUAGUGAGGUUUGAAUUAUUUGUGUUAGGUGUGGUAGGUGUGGUUGGUGAAGUAGGUGAGUGGUAGGUUUUAAUGGAUGGUGAGUAUUUGUGUAUUAGUUGAAUAAAUGAAUGGUUGUGAUUAGUUUGUUUCAUGGAUAAAUACCCCCUCUCCCCUUUGGUUUAAAUAUCAAGUGAAAUAACAAAAUCUCUAAGGUGUAGAGAGUGAAAAAUAAGAGUUGUAAUUAGUGAGGAGUGUUGUUGAAGAAAUAAAAUAGUGUGUUUUAUUUGUUAACUCUCCAACAAAGUGGUAUCAAAGCUAGUGCUUGAUGCUAUAUAUUGUCAUAUAGCAUAUCAAAUCGAAGAUCUCGAUGAGAGGAACGUGACGCCGCAAAAAUCAUCCUGACCAAAGACCAGACGCGCCCAAGCUCGCCGUCAGAAUUUUUCUGUCCUGAAGCUGAGUCGACUCACCGAGUUGAACCAACCUGAGUCGAGCCGAACUGAACCGAAUCAAGUCGAACCAAGCCAACUGGAGUUGAACCAAUCCGGACCGAACCAAGACUACUAAGCCAACGCUGACCGUUGACUGAAAGUUGACUCAAGUUCUUCCCAAGGCUUUUCGACGUGCCGGAUCCAUCUGUGCUUUCAGAAUCUCCAAAUUCUCACUCAAUUUGUGAGUUAUGGAAAACGGUGGUCUGAUGUCAUUUCAAGUUCCACAAUUAAAGAGAAGUAAGUUUGACAAUUGGAGUAUUAAAAUGAAGGCUCUAUUGGGUGCACAUGACGUAUGAGAUAUCAUGGAAAAAAAGCUUUAUUGAGCCAGAAAAUGAAGCCACUUUAACUGCGGCAUAGAAUGAGAAUUUAAAAGACUUGAAGAAGAAAGAGAAUAAAGCAAAGUAUCUCAUCUUUCAAUCAUUAGAUGAAGAUGCCUUUGAAAAGAUUGCUGGUAAAACGUGAGAAACUAGAGACCUCUUACAAAGGAGCGAAGAAAGUUAAGAAGGUUCAUCUCCAAAUAUUCCGAGGAGAAUUUGAGUCCUUACACAUGAAGGCGUCGGAGUCAAUUUCUGAAUACUUUACUUGGGUUGUGACCAUUUCUAAUGAAUUAAAAAGAAAUGGCGAGGAGUUAAAAGAGGUAAGGAUCAUUGAAAAAAUACUUCGAUUAGUAUACUCGAAGUUUGACCAUAUUAUUGUGACAAUUGAGGAAACAAGAGAUCUAGAGGAUAUGACGAUCGAGCAACUUUAAGAAAGGUUGCAAGUCUAUGAAGAAAAACAAAAAAAGAAGCAAGGAAUCGAAGAACAACUUCUCAAGAUGGAGGUCAAUCCAAAGAAAAGAAAAGAAAGCUCCGACAACGGAAGAAGGCAUAUUUAUCUCCCAAGAAAGCUAUACAAAGGAGAUUCUAAAAAAGUUCAAGAUGAAUGAUUGCAAGCCUAUAAGCACGCCAGUGGAAUGUAGAGUCAAGUUAUCUAAACAUGAUGAAGGGGAAGAUAUAGAUCCAACAUUCUUUAAAAGUUUAGUCGGAAGCCUACGUUAUUUGACAUGCACCAGACCAGAUAUCCUUUAUGUUGUUGGACUUGUGAGCCGAUACAUGAAGAAUCCAAAGACCACCCAUUUUAAAGCUGCAAAAAGAAUCCUUUGCUACAUCAAAGGUACAACUAAUUUUAGCUUGUUAUACUCAUUUUCUAAUGACUCCAAGCUUGUUGGAUAUAGCGAUAGCGAUUGGGGUGGAGAUGUAGAUGAUCGAAAGAGCACCACAGGAUUUGUGUUCUUCAUGGGAGAUACUGCUUUCACAUGGAUGUCAAAGAAGAAAACAAUUGUCCUGCUAUGCACCUAUGAAGCUGAAUAUGUAGCUGCCACAUCAAGUGUUGAUAAUAAUUUGGCUCAGAAAUUUGUUGAAGGAAUUAGGUUUGCCACAAAAAGAGCCAACCGAGAUUUGUGUUGAUAACAAAUCAGCAAUUGCCCUAUCCAAGAAUCCAAUCUUUCAUGAUUGAAGCAAACACAUAGACACUUGCUAUCAUUUCAUAAGAGAAUUUAUUACAAGAAAAGAAGUGCAAGUCAAGUAUGUAAAAUCACAAGAUCAAGCAGCUGAUAUCUUCACUAAGCCACUCAAGCAAGAAGACUUCGUAAAAUUCAGAAGUUUGCCUGGUGUCACAGGAUCAAGUUUAAGGGGGGGUGUUGGAUCAUAAACUUGAUCCAAGAUGAAUAAAUUCAAGCCCAACUCAUGGAAGGUUCUAUGAAUAUGUAUGGUUGGUGAGGUUUGAAUUAUUUGUGUUAGGUGUAGUAGGUGUGGUUAGUGAAGUAGGUGAGUGGUAGGUUUUAAUAGAUGGUGAGUAUUUGUGUAUUAGUUGAAUAAAUGAAUGGUUGUGAUUAUUUUUGUUUCAUGUAUAAAUCUCUAAGCUGUAGAGAGUGAAAAAUAAGAGUUGUAAUUAGUGAGGAGUAUUGUUGAAGAAAUAAAAUAAUGUGAUUUUUGUGUGUUUUAUUUGUUAAUUCUCCAACAAUAAGGAGCAUUAAUGAAAUAUGUUUAAUUAAGUAAUAAUUUGUUAUUUUAGAGUGAAAAAUAAGGGUAAAUUGUAUUCUACCCCAUAUUAGAUUGACAAACUUCAAUUUACCCCUUAAAAGUACAAAAACUUCAACUUAUCUCCAAAUACCAUUUUCUUCCCGUUAAAUUUAACUAUCGAAAGUAUAAAAUUAUAGUCUUACAUUCUCUCAACAGUCAACUCAUGGAUAAGAAGUCAAAACAUAUAUAUAAGGUAAUUUCCAUAAAACCCAAUGUAGGGGCGGGCAAUUGUUUGGUUUAGAAGUUAGGAACCGAAUGGUUUGAAAACAAAUGAACUGAUUGGUUUAUAUUUGGUUUACUUUGAACUGACAAACCGAUUGGUUCGCUUAAACUUAAUUAAAAAUACAUUUAUUUUAAAAUAUAAAUGCUUAAAAUAAUUUUUUUUUUCAUUUUUCAGUUUCCUAAUCUAAAAAUGUUUCAUAACCCUAAAUCAGCCGCCAUCUCUCUCAAGGUCGACGGCGGCACAACAAGCUCUCUCGGUCUCUCCCUCGCAAUCUCAUGGUGAUUGAUUUCUCGUGAUGUCUCCACUUUUGUUUCUUGUUCUUGUGUGAUCGAAUUCUCUCUAUACACACAUAGCCUAGCCUCUUGUUUUUUGGCUCAAUGGAGUUUCGUUUCUUUUCUCUCAGUUUCUUUCCUGUUGAAUUCUCGUGAUGUUUCUAUUUUUUUCUUUUUUUUUAGACAUGUUUUCGAAAUUGGCAUAAUACGAACCAAACCUGAACUGAAUUUCAAAAUCAAAUCGAAUUGAACCAAACUGAAAUUUUUAUGUUCGGUUUGGUUCGAUUAAAAAAUUUGGUAUGCGUUCGGUUCUCUUUCUUACGAACCAUUGGGUUUUAGUUCGGUUCGGUUUUGGUCUAGAAAAGAACUAACUAGAACCGAACCAAACCAAACCAAACCAAACCAUUUACUGGCCACCUUGCUCAUAUGUUUCAACAAAUUUCAAUGCACACUUAAACAUUUCAAUAAAAUUCGCUUUGUACCCAAAUUGAUAAUUUUUACUUUUUAAUUAGUUAAUUGUUAACUGCAGAAGUAUAAAAAAUUAUUUCUUUUUAAAAUAAGAAAAAUAAUUUUUUUCUAACUUUUUUCCUUUUUUAUUUUCUAGUUAAUUUCUUUAUCUGGUUCGGUUCAUUUUUCCCUUUUUUAUUUCUUACUGUUUUCCGCAUGUUCUCCACGCUUGAACUUUGCCAAGCAUCAUAAGGCCACAGUAGCCAUGCCAGCAACUUGCAACUAGGGGUGGGCAAAAAAACCGUAGUCUUAAAAAAACCGAACCGAACCGACGGUUUUUUCUAAUUCGGUUCGGUUUUUAUUUUUUUAAAAAACCGAAUAUACCGUUUGUAAAAAAAACCGAAAUGUCGGUUCGGUAUUCGGUUCACUUAGCUGAACCGAAAAACCGAACCGAAAAACCGAAUUAUUUUUUGAUUUUAUUCAAAUCAAACAUGUGUUAAUAAUUUUAUUCAAAUCAAACAUGUGUUAUUUCUCUUUAUAACAUUAUGAUUAUGUUUAUAUAGAUGGAGUAUUGGAGUUUGGUUAUAUAUUUUGAAAUUUUAAUAUUUCAUAUAUUUGGGAGUAUCUUAUUAAUAGUUAGUAAGAUAUUAGUGAUAAAAUGUGUUUUGAAUACUUUGUAUUUAUUGUUAAUAUUUGUAAUAAAAUUAGGAUAAAUUAAUUGUUGAAAAAAAUUAUUACAUUUAUGAGGCCCAAUGGGCUAAAAAUUUUAAAAUUCAAAAUAGGCCUAAUAGGCCCAGAACCGAAAAAACCGAACCGAACCAAACCGAUCUGAAAAGAACCGUUUGAGUUCGGUUCUUAUUGAGUUUGGUUCUUAUUCGGUUCUUUUUAUAAAAUAACCGAUUUAAAUCGGUUCUACUUAAUUUCGAACCGAACCGAACCGAACCGAACCGAACCGUGCCCACCCCUACUUGCAACAAAGUUUAGAGCUGCGCGAUGGUUGCAGCAACGUUAACGCCGCUAUUCCAAGUCUUGGCCCAUCAUCUCCUUUUCAACAAAUCUUAGCUUCUUCCCAAAUUCAUCAAUGAACCCCAAAACCAGAAUAAUCAUUAAAAUUAUUAACAACCAUUUGCUUGGAUCAAUGUAUGCUUGGCAUGUCUAUGGGCUUACUUGGAAUGGUCGCUGAUGGCCAUGGGCUUGCUUGGAUUGGCCGCGCACAGCCAUGGGCUUGCUUGGAAUGCCGGUACCCGUUUGCCACGGUUUUGCUAGCGUAUCCAUGGGUUUUGUUGGACAUGGCAGUGCGAGGCCAUGGGUGUUGCCGGACAAUGGACAUGGGUUUUGCUGGGCUGAUUAGGAAUUAACAGAGGCUAUGGAGUUGUUCAGUGUGUGAAAGAGAAAAAAACAUGAACGAAGAAGAAUAUGAACAGGGAAUAGAACGAAGAAGAUGAAGAAAGUAGAAGAGAGGGAAAAAAUAUUUUGCUUUUUUAUAAAUUUUCGGAUUUUUAUUUCAAAAUUUAUAAUUUUUGUUUAAAUUUGAGAAUCUUAAGGGUAAGAUUUUCUUUGUAACUAUGUGUAGAAGGAGGUUUUCAGAUGGUUUUUGGUUGGGUUAACAUGAAAUAUGCUUGUUUUAUGAAAUAUUAUUAUUGAGGUUUUGUUUUAUUUUCUAAAAAAUAGAUUAGAGGAUGAUUUUCAUUAAUGACACCCAUAAAGUUUGAAUUAGUUAUAUUAUAGAAAUAGUAGGGAUUUAAAUGAUAUAUCUUUUCAACAUAAAUAUAUCAGUAACAUAAGUUAUUCUAUAAUUAACAGGGUAUUAUCGUAUUUUAGUGAGUCAUUAUUGGUUGAUAGUUAUAUUUAACAGAUUUUAGACAGUAAAUUGAAGUUUAUUUUUUUUAUUUUUGAGUAAAUUAAAAUAUGUCAAUCUCAUAAGGGGUUAAAAUAUAAUUUAUCCAAAAAUUAGUGUUAAAAUUUUAUAGAUGAGUGUAUAUUAAGAUGUUCAAAGUAUUAGAACAUAAAUAAUCUUAGUUUUAAUAAAAUUUUGCCACAUAGUGAAUAUUAUCCUCAACCUCAAGAGAAACAUAUCAAUAAAAUAUACAAAAAUAGAAUGCAUUAGUACAUGUCAAUAACAAGACCAAUUAGAUCAUGUCAUAUUUGUUAUGUAGUUAUUUAAGCUAAUAGAGUAAGAAGUCCCAAAUACAUGUACAUCAUAUCUUGGUGAAGAAAUCGGUUCUACCCGAAAUACUUCUUCGUAUUGAAAUCAAUGAUGAUUGCUUGUUUAAAUAAUGAAAGUUAAAAUAAUUUUGUAAAUAAUUUCAUUCUUUAAUUUACGGUAUACAAAUAAAUUCAAAAAAUGUUAAUUUCUCUCAUACUUUUAGGACCCAAAAAAUAACAAAAAGUCUUAACAUAUUUAAUGGUUAUAUAUAAAUCAUCCGUACGUAUUUUUCUUGAGAGAAGCUCAAUUCGAUAGACAAUGCUCCCCUUAAUUUUCUUUUCUAAUUAGAUAAAAGAACAAGAGAAAUUGAUUACAAGAAUAACAAACUUUAAUUUACUUCUUAAAGGGUAAAAACCUUAAUUUACUUCUUAAAGGGUAAAAACCUCAAUUUGUCCUUAUAUUUGUUCAAAAGAUACAUUUUGUCUUCUUAAUAUAAACAAGUUAAAUUGAUGUUUCACAUCUUUUAGAAAUAAAUUAAAGAUUGUUAUUUUAAGUAGGAGGUAAAUUUCAAAUAAAACAUGUGUUCAUAUGAUAGAUGUGCAUUUUACAAUAAUUAAUAAACAAAAGGGUAGUGAUAUUUUCAACCUGUAAUUUUUGUAAAUCCACCCCCACUCCCAAGAAAUAAUUACAAUAAAUUCACAUAACUUUUUUAAAACUCAAAUAAAGAAAAAUUUUGGAGAUUUAAACUAUUGUAUACAAGAGGAUAAGAGUAAAUAUUUUUCAUGCAGUAUAAAAAGAAUGCGACAGCUCCUUUUCUUUCGGUAUUUUCACAACAAAAGCACACUUAAUAACUCAUCAAAUUAUUUCUCCUUUUCUUUGAUCGCUUCCCCUCUCCUGGAGCUGCUGAACUCCUUUGUUGCUGAUGAAGGGAACAAGUGAGGCUUUUCAAAAGAGGGCAAAGAGAUGGUGAUUCGAUUUGAUUCGAUAAUAGUAGUUUAUUUUAAUUGUUAUUCAUUUGAUUUCAUAGAAGUAAUUUUUAUUUUCAUUUUUUUGUUGAAAAUUGGUAAAAACGAACUAAAAUGAGAUAAUUACAUUAAAACAAUCUUCAAUGACUAAAGUAAUUUGAAAAAAUAAAAAUAAAAAUAAACAAGCUCAAAAUUUACCCCUAAUCCGAACAUUAUCCGAAUUCAGCCUAAUUGACCCAAAUCUAAUUGUAAUCCAAACUUGACAUGACCCGCAUAUAAUUAUAACCCGAUCAGAUCCAAACUCGACCUGAAUUUUUAAUUCAAUACGAUCCAAUCCAAAUAUUCCAAUCCCAUCAAAAUGAAACUUGAUUGGGUUGAUCCGAACCCGAAUUUGCCACUUCCGGAGGAGACCAUGACCCUAAAGGCUUUGAAAUAAUCUUUGCGGUUUCUUAAUGAAAUAGUAAAAGUUAUGCGCAAAAAGACUGUUUUGACCCUAGAAUACAUGAUAUAUAAAUUUCAGACAUUAUAUUCUGUGAAAUAAAGUCAAAGUAAACUGGUUGUUUGAUUUUUUAUUAAUUAUUUUCCAUUAUGACAAAAUGACAAAUAGACUUUAUUAAAAGUUUAAUAAAGUUUGGGCCUAACUCCUUGAUUUUUAUUUUUUUUAAUUAUUUUUCAUUUUGUUUUUUACUUGCAACAUUAGCUUUAAUUAUCAAUAGUCUCCAAAUCAAAAUGACUGCAACCUGUAGCUACAAGCAAAAUUCUCAAAUUUUGAAAUUUCUAACGACUACAUAAGAGCUAUAAAUAGAAAAAUCAUCUAAAAUUAAUCCUCCUUCAGAGGCAGAUUAAAUUCUUAGUAAUUUCAUAUAAUUUCAUUUCAUCAGAACAAUUUUCCAAAAGCAAUUUUAUAAAUGGUUGUCGAAAGCUUUAUCCCUUAAUUAUAUGUCACGUAUUUUCUUUGUGAUAUGAGGCGUGUCCAUAGACCAUAGUAUGAUAUUUAUUGUAAUUAAAAUCAUUAUGGAACUGAUUUUAUUCUUGUUUCUCAAACAAAAUAUCUAACUGCAGAUGUAAUAAAUUACUAAUUACCAUUAUUUGAGUCGCACUCUUUGAAUUGGAUCUUGGAGUUUCGAAUGACCAAAUGAAUUAGUGAGAUAAUGGCUUUUGCUUUUGUCUACCUGAUAAUAAAAUUUGUCCACCAUAUAGACAAGAAAUGGAUCGGAUCCAUAUGCUAUAGCUAAAUUGAAAAAUUUAUGUGGAGUUUUAUUGUAAGACAUUUUUAUCUGAAUAGAAAAAAUAAAUUUUUUUUAUUUUUAUCUAAAUGAUAAAAUAUCUGAAUAAAAAAUCAGUUUUCUUCUCACAAAUACCCUCAUUAAAUAUAUUUAUUUUCUACUUAGCUAUUAGAUGUCAUAUUAGAAUUUCCUUUGAUCUCAGAUUUUACUUGGUAUUAAAUACUUAAUCUGCGUUCGAUUCGAAUUUAGACAAAUUCUUUUGUCAUUAGAUAACAACGUUUUUACUGAAUUUGAUGUUCAUACAGAAACAGUCAAGUCCUUGUUGACUGAAAUUGGCAUUUCUCUUGUCUCUGCUCCUAUCAUUUGGUGUGAUAACCAAAGUGCAGCUGCCUUAGCAAGUAAUCCUAAAUUCCAAGAACUUAAAUUUAACUCUAAUAAAAGCUCAAAGUUAGUUAUGUUCCAAGUUCUCAUAAGUCAUAACUCAUCUGAUAUCCUUACUAAAGCUUUAGCUUAUCACCCUUUUCAUUAUCUGAGAGACAAGCUCACCCUGACUUCACUAGGCUGAGCUUGAGGGGAGAUGUUAAGAGUAUAAGCUGAAGCUGCUGAGCUGGCUGGUGACGUGCUGACGGUGUUGAGUUGACUAAUGUUUUGUAACUAAGUUGCUGAGCUGGAUUGGGUUGUUAUUUGCACUGAAUAAGUUGUAACGAAUUGUCCAGCUGGCUUGUUAUGAUUGGAAGGCUAAUUAGUUUGUUAAUAUUGCAGCUUUGAGCUCUGUUUCUGUAAUCAGUUUUGAGUGUAACUAUAAAUAUCACGCUCAUAAUGUAUGAUUUCAGCUUUAAUCAAUAAGAAUCUGUGAUUGUUCCAGAAACUUCAUAGUCAAAUUUUCUUUCUUAAUUUUCUUUCACUUUCUCUCGUGCCAAACACCUUAUUGAUUCAAAUAAAACUCCAUCCAAAGGCUCACGUUCCUCCACGUCUAUCACCAUGCAACCGUCGUCGUAAUGUGCUACCUUUGGUUACAUAGUAACCAUGUUAAAUUGGAUUUUCUAUAUGAUAUUAUCGUUAGCUUCAUUGUUUAAAUAUACCGUUAGUGAAAGAAUCGUUCGUGAUUAGGUACUUUACAACUACAACACGAUAAGCAAUCAAAGUUACAUGAAAGAAUCAGUAAUUAGUAGUUAGGUUAGAGGUGAAACGUGCAUGUUACAGGGAAGUAGAAAACAUGUCAAGUUGUUAUCAUAAAGUGAAUAUCCAAUUUAAGAAGAUAAUAACUGGAUUUUGAAUUCAAUUUCACUCUGUUUUAGUAGUAUGUAUUAUAUCUCACGAAUAUGAUAUCAGUGAAAAAUGUAUAAGUUAUGGGCUUUGAAUUUAUAUUAAUGCAUAUAUACUAGCUAUGAAAAUGACGAAUUCUAAACAGAUUUUGCUAUUUAACAAGUAAUUAAGAGGUCUAGCAAUCAAUUAAUAAAAAAGUAAUUCAAUAUAACAUUGCUACAAAGAAAUUAAACUAUAUAUAACAACUAUUUCAAUGAGACUAAUGAUAAUUAUAUCUAAGGUUUGAUCGAACAAACGGGCAAGAACAGCAAAAGCUAAUCUUAAUUUAGAAAUUUUUAUAAGGGGGGAGGAUUGUAAUAUACGCACUUGGACUUUCUUAAUAAAGUGCUGAUUUUUAUUUUCCUCUUCUCUAUUAAUUUUUAAUUUCGUCACUAUAGUUUAAUUGGGAUAAAUUGAGCUCGAUUAUACGCGCCGAUGGUCGGAUUUUAUUUUCGUAACGGGUCUGAAAUUCGCUUAAUUUGUAUUAAGCUUAAAAAAAAAAAAAAAAAAAAAAAAAAAAAGAGGGGCAGAAUUGUAUAACUGGAAAGAGGGAAACGGGUUUUCCAUUUUAGAGAGAAAGAACCCGAGAAGAGAGAGAAAGAUAGAGAGAGAAGUCAGACCCGUUGACCCGAGAACCCGACCCAGUAACCCGCGGAUUGACCCGACGAUUUCUCCCAACUCCAGCCACUUUACCGGCCGUGCUUGGUACCGAUCUGAAGCUUGGAAGCAGACCAUCGUAUCCCUGCUGUUAUCGUCGCCGGAAACUGGCCAGAACGCCGGUGAUCGAGCUCGAAAAGUCGCGGCUUCGACCCGUUUUCGUUGCCGUUGAUCCCGCCGGAGUUGUGACGCGCCACCACUUGGAACUGGUUCCUCACAUCCCCAGCAACAUUUCCCGACCAGCAACGACCGCCGGGGACGCCCGGAACUCGCCGAAUGAUCUCCGAAAAUUUGCGGAACUUUGGAACUUCGAUCCGCCGCCGGUAGCGCGCGUGGCGACUCACUGCCACCACCGUUGGAUUCAUCGAGGCCGGAACUAGCAGACCUAAGCUCCCCGUCAUCGUUGACUGAAGUCCGGUCACCGUUGACCGGCAGGGGCAAUUCGGUAAAUUCAUGAAACUUUGGGGUGAAUUUGUAAUUUUAUGUAAUCAGUGGACAUUUCGGUAAUUUUAUGCCCUGAGGGUAAUUUCGUAAUUUCGGACAAUGUGAUUAAUUUAUGUAAUCUGAAUUGAGGACAAUAUGGGUAUUAACGAAUAUGAGGAUAAUUUGGUAAAAUCAUGAAGUUUGAGGAUAAGUUGGUAAAAUAUUGAUGUUGGGGUAUUUUGGUAAUUUUGGCCUAUAGGGGCAUUUUGGUAAUUUUAUACAUGCGGGACUAGUUUAUCGUUAAUAGAUAUUUGUUUCGAGAUUUAUUAUAUUAAUUGGUUUUUACGGAGAAUAAUUAUGGUGUUUUCCGUGAUUAGGAGGAUCCGCAUCCGCGAACGAGAAUCUACCCGCGGACGUUGUUGAUACUGAGUCUAGACAUCAUCACUGUGAGUGGAAUAUACAAAACCUAUUUUCAUAGUAUAUGCUGAUUUUCUUAUAUAGUACAGUAUGUUUGAGAAAUAAAUGUUUAAUGCGUUGAUUUAAUGAUUUUCCAGCGAAUUGACUUUUAUUUAUGUGUUGAUAUUUAUUAUGAUUGAGAAUGAGUUCGAUUUAUGAUUUUAUUAGCGUUUUUGAGUAAAAGCAUGAUAUUAGAAUUGAGCAGACUUGAGAUAUGUUGAAUAGAAAGAAAAUGAGAUUUCAGAUGGGAUCAUAUGUUUACUAUCAGUUUUGAAAUCAUUAGACAGUACCCUUCCCUCCAGAUACAGAGAUACAGAUAAAAAGAGAUACAGAUAAGAGAUACAGAUAAGAUGAGAUAGAGGCCUUUGGGGCCCGUCGGGACACACAUAGAGGCUUUGGGCCGUGUGUUCGGGCGCUUUUGCCUUUUGGGGGCUUAUGCAUGCACAGUACAGAUAUAUGAGAUAAGAGAUAUGAGAUAUGAGAUGAGAUCGUCCCCAUCUAUCCGUUGUGGCUCCGGGGCGUGACGUUACCCAGAUAGUGCGUUAUUGCCUGGCCGUUGUAGCCCGGAUAUGAUCAGAUUAUCCCCUGGGUACUUGUUUGAUGACAGUUUUUAGUAUUCAGUAUUUAAUAUGAGUAUGGUGAUUCCAUCGAUUUUAUGCAGAUUUAUUAUUGCAGUUAUUCAAUUUGAAUUAAAUGAGUUUAUGAUAUUUUGAGAAAUUGAUUUGAGAAUUGAUUUACGAAAUUGAAAUUGAUUUAAGAAAAGAUUUGAGAAAGAUUAAAUGAUUUUGAAUAAUUUAUUAAAGUAUCAGCACCUACUAUCCACUCACUGAGCUCACUGAGUUUUAUACUCACCCCUCUUUUAUUAUAUUUUUCCCCCCACAGGAGAUUUACAGGUACAUCAGUCAACCCAGUAGUGAACGUUAGUUUGAUAUUGUGGUCACGUGAUGGUGCUAGAAGUCGUGGAUUUUAUUAUUAUAUUCGAAAUUUGUGUUAUUAUUUUAUGUUAUUAAGGAUAAUCGUUGUAUUUUAAUAUUCGGAUGAUUUUGGUGAUAUUUGAGAAGUUGGUUUGAGAAGUUGGUUAUGGAGGAUGUUUGGUUAUUAAAUUAUUUCGGGAGUGUUAUUUUGUCAAUUGCAGGGUUGGAUAUGUUUUAUUUAUAAGGGAGACUCUGCCGAAAUUUUUAUAGAUUUGUUAUUAAUUCGAUUUUACGAGUUUAGAUAGACUCGCCCUGGGGGAGGUUGCGGGGCGGGUCGUUUCAGUUGGUAUCAGAGCAUGGUUUUAGAUUCUGUAGACUUUAUGGUCGUAAAUAGAAUAAGUUUUGAUUAUUAAGUCGGAUUUACUAUUUUGUAGGCACCAUCAUAAUUAAAUUAGUUAGAAGUAAAAUUAUCUCUCUAGUAUUAUGCAAGGGUAGAAAUUUGGGUUGUACCAUGUUAUAAUUAUCAAGGAUAGUUUUGAUAGAAUUCUAAUUGUAAUAUAUGACUGUAUAAAAAAAAAAGAACAUUAAUGAAAGAUGUUUAGGUAAGGACUAUCUUGGAAUAGAAUUUUGAUUGUAAUAUAUCAAUAUAUAAAAAAAAAAUUUAUGAAAAAUGUUUAACAAGGACUGUUUUGAUAUUUUAAUGAGUAGUAAAAAUUAAUGUUAAAAUUUGAUAGAACAUAUAUAAAUAAUCCUAGCUCUAAUAAAAUUUUGCUACAUAAUUAGUUUAUCCCUUAAAGAAACAUAUCAAAAAAAUAUACAAAAACACAAUGCAUGAGUACAUGUCAAUCACAAAUGAAAGCAAUUAAGAUAAAGAAUAUGAUUUAUUUUAUUUUAUUUUAGUUAUUUUUUUGUUUCUUUUGAAACAAGACCAAUUAGAUCUGCAAGAAGUAAUUUUUUAAAAAAAUAAUAAAAAAAGGAGAAAUGAUGAAACCCACGUCCAAAGAUGCCGUUGUCGCGGAGGCCUAGAUCUCACUACACCCCAUCCCCUUCUACCAUAUUUUAUAAUUGAAGAGGCCAUUAUUGAAUUGAAAAAUUAUGAUUCAAAUAUCCAAAAGUAGAAAAAGAAAAGCAAUUGUUGGAAACACACUCGGAGUUUUAAAUUGACAUGAGAAAAGAAUAUAUUCAUCAACCUCAUACGUUAAUGAUGCGACGAGUUUAAGAAUAUAUUCCUAACGUGUGGGAAUUUAAAGACGUUACUACAAAACAUGUGUUCGUCGGUGGAGUAGAAUCAGGGAAAUUAAAGAUGCUACUACAACCACUAACGUGUGGGUGGAGAUAAGCAUAACUUUUUUCAUCAAAUGCCAAAUCCCCCCAGGUGGAGAGUGGGGACUCCUUCGCAUAAAUGUUGAUAAAAUUUUGACUAUGAUGUUAUUAGGAAUUAAGGGAAACUGUGGUGCAAUUGUGGUAUCGUGUCACAGUUGUAUUUGGUCGUUGGAUGUCAGUAGACCCUACCCAUAUAAGUGUAUCUAAUGGCUAAAUGUAAUUAUAACACGGUACCGCAAUUGCACCGUAGCCGAACCCUAAAAAUUAAGAUAUUCUCUCUCUACGUAUGCCUGCACGAAAUAAAUAAUAUGCAAAUAUAGUAUUUUAGUUUAUUAUUAAUAGUUUUACAAUAAUAAAAAUCAUUUUGAUAGACUGGAAAAUGUCAUAUUCGCAUUUUAUUUUGUACGGACGUCUGCGAGAAAGAACAUAUAUAUAUAUAUAUAUAUAGAGGAACGUGUAUUUAAGAUUUAGCUAGUGUGAAGUUGGGAAAUUUUUUUUUUGAACCCAGGCUAAAAUUAUUUCAAUAAAUUUUGAUCAUGGAGACUAAUAAGAUUUUUUUAGUUAUAUUUAUUAAUUUUUUAGGGACUAAUAAAUUUUGAUCAUGGAGACUAAUAAGAUUUUUUUAGUUAUAUUUAUUAAUUUUUUAGGGACUAACAUGAAUAUUAAUAAUUUUAUUGAGAUUAUUAAAAAAACAAUGUGCUAUUUUACAUCUAUGACUUUUCCAAUCUUUUUUUCUUUCGUUAUUUAUUCCUUUGUGAAUUUUAGUUAAUGCUUGAUAUUAUUUUUUUGCUCAUUUUUUAAAGCAGUAAUUAAAUCUGAACCCUUACAGUAGAAGAUUAUGAAAAAGUAAAGACACAAAAAUCAUAAAAAUCAUUAGUACGUCCAAAUUGUGCUAUUUUCAUACAUAACUUGAGAAUAUUUAUAAUUACGCAUCAGAACUAGUGGAGUAGAAUCAGGGAAAUUAAACAUUCUACAAUCAUUGACGUGUGGGGUGGGGAUAAGCAUAAACCUUUUCUAUGCAGUAUAAAAGAAUGCAAUAACUCCUUUUGUUUCAUAUCUUCGCAGCAAAAGCACAUCUAAUAACUCUUCAGAAUUCUCGUCUUCUUUGUCAGAAUGGUUGAUGCGAUCGUUUCCUCUCUCCUGGGGCAGCUGAGCUCUGUUGCGGCUGAUGAAGUGAAACAGCAGGUGAGGCUUGUGACUGGUGUCCGACAAGAAGUGACAAAGCUUACCAGCAAUCUUCGAGCCAUUCGAGCUGUGCUGGAAGAUGCAGAGAAAAGGCAAAUGCAGCGCGACAAUGCUGUUACUUUUUGGCUGGAUCAGCUCAAAGACGCAUCUUACGACAUGGAAGACGUGUUGGAGGAGUGGACCACUGCAAGGCUCAAAUUGCAGAUUGAAGGCGUUGAUGAUGACAAUGCUCUUGCUCUUGCUCCUCAUAAGAAGAAGGUACGCUCCUUCUUUUGUGCUGUAUCAAACUGGUUUGGUAGUUUCAAACAACUUAGUCUUCGUCAUGACAUUGCCGUCAAGAUUAGGGAAAUCAAUGGAAAGCUAGAUGGUGUUGCCUCCCAAAAAGAUACGUUUAAAUUUGUUGAGAAUGUGAGCAACAAUGUUAAGAAACCAGAGCGAGUGCGAACCACCUCCUUGAUUGAUGAGGGAGAGGUUUGCGGUAGAGUUGAUGAGAAAAAUGAGCUCUUAAACAAGUUGUGUGAAAGUAGUGAACAACAACAAGGCCUUCAUGUCAUCUCACUAGUUGGGUUAGGGGGUAUAGGUAAAACCACUCUUGCACAACUAGCCUAUACUAAUGAUGAUGUGAAAAGAAAUUUUGAAAAAGUUAUAUGGGUGUGUGUAUCAGACACUUUUGAGGAGAUUAGGGUCGCCAAAGCAAUCAUUGAAGGUCUAGGCAUGUCAGCUUCUGGUUUAAGCGAAUUCGAAUCUCUUGUGAAACAGAUUCAGGAAUAUAUUACGGGGAAGAAAUUUUUUCUUGUUUUAGAUGAUGUGUGGGAUGUAGAUUACAAAAAAUGGGACCCAUUCUUUUCUUGUCUAAAGAAUGGCCACCAUGAAAGUAAAAUUCUAAUUACCACACGUGAUAGGUCAGUUGCACUACAGUUGGGAUCAAUAGAUAUUAUCCCUGUCAAGGAGUUGGCUGAAGAGGAAUGCUGGUCGUUGCUCGAGCGGUUAGCAUUCUUCCGUCGUUCUGUUGAUGAUCAUGAAAAAUUAGAACCAAUCGGGCGAAAAAUUGCACACAAGUGCAAAGGCCUGCCUCUUGCUGCAAAGGUAAUAGGGAAUCUCUUGCGCUCUAAAAUUACAGUAAAAGAGUGGCAAAGAAUUUUAGAUAGUGAAAUGUGGAAAGUACAAGAGAUUGGGCAAGAUCUUUUGGCCCCUUUGUUGUUGAGUUAUAACGAUUUGCCCUCCAAUUCUAUGGUAAAACGGUGUUUCUCAUAUUGUGCUGUCUUUCCAAAAGACUACGAGAUGGAUAAAGAGGAGUUGAUUGAUCUGUGGAUGGCUCAAGGUUACCUUAAUGCAGAAGAAGACGAAGAGAUGGAGAUGAUUGGGGAAGAGUGUUUCAACAUUUUAGCAGCACGCUCUUUCUUUCAAGAGUUUGAGAAAAAUGAUGAUGAUGAUGAUAUUAGGAGUUGCAAGAUGCAUGACAUAGUACAUGAUUUUGCCCAAUUUGUAAGUAGAAAAGAAUGUUUGUGGGUAGAAAUGUAUGAUAACAAAGAAUCAGUCAUAAAGUCUUCUGGUGUCAAAGUCCGUCACUUAGGGUUAAAUUUUCAAAGAGGAGCUUCAUUUCCUACGUCCUUUUUUGAAUUUGAUAGAUUGCGUAGCCUCUUAAUUUAUGAUAGAAGUUAUUCCAAUCAGGUUCUUAAUAGUAAAUUGGCGUGUUUAAGGACAUUAGUUAUAAGGCAAUCGUUCCAAUAUUUUUAUCCUAUUUCUCUUGACUCAAAUGCGAUUAGAGAAAUUCCAGAAAAUGUUGGAAAAUUGAUACAUUUAAAAUAUCUUAAUUUGUCUAAAUUAGCCAUAGAGAUACUACCUGAGACUUUGUGUGAAUUAUAUAAUUUACAAAAGCUAGAUAUUAGGGAGUGCCGAUAUCUUAGGGAAUUGCCAGCGGGGAUUGGGAAGUUAAAGAACAUGAGAAGUUUACUGAAUGAUAAAACUUAUUCAUUGAAGUACAUGCCAAUAGGGAUUUCCAGAUUGACCAGCCUUCGAACAUUAGAAAAGUUUGUUGUGGGUGGAGGUGUUGAUGGUGGCAGCACGUGUAGGCUUGAAUCUCUGAAAAAUCUUCAACUCCUUCGUGAAUGUAGAGUAGAAAGGCUGAGUAAUGUAUCGCAUGUAGAUGAGGCUGAGAGGUUACAACUUUACAAUAAGAAAAACCUCCUUCGUUUGCGUCUUUGGUUUGGUGGAGUCGUAGAUGGGGAAGGCGAAGAAGGGAGGAGGAAGAAUAUUGAGAAAGAUAAACAACUUCUUGAAGCCUUACGACCGCCUUUGAAUUUAGAGGAAUUAGGGAUUGUAUCCUACCAAGGCAACAUUUUUCCCAAAUGGUUGACUUUGCUAACCAAUCUAAGGAAUUUAUUUCUUUCCUCGUGCGUUAACUGUGAGCAUUUGCCUCCUUUGGGAAAAUUGCCUCUGGAAAAACUCAAACUAUGGAAAUUAAAAAGUGUAAAAAGAGUGGGUAAUGAGUUUUUGGGAAUAGAAGAAAACAGUGAGG
rnacentral:lncRNA from 1 species